rnacentral:lncRNA from 1 species
CAUAGUACAAUACGUUCAUAGAUAGGAUGUCAUAGAUUACACAUCUUGGUUUACAGAUCCACUCAAACUCAAACAUAAUUACAUUACAUCAGACUUUUAUUCCCACCAUCUUGGUUGGUAAAAGCACACACAAACCAAAUAGAAACACAUGAACACUUAAUUAAGCAGAGAAUAACAGCUUCUGCAAUCUGCGUAUCGCAGCUUGAUAGUCUGAUUAGUUCUUUCCUUGAGAAAUGAAAAUGAGAUCACUUUGAGACAUCCAAUGGCAUGCUUCACUUUGGCCAGGAGAAGUUUUCAAUAUCUUCAAGGCCACAUGAUCAGGGGACCAGCCUGAAGUAUCCAUAUGACAUACCACCGUGACUGUAUUAACUGGAACUUUGGUCCUAGGUUCAACAACAUCUACUGCAUAGACUUCAAUAUUGGACAGCAAAUGGCAGAAAUAUGUUGCAAAAGGAAGAAAUAAUUGAUGACAUGCCACAGUUUUUCCAUAUUUAAGCUUUUCCACGCGUCCAACCAUCAAUUCUUUUCUAGAACCCUCUGUGUUUUUCGAUGCCAAUGCCACCAAAUUCUUGUCACCUAUGGCAGUUUUUGAAAAUUCAAUCAUUUCCUCAAGGGAUUUUGCACAGCUCUGAGGCUCUUCCUUAAGAGCAGGAGUAUUGCAAUAAAUAAGGGUGUAUUGAAUGGCAUCUUUUGUUUGCGGGCUUUCAAAGGAUUGAGGAAAUAAUUUUCGUAGGUCAUUUUCCGUAACAGAGAUCUUUGAUGCCGUUUGAGAAGGAAGAAAUGACUGUUGGGGCAAUUGGUUUUCCAAGCUUGAGAGAUGCACCAUGUUUCCUUGUUUGAGAAGUGAGAGUCUGAAGAAAGAAAAAGGAUCAACAUGUAGGACAACAUUUGGGCUAAUUCUGCCAUAGCCGUAAUUAUUCUUGUCCAAGAAACUAUCAACACGUGCUUUGGAUAAACAAGCUAGGUUUGCAAGAGAGCAAAGAUUUGCAUCAAAUGGAAGAUUUUUCUCGGACGCUAAUGAAGUGAAAUGUUCAGCUUGUUCCUUGCUCAGUGGAGAUAGUUUGGACAGAAGAUUUCCAGGCAUGGUGCCUUGGACAUUUUCUGACCAAUAUUUGAGCUGAUUCAAUGCAGUGAAUGAAGAAGAUGAAAUGUGUGCAGCAAAAUGGGACGUAGGAAACGUGAGGGCAAUGACAAAGAGAACGAUAGCAAACGUUGAAGAGGCCAUUGGUUUCAUCGACACUAAUAUUGAGCUAAUUUUCUUCAGUGGAUGAAGUGCUGAUGACUUUGCUAGUGCAGCUUCUAAUUUAUACUAGUGCUCGAGCCUGGACACAGGGCCUCACCUGCCCAUUUCAGGAUAAAAUGGUUACUCUAAAUUUUUUUUACAUCUUGUUUUAGUUGGUAUAUAUCUUUACUUCAAUUUAUUUACAUCCCACUCCAACUUAUUUGUACCUUAGUCUAAACCGGUUGGAAAUGGAACUUGUGAGGCCUCAUCCCCCACUCUAGCCUUGUGUUUGCUCCAGCUAUAAUCUCUAAAGGGAAACCGUUCAAAAUGUUCCUUAUAUUUUGUCAUAUAAAUUUUUUCCUUCUUGUUGUCCCUAAAAAUUAUCAAUCCUCAAUCAUUAUUGUCCCUAAAUAAGUAGAAUCUAAUCCAUACCAUGUUCAUUUUUCUCCAUAAAAAAGUGGAAUAUGACCCAAUCCAUAUUUAUUUUUGCCACAAAAAAAUGGGAUCUACCCUUUUUGGACAUAAAAAAUAACUGUAUAUAGGUCACAUGGUGAUUUUAAACUAGUCAGAUAUUUAGGUUGGAACUAAAUUUUGCUAAUUUGAAUUUUUAAGUGAUUUAAUUUGAAGUUUAUAUUUUAAAAGUGAAGAACGAAAAAAUUUAUUUGAUAAAAUGUGUGGCAUGUUUUGAAUGAUUUUCUCAUCUUCACAUGUAUAUAUUGUACAAUUAAUCCAAAACAAAACUCCAAAUGUACCUGUGUUUACUAAUCCAGAAAAAAAGAGACAAAAUUGAAAAAUAAAUUUAUUUGAAUAGACAAUUUGCAACUUGUUCCACGUUCGCAUUUGAAUGGGUUAAAUACACUAAUCAUACAUCCACGUUAGACAAUUUGCGGUUGUCCCAUUUUAUGCUCUCAGCUUGCGGUCCAUAACCUGAGAUAUGUGGUAGUUAAAAAGACAAUAUUUGUAAUCUCGAAAGUGACGGACAAUACAGUCCCGCACAUUUAGUGCGUCUUGUAGGUAUAUAUGGACAACCGCAGCAAGGAAUUACAUCUCCAAAUACGAAAAUUUCAUGAAAUGAGAUGUAGGUGUGUGUAUAUGUAUAUAGGUAUAUAAAUAUGUAUGUAAGUUUGGUUUAUAAAAUAUUAGUCAAUACUAAUCGUUCAAAAUGACCAACAAAUUUCUUAAUAAAAAAACAUUGAUAUCCUUGGGGAUACUUUUUUAUCCAAUAAAGCAGCUGAAAAUUGUGUAAAAAAUGCAUGCUUCCUAUAAACAAGAUUGGAAAAGAAAACGAAAAUGAAUAAGUCACAUGCUAUGAAAGUCAGUUGAAAAGGAAAAGAUUGGCUCGUGUAGCCAAAAAUUCAUAAGCAUUGCAGUUACCAGCAACACGUAUUUCCGAUUUUCAGAUGUCCACGAUUUGUAUAAGGGUUCUAGUCUGUUGCAUUUGCAUCCCACAUACAUUGAUAACUCCAUUUGAUUUGAAGAGGAACACCUUGCGCAAAAGAAAGAUGUUGCAGAAAUUUGAGACAUGAAAAAAAAUUUAGAGACUAGCAUUGAAACUUUUCCAUUAAGGAAAUAGAAAGUUUAAGAGCUAUCAAUUGCUACAGCUAAAAUAAAAUAAGAAUGAGACAGAGAAAUAGGUUUUGAAACACACUGUGUGAAAAAUGGAUUUAAAAUGUGGUCAAUUGUUUGUACUAGUAGCAAAGGGUAAUUCCAACAGUCCCAAACGUAGGGGCAAGUGUAGGCAUUUAACAAAAGAAAAUUCUAUAUUAAGUGAUAUACAAUAAUACAAUAAUCACAAUUUAAAAGAUGGCGUACCUCAUGAUAUCUAAGAGUUCUCAUAUUUAAAUUUGAUAAAUGGGAACGUCAUGCAAGUUGUUCUUAUAGCAUGCAAGUGUUUUUGGAGUAAAUCGAUUUUAGAAAAGUUUAGAACAGUACUAAGAAAAGUUGCUUUCUAUAAUUGGUUAUCAGUUUUAACAGCAUUGAUUUGGUUUAGUUACUAUUACACUAUAAUGUCUUAGGGAAACAAUUAUCUGUUCACAAAAAGAUAUUAAAGUGCUACAAUUAACGAACUCUUUAAUAGGCUUUGUUGAUUAAUUCUAGAAUUAGAUGAUUGUAAAAAACAAUUAGACUAUUAACAUCGAACUUUUAUUUUUUUUCUUCUAAGAACAAUAGGAAGGAAUAGCCUUACAUUCUUUGACAAAAAGAAAGAAAGUAAAAAUCCCUAGCUACAUUAUUUGAGUUCUCAAGUACUACUGAUUAUGGAUGGAGAAAGAUUGCUCAAAAUUGCUGUCCUUUUGAAAUUCAUGAAAUUAUUAAUCAAUUGGCAACUUUGGUUGACUGGUCUUUUAUUGGGCAAUUUUUUGACAGAAGUUUGUCGGAGAAUAUCCUCUCCUUCAAUUUAAAAGAAGAAAAUUUUGAAGUAAUUCCUCCUACACUAGCCAAAAAUCUUUUCUAUGUUCUUCAGCUUGGGCUGGAUAGUGACCUGAUCGAGUUUAGGUAUUAAGAGCCAAUGAGUUCGAUCGAUUAGUUCGGGAUCUAGCUGAAUGAUGUCAUAAUGAUGCCAUAAAUAUAUUUUAAUUAUCUAUAAAGUAAAAAUUAUAUAUAAAUUACACAUUAGCUUGACAUAUUUGGUGAGUUUAUAACAAAUAUGAAGAACUCAUUCAAAUAGUUGUACAAAUUUAGGCUGGAAAUAUAAUUUGAUAAGUAUUUGUGGUUUAAUAUAUAAUUUUUUUGAAACAAUUCAGUGUCAAUUCUUGAACUUAAAGUCCAAAUACACAUUGAUGAGCCUAAAACUUUUUAAUAGGACAAUUCUUCAACAAAAUUGAGGUUUGUAUGUAAAAAUACAAAAGUUAGAGUUGCGUAGAGUAAUUAUAAAAGAAGUUUGGGAGUAUAUUUAUGAUUAUAAAAAAUGGAGGGUCAAAACAAAAUACUAGAAAAGUUUUAUAUUUAAUUGGCAAUUUCUUCUCCACCAUGCAUCUUCAUCAGCCAGGAAUCGGGAGGUUUCAACCUUCAUCUGCAUUCCCCUUUUUUUUGGUUUCUUUUUGUAAUGAUUUCAUUGUUUUUUUGUCCCUUUUCUUCAACUGGGUAAGAAUCUUCCCCUUAUUCUUUAUUUUCGUUCUCUCCUGUUUUCUUCUUUUUCUAUUUAGAUCUAUAAAUCUUUGAGAGAUGACAAUGAUAGAUUUAUAGAUCUAUUUUCUCUUUUCCUUUUUUCUUCUCUUGCAGUAAUUGAAACUUUUUAUUAUGAUUUGUCAAAUAUCUUACCACCUUUUUUUGGAGAGAUAAAAUUAGGCUUUAGAAAUGAAGAAAAUUUUUGGAAAAAAAUCACAAAUCAGCAAUGAAGAAAUUCAGGUAAAAUGAGGUUUUUCCCGAUUUUAUUGAUUCCCAGUUUAACACUCGAUUUUUUAAGGUGACUUGGACCGAAUGCUUGAUCGGUCUUGGUUUGCCCGGUCAGACUGAUUAGUCUAAUCCAAAUUUUAAAACAUAGGAUUUAAAAGGACAUAUUUGACUUGGGGAUCUAGCAGCAGAGCAUUUGAGACUGAAAAUAUAUAUGGAUGUUAAACAAGGGCGGCAAUGGAAAGAUAGUCUAAUGCUAUACCAAAGCAAGGAAACAAAAAGAAAAAGGAUUAAAAGUAAAAUUAGUUGUGACCAAAUAAAUGUAGCCAACUUGAACAUGGUAUAAAAGCAAUUGAGCAAAUGCCUUGUUCAAUUCAAGAUAAUUGAGGUACAAAAUCUAGAUUAACACAGCAAAUUAGGUUGCAGAAUGUUGGGUGUGGGCCAGCUCAUUUGUGAGCCAAACUAGAAAAUCAAAUAUUUUUAGGUUUAAGUCAAAAAUUUGACUUAAAUAAAAAAGGCGAGCAGCCGCAUGAAGUAUGAUUCUUCGGUCCUUGUGCGAGAAAAAAGAUUUCAGCCGCCGCUCUUGCUGGCUUGGUGAAGAAGGAAAAGAGAAAAAUAACUGGGAGAUCUUGAUUGGAAGGUGAUUCGAAUCCCGAUUGAAAUAAAAUUUUACAUACGCGAUCCUCUCAUCAAUCUCUACUCAUCUACUGGUCCAGAUUUUAGAUUUCCUCUUCGUUUGGUGACACCUUUCUAAACUCACUUCUUUGAUAGUUGUAGUUUUUGGGGGUGAUUUUGUAGUAAUUUCGUUUGAUUGGUAUUGGUGAUAUUAUUGUCAACCGAAUAUUUUGGGUAGACCUGUGUAUUCCUAUUGUUGUGAUAGUGAAGAUUUUUGACUGGACUAGAUCCCGUGGUUUUUCCCAAUUUGGAUUUUUCACGUAAAAAUCUUGGUGUCAUGUGCCUUUUAUUUUUCUUGCAUUUUAUUAUCACUACUGGUAUUAUUACUUGGUGAUUUGAUUUAUUCCUAUUUUUAACCGGUACAUAGAGAAAGAGAAAUUUGUCUUGGAUUAACUCUGAUAUUGUGUGUCUAUACCCAUACCUCUUUCCCAACAAAUGGUAUAUUAGACAAUCUUCACAUUUUGCACUUUCAUAAAGCAAUUACACCACAACUAUUCAGUUUUAGAUCGACAACUUUGUAUGCUACAGUUCCUUAGGCUGUCAACCACGUAAAAGAUGUCUUUCCGCAUCAUAUUGAAUGCGUUAGUUACUUUGUUUAGCAAAUUUAUAAUUAUUGAGAUGCAUGAAAUACUUUUUUUUCUGCAAGAAGAAUGGUUAAAUUCUCAAUUACAAUGAAAACAGAUAAUAUAGUAAUCCCACCAAUAUUGUUUCUUUAAACAUUUUGUUGUAAUACUCUCAACCUUUUGCUUUUCUGGUAAUAUACUUUCUUUUCAUUUCCUUUCCUUCAAUUCAAAAGGUCACUAAAUUUUUUUCCUCAAAUGGCGCCUAAAUUACUUUAAAAGCAAAGAUAACUAGUGAGAUGCCAAAAAUUUCCAAUCAAUUAUAUGCUUUACUUUGAAACUUACCGGUAGUUCCACUUGUUUUAAAUUUGUAUUAUUUAGGUAGGUUAAAAAUCGAACCAAACUAUUCGAUAUUUGAAAUAAGUUUGGUUCAGUAAAAACUUGUUCUAACUUGAUUUAUGAAUUAAUCAAACAAAGUUUGAACAUCAUUUUGUGUUCAAUUAACUUUUAAACUCUAUUUAAUCCUGGUACAAUUAGCAUAAAACUUGAUUUUAUAAGUAAAAAAUUCAAGCUAUUUGAGCUCAACUCAAAUCUGGCUUGAUUAAAGUCAACAUUAAAUAUAAUUUCAAAUUUGCUAAAAUAAUUAAACAAAAUUGAACGCUAACUUGUCCUCAAUCUUACUAUUGUCCUUAAAUGCAGCCAUGCUGCAAAAUACCUAUGCAUUAUUAGUUGGCCACUUACUUCGACAUCUUCUUAUCCUCAACUUCUUUUGCCUUUCUUUCCUUUUUUGUCUUCUUUUGUUUUUAUGUUACAGUACGGUACACCUACAAAAUUAUUUUGCUACCCACUUUACCCCGCUAUACAACACGGAUGAAGGUUACUAAAUACAAAUUAGGGACAUGAGACUUAUGAAAUAGAGGCCGUAGAAAACAAAUGGGAGAACAAGAAAUCUAUAUUCUUUCUGUCAACUUGCAAUACUCAAUCUCCUUCAACUUCAAUUUCCUUCAAAGUUUCUUUUAAUUUUUUCUUGGUGCUUUAAACAUGACACAUUUCCUACUACCUUUUCUUUAAAAAAAAAAAAAAAAAAAAAACAUUGGCACGUGAAGUUGGCAAUUGGCACUUAUCAUACAAGUGGCUCCGGAUGUGCGGUAUCGUUUGUUUCUUUUGUUUCCUGGGGAUGAGUUUUUGGACUUGGACCACUCAUAAAUAAAGUUGUUUCCUCCUGUGCGGUAUUUCUUGUCAUGGUUGCUCUUACAAUACAGCCAGCCAAUGAAAGUGAAUGUGACAGAGAGAUAUACGCACGGAGACAAAGACAAGGCUGCUCGUGUCUCAUCGUACGAUCCAAUAAUUUGGGAAUUCGAAAAAUCUAAAACCAAAGGAGAAAACAAAUGUAAAUGUGUAAAUUUACAAGUAACCAGUAUUGGUGUAAUCAAUGCAUAAAUGUGUACAUUACAACUGAUAACAUGCAUAAACAAGAUAAACUCACAUUUAACGAGACUUGACUCAACGGUUAUGAUUGUUGAAUCUCAACCUUGAUUUUCUAGACGAACAUCUCGCUGUACAAAUUAUUUAAAUUGCUAUUUUUAAAAUUUUUGUAAAAAAAUAUAUUAUAGUGAUUUGAUAUAUGUGAAAUAAAAGGGUGAUUGAAAAAUUUAUUUAUAAAAAAUCUAAAAAAUUAUCUAUAGAAAAUAGUAAUGGAAGCAAAGGUUUUUGAAUUAUUGGAGCACCCCUAAAUUAGGAAGGACGAAAAUUCAUUAUCACAUCAUAGGACCAGCUAGUCUAUUAUUCUACAAGGUGAGAUAAUUAUGAAAUUGACAUGAAGAAAUACUUCCCACACGAGUCAUGAAUCGAUCAGAUGUGGGACUGGUGGCGGCCGCCAUCUCAAAAAUUAUCAUACGACAAGACGUGUUUCAACACCAUAAGUUGCUUUCGAAGAAUAUUAAAAAUAAUGUUCUGCACAAUAUUUGGACAAGGUCACAAGAAUGGCUCAAAUCACUGAAUCAAAAAAUCCUUUAGCUGCUCAGCUUGAGUUUCACUAAAUAUUUUGAAUUGCAGAGACCUAGUCAAAAAUCGAGUUUGAUCAUGAAAAACAAGGAAAAAAUAGAAAAGUUUUUCAUUUUUUGGUGAACCAUUUUCUUUUUUCUAUUUUGUUAAAGUUUUCCAUAAAAUAUGUUUACCAUAGUUUGAUGGGUUAGAUGCAAAACUUAGCUCUUAAUUAUAACAAAUUUUGCACUUUACUCCUUAAAAUUAUCUUAUUUUGACUUUACUCCACUAUUAGUCAACUCAAACAUUAUAUACCCAUAACCUGAAAAAAACAUUCAUCCUGAGGGUUAAUGACAGUAAAUCCCCUCAAGGUAUUGCAUGUUUUAUACUUUACUCUAUAAAGUCAUCUUUUCUCAAUUUGUAGGUUUGUCCCAAGACCAUUAGUUAACUCCAAUAUUCUGUAACACCCAAGAAAAAACAAUAGCUAAGAGACAUUUAUAUCCUUGACAGGAUAGUGAACUGAAUAAUAUUUUAUGGAUAUGAGUCUAGUUAAAUUUCAUCUCGUAAUUACACUUUUUUAAGACAGGGGGAAAUUUCUCGAUCAUUUUAUGCCUUAAGGAGGAAAAAUAAACAAAAUAUUAUUUAAAAAUAAAAUAUGAAAACUGAAAAUAUUACUAAAUUUGUAAAACCCGCUUAAAAACUGUCAAUCUCUCUUUUCAAAUGUGCAUAUAGGUUUGCUUUUCAUUUAAUGGCUACAUUUUUGCUUUGCAUAAAAAAUAUACACUUUUCGUUGUUAGUAACACUACAAAGGGGCAAAAACAUGAUGGAUUUGGCAUUCCAAAGCUUUAUUGUCACUUGUGCUCAGAGCGCACCCGACGUGUGUACAAUCAAAAAAUAUAUAAUAUUAAUAGUCAUAUAUUUUAAAUAAAAUUUUUAUUACUAAAGCAAAUUUUAAUCUUUUAAAUAUUUUUCAUAAAAUAAUUUUAUAUUGGUAGUUAUGUUGAAUACAUAUACUUAAAAGUAAAAAUAGUCAUGGGUGGUUAUAGAUAGUUAAAGUAAAAGUAAUUUUUAUAAGGGCAAAAAAGAAAGUUCAUAAAGUGACGAUAAAAGUUAACCCUAAUUUUAACCCCAAAUCUCUUUGUCAAGCUUUACAUAUAACUAGUGCCAAAGGCACACCCACAUGUAUGCAAUUUAAGAAUAAAUUAAUUUUUAUGAAAUUUUCUUUAAUGAAUUGAUAGUUAGUAUUUUGGUAGUUAUGUCAAUUGGUAGUUAUCUUGGUAAUUAAACUUUUUUUCAUAAUAAAAAGUUUGGAUGUUUAAAUUUUAAACAUAUUGGUAGUUGCAACAAAAAUUAUGUUGGUUAUAUAUAAUUGGAUAGUUAGGAUAAAAUUUAAUUUUGUGAGGAUAAAAAUGGAAGUUUAAAAAGUGACAAAAGGUAUUUACCCCACCCUUUCAUUUCCUAGAGUAAGUAAGGGUAAAUUUGAAAACACACAAAACUAACACCAAGUUAACUACCUACACAUGUUUUAUUAUUUUAAAGAUAUAGAUUUUGUAAUGCUAAAAGGCACUUUUCUCAAACUUCAACGGUUUACUACAGAGGCAUUUUUUUUACAAGUGCUCAAUACACACCCAAUGUGUGUGCAAUCAAAAAAUACAUAAUUUUUAUGGUCAUAUAUUUUAAAUAAAGUUUUUAUUACUGAAGCAAACUUUAAUCUUCUAAAUGAUUUUCAUAAAAUAAUUUUAUAUUGGUAGUUAUAAUGUUUAGGGGUAGUUAUGUUGAAAACAUAUAUUUAAAUAGUUGAAAGUAAAAAUAAUCAUGAGUAGAUAUAGGUAGUUAAAGUUAAAGUAGUUUUUAUAAGGGUGAAAAAGGAAGUUCAUAAAGUGAUCAUAAAUGUUAAUCCCAAAGUUAACCACAAACCCUUUCCUUAGACUUUAUAUGUAGUAUAGAUAUUGGUGAAUUUAACUAAUGAGGGAACAAAGUGAUAAAAAGAUAAUAAAAUUUGGAAUUCUAUGGGGGAAUUCUUAUAAAUAACCCGAGUUUGAUACUAAAAAAAUUAAUGCCUUGUUUAGAAAGAGAUUUUUUAUCAAAAAAUCUAUACGUUUUUCAUAAACACAUUUUUUAAUCACCUUUUUACCUCACAUAUAUGAAAUCGCUACAGUUUAUUUUUUACAAAAAUUUCAAAAAAUUGCAAUCCAAACAUAACCUAAACUUUUAUAGUGCGCCCAUGGAUAAUUAGGAAACUGUGAUGAUCUAAUAAAAGUUUUCCAGGGUUAAAAGUAAUAAGCCCCCAAAACUUUUGGGAUGCUUUGCACUACAGUCUCUAACGUUGAUUUUGUGCCAUUUAGUACUUUUGUUUUUUUAAAUGAGAUGUCUUAAAUUCAAAACUUCAUACUUACAAUUCCUUCCACCUCACCACUUAACCAUACCCUCCACCCCAAACUCCAAUUUUAGUACUUGUGUUAGUCAACCUCAACAUUUGCCGUUAAAUGGUACUAAUUUCUAAAAUUACCCUGAUUUCUAUGACAAAAAUACCUGUUGUCCUAAAUACAAUAAAAAGAUCUCCACAAAACCCUGCAAUCCUUUUGUUUAAUAUAAAAAAGUUUAAAAAAAAAACCGCAAGCAUUUUGACAGUGCCAAUACAACAAAACCACAAUCUUCCUUUAAUUAACUUAAAUGCAGCGAAGUAUUUCUUCCAAUCUUCUACUCCAUAGUCUUUUUUUUUUUUUUUUUGGAUUAACCGUAGGAGAGCGAAGUACUUUUGUCCUUUUUCUCCUUUUUAUCAAUCUCACAGCUGACAAAACAAAAAUUUUCAAAUAUAUCUAAACUAGCAGUUCCGUCUCUCACUUAUCUUUUUGCUUUCAACAGGUUUUGUACCUAAACAUUAUGUUUUUUUUUUCCCGCAAAAUUAUGUGCUAAGUACAUUCAUUUCCAGAAUAGACAAUUAGAAACAGCAAUGCUAUUAUUCAUGUUCAACUCGUUUGAAUUUGGAAAAGGUUUAAUCACAGAAUAAACAAAUAAAACUCGAAAACAAGAUUGAUUUGGAACCAACACACAAAUUUGGGUGCAAGCGGAUUGAAUAUGUUAUUGAACCCCACAAAAAAUUAUAUUGUUGCCCCACUUUGCCCCCUUAUUCUCCUUACCAGUAUUGCAACUAGAGGUGUUAAAAUGGAUGAUUUGGACGGGUUUGGAUUGGCAAAAAUGGAUAAUAGGUAUAAGUAAGUCAACCCAUUUAUACCUAUUUAAUUAAAUGGGUAUAAAUAGGCAAGCCAAAAAUGAAUUGGAUAACCCAAUUACUCAUUUAUAACCCAUUUAUUUUAAUUUUUUAUAAACUCAUUUAAAUUCAUUUUGCAAACUAGGUUAUCAAUUUAUACCACCCUUUACACCCAUCAUUAGUUUUAAAUAUUUACUUAUAAUGCUCAAUAAGCCUAUUUACCAAAUUUUUUUCCAUCCGUACUCUAUGUCGUAAAAUUACAUGCUAUUUAAUAAUUGAACAAUCAGAAUAUAAAAAUUUGAACUAAGUACUAUAAAAGUUAAACAUAAAAAUUUAAUCCAAAAAUUUUAAACUCCUAGCAUUUUUUUCAUGUGUAAAUUUAAAAUUUCAUUUUGAAAAAGUAGGAAAAGAGGCUAAAACUUGUCAUAAAUUGGUAACACUAAAGAGUAAGUUAACAAACUAAGAGAAAAAAAAAUGAUAAGAUAAAACCAACCAAUGAUAAUAAUAAUGAAACAAAAAUAGUUAACAUCAUAACAAAAUGAAGAAUCUGAAAAAAAAAAUGGGUGGGAGAAGAGAGAAUGCUUGGGGGAAGAUAAUUCUAAAUGGAUUAAUUGGAUUUGAUGGGUUAUCAAUAAUACCCAUUUAUUUAAAUGGGUAUUAUUGGAUAAUCCAUUUAUACCCAUAUGCAAAAACUUAAGAUACCCAUAUCCAUAUAUUCAUGGGCGGGUAUGGGUAAAUUUAGUUAAAUGGAUUCAUUUGCCACCUAUAAUUGCAACCAAUGCAAGUAAAAAUUGCGAUACUUGUUUACUACAAAAUAAGGACGUGAAUUUAUCAAAUAGAAAGUGGAGAGAAAAAAAAGGGCAAAAUACACUUAACUCUCUUGUGAUUUAUUGAUUUUUUACAUAACCUCCCUAUAGUUUCAAAUACUAUAUAUAACCCCCUCAUAAUUUGCAUUAAAGUUUCAAAGUGACAAAAGUGAUUAUUUGCAAUGAAACCCAUGAAAAUAUCGAAAUUGCCUUUGUUUAAAACCUAAAAUGACUGAACUGAUCAAAAAAUAUAAAUAUAAUAUGCAUGACACUCUAACAUCGUAUAGUUUUAUAUUUUACUAUAUAGUCCCCUUAUAGUUUAGUGUUUUACCAUAUAAUCCCCUUAUAAUUUUUAAAAUAUAUACAUAAUCUUUUAUGGUUAUAAAUAAUUUUUAACUUUACAUAAGAGUAUUUUUAACAUUCUAGUUGACUCCAUUAUGGAAUACAAAUUCAGUUAUUUUAAGACUUUAAUUCAAAUCAUGAGAGGGGUAUGUGUAUCUUUUGAAACUAUAGGAGAAUUAUGUGAAAAAAUAUUAAACCAUAGGGGGUAAAGUGUAUUUUUCCAAAAAAAAAAAAGGAAAAACAAGGAGUGAGACCAUUUUCUCAUUUUAUAUGUGCACUUUAGUAAAAUAGUUAAUCAUUUUUCUUCUUUUAAAUUGUAAAACUCAACCUCUUUUAAUUUAAAAUUUCAUUCGAAUGUUAUUUUAAUUUUGAUCUUAGUUCUUCAAAAUUGGCAUAUUAAUUUCCUACAAUUUUUGUAAGGAAAAAAAAAGCAUAAAACAUGGCACUUGAAGUUGGUUGUCGGCACUUAUAGCUUGUAUCAUUUGUUUGCUGGGUACAAGUUAUUGGACUUAGACAACUCAUGGAUAAUUAAGUUGAUUUCACCAGUGGGGUUUAUGGUGGCUUAUCUCCUUCUUAUCAUGUUUGUUCCGACGAUGCAGCCGGCCAAAGAAAUAGGAUGAGAAAGAGAAAUGGGCGCAUGGAGACGAAGGGCCGGCGGCUCCUUUUGAUAUAUCAUCGGUCCCAAUUGUUUGGGAAAUCUAAAAGCGAAGGAGAAAACAAAUGCAUGCAAUUAUGCGAAUCGGAAGAGAUCUGAAUUUUUUUGGAUCAAUUCAAGAACUCUCUAUAUUAGAAAGGGCAAUAAUGCAAUGUCACAUCCACAGGACCAGCUGGUCGUUUGUCAAUUAUUUUACAGUGGGAAAUUAUGAAAUUCGCAUAGGGAAAUACUUUCCUGCUCAUGAGCCGAUGAAACAGUGGAGUGGCGGCAGCCGCCGCCCUUCGAAAAUUUAAGUUUGUUUUUGGAUUGUAAUUUUUUUUAAAAAAAAUUCCUACGUUUUUUGUGGAUAUAUUUUUCAAUCACUUUUUUAUUUUACAUAUAUUAAAUCGCUACAGUAUUUCUUUUACAAAAAAUCCAGAAAAAUGCAAUUCAAACAAAGCUUAAAAUUUUAUUUAUAUCAGAUUUUUUUUUGUAAAACAUUAUAAUUUUAUUAAAUUUUGUAUUAAUGGCAAAAGUUACAUCAUCUGAAAAGUGGAUACUAUAGAUAUGAAAAACAGAUAAAAAUUACACUGUAAAAUUCUAAAAAAUAGUUUAAAAAAUGAGAUAAAAUAAUUGUAACCUCACGAAUAUCUAUGCAUGCUUGUGAUCGUCAAAUCUAUUGAUUAAUUUUUUCAAUUCUGAAUAUUAUGGUGAGAUUUACCAAAUAAACUCAAGAAAUUCCAAAUUUGAUAAAUAAAAUCUAAAAAAAAAGAGUUAGAUCGAAUAAAAGAAAAUAAAAAAAACUACCUAAAGCAUUCAUUAGAAAUCUCUAGGAAAGAAGAAAACUCUCACUAGGUAACACUAAGAGAGGAAAAAAUUCUCACUAGAAAAUUGUAAGAAAUUUUAUUUGUACAAAUGAAAAAAAACUAUAGAUAAAGCUCCUCCUAUGGAGAAAGAUUGAAAAAAUGUGAUUUCUCACCCGAAAGAAUUGAAUGAAGUUUUGGUUAGAGAAUUUUCCUAAAGAGAAACUAAUUCUCUCUUUCUUCUCUCAAGAAUUGGUGGGAGGUUUUUUUUAUGUCUUAUACAGUUCUUUCUUAUUUAUAUCAGAAUUAAGAGAAUGGAAAGUGAUAAUUUGGAGAAAAAAAUUUGAUCAAAGCCUUGAUAAUUGUAAGGUCCAAUUAAUAUUCUAGAUCUUGGCCAUAUUAGCUCGAGCUAAUCUAGGUCAUCCAUCUCUUUUCUAAAGAAAAUUUAUAUUUUUUUUUUGUUGUAAAAGUUAAUGGCCAGAUUUGGACCACAUCAGCAAAACUUGAUUUGAACCAUUAAUUGUACGUAUGCCAGGCAAUCGUGCAUUCUCCUAAAAGUAGCCAAUUGCCAUGGAAGGUUGUAAAUGACCAUCUUAAUCCCUGAAUUAAGAAACAGUCAUCCCAUAAAUCCUCUUCCUCCUUCCACAUUCGAAGACCGCCACCGCAGCUUACUCCACCCUUCAUUCACAAACCCAGUCAACAAUUUUUGCCUACAUAUCAAUCUUGAUUACCUUGCUAUAUCCCCUUACUCUUCCCUUCACGCUAUCUUCUUCCCAUAUUGAAGAAGCAAAACCAUGAUGAAAUAUUGUUUUGGGACAGGAAUAUGUCCAAAAGGGUGAUUUUAGGGCUAUCAAUGGGUCCGGACCCAAAUCUGAUCCAAUAUGCUCGUUUGUUCGAACCUGACCAAAUCCAAAUUAUAUGCAUUCUAAAUGGAUCGGGUAUGGAAUGACAUGUUCCGAUUCAUUCGGAUCCGAUCCAAUUAAUUGGACAUAUAUAAGUAAUAAUUAUAAUAUUCAUUAUAAAUUGUUACUAACCCACAUGUUUUCUCUUUGAAAAAAAAAGGAGGUACUCUAAGAACCAAAUAAUCUUUGGAAUUUUUCUCAUUGUGUAGUUACUAUUUUAUUAACAAAAUUUGUGUAAAAAUAGAAUUCAAAAAUUAUCAAAAAUUUUGUUAUACUAAAUUGAUUUUAUGGAUUGGAUAUAUCCGAAAUAGAUUUGAAUCCAACAGAAACUGGAUCCAGAAAUACAUAUUAAGACUUCAUUAGGUAAAUGGAUUGGGAUCCAAAAUAAUUAUUACCUGUCGGAUUUGUGUUAGCAGUUAUCAAUUUUACCCAGAAUCAACCCGAUGAGUUCUUAUUUUGUUUCUUUUUGGGCAAAGCUCAUACUAAUGGAGAGGGAUGCCAGUCCCAAAUUUAUUACUAAUAGAGAAAGGAAGGGCCAGGCAUUAAUCUAAACUCUAAUACAAGAAAAAGAAGCUAAUGAAAUGGAAAAAGGAGUACUACUCCCGUGCCGAUCUUAAUCUAAUGUUUGGCAAACUAAUACUAUCAACAGAAAUAAUAGCUUUUACUGUGAAGCAUGGUUCAAAGUCUCGGCCGACUCGUCACCGUCUCAGACCCUUCGAUACGUCACUGUGAACGGUUGAAACGGUCGAGUUACACUGAAUCACUCCGAGUCAUCCUAAGUCAACUCGAUUUUUUAUUAUUUUUACUAAUUUUUUAAUUAAUUUUGUUUACCAUAUUUUUUAUAAAUUUUAGAAUAUUAAAUAUUUCAAAAAUUCGCGUCUCACCGAGACUGCAUGCCAAGAUCGAUGUAGAACGGUCUAGGCCGCGACCGCGACUUUGAACCAUGCAGUGAAGGCAAUUCCGACGUAGAAGUGUAAAUCUGCUGCCGAGAGAGAGUUAAAGAAACAAGAAAGUAAACUGAAAAACUUGCUCCACCAUAAAUGUGAUGAACAAAAACCCGAUAACACCUUGAAGCAAAUGACGAAUUUGAACUAGGGCACUACACAUUGGCCAAUUAGCUAAAGCAUUGGUUGAUAAAGGUGCACAGGUAGCUUAGCAUCCACCUGUACCAGUACAUCAUCAGUAGUGCAUUAUUUUCUACCAGCAAAAAAUUUGCCUUGUCAAAUUCUUCAUAAAAUACAAAGACAAUCCUAUCAAUAUUAUGAUGCUAAAUGAGAAAUUUUGGGUUCGAGUCCUUCCAUCUAAAUUAUUUUAAAAAAAGCAAAAAAAAAAAUCCAUGAUGGUCUUGUAGAAGACUCUCUCGAGAUGAAGUUAACCUUUUAGUACUGGUAAUGGUAUUGAGUUUAUAAUGCUUUUCCAUGGUGGAAACCAUCAGACAGCCAUUACCGAUGUCCUCAUGGAAGUUUCUAGCCUAAAAAACUUUGCAGUAUAAGUAUUCUAAUCACUUAUUACAUAAAAUCCUAUCACCAAGGAACGUGCUCCUAACACAGCAAGACAAUUAUCAACCUUCAAAAUAAUCUUAAAAGCGAGCGAAGAGAUUCUUUGAAAAUGUGUUUCGUUCUUUCCACACCAUGAAAACCACAAAGCUAAUAUAGGUAAAAUACAUCUAAUGUGAUCAAGAGGUGCUUUAUCUAGAGACAAAUUAACAAGAAGACAUCAGCAAAGAAGAGAUACAUGUAUGAGGCUAGAAGGGAAUUCUGAAAACUGGGAAGUAAUGCCCGGCAAACUUGAACUGGAAUCGAGCCUUCUGUUAAAGUAUGCGGCAAAGAUGUUGUAAAAACUUGAUAUUUCAAAAGAUUUUUCGUUUGUUUCGGACUAGAGCUUUAUCUGAUAAUAUUUCAUCAGAUAUGGUUGUUUCUAUUUUGAUGGAGAAGUUUUCAAAGAUAAGGUUUUGACUAAAAGGCAAGUUCAAGUGCUAGAUAGGAAGUUAAGCUUCGGAUGGCCUUUUUUCAAAUGACUUGACCUUUUCCAAACUUAUCACCACAGAGGAUAGACCUCUGACUACUUCAAAAGAUAAAGUCUGGCACGAAGCAAGCCUAUUCUCACGGAAAAUUAGCUUUCAAAAUUCUAUCUUCUUCCGUCCCGUGAAGCUUAUAAAUAGAACCAGUUGCCAGGCUCAUUUCGCACUGCAAAAACGAAGUCUACACUUUAAAACACUCUCUACCUCCUCCUUUGUCUAUCCUUCACAACAUUCUUGCUUUUCUGCUGGGUUAGAAACAAGAUUUUUUUUGCUGGUUCUAUGUCCCUCUCACAAAGUAGAGGAAAACUUGUUUAAUUCUGGGGAAACGUUUCAAUACCCUGAAAUAGUUUCUUAGGACAGUGCUUUCUAGCACGACUCAAGUAUCCACGUGUUGACAUUGUUCGGGCCGCUUUAUCCAACAAUCUAAGAAACUAUGGCAUCUAACAAUGUUAGCACCCCACAGCCUUCAUCAGCAACUGUUGCAGUGGCACUACCAUUCGCCAAGCUCUUUCCGGAUGUAUCCAAAAUUGAAAUUUUCGCCAAUGAAAAUUUUAAAAGAUGGCAAGAACGUGUGCACUCUCUACUUGACAUCCAUGGAGUAGCUUAUGCGCUCACUGAAUCUCAACCUUCUGCAACUGCGGAUGCCAAGAGUCAAGAAGCAUGGCAAUAUGCCAAUAAGGUAUGUCGACACACUAUCCUUCAAACACUCUCUAAUGAAUUAUUUGACGUCUACUAUAGCAGCAAAGAAGCCAAGGCAAUUUGGGAAGCCUUGGUAACAAAGUUUACUGCCGAAGAUGCAACCAAGCAAAAAUUCGUCGUAGGAAAAUACAACCAAUGGCAAAUGACUGAUGACAAGGAAAUGAAAAUUCAAAUCACCGAAUAUCAAAUGCUGCUAGAGGACUUGAAAAAUGAAGACAUCAAUCUUCCUGAGAAAUUCGCUGCAAGCAUGCUGAUUGAAAAACUACCAGAGUCAUGGGCCGACUAUAAAAACAACUUGAAACACAAGGAGAAAAAUUAUACCAUGGAUGAGCUCGUGAAGCACAUCCUCAUUGAAGAUUCAAACAAAAGGGAGUUAAGAGCUACCAAGGCAAAGGAGACGGCUUUCAAAGCCAAUCUGGUACAAGGUAAUAAUAAAAGGUACGCCAAUAAAUCCCAGAAUUACAAGCCCAAAAAUUUUAAUUUCAAGCCUAACAAUCCCAACUUUAAGAAAAGGAAAGGCAAUUGAUUUUAUUGUGGAAAACCAGGACAUCAUGCAUUACAAUGCAGACAUAAUAAAGGUGACAGAGCAAAUGGUAAUCUUCCUAAGGUGCACUUAACCGAAGGAGAUGAUAUAAUUGCUGCUGUCAUCUCUCAAGUGAACAUUGCAGCCAAUGUCAAAGAGUGGGUGGUAGACUCUGGGGCUACUCGGCACAUAUGUGCAAAUUGAGAAGCAUUUUCCUCCUAUACUCCUAUAGGGGAUGAUGAGGAAGUUGUCUACCUUGGUGACUCACGAACUGCUAAUGUUCUGGGUAAGGGCAAAAUAUUCUUGAAACUCACUUCAGGAAAAACUUUGGCUCUCAAUGAUGUACUGCAUGUGCCCAACAUUCGGGCAAAUCUGGUUUCCGUAGGAUUGCUAGGAAAAGUUGGAGUGAAAGUGUCAUUUGAAUUUGGAAAGAUCAUAAUGACCAAAAAUAAUGUAUUUGUGGGCAAGGGCUAUUGUAAUCAGGGACUCUUUGUACUUAACAUUGCCAAUGUGAUCAAUGAGAAUGCUUCUUCUUCUGCUUAUAUUAUUGAUUCAAUUUCUUUAUGGCAUGCAAGAUUAGGACAUGUUAAUAUGAGUUAUAUAAAGAAAAUGCAAUCUUGUGGCCUGAUUUCUGGUGUUAAUGAUAAAAUGGAUAAAUGUGAGAUAUGUGCAGAAACUAAAAUGACAAAGAAGACUUGUAUAACUGUUCAAAGAGAAACUGAACUAUUAAAUUUAAUCCACACAGAUUUAGGUGAUUUAAAACAAACUAUGACUAGAGGAGGAAAAAGAUAUUAUGUCACUUUUAUCGAUGACUACUCUAGAUAUACUAAACUUUACUUACUUAGAAAUAAAGAUGAUACUCAUAAUGCCUUUUUAUCUUAUAAGUCUGAGGUAGAAAAUCAACUUAAUAAGAAGAUAAAAAGAAUUAGGUCUGAUAGAGGAGGCAAAUAUUUAGCCCUAGAUAAAUUUUGUGAACAUGAAGGCAUAAUACACGAAACAACACCUCCUUAUUCGCCAGAAUCUAAUGGAGUAGCUGAAAGGAAAAAUAGAACAUUAAAAGAAAUGAUGAAUUCUAUGUUAGUUAGUUCUCAUGCUCCUGAUAAUUUAUGAGGAGAAUCUAUUUUAUCUGCAUGUCAUUUACAAAAUAGGAUACCUCAUAAGAAAACUGGCAAAACUCCUUAUGAGUUAUGGAAAAGUUAUAAACCAAAUUUGAAAUAUUUAAAAGUAUGGGGAUGUCUUGCUAAAGUAUUGUUGCCUGAACCUAAGAAAAGAAAAUUAGGUUCUAAAACUUCUGACUGUAUGUUUAUUGGAUAUGCUGAACAUAGUGCUGCAUACAGAUUUCUUGUUUUAAAAAGUGAUACGCUUGAUUGUAAUACAAUUAUUGAGACAAAGAAUGCUGAAUUCUUUGAACAUAUUUUUCCAUUGUCGAGUAAAAUUUCUCAUGCACCUGUUGAAAUAAAUAGAGAAAUAAUUCCGAAUGAGGAAUUAAGAAGGAGUAAAAGGCCAAGAAAAGAAUUUUCUUAUGGAAAUGAUGUUCAAACUUUUCUUGUUGAUAAUGAUUCUUUAACAUACUCCGAUGCUAUUUCUUCCCCUGAUUGUAAAGUUUGGAAAUAAGCAAUUAAAUCUGAAAUUGAUUCUAUCUUGUCAAAUAAAACUUGGAUUUUGGUGGACUUACCUCCUGGUGCAAAACCUAUUGGUUGCAAAUGAAUUUUUAAAAGAAAAUAUAACUCUGAUGGCUCUAUAGAAAAGUACAAAGCUCGUUUAGUAGCAAAAGGAUUUUCUCAAAAACAAAAUAUUGACUAUUUUGAUACAUUUGCACCAGUAACAAGAAUUGCGUCUAUUCGAGUUUUAUUUGCUUUAGCUUCUAUCCAUAAACUUGUUAUUCAUCAAAUGGAUGUCAAAACAGCAUUUCUAAAUGGUGAUUUAGAGGAAGAAAUUUAUAUGUUUCAACCUGAGGGGUGUAUUGUAUCUGGACAAGAAAAUAAGGUUUGUAAACUAAUUAAAUCUCUUUAUGGCCUAAAACAAGCUCCUAAACAAUGGCAUGAGAAAUUUGAUCAAGUAUUGAUAAAAGAUGAAUUCUUGUCUGUAGAAGUGGAUAAAUGUGUGUAUGUCAAAAUUAUAAAUGAUCAAUAUGUGAUAAUCAGCUUAUAUGUGGAUGACAUGCUUAUAUUUGGUACUAGUCUAGAUAUUGUAAAUAAUACUAAAUAUUUUUUGUCCUCUAAUUUUGAUAUGAAAGACUUGGGUGAAGCCAAAAUGAUAUUGGGUGUUAAAAUCAUAAGGAGAGGUGAUGGUAUAAUGUUGUCACAAGAACAUUAUACAGAGAGACUUCUUAGGAAGUUUGAAAAUUAUGAUGUGACACCUGUGAGUACUCCUUAUGACGCUAACAUUCAAUUGAGGAAAAAUAAUGGCGACCCAAUUGCUCAGUCUAAAUAUGCUCAGAUCAUUGGGAGUCUGAUGCAUCUGAUGAAUUUCACUAGACCGGAUAUAGCUUAUGCUGUAUGUAGACUGAGUAGAUAUACUCAUAAUCCCAAUCGUGAGCAUUGGUUUGCAUUAGUCAGACUAAUGAAAUAUUUGAGAGGUACCAUGAAUUUUGGUAUACUAUAUAGUGGAUUUCCCACUGUAUUAGAGGGUUACAGUGAUGCUAACUGGAUCUCUGAUCCAAAUGAUACAAAAUCCACUAGUGGUUAUGUGUUCACCCUUGGUGGUGGUGCGGUAGCAUGGAAAUCAGCCAGACAGACAAUUAUUGCUCGGUCAACUAGGGAAUCGGAGUUCAUAGCUCUGGAGUUAACUGGCUCUGAGGCAGAUUGGUUAAGAAAUUUCUUAGUCAAUAUUCCUCCUAUUAAGGAUCUGUUGUCUCCUGUGUCUAUACACUGUGACUGUCAAGCGGCUAUUGCUAUUGCAAAAAUAAAUCUUAUAAUUGUAAAAGUCGACACAUGAGAUUAAGACAUGAUGUCGUAAAGCAGCUGCUUAGAGAUGGAAUUAUUUCCAUUGAUUUUGUGAAGUCAGAGUUGAAUUUGGCCGAUCUUCUGACUAAACCUGUAGGAAGAAAAUUAAUUCUUCAAACUACAAGGGAGAUGGGACUUAGGCUAACGGUUGUCAAUAGAGAUGGUAACCCAACCUAUGUGAUUAGUGAUCCCAUGAAAUAGGUUCAUAUGGGUAAUAACAAGUCGAUAUUGACUGUAAAAGCACUUGAAAUUUAAGUCCCUUCAAAAUUAAGUGCUUUGACUGCCAAUAAUUGUGAGGCUGAGUUUAAUACUCUUAAUGAAUUUAUAUUCCUUCAGGAAGGUGUAUUUAGGGCAGUAUACACUUGAUAAAUUCACCUAUAUGUGAGUGGAGUGGGGCCGCUCCUAUAAGAUUUUUUGGCCGAAUCUUUAGAGCUCUCAUGAACAACCAGGCGGGCGCACGACCUAAAUGCGCGAAACUGCAUUGAACAGCAAAAUUAUGGGUUAUAAUGUGAUUGAUAAGAUCUCUGUCAUACAAUAAGAAUUAUUGGUUCAUAGAAAGAUAUGUUUUCACCAAUAAUUCUGUAAGACAUAUUUUAUCAAUUUAAGUUUGGUUCAUAGUCCAAAAGACACCAAACUCAUUACAUUGAGCUCAGACAAAUCCAGCAGAUGUUUAUACUCUUUUGUCCAAAAUCUUUUGAAAUAGGUGGGAGAUUGUUGUAAAAACUUGAUAUUUCAAAAGAUUUUUCGUUUGUUUCGGACUAGAGCUUUAUCUGAUAAUAUUUCAUCAGAUAUGGUUGUUUCUAUUUUGAUGGAGAAGUUUUCAAAGAUAAGGUUUUGACUAAAAGGCAAGUUCAAGUGCUAGAUAGGAAGUUAAGCUUCGGAUGGCCUUUUUUCAAAUGACUUGACCUUUUCCAAACUUAUCACCACAGAGGAUAGACCUCUGACUACUUCAAAAGAUAAAGUCUAGACGAAACAAUCCUAUUCUCACGGAAAAUUAGCUUUCAAAAUUCUAUCUUCUUCCGUCCCGUGAAGCUUAUAAAUAGAACCAGUUGCCAGGCUCAUUUCGCACUGCAAAAACGAAGUCUACACUUUAAAACACUCUUUACCUCCUCCUUUGUCUAUCCUUCACAACAUUCUUGCUUUUCUGCUAGGUUAGAAACAAGAUUUUUUUUGCUGGUUCUACGUCCCUCUCACAAAGUAGAGGAAGACUUGUUUAAUCCUGGGGAAACGUUUCAAUACCCUGAAAUAGUUUCUUAGGACAGUGCUUUCUAGCACGACUCAAGUAUCCACGUGUUGACAUUGUUCGGACCGCUUUAUCCAACAAAAGAUUCAAUCGAAUAGCUACUAGCCAAAUUAUCUGAACAAGAAGAGCAUUAUUUGGAAACCAAAAUAAUACCAUGGACAUGAAUAUCCUCAUCUCAACGGCUAGAGGGAAUUCCAUGUGAUCUUCAAAACAAUGGAAGAAUUCUUCUUCUUUCUCACCUCCCCCCUCCCAAGCCGAAGCUAGAGUAAAACAACCAAAGGUAAAUAGCUGCCACACCAACAUAUCUUCUUGAUUUGAUCAAACCCUUAACUUCAAAAUUGCAGCCACUAUACGAAGAGGAAGCCGGUCAUUCAGCCGAGCAACAUUCCAAUCGAAAUUCAUAAGAAAAACUCAGCUACUAGACAAUAUGGUGGAUAAUCCAUAUCACAAACAACAGCAGAGGGUUCAUCCAAGACCCAUCUAUCAAACCAAAAAUCUAUCAUUCUCUACUCUACGCACCAAUCGAUAUUCACUUCAGCAACUCCUUUAAUGUAAAACAAAUGUUUUCAAACAACUUAACCCACGCAAGAUUGAACUUGCGUUGGAUGAAGAGCAUGAAGAUAUUUCCGCUACGUAAACUUUGCUUAAACUGUUUUUUUUUUCUAAAAUUCUAUCGUAGCUUAAUACUGAAAGCAUGGAUCUAAUCCCUUGACUUUCUCUACUAGAAAACGUAAGUUUUCCCAAGAAGACCAGUGAAUAUGCCUCGAAUUAUCUUUAACAUCUGACAGAAAGCUAUUAUACGUACAUUCAAUAGUUCUAACCACCACUUUUGGAGGAGAUAGCACUUGCAACAAGUACAUAAGAAUUUAAGAAGGGACAUGUUUCAGUAUAAUUAUUUUCCCACUAGCUGAUAAGAAUUUAGAAUGCCAACCAGAAUUCUCCCUCUGAUUUUCGAUACAAUGCUUCAAACAUUACUCUCUUUGAUCUACUCUCAUAUAAAGAAACUACCAAAUAGGAAAAGGGGAGACAUUGAAGUUGAAAUCCCAAAUAGAACAUACCAUACACAUCUAGCAGUCAAGAUCUUAUCGGAACAAAUAAAUAAGCUAUUUGCAACCUUGAUCCACUGAUCAGAUUAGUAGUGAGAAAGAAAGUACUUUAUCGCCUUCAAACACCUCUUCAAGCAAUGUGUAAAAAUGAUUGUAUCAUUAGCAAAAGCAAGAUGCAAAACUUGACCUCCUGAUAAUGUAAAAAACAUCCUCCUCCCAUUUUCAAAUAAAUCAAUCAAUCCAUGACCAAGAUAUUCAGCAGCUAUCACAAAUAAAGUUGGUGAUAAUGGAUCUCCUUGACGACGAACACCACGAAAGGACUUUAAGAAUCCCACAACUCCACUAUUUAAACUAAAUGAAAACCAAUUGUUGGAGACAAUGCGAAACACAAGAUCAUUCUUGUAUUCGCUAAACCAGAAAUCUCAAUAUUUGCAUAAUGAGAGACCAAUUCGCCUAAUCAUAUGCUUUCUCUUAACACAUUCAGUUCCUGGAGUUUCUUAUCAAUCUCAGCCACAAGCUCUUGAGCUAACAACAUGAAAUCAUUAAUUCGUCUUCCCAGAAGAAAUCCCGUCUGCAAUGGGGACAGAAAGAUAAUUUAUGGGAGAAUUGUUGGGUUUGUGAGUCCAACCCAUUUGUUGGGCCAAGUCACAAUUAGAGCCCAAAGCCCAUGGUCAUUUGGUUUCCGAGUCAAUAUUUGACUUGAGAUUAUAGGAAGUGACUAGUCAAUUAACUAAAACUUGAAGUCGCACAAAAGGGAAUAAAUAUCAACCUAUGAGAUUAAUUGCAACGUUAUUAAACUCGAACGGGAUAGCGACUUGGCUAAACUAUUGAAUCAAGGGUCAACUAGUCGGAUCGGUUGGACCGCUUUUAAAAACCCGCUCAUGUCAACAUGUCGUCAUAGUUAUUUUAUUUUUUUUUAUAAAUUAUAGAAAUAUAGAAAUUAACUUCUUAGUUAUAUUCGAUCAAUCAUAGAAAAUGUUCCAAAAAUAUUAGACUUGCAAUCAAAUAUACACCUAAUAAUUAUAUAUAAAAAUGUAAAUUCAUGGCUAAAAUAUGUCCAUUCUCCAAAACUACUUGAAAAACUAAAUUAAAACAAAUUAAUGCAAGUUGGAAUCACUGAUGCUAAAAUGAUAAGAUCAUAUGGAUGAAAACAUUUUGAUUUAGAGAUCAUUCAGGAAAGGGAAUGAUUUUUGUAUUUACACUAAGUGGAUGGCGUUUUCUUAUUCCUAUUAAUAAAUAAGACUCAAAUUAUGUUUGGGAAAAAGAAGCAAGAAAAGUUUGAAAAUUAGGUCAAUCAGUUGAACCGGGUCACUGGUUUAGUCAAUUUUUGACGGUUUUGACCAAAGCGAUUUUGUACUACAAACUAGCUCGGAAAGAUGGUCGAUUCAUAGUCGGACAGGUUGUCAGGACAGAAGAAAUAAGCUAAAUUUAAGAAUACUUUGUAACGGUGACGUUUGGGGAAUAAUUGUAGUGCAGCGAUGACGUUUUGUGAAAUGUUAGUAAUAAAAAGGGAUAAGUGGAACGGUGUCGUAUGAAAGGCUGAGUUAGUUAGAACAGUCACGUGGGUUGUGACAGAAAUUGGGUAGCGGUAGUUAAUUCAUCCUAUUUGUACACGUUUGAUUGGCUAAAGAGGCAUCAGAGAAUAACAAUUGCAUUUUCCCUCUUUUCCUACUUUCUCUUUCUACUCCCCUUACUCUCUGCAACUUCUUUUCAAUCUUCUCUCUCACGAAGCUCUUCUGAGCUUCUCUCCUUUCUCCAAUUCAGGGAUAUGGUCGUAGGAGCCUGACAAGUGAUAUCAGAGCUUGUCGAAUCCUUGGAAUUGAACAGCAAUGGCGGAGAGUACCAGAUUCAAGACUCUGGAAGAACAGAUCAAGAAAUAAGAUUCCAAGCUCCAGGAGGUAAUAGAAAGUCUGUAGGCUUCGCACCACCAACAACAGCAGCUUCGCGAGGAGCUGCGAACAGAACUCGAGGAGAACAACCAGAAAAUGGAAGGUCUGGUAAUAAGAUUGAAACAAGAGUUCAGCGCCUUCAUGAAGAUGAUGCUGGAAAGAGAGAAACUGAAUUAUGAACCAGGAAGAACCCUGAGUGAUCAACCACCUCUGCUGCCAACACCACCGCCUAGUCAGAGGCUGCAAGUUGGACUCGAAGGUAUCAAGAUUGGGAGGAGAGAAACAAACAAGGCACUGAUUCCAAAUCCCCCAAAAAUUGACUUGCCUCUAUUCGCUGGGGAAAGUCCAAGGGAAUGGAUCAGGAAGUGCAACAAGUAUUGCAUAAACUACCAAAUUCCUAAGGAACAGAAGGUAAAGGUGAUCGAGAUGUACUUGGAAGGGAAGGCGGGCAGGUGGUUCCAGGGAGUUAAGGCGGAGAAACCUGAAAUCACGUGGCCAAUGUUUGAAGAAUUAUUGGGCAAAAGGUUCGAUAACAAGGCAGGUAAGGAUAUUGUGGAGGAAUUUAACAAAUUGCACCAGACAGGGAAGGUGGAGGAGUAUCAGGAAAGGUUUGAGGAGCUCAAGGUCCUCAUGACAAUGAAGAAUCCGCAUCUGAGUGAAGAAUAUUUUGUAUCCAGCUUUAUCAGUGGAUUGAAAGAUGAAAUCAAGACUAUGAUCAAAAUGUUGAGGCCUACCUCUCUGUCCGAGACUUUUGAAUUAGCAGUAUUGCAGGAGAAUGCACUGAACCUUGUGAGGGCCUCAAAAUUUAUUAUUUUAAUAAGAAUAUUAUUAUUACUAUUUCAUUUAUUUAUUUUAUUGUUUUAUUUAUUUUAUAUAUAUAUUUUUUGAAAAGUUAAAUAAUAAAUGUGAAUACAAUUAUAUUAUGUAUUUAUAUAAAAUUACAUGAUCUUUAUGUGCAUAGUUCGCAUUUUCAUAAUUAAAUUAUUUUCAUUCGAACAAAAUUCCAAUGUUUGACUGACUAGUGCUAAGUUCAGUUUUUAAGCCGUGUCGAGGAAUUUAACUUUGGUGAAAGAUUAGUCUAUGAGUAGCUUUAAAAGAAUUAUAAAUGAGAUAGAACUAAGAUAGAUAAGAAAAGUGUAGUGGACAAAUUUAAGUGGAACAUAAGCAUUGGUCAAAGUUGGACAAUUUCCGCUAAAACUAAGUUUUAAUCUUGCCAUUGUUUCUUCCAUUUAAUUUCCUCCAAUUCACUUCAAUUUCUUUUCCUUUCUUCCUUAUUAUAGUCGAGAAUCCCCCUCCCUCAUUAGCCAAGAUAAUCACUUUCAUUCCCACUAAAUUUACUCUUAAGACAUUAAUAUGUAAGAGGGGACAUGAUCCUUAAAAUAGGGCUUUAAGUCCUAUCCUUCUCUUCCCAAUAUAAUGCUCCCAAUUUUUCAAACAUUUCAUUCCUUUUCUUCUUCCCUUAUCAGCCGACCACCCUCACACACUCUCUCCCUCUUUCUAGCCAAAGCUCUAUCUUCUUCUUCCUCAACUCAAACUCCAUGACCAACCAACUUCUAGCUUCACUCCAUCUCCUAUUUUUUUUUCUUGUUGUUCUAGCCGAGAGAAUGAGAGGGAGAAACCGAGAGGAGCUCUUUGUGGUGGCUGGCCAGAUUCUUGGAGAAGGAAAGAGAUCUCUUCGUGGUGAAGAUUGGACAUCCUAGCCUUGGGAAAAUCAGCUAGAACCUGAGGUAGUUCUCUAACCCAAAAGCUAGAGCUUUCAUGUUAUCUCUUGAAGAGUGAAUCUUGAAACUUCAUUGGGUUGAAUUCUUGUUGGAUUUGGUUAAUGUACGGGUUCUUGGGAUUCCCACAAAUGUAUGAUCUUGGUUGCUAGCAUGAUUUUUGAUUGGUAUAUGUGUGAAUAUUUGGAGUUGUGGCUUGAACUUUGGAAGGGAAGAACCUUAACAGAAAUCGGGAGAAAGAGGGGGAGAGAGAGAGAGGGGGGACCAAAAUGGUUUCUGUUUUCUCUAUUUUUCUUGGCUGUGUUUUCACAAAUUUAAAGAUUGAUUUGGGAGCUAAAAAUUUAAGCUUUAAGCUGUCAUUUUCUCUUACAAAAAAAAAAAAAAAACCCCUUCAAAUGGCGUUGCAAAAUGGUUCCAAAAGAAGGUUUCAAACCUGGAAAUUUCAAAUGAGAGUACGGUCCGAAAUUUCUGUGAUUAUUCGAAAAUGUUUGGGGCUCAAUUAGCCUUAGCACAUAACAUGAAAGUUGUAGAGAAUUGAGUUUAAAUUAUGCCUGUAAAGUUUCAGCUCAAUCGGAGCUGGGUAUCCUGUGAAAUGACAAAAUUGCCCCUGCUACCCUGUUUCUAUCAGAAAUGAUAAUCAGCCUCUGUAAUUGGUUAGUUUGACCGGGAAUAUUACUGAAUUGGUUGUCAAUGUCUUCUUAAGAAUUGUAGCCUUGUAUCUUAGCUUUGAAAUGGCUUUGGAAUCACCUGAAUCGGAGUUGUGUGUGCUGAGUUAAGAUUAACUGAAUCAGGACUAUCAGUAAUUGUGUCAGUGAGAAUUGAACCAAGAAACUUGGGCUAUUUCGGUAAAUUUGAUCUAGUUAGGGUGAGAACUGGGUUGAGAUGUCUUCACAAGAAUGGUAGAUCUAUGUCUUAGCUUCGAAACGGUAUAUUUUUUGUUUCAAUCCGAUAAGUGUAGCUCGAGUUGUGCUUAAAUUCCUAAAAGGAUUUGGUAAAUGGAUUUACGAACUGUACUUUCUUAUUAGGUGAGUGUGUACGUUAUCACACUCGCCAAAGGACAUGUGACUUUUCACUAUUUGAGUGACCUAUUUACCAAUGUGUUUAUGUGGUCAAUGUGGUUACUGGACGCUUGGUUUGAGGUGAUUAUUGUGAUUAUUGUGGCUGAACCCCUUGAGCAUUUGUUCGGGGUGACUAGCUUGAGGAUUUUAAUUGCUUUCUUGUUUUUGGCUUGAUGAUAGGUAGAGGUCUGGAGGUAUAUUGAGCUUUAGAUGCAUAUAUGUGAUAAAUCUUGCUUUAUUACAUGUUUGGCUUGUUAAUUAUUGCCAGAUAUUCCUUUAUUUGGAUAGAUGAACUUGUGUGUGUUUAAGUAUAGCAAGAGGAAAAAUUUUUGUUUUGAAUCUUUCAUGUUGGCCGAAAUUUUUGGGACAAAAUUUCAGAUUUUUGGAGCUUUUAUUUGAGUUAAAGUUGUGCCAAAAUAAUGGAUUCUAAGUGUAUUUGGGUUGAUUAAACCGAUUGGCUCUUCAAAGGAAAAAAAAGGAGUGAACUUGCUAAAGUGAAAACUGGAAAUCUGCUUUCUGGAACAACAGACCAGUUUCGGAAAAAAAAGUUAUAUUUUCAUGUAUACCACUCCAAAUCGAGUCCCAUUUGUUUUUUUUUUUUGAAACUAGACACAUAAGGUUACAAAUCAUGUAAAUUUCAGGGGCUAACUCAUUUUCUGUGAUUUUUGGUGUUUUUUUAAAGUCCGUUGGAAAAACGGAAUUUUACCUGCCCUGCAUUUUACUGUAGCAGUCUAUUGACGGAAACACUGGGCAAAAUUCGUAUGGAAUGUCAUCAAGGUGUCUUCUACAAAGUUUUAGCCCUUUCAAUUAGGUUUCCAACGGUAUCAACUAUGCAAAUUUUGGACUCGUAAAUAUUAAGUUACGAUUUUCUAAAGAUUUCUACCAUAAACCUCCAGUUUCCUGAUUUUUACAAUAAACAUGAAAACGACUUGAUAUUUUUGCUUGGCCUUGAAUAUGCACGUGAAUGAUCGUGAUUAUACAUGUCUCAGGUGAAUACGAGAACUCCGAAGAACCCGUUUAGCCGCUUAACUUUUUCUCUCUCAUGACUUUUGGUGAGUGUCAAAUGCAUGUUAAGUGUUUAAAUGAAAUGUUUCUCGUACUUGCUAGUUCAUGAGGGUAGAGUGUACUUUACCGCCCUUGUCCUCUAUUUCAUGAAAUUGCUUGCUUGAUAAGUGAUAAGUGUUACAUGUGAAUGUAAAUGAAAGUGUUUUCCGUGAGCAUUGAGCAGCAGAAUGUAUCACACCCUUUUAGGGUUGGAGGUACCGCUCAUCCCGUCUCAAUGCUAUGACCAAAUCUUGUCGAUUGGAGAUUCGUCUCAUCGACCCAAAAGUGAAUGGGGGGGGGAUGCCCCAACCCAUUGGCUAGCCUUGUAACUCGAGCCGGCAAGGGCUUGGUCGAGAAACUUGGUGAACCUUAGGCAGUGUUAUAACUUGAUCCAAAUAAGAUGUCUUGCUAGGUAUCCUUGUUAAGUGAUACCACCUACAAGCUUGUUUGGUUACGGAUCCAAGAGGGUGUCAUGGUGGCUGGAGGUAGUAAGUGGAGUUCUACAUGGAUAACUGUAAAAGUUGACGGAGGGUCAACUACCUGAGCUUGGAUAGCGCGUGGAUUAGCUCCUGAGAGCUCUCGUAUCCUUUUAAUUGUGAUUAAAUUCCUUACUUGCUAAAUGUUUCGAAGUUACUUGUUACUCAAGUUAUUGCUUUAUAUUGUGUCUUUGCUCGCAUGCUUGCAUGUUUUUCCCUUGGCCUCAUUGAGCGUCAGCUCACCCCAAUUUGUUUUCCUUAACAGGUUUGGAAGUGGAAGUUCUGAGGCUUAAUUAGUGACAAUCCCUUUGGGUAGAACUAGUCGUUAUCUUUAAUUCUGGGACUCCAUAGUGUAAAACUUAUGAUUAUUUUGGGCUUUCGGUAUUGUAAAAGUACAUUGAAAAUCUUGGAUGUAAUAUAGAAGCAUGAAUUGUUCUUUUAUAUUUUAGAGUACAUGAAUGUUUUAGUGGAGUAUUUCAUGUGAUAUUGGAGUUUAAUUUGUAAUUUACUUGAAGAUUGUAGUGAGUCCCGGCGAGAGUUGGGCAGGCGGUCUGCCGAACCCUUUGGUUCGCCUUAGGGGGAGGUGGGGUCGUCAUAGUUGGUAUCAGAGCUCUAGGUUUCAGAUCUCUGUAGUGUAUCCUAAGUUCUAAAAGUUGAGGAUGCCACACAGUGGGAUUCGGGUUCGUUUGAAUGUUAAGUGAAAAAGUGAAGUAGUGAGCAAUUGUGGUUUCGAUGGUUAUUAAGAUUCAAUAAUUGAGGAUUAUUGUGCUAGACUAGCAAGAGAGAAGAAGAUUGUAAGAGAUUAAACACUAUUUAAAAGAUAGUAAGUAAAUUUCUUGAAUAAUGGCAUUUGCUAGGAGGCGUUCUUGAUUUAAGGACUUAUGGGGAAAUAAAUGAUUAAUUUGUUUGGGAUAACCUUUAGUGCUUGAUCGUUGCCACUAGAUAUAUUUUAGAGUUGAUAUACCUUGUUCUUGCCUUGGGAACAUGACUGCAAUUAUGUCUUGGAAUUUGGAAGGCCUACCUUUUGUAGUACCUAGUUAAGUAUGUGGUGACUCGUGCUUGUUAAAGGAUAGAUAUUAUGAUGGAAUGCGGAACUUUAAUUGAAAAGAUAGUUGAUGUAGCUCUAAUGUUCAAAAUGAGGUUGGCCUUACCUAAGGGAAUUAAGCCCCCUCGCUCAGUUGCAAGCUAGACUAUGGAGCACGACCUUUUAUACCUUUUGUUUAUGAUAGUUGGGGUGAUGCUUGUGCUUUGGCCUGUAUAUUUUGUUAAGCAUGAUAUUUGUUCCCUUUUGAAGUAUUUGAAUGCUAUAAAUUCUAUACCUGAUCAUGUUGACUUGUUAAUUUGUUUGGUAGUACACAUGCAAAGUUUUAUUUUCAUUAUCGACUCAUGCAAUGACAUGCUCUCAUUUUGGUUGAUUGUUCUCCCUCUUGUAUGACCUUGUUCAUAAAAAAAAAAUUUGAUUUGUAUGUCAUCUGAUCUAUUGACUGUUCCUGUGAAAAUAUGAAGUGUGCUUUGAUUGCUUUUCAAGUUUUAAAUUCCAUUUUUCCUUCAUUGGACAUAUUUAGAUUUAUAUAUUUAUAUAUUUAUUCAUUUACUAGAGUUAUCCAUCUAUUAGUUAUUUAUUUAUUUAUUAUUUUUGGUCCUCCGUAAGAAUUAGAAAUAAAGGGUAGAAAGGAUCGAGACUGUGGGCCAGAGGGGCCAGGCAAACCCCAAAGCGUGGAAGAUAAUUGGGAAAUAAAGUUGAGGGUUAGUGAAUGAUGACAAAGAGAUAACUAGUGGAGUAUAUAUUGAAUUAUUAUAAUUAAAGAAAAAAAAAAGAGUAACUGCAAGGAGGUAAACUAGUGGAUAAGAUAAGCUGUUAUUAAGAAGUUUCAUUUAGUGCGAGUGUGACAAAAUUUAUGGUAAACUUUGGAGAUCUAAGACUUGUUAUAAUUAGGGUUGGAGUUUUGGAUGAGAUAGGUGUUUGAACUCAUUAGAUUUACAAGUUUAUGGUUAAAUUCAAUGAUUCCCGGUUAAUUGAGCUUGGGUUAUGGAAGAUAUUCCUUGGACUUUGAUUACUAGGCUAGAUGCCUCGGGAAUUCUCUAUGCUUCAUAGUGUAAAAUUGUGGUGAAUCUUGGCGGAUAAGAUAAGAGAGCUUGAUAUAUGUUGAUUAUUGGAUAUUGUGGUUAAUUCAUGAGAUUGAUGAAUUAUAAUAGGAAAGUGAUGAUAGGAUCGGUGAAAAUUUUUGGUAGUAUCUCUGCUGGCCGAACAUGUUUAGUUACCUUUAGCCCUGUUUUCUUACAAAUCAUUGGCAAAAUUUUGCUUAAUAUUUUAAACGUUGAUUCUUGAAAAUGAAAUUUGAAGUUGAAAGGAAAUAAUUUUUAAACCUGGUUUUGCUAAAAAUUUUUCCAAAAAGGAACACCGUACAGUUUUAAAAUUUGUGAUGCAUUGGUGUAAUAUAUAUAUAUAUAUAUACACAUAUAUACAUAUACAUAUAUCAUAAAAAAAAUCCAAAAUUUAGUUUCGUUUAUUAGAUUUAAAAGUUGACAAUGGCUCUUUUCACCGUGUAAAAUUUUCAAAUUUUCUUAAAUUCUAUGAGCAUCGGAAAUUUUCCUACGAUAAAUGAAAUGUCAAAUCCAUUCUUGCUUUUCCUAUUUGUUAAAGCUGUAGUUUAAGGUCAAGAUCCAUUUAUUUACAAAUUUAAUCUUGAAAGGAUGCCUUUUGGGACAAAUGUAGAACUUUUGAAUGGUAUAGGACUGGUGAUUUUUGGAUUUAUGGAACUUAAAAAUACAGACAAUUUUAGUUUGAAAUAAAAGUGUCCUUUUAAACCUUACGACCUUAAAUAUGAAAAUAUUGAUCCGAUUUGAACUUGAAAAGAGACACGAGAAAAAGUUAAGAUUAACUCGUCAAAGGAUAUUAAUGGUUCGAAACCGUUAAAAGAGUUAUACAGAUAAUAGAAGGAGAGAUUGAUAGAUAGUUUUGUAUAAUCCAAUGGGAUCCUAGUACUUGAUCUAAGUCGAAACCGAACGAGGAGAUGAGAUCUAUUGGUAUUUUGAUGGAUUGACCUAGUUGAGUAACUAGUAAGGUUCUCCCUUGUGAACUUAAUGAUUACUUUACAUAUAUCUUGUGAUUGGCCCUAUAGGCAUGUUUUAAACUUGUACGAAUAUUUGAACUUCCAAGUUUUGUAUUCAUUAUUUGUGGUGUGACCUGGAUGGAAUGAAAGUCCUUUCAAUUUUUGCUUAACCAUUACUGUGUAUAUAUCCAAUUACUUGUUGUUCCUUUUUACAAAAAAAAAAAUAUUUAUACAAAUGUAUAUACUCUGAACUCGCAUAAAAAUUGAAAAUCAGGCAGAGUUUGGGUUUGGACCUUUUCUUAGAAAUAAGAAUGAAUAUUGGUCGUGAAUUGGAGAGUAAAUAGUUAAGUUUUAUGUGGCAUAAAAGCUAAUUCUCAGAUUAGGUGUGAAGAGUAGAGGCGUUGGACCGAAGUUUAAGUAAAUAUGAACCUGCAUGUCUGCUUAUUUUCUUAAAAGCAUUUUAUUCUCAAAAGUGAUUUGUGGGGUUAAAUGAUUUUUCUUGAUCAAACGUCCAAAUAACAAAUGUUAAACUUCUUACCAAAAGUCGAAUGCAUUUAGAAAUUUUGACUAUCAAGAUCAGAACCAAUUUCUUUUCUUCUUGUCUUCCAUUCGAAUAGCCAUUUUAUUUAUAUAUAUAUAGACCACAAUUUUUCCAAAUGUGUAUUUGAUAUCCUGUUAUUAGUUUGGUUACGAAAGGUACGUGAAAAAGCUUUCCUCGAACAAAUAAGAUUUUCAGUUGGCCGUUUUGGGACAAAAGAAACUGGAUCAUUUCUAAAAUUGUUAAUUUUGAAAAUCGAAUACUAGUAAAUAAUUUUGGACAAUUUGAGUACAACCAUUUGGUGAGUGAAACCUUUUAUAGAAAAUAUAUCUUUGUACUCGAGUUUUGAACUACAUGAUUGAGUCAUUUGAUUUAGUCGAGAAAAAACAAAGUAAAUUUCGAGGACGAAAUUAUUUUAAGGAGGGAAGGAUAUGAGGGCCUCAAAAUUUAUUAUUUUAAUAUUAUUAUUAUUAUUACUAUUUCAUUUAUUUAUUUUAUUGUUUUAUUUAUUUUAUAUAUAUAUUUUUUGAAAAGUUAAAUAAUAAAUGUGAAAAUAACUAUAUUAUGUAUUUAUAUAAAAUUACAUGAUCUUUAUGUGCAUAGUUCACAUUUUCAUAAUUAAAUGAUUUUCAUUCGAACAAAAUUCAAAUGUUUGACCGACUAGUGCUAAGUUUAGUUUUUGAGCCGUGUCGAGGAAUUUAACUUUGGUGAAAGAUUAGUCUAUGAGUAGCUUUUAAAGAAUUAUAAAUGAGAUAGAACUAAGAUAGAUAAGAAAAGUGUAGUGGACAAAUUUAAGUGGAACAUAAGCAUUGGUCAAAGUUGGACAAUUUCCGCUAAAACUAAGUUUUAAUCUUGCCAUUGUUUCUUCCAUUUAAUUUCCUCCAAUUCACUUCAAUUUCUUUUCCUUUCUUCCUUAUUAUAGUCGAGAAUCCCCCUCCCUCAUUAGCCAAGAUAAUCACUUUCAUCCCCACUAAAUUUACUCUUAAGACAUUAAUAUGUAAGAUGGGACAUGAUCCUUAAAAUAGGGCUUUAAGUCCUAUCCUUCUCUUCCCAAUAUAAUGCUAUCAAUUUUUCAAACCUUUAAUUCCUUUUCUUCUUCCCUUAUCAGCCGACCACCCUCACACACUCUCUCCCUCUUUCCAGCCAAAGCUCUAUCUUCUUCUUCCUCAACUCAAACUCCAUGACCAACCAACUUCUAGCUUCACUCCAUCUCCUUUUUUUUUUUUUGUUGUUCUAGCCGAGAGAAUGAGAGGGAGAAACCGAGAGGAGCUCUUUGUGGUGGCUGGCCAGAUUCUUGGAGAAGGAAAGAGAUCUCUUCGUGGUGAAGAUUGGACAUCCUAGCCUUGGGAAAAUCAGUUAGAACCUGAGGUAGUUCUCUAACCCAAAAGCUAGAGCUUUCAUGUUAUCUCUUGAAGAGUGAAUCUUGAAACUUCAUUGGGUUGAAUUCUUGUUGGAUUUGGUUAAUGUACGGGCUCUUGGGAUUCCCACAAAUGGAUGAUCUUUGUUGCUAGCAUGAUUUUUGAUUGGUAUAUGUGUGAAUAUUUGGAGUUGUGGCUUGAACUUUGGAAGGGAAGAACCUUAACAGAAAUCGGGAGAAAGAGGGGGAGAGAGAGAGAGGGGGGACCAAAAUGGUUUCUGUUUUCUCUAUUUUUCUUGGCUGUGUUUUCACAAAUUUAAAGAUUGAUUUGGGAGCUAAAAAUUUAAGCUUUAAGCUGUCAUUUUCUCUUACAAAAAAAAAAAAAAAACCCCUUCAAAUGGCGUUGCAAAAUGGUUCCAAAAGAAGGUUUCAAACCUGGAAAUUUCAAAUGAGAGUACGGUCCGAAAUUUCUGUGAUUAUUCGAAAAUGUUUGGGGCUCAAUUAGCCUUAGCACAUAACAUGAAAGUUGUAGAGAAUUGAGUUUAAAUUAUGCCUGUAAAGUUUCAGCUCAAUCGGAGCUGGGUAUCCUGUGAAAUGACAAAAUUGCCCCUGCUACCCUGUUUCUAUCAGAAAUGAUAAUCAGCCUCUGUAAUUGGUUAGUUUGACCGGGAAUAUUACUGAAUUGGUUGUCAAUGUCUUCUUAAGAAUUGUAGCCUUGUAUCUUAGCUUUGAAAUGGCUUUGGAAUCACCUGAAUCGGAGUUGUGUGUGCUGAGUUAAGAUUAACUGAAUCAGGACUAUCAGUAAUUGUGUCAGUGAGAAUUGAACCAAGAAACUUGGGCUAUUUCGGUAAAUUUGAUCUAGUUAGGGUGAGAACUGGGUUGAGAUGUCUUCACAAGAAUGGUAGAUCUAUGUCUUAGCUUCGAAACGGUAUAUUUUUUGUUUCAAUCCGAUAAGUGUAGCUCGAGUUGUGCUUAAAUUCCUAAAAGGAUUUGGUAAAUGGAUUUACGAACUGUACUUUCUUAUUAGGUGAGUGUGUACGUUAUCACACUCGCCAAAGGACAUGUGACUUUUCACUAUUUGAGUGACCUAUUUACGAAUGUGUUUAUGUGGUCAAUGUGGUUACUGGACGCUUGGUUUGAGGUGAUUAUUGUGAUUAUUGUGGCUGAACCCCUUGAGCAUUUGUUCGGGGUGACUAGCUUGAGGAUUUUAAUUGCUUUCUUGUUUUUGGCUUGAUGAUAGGUAGAGGUCUGGAGGUAUAUUGAGCUUUAGAUGCAUAUAUGUGAUAAAUCUUGCUUUAUUACAUGUUUGGCUUGUUAAUUAUUGCCAGAUAUUCCUUAAUUUGGAUAGAUGAACUUGUGUGUGUUUAAGUAUAGCAAGAGGAAAAAUUUUUGUUUUGAAUCUUUCAUGUUGGCCGAAAUUUUUGGGACAAAAUUUCAGAUUUUUGGAGCUUUUAUUUGAGUUAAAGUUGUGCCAAAAUAAUGGAUUUUAAGUGUAUUUGGGUUGAUUAAACCGAUUGGCUCUUCAAAGGAAAAAAAAGGAGUGAACUUGCUAAAGUGAAAACUGGAAAUCUGCUUUCUGGAAUAUCAGACCAGUUUCGGAAAAAAAAAAGUUAUAUUUUCAUGUAUACCACUCCAAAUCGAGUCCCAUCUGUUUUUUUUUUUAAACUAGACACAUAAGGUUACAAACCAUGUAAAUUUCAGGAGCUAACUCAUUUUCUGUGAUUUUUGGUGUUUUUUUAAAGUUCGUUGGAAAAAUGGAAUUUUACCUGCCCUGCAUUUUACUGUAGCAGUCUAUUGACGGAAACACUGGGCAAAAUCCGUAUGGAAUCUCAUCAAGGUGUCUUCUACAAAGUUUUAGUCCUUUCAAUUAGGUUUCCAACGGUAUCAACUAUGCAAAUUUUGGACUCGUAAAUAUUAAGUUACGAUUUUCUAAAGAUUUCUACCAUAAACCUCCAGUUUCCUGAUUUUUACAAUAAACAUGAAAACGACUUGAUAUUUUUGCUUGGCCUUGAAUAUGCACGUGAAUGAUCGUGAUUAUACAUGUCUCAGGUGAAUACGAGGACUCCGAAGAACCCGUUUAGCCGCUUAACUUUUUCUCUCUCAUGACUUUUGGUGAGUGUCAAGUGCAUGUUAAGUGUUUAAAUGAAAUGUUUCUCGUACUUGCUAGUUAAUGAGGGUAGGGUGUACUUUACCGCCCUUGUCCUCUCUUUCAUGAAAUUACUUGCUUGAUAAGUGAUAAGUUUUAUAUGUGAAUGUAAAUGAAAGUGUUUUCCGUGAGCAUUGAGCGGCAGAAUGUAUCACGCCCUUUUAGGGUGGGAGGUACCGCUCAUCCCAUCUCAAUGCUAUGACCAAAUCUUGUCGAUUGGAGCUUCGUCUCAUCGACCCAAAAGUGAAUGGGGGGGGGGACGCCCCAACCCAUUGGCUAGCCUUGUAACUCGAGCCGGCAAGGGUUUGGUCGAGAAACUUGGUGAACCUUGGGCAGUGUUAUAGCUUGAUCCAAAUAAGGGGUCUUGCUAGGUAUACUUGUUAAGUGAUACCACCUACAUGCUUGUUUGGUUACGGAUCCAAGAGGGUGUCAUGGUGGCUGGAGGUAGUAAGUGGAGUUCUACAUGGAUAACUGUGAAAGUUGACGGAGGGUCAACUACCUGAGCUUGGAUCGCGCGUGGAUUAGCUCCUGAGAGCUCCCGUAUCUUUUUAAUUGUGAUUAAAUUCCUUACUUGCUAAAUGUUUCGAAUUUACUUGUUACUCAAGUUAUUGCUUUAUAUUGUGUCUUUGCUCGCAUGCUUGCAUGUUUUUCCCUUGGCCUCCCUGAGCGUUUACUCACCCCAAUUUGUUUUCCUUAACAGGUUUGGAAGUGGAAGUUCUGAGGCUUAAUUAGUGACAAUCCCUUUGGGUAGAACUAGUCGUUAUCUUUAAUUCUGGGACUCCAUAGUAUAAAACUUAUGAUUAUUUUGGGCUUUCGGUAUUGUAAAAGUACAUUGAAAAUCUUGGAUGUAAUAUUUAAGCAUGAAUCGUUCUUUUAUAUUUUAGAGUACAUGAAUGUUUUAGUGGAGUAUUUCAUGUGAUAUUGGAGUUUAAUUUGUUAUUUACUUGAAGAUUGUAGUGAGUCCCGGCGAGAGUUGGGCAGGCGGUCUGUCGAACCCUUUGGUUCGCCUUAGGGGGAGGUGGGGUCGUCACAAACUUACAGUCCAGAAAUUCUAAGGAAAAUGUAAGGACUACCUCAGAGAACAGGUUUGGAAUCUCUAAAAGUUCAUCUCAGCAGUUGAACCACAUUUCACACUACAAAGUAUCCCCUAUUAGUUCAUUCAGAAAUACUCAUUUCAAAGGUAGACCUGUUUCAACUACUGAAGCAGAACCUAGAAGAAUUUCAGCACAAGAAAUACAAUAUAGAAGGAACCAUGGCCUAUGCUUCAAGUGUGGAGAGAAGUUUGGGCAGGGACAUCAAUGCAAACUGGGCCAUCUGAACUUCCUGAUCAAUGAUGAGGGAGAAGAAUCUGAAUUCGAAGAUGCACUGGGAGAGCAGGAUGAAACCACAGGGAAUCCAGGGCAGAUCAUGGAGAUGUCCUUACACACACUGUCCGAGGCACUUAAACGAAAAACAAUCACACUGGUAGGAAGACUAGAUGGGGAAGAGAUGCUGAUACUGGUAGACACAGGCAGUUCUGAUAGUUACAUAAGCAGUGAGAAGGUAAUUGCCUUUGAUAUUCCUUAUAAAUUAGUCAAUCCUUUUUCUGUGGUUUUUGGGAAUGGGGCUUGUGUAACCAGCAAGGCCAUAUGUCCUAAGGUGGUAUGGGGAAUUAAUCAGCAUAGGUUCUGUUAUGACCUCAAAGUGAUGGAUCUAAGUGGAUGGGACAUAGUGCUUGGGGUGGACUGGAUGACUCAGUUCAGCCCUAUCACUUUUGAUUUCCACAAGCUGACUAUCUUCUUGCAAGAUCAAGGGGAAGCAGUGCACUUGCAUGGCCAAGCUGAAGACUGUGACUUAGAUCUAAUCAGAGGAGGCGACCUGAGGACAUUCAUUGAAUACAAGAGACAGUUGUGCAUGUCCAUGAGAUUGGGACAGGGUGAUCUGAUGCAGGGAAAUGACAUUCCUGCAGGAGUCCAGGGCAUCAUUGAAGAAUUUACAGAUGUGUUUGUAGCACCCUCUGAGUUACCACCAGCAAGAAGUAUAGAUCAUGAGAUACCACUAAAACCUGAGGUUCAACCCUUCAAGAUGAAGCCGUACAGAUACCCUCACUCCCAAAAGAGGGAAAUUGAACAACAGGUUAAGGAUAUGUUGCAGCAUGGAAUCAUAGUGCACAGUAACAAUCCUUUUGCCUCCCCAGUUCUGCUUGUCAAGAAGAAGGAAGGGACCUGGCAUUUUUGUGUAGACUACAGGAGACUGAACGAGAUGACCAUCAAGGACAGGUACCCCAUACCUAAUGUAGACGAACUGAUCAAUGAGCUAGCAGGAUCCAAAUACAAAUCAAAGUUGGACCUCACUUCAGGCUACCACCAAAUCAGGGUCAAGCCUAAGGAUACAUACAAAACUGCAUUUCAAACACACUGUGGCCACUAUGAGUUCUUGGUAAUGCCUUUUGUGUUAAGAAACGCUCCAGCCACAUUUCAGUCCCUCAUGAAUCAGAUAUUCCAGCCUUACCUGAGAAAAUUUGUUCUAGUUUUUUUUGAUGAUAUCCUAAUCUAUAGUCCUACAUUAGAGCUACACCAGCAACAUCUGAGGAUAGUCUUGACAGUAUUGAGGGAACAUAAGUUGUUUGUAAAACGUUCCAAGUGCUCGUUUGCACAGUCAACAGUGGACUACCUUCGUCACACUAUCAGAGAGAGUGAUUCAAGAAUAACCACACAAUGAAACGUAAUUUACCACAAACUUCAGAUACCAAAAGUAAUCAUGAAAUGCUUCAUGAUCCAAUCAACGCGAGAAUAAGUAAUUUUGACAGAAUAAUUAUUGACUUUCUUCAUCUCUUUAGUAUUAUUUAUUUUUCCAAUUUAUUGUUUAGAACAAAAAAAAAUAAGUCAAUUCAAGAUAUGAACAUAUGAAAGGCUCAACAGCUGGAUAAUACUCAUUAACGACAGAGGCUAUUAAUCCAAAAGGACUAAAAUGGAGUAAACUUUAUAUUCCAAAAGGCAUUUAUGGUGGGGGAAAAAGAUAGAAUCUAAUAUGGCAUUAUACGUCCUUUCAAACCUUAAUAACGAUUACAAAUAAUUCAUAAAGACGCCAAGACUUUUGAAAGGAUUUAGAUUUCGUUGCAAUUUAGCCUUUACUCAUGAAAGGGAUGGUUGGAUAGGAAUUCUGUAGCAUGCCGGUAGCAGCCAUCCAAAAAGAACUAGUCCAUUUGUGCACAAAAUAAAGUGAAUAUAAUGUGUGUGUGUGUGUGUAUUAAAAAGUAAUCAAUUGGGUUAGAUUUGAUGAUUUGUGAUUACAGUGUAAUCUUUUAUAUAUAUUUUGUAACUCUAUUAAAUCUAAUAUUUUUCAAAUCAAAUAUAUCUGUGACAUAUUCAAUGUAUUUUUUGACAUUGGUGCAGAUUACUUUGUUAAACAAAUCGUGCUGGAUGAUGUAAUGGCUGCUUCAGCAAGAAAUGAAGAGGGAGUUAGCAGAAAGGGAAAGAUGGGAGAGAGACUUGAGAGGGAAGAUAGAAAAUGCGGAAAAUGAGAGAACUGAAUUUGUUGUAUCUGAUAGCAUGCCCCUCACGUCUUACCUUUAGGCUUAUUCAUACAGGAUUCAUCCUCUAGAUCCUUCCAUGCCUUAGCUAUAACAGAAUGCUUAACAGAACGAUCACGCAUGCAUGCAUGCAGUGCAGUAACUAACUAGCCAACUAACUCUCUGAUAUGCUAACUGACUUCCAGAAAUGGAAACCAUGGCCACUACAUUAUUAGCUAUAAAUAACUAGGGAAUAUCUAAAAUAUCUAGAGGAAAUAUCCAGAAUAUCUAGGAUCAUUACAAUACCUCCCCCUCAAGAAUCCUAGUCACUAGGAUUGAGUUGGAAAUCUGGAAAUUGUGAUUGUAUCACUGUGAUAUCCUCCCAAGUUGAGUCUUCAGUGCCUAGGUUCAACCAUUUGAUCAACACUUGAGUUACCUUGUGUCUUUUCCUCAUGAUUUCACGAGUAGCAAUAACACUUUCAAGGGCAAUUUUAACCUGUCCAUCCGUAGUAGUCAAAGGUAGUUCUUGAGUAACUACAUGAUUCUUGGCUGAGGGCUUGAGUAAGGAGACAUGGAAGGUAGGGUGAAUCAAGGAGCCAGCAGGUAAUUCCAACCUAUAGGCUGCAUUUCCCACCUUCUAAAGAACUUUGUAGGGUCCAUAAUAUUUUGAAGACAAUUUCAGAUUCUUUUUGACUGCCACAGACGAUUGUCUAUAAGGUUGCAGUUUCAAAUAGACCCAAUCUCCCACUUGGAAACUCCUUUCACUCCUGUCCUUGUCCGCAAACUGUUUCAUUCGAUUUUGUGCUUUGAUUAAAUUCCCCUUCAGCAGCUCGUUCCAUUUUCUUCUGUCCCCUAGCCAUUGCUCCACAGCCGCUACUGGAGUCCCCAAGGCAUUGAUGCCUAGUUGAGAUGGUGGAUAUCCAUACAGAGCCUCGAAGGGAGUCAUUUUUAAGGCUGUGUGAUGGUUGGUGUUGUACCACCAUUCAGCAGCAGCUAGCAAGGACUUCCAUUUAUGGGGUUGCUGGAAACACAGGCACCUCAAAUUUGUCUCCACACAUCUGUUCAACCUUUUUGUCUGUCCAUCUGUUUGGGGAUGGUAAGCAAUAGAGUAGUGCAGCUCCGUGCCUAACUUCCCAAACAACUCCUGCCAGAACAAGCUGGUAAAUAGCCUAUCCCUAUCAGAUACAAUGCUCAGGGGUAAUCCAUGUAGCUUAUAGAUGUUUUCAAAAUACAUGUUAGCCACCGACUGUGCAGUAUACUUCGAUGGUAAUGCUAGGAGGUGAAAGUACUUGGUGAACCUAUCAAUGACAACUAGCAUUCCCUCAUACCCCUGAGAUUUAGGUAACCCCUCAAUGAAAUCCAUUGAAAUAUGCUGCCAUGCUUGUUCAGGAAUAGGUAGAGAUUGUAGCAGUCCUGGUGUCUUGCAAUUUUCUACCUUGCUCCUCUUGCAAACAUCACACUGUUGUACCCAUUGUUCUACUUCUCUUUUCAUUCCUGGCCAGAAGAAUGGUCCCUUUAAUCUUUGGUAGGUCCCCAGGUUGCCUGAAUGACCCCCAAUGAGAGAGUCAUGAAAGCAGGCUAUCAGUUUCUGUCUCAAGUUCCCUGAGGAACCAACGUACAUCCUGCCUUUAUACCUGAGUAAAUUCCCAGCAAAAGAAUAAUUUGGGAGAGAAUCAGGUGAAGUAGUCAGGCCUUCAGUCAACUUAGUCAUAGAACCAUCCCCUUGGUAACUCUCUAGGACUUCAGACAGCCAUGCCGGUUUCAUGACUGAGAUGCUAUGUGUAAAGCUGUCCUCUUCAUAGCAUCUUCUAGACAGUGCAUCAGCCACCAGGUUUUCAUUUCCUUUCUUGUACUAUAUUUCAUAAUCUAGGCCCAAUAACUUAGUGAGCCAUUUCUAUUGUAGGGGAGUAGUUAUCUUCUGUUCCAAUAGGUACUUUAAGCUCUGGUGAUCUGUCUUGAUGAUGAAGUGGCUUCCCAACAGGUAAUGCCUCCACUUGGACACAGCUGUAAUAAGGGACAACAACUCUUUUUCGUAUAUGGACAGUCCCAAAUUCUUAGGUCCCAGAGCUUGACUGAGAUAGGCAAUAGGCCUCUCUUGUUGCAUUAGGACUGCACCAAUAGCCUUCUGACUAGCAUAUGUUUCUAGAGAAAAAGGUAAAGAAAAGUUAGGAAGUGUUAGGACUGGUGUGCUACUCAUCAGCUACUUCAGUUUUUGAAAGGCUAGCUCAGCUUGUUCAUUCCAGUGGAAGUUUUCUUUCUUCAAUAACUCAGUGAGUGGUUUGGCAAUGAGUCCAUAUCCCCUCACAAACCUCCUGUAGUACCCUGUGAGUCCCAAAAAUCCUCUCAAUGCCUUUAGUGAUGUAGGGGUAGGCCAUUCUACCAUGCUCUUGAUUUUUGAGGGAUCUGCCUGCAUUCCAUCUCCACUGAUAAUAUGCCCCAAAUAUUCUAGUUGAGACUGUCCAAAGAUGCAUUUGGAAAGCUUGGCAAAUAGGGAGUGAGCUUUGAGUGUUUCUAGGAAAGUUUUGAGGUGCAAAAGGUGAGUGUCUGGAUCUGAACUGUAUAUGAGGAUGUCAUCAAAGAAAACUAACACAAACUUCCUCAGGUAAGGUUCAAAAACAUGGUUCAUCAGGCUUUGAAAUGUUACAGGUGCAUUGGUAAGACCAAAUGGCAUAACAGUGAACUCAUACAAUCCUAGGUAAGUUUUGAAGGCAGAUUUUGGGAUGUUAGUCUGGAGCAUUCUGAUCUGAUGGUAUCCAGCCCUUAAAUCAAUCUUGGAGAAGAUCUUAGCUCCAAACAGUUCAUCGAGUAAAUCAUCAAUGAUAGGUAUUGAAAAUUUAUCUUUGAUAGUCAGGUCAUUUAGUUGUCUGUAAUCAACACAAAAUCUCCAAGUUCCAUCUUUUUUUAACUAAUAGAACUGGAGAGGCAAACGGGCUAUGGCUAAACUGAAUAAUGCCACUACUGAGCAUGUCCUUCACUUGCCUUUCUAUUUCAUUUUUUUGGUUGUGAGGGUACCUAUAAGAUGCUAGCUUGAAUGGUUUGGCAUUUGGCACUAAGGGAAUUUGAUGGUCAUAGUUUUUGGAAGGGGGAAGGGAUUGUGGUUCUCCAAAUACAUCUUUGUAGUCUUCAAGUAAAGCACUUAGGGACUGUUGAAAACCAAUGUCUAGAUGAGUUACAGUGUUUACCUGAGUUCCCUUCAUUUUCAGUCUGCACGCGUGUUUCCAGAUUCUGGUGCUCAACCCCUCCUUCUCAGUACUAUUACUAGGAAGUUUGAGAACAGUCUCCUUAGACUCUCCAUGUAACAAGAUCCUCUCCCCUUUCUCAUCAAAGGACAUGUUCGGCUGCCUAAAGUCAAAGGUGAUGGGGCUGUGUGCAGCCAUCCAGUCUACUCCUAUAAUCACAUCAUAUGGCUCCAAGUUAAUGACAAACAUAUCAUGAGUGAACUGUUUACCUUGCAUUUCCCUGCUCAUAUUCGGAAUCAUCUUGUGACAAGUCAAGUGCUCCCCAUUAGCCAUCCUGACCCUGAAAGGCUUGAUAGAUUGGACCAGUUCUGGAUAGAGUUGUGCCACUGCCCCUUUGAUAAAAUUGAGUGCUUCCCCCAUCCACCAGGAUUGAUAGUGGAGUUUCUUUGAUCCUCCCCUGUAGCUUGAUGGUGUUGUAAGUCAUCUUCCCAGUCAGCGCAUGUAUCUCCAUUUCUACCCCCUUGGCCGACUGUGCUCCUUGGUACUCGAUCAUCUCCCCUUCUACCAGAUCCUCAGGACUAUCUUCUACUGCUACAAUCAGGUGGAUUUCCUUUUGCUUGCAUUGGUGGCCUGGUCCGAACUUUUCCCCACACCUAUAGCAAAGAUGGUGCUCCCUCCUGUACUGCAGCUCUACUGGUGUGAUUUUCUUGAAGUUCUGAGGAGUCUGUUUCUUUACAACAUUGGCAAUAAUAGGUUUGGUAUGUGGAAUGGUGUACUGCGCAACAGACUGUGGAGUAUUCCCCAAAGAGAGGGAUUUCGGAUGAUGUUUGUGCUUCUUGUGGUAGGCUUCAAAGGCAUUCUCUUGCAACCUGGCCAACUCAAAUGCUUUGGAUAAUGUCUUGGGGUCAUGAGUCUUCACCAUUGAUCUCAAUUCAUCUAGUAGUCUACUCAAAAAACAUGAAAUGUAAUAGUUUUCUGGAAGGUGUGGGGCUCGAAUCAUUACCUCUGAUAGUAGUUCCUCAAAUUUUUCUUGGUAGGCUAGGACUGUGGAGGAGAGUUGUAACUUAUUGAAUUCCUCCAUUGGAUCCAUUUGUCCCAAUGUUCCAAACCGCUUGCACAACUCUCCAGAGAACUCCAUCCAAUCCAUCUUGUUACCCCUAGUAGACUUGAAUCCCUGAUACCACACUUCAGCUUUACCUUCUAAAUGGAAUUCUGUCAGCUCCAUCCAUUGCUCCAUAGGAAUAUGCAGAAGCUGGAAAUACUUCUGAAGUUUUCUGAUCUACUUCCUAGGAUUGUUUCCUCUGAACACUGGUAUUUCCAGCUUAGGUGCACUAGCGUAGAAUGAACUUCUGACAUUCCUCUCUCCUUGCUCUCGAGUCACCAUAUCUGAGCUCCUGGAGUGACUUCCCUCUGGCGAUCCCAAUAUUCCUUUCUCAGGAUUUCCUCGGUUCAAACUGGAGAGCUGUUGAGAAAUGGCUACCAUGAAUGCAUCUAACUUAUUGUUCAGCUCCAUGCUUACUGCAUCCAACCUUUCCUCCAUGAUCUGUUUGUUUGCGGCCAUGGAUUCCAAAAUUCCUUGGAGUCUGCUGUCUUGCUUGCGUAGCUGUUCCUCCAUGGUCUUCAUUCGAGUUUCAUCUGCCAUUGUUAUAUUGAUUUCAGCUUCUUAGUCCAAGGACCGGAAGCUCUGAUACCACUUGUAAUGGCUGCUUCAGCAAGAAAUGAAGAGGGAGUUAGCAGAAAGGGAAAGAGGGGAGAGAGACUUGAGAGGGAAGAUAGAAAAUGCAGAAAAUGAGAGAACUGAAUUUGUUGUAUCUGAUAGCAUGCCCCUCACGUCUUACCUUUAGGCUUAUUUAUACAGGAUUCAUCCUCUAGAUCCUUCCAUUCCUUAGAUAUAACAGAAUGCUUAACAGAACGAUCACGCAUUCAUGCAUGCAGUGCAGUAACUAACUAGCCAACUAACUCUCUGAUAUGCUAACUAAUUAACUUCCAGAAAUGGAAACCAUGCCCACUACAUUAUUAGCUGUAAAUAACUAGGGAAUAUCUAAAAUAUCUAGAGGAAAUAUCUAGAAUAUCUAGGAUCAUUACAGAUGAUUUCUAACUAGUUUAUUAAUAAUAUUGACUUCUUUUUUAUAAAAAAAAAAGUAAUCAAGGAAAAAUGGGGAAUCUAACAGUCUAAUGCUUGCUUGCUUCUUUUUAUUGUUUGAAGUGAUUUUGGUGUCUUGCUAGUUUGUAAUUGAUUCAAGGUGGAUAGAAAGAAAUUGUUCAGAAAUGUGAAAUAGGGUAAGUAUCCCAGUUUGGUUUUGGAUUUUGAAAGUUAUAAAAACGAAAAUGAUGUCAGUGAUCCUCUUCAAUUUUUUAUCACCAACCAAAGCAAUGAUUUUUAAGAAUAAAAAUAACAUUUGAAAUCAAAUCACAAUCUUUAAAGAGAGGAAAUAGAUGGUUGAGGGCGAAAUGGCCAUGGUGAUGAAUUGACAUCAUGGAAAUCAAACUGUGCUUAGUAACGCCAAAACGUCACCAUAACUCACAAAUGAGUGACUAAUGUGAUGCCACAUUAAGGCUUCAAUCUACUAUUACAAGUUUUACUAUGGACUAAAUUGUGUGGUAAAUUUAGUACUACUAAUAUUAAGUUUAUGUUUAAAACAAGUAAAUUUCAAUAAUUUAGGUAACUUACUCUUUAAAUAACAAAUUUUACUAAAAUUUUAACAAAAAUUGCCACUUUUUCUUCGAAACUUACCAUUUUCUAUAUAAAACUUGCUAAUUUUUCAAGUAAAACAUAUGAUUUUAUUAGCAAAUCAUACCACUUUUUUUAGUAAAAUUCACUAAAUGGUAAGUUUUCAAAAAAAAACUUACCAUUUUUAAUGCAAAUCUUACUACUUUUUUCAAGCAAAAUGUAUGAUUUUAUUAACAAAUGUUACCAUAAUUUUCGUAAAGUUUACUAAAUCAUUAACAAAUCUUACCAUCUUUCAAGCAAAACUUAUCAUUUUCUAUACAAAACUUACUACUUUUUGGAGGCAGAACUUAUGACUUGAUUAUUAAAUCUUACCUUUAUUUAGGAAUAAUUUUGGAAACCUCCCCUGAGCUUUAUGCUAAUAUCACAUAACACUUCUAAAUUUUAAAAAUAUCACUAGCCUUCCCUUGAGUCAUAUUUUUUUGUAAGAAUUUGACCCCUAUAUCAAAAAUAAAUACUCCUAACAUAAUUUUUUAAAGGAAAAUAGAUAUAUUUUUCUUCUAGUUUUACACUUUUGUGUUGUCUUAUUUUUUAAUUUUCUGCCAAAUUGAUUUUAAGAUAAGAUUUGAAUGAGAAAGACUUAAAAUGAUUUUUUUUAAGGGGAGAAGGUGUUAAGUGCUAAAGCAAUUGCCAGAAUAGCGAUUUUUUUAUUUUUGGUUUAUCCUAGAUUUUUUCCUAAAUAGUUAUUAGAAUAACAAAGAAAUUAAAUUUAAUAUAAGAUUGGUAUAGGAAGAUCAAAGAAGGCAGAGAAGACAGAUAUUUGAAUACAAAACUAAUGGUUUUAGUAGGCAUUUCUAUGAAUUCAGAUUUAUUAUCUUCUAAUUUUUGUGGCAUAAAUAAUUAUUUGAAUAACAAUUAAAAUUUGAGAUAAGGUUGCCAUAGGAAGCUUGGGAGGGGGAGAAGGGUAUUAAAGGCAAAAAAUGAUUAUUUUAGUAGACUUUUCUUAAUAAUUUCCUUUUGUUCAAAUUUUUUUGCACAAGUAAUUGUUAAAAUAGUAAAGUUAAAUUAAUAAAUGCUUGGCAUAAUACUACAAAAUAAAGGGGUGUUUAAGUGAAAAUAGUAAUUGAUAGAGCAAUGUUUGGGCAUCUUAUGCGCUGUUAUGUGGUCAUAAUUUUGGCUACUUAUUAUGCUAAGUAUUGAGGUUUUGUUCAUGUUUGAUAUUUGUGUAAAUUGUAGGCAGUUGGUGUCAAAAAGUGAUCUCUGAAGGUGAAUUUCCAGAAGACUUUUAUUUCAGGGCGUGCCCACGCCAAAAACUGUUCAAGAGACGCCUCAAAGUCGGACCAUGGGACUAACUAACUAACUAAACUCAUCCUUAUUCCUGCGGGAUGCGGUUGGAAGUGCGUCAAAACAAAAAGGCAGCAAUUUCCAGUGGAUUUGGUAACAACCAAUAAGGAGGAUGCGGGGAAUUGGGGAAAUAUUUGGAAAAGCUACUAUUUUCUCGUGGGCCAAGAAGGGUGUAACAGACAAGUAGUUUUAGUCUUGCAGAUAGCUUUUUAGUUUCUUACGUUUUCUUUGGAGGGCUAUCUUCUGGGAACUGGCAAAAAGCCAGAUUCAUGUGGGAUUAGGAAAUUAUCUUUAGUUUUGUUAUCCCUUGGUAGAGGAUUUGCUCUCUGUUUUGUUAUUACAAUUUUCUUUAGACCUUUGCUUUACUUUUUCCGAAUGGACACAAAACAAAAAAAGAAGCAAGACAUUUUCUUUUGUUUCUUCAUCACUUCAUCUUUCCCAACUCUCUUGUGAUUGUGUGGAUGGAAUCAAUCAAAUCCCGCGAGAUUGAUAUGAUGAGGAGCGGUUAGGUUUCUCUUCUACCCAAAGGUCGACGCGAAGGCACGGUCCAUAACAUCUGUGAGAUUUAAUCGAACUUUCACUAGUUCUUCCAGUCCGUUACUAUUCGUGUGUUUCCUGGAUUAACUGUUUAUGAUUAUUUUAUUAAUUGAGUAUCAACGGCAGGACAUUUAAUUUAAUCUAAUAGCCUACUGUCACGUUAACUAAAUUGAAUCCGUAAUUAUUCGUUUAGUUGAUAACUAGUGACAACCAUCAUAAUUGGCUUUAUGUUAGGGAAACGUAAGAUCUAGUUUAAAUAAACCCUCUUAGCGUGUUUAUUGGUUAGGGUUGGGUUUUUCUAGUUUUAAUGCAACCGGAUAAUUAAAUUUAUUGGUUAGGGUUGGGUUUUUCUAGUUUUAAUGCAACCGGAUAAUUAAAUUCCUACGAUCGUACCUAAAGCUGUUUUCUAGUUAGAGAAACAGUCAACGGUCGUACCUUGGCUGUCGAAAAAGUAAGGAAGAACUGGCUGUCAGAGCUUGUUGAUAGCUAUAACUAACCUAGUGACGAAUGAAUGAAAUAUCUUUGUAUCGAUGAUCAUUUAAUUGGACCGCGCCUAAAAAGUUGAUCCUUUGGGUAGAAUUUUACUAAUUGCUAUUUUUAGUGAAUUGUACUUGGUGAGUUAGCUUUUGAAUUUUGUUUAUUCUAUUUUCUUUUUCAGUCCAUUAAAUAUUCCCCAAUUUUGUUCUAUUGACUUGGAAAGAAACAAGUUCCUACCCGUUCCCUGUGAAAUCGACCGUACUUGCCAUUGUAUGCAAAUUUAAUAUUUUUGUAGACAAAUCUUGUAUAUCGAAUCAAGCAUACUCUUUGGGGAGACAGGGUGAAUAUAGUAACCCAUUGCACAUCUAGAGUCACUGCUCCAGUACUUAGAUUUGUUCUAUAAUUAAUUAUGGUAGUAAUUAGGACUUUUUAGUAAUUAUUAUUGCACAGGUUCGACACCUGUCAAUUUUUGGCGGCAUUGCUGGGAAGAAAGUGUCGACAAACUGGUGAACAUGGGAUUCUGGCUUACAAGGCAUGCCCACGCCUUGCAAGACGCCCUUUCAAAAAAAAAAAGAAAGACAAAAAGAGAGAGAAAAGAGUUUCGACACUUGCGCAGUAGGUAUAGCAAAUGGAAAUGCCUUGCUUGUGGAAUUUCUCCAGUAAAGCGUUGAGGUUAUGUAGUAGAUAUCGGACAUUCUCUUGACAUAGUGCACCCUCUCUUUACCUCCUUAUCCCGCCUUUCACCCAAGCCCUAUUACAACCCUAUUAAAGUCCCUUUGAUUUAUGUAUUGAGUUCACUUUUGAGUGGUGGAGAUGUGAUAAAUGUGCAAGCCUAUGGUAAUGUCAUUCCGUGGUGUUGAUUUGAGCGUUCCUGGUAUCUAUACAUUUUCUUGAAAGUGAUGAGUAUUACUACUCAUACUCUUUGGAUAACUACCUAUCCAGUGUGCUCUAACUUUGGCGACAUUGUCAGGAAUGCAGGAUGCUUGUGUUAGUGUAGAUCACCGCAUAGUAGUUCCUUUCGUGAUUGAACUUCUGAGCUUCAAAAUGCUUGAGGACAAGCAUUGCCUAGGUGUGGGGGGAUUUGAUAGAGCAAUGUUUGGGCAUCUUAUGUGCUGUUAUGUGGUCAUAAUUUUGGCUAUUUAUUAUGCUAAGUACUGAGGUUUUGCUCAUAUUUGAUAUUUGUGUAAAUUGUAGGUGGUUGGUGUCAAAAAGUGAUCUCUGAAGGCGAAUUUCCAGAAGACUUUUUAUUUCAGGGCGUGCCCACGCCAGAAACUAUUGAAGAGACGCCUCAAAGUCGGACCGCGGGACUAACUAACUAACUAAACUCAUCCUUAUUCCUGCGGGAUGCGGUUGGAAGUGCGUCAAAACAAAAAGACAGUAAUUUCCAGUGGAUUUGGUAACAACCAAUAAGGAGGAUGUGGGGAAUUGGGGAAAUCUUUGGAAAAGCAGCUAUUUUCUCGUGGGCCAACGAGGGUGUAAAAGACAAGUAGUUUUAGUCUUGCAGAUAGCCUUUUAGUUUCUUACGUUUUCUUUGGAGGGCUAUCUUCGAGGAACUGGCAAAAAAGCCAGAUUCACGUGGAAUUGGGAGAUUAGCUUUAGUUUUGUUAUCCCUUGGUAGAGGAUUUGCUCUCUGUUUUGUUUUUACGAUUUUCUUUAGACCUUUGCUUUAUUUUUUUUGAACGGACAUGAAACAAAAAAAGAAGCAAGACUUUUUUUUUGUUUCUUCGUCACUUCAUCUUUCCCAACUUUCUUGUGAUUGUGUGGAUGGAAUCAAUCAAAUCCCGCGAGAUUGAUAUGAUGAGGAGCGGCUACAUUUCUCCUCUACCCAAAGUCGACGCGAAGGCGCGGUUUAUAACAUCUGUGAGAUCUAAUCGAACUUUCACUAGUUCUUCCAAUCCGUUACUAUUCGUGCAUUUUCUGGAUUAACUGUUUAUGGUUAUUUUAUUAAUUGAGUAUCAACGGUUGGAUAUUUAGUUUAAUCUAAUAGCCUACUGUCACGUUAACUAAAUUGAAUCCGUAAUUGUUCGUUUAGUUGAUAACUAGUGACAACUAUCAUAAUUGGCUUUAUGUUGGGGAAACGUAAGAUCUAGUUUAAAUAAACACUCUUAGCCUGUUUAUUGGUUAGGGUUGAAUUUUUCUAGUUUUAAUGCAACCGGAUAAUUAAAUUCCUACGGUCAUCCCUGAGGUUGUUUUCUAGUUAGAGAAGUGGUCAACGGUCGUACCUUGGUUGUCGAAAAAGUAAAGAAAAACUGGCUGUCAGAGCUUGUUGAUAGCUAUAACUAACCUAGUGACGAAUGAAUGAAAUAUCUUUGCAUCGAUGAUUAUUUAAUUGGACCGUGUCUGAAAAGUUGAUCCUUUGGAUAGAAUUUUACUAAUUGCUAUUUUUAGUUAAUUGUACUUGGUGAGUUAGCUUUUGAAUUUUUGUUUAUUCUAUUUUCAUUUUCAUUCCAUAAAUAUCCCCCAAUUUUGUUCUAUUGACUUGGAAAGAAACAACUUCCUACCCAUUCCCUGUGGAAUCGACCUUACUUGCCGUUGUAUGCAAAUUUAACACUUUUGUAGACAAAUCUAGUAUAUCGGAUCAAGCACACUCUUUGGAGACAGGGUGAAUAUAGUAACCCAUUGCACAUCUAGAGUCACUACUCCAGUACUUAGAUUUGUUCUAUAAUCAAUUAUAGUGGCAAUUAGGACUUUUUAGUAAUUAUUAUUGUACAGGCUCGACACCUGUCAAUUUUUUGCGUCGUUGCCGGGGAACGGUGUUUUGGUUAAUUUUGUUUCUUUUCAAGUUAUUUUCUUUGGAUUUGUCUGGCACUUUUCUAGUUUAUGCCUCGUUUUUCUCGUACAUGUGAAUUGAUUUUCGACCUGGAAGUAAAGAAGAUUGCGCGCCGAACUAGGAAAGAAACUAAACAGCUCAGAGAGGAGCAAUCUAGCAUUGCAUCUCAGAUGCUGGAUCCAGAGGUUGAGUCAACAGAUUCGAGUGGUGAUAAUUCAAGUGACUCAGGCCAAGAGGACAUCCCUAUGGCGAAUCCAAGAACACUAAAGGAGUUGGCUGCUCCGGAAUUGACCCAGCAGCUUUUGUGCAUUACAUUUCCAACUCUAGCUGAGAAUACCUCCUUCGAACUGAAGUCAGAGUUAAUUCAUCUCUUACCCUCAUUCCAUGGCCUCUUGAGUGAGGAACCCCAUAAACACAUCCAGGAGUUCGAUGUGGUAUGUUCUAGUAUGAAACCUCCAGGGAUUACUGAAGAGCAGAUCAAACUUAGAGCAUUCCCUUUCUCCCUCAAGGAUGUAGCGAAGGAUUGGUUAUACUACCUACCUGCAGGUAGUAUCAUAACAUGGGCCCAACUGAAAAAGAAGUUUUUGAAAAAAUUCUUCCCGGCAUCCCGGGCUGCAAGUUUGAGAAAAGAGAUAUGCAGCAUUAAGCAGUAUCCCAGGGAAUCCCUAUAUGACUAUUGGAAAAGGUUCAAUAAGUUGUGUACUAGAUGCCCACAGCAACAAAUUAGUGAACAACUAUUGAUCCAAUACUUCUAUGAGAGACUUCAGUCAUCUGAUAGAAAUAUUAUUGAUGCUGCAAGUAGGGGAGCACUGGCAAAUAAGACACCGAGAGAAGCAUUGCUGCUUAUUGAAGCAAUGGCAGAAAAUUCUCAACAGUUUGUGUUAUUCUUGGUUUUGAUGAUCACAAAAGUUCGUUGAAAUGUUUAUACAGACCAAGAAAGUGAACACUUUGAUCAGGCCUGAUGGAACAAAGUAAGCAUAUGUUCGAUUAACUCCAGACUACGAUGCUUUGGAUGUGGCAAACAAGAUUGGAAUAAUAUAAACAAAUUUAGUCAUUGUUUUGUUCCGAUCAAAGAUACUGUCUUUUAAGUAUGACAAUUUUGUUAGUCUUGGUUCCUUGAAAUGUUUUAUCUAACUUUCUUCAAAUAUAAGUGUUGUUGCCUAUCAAAGAAUCAGGUACGAAUAUGUCGUGAGCAAAAACAGGACACUCAUGUCGGACGGCCGAAAGGAAUCUGUCGGACGUCCGAAGGGAUGAAGAACAUCAGGAAGGAGUUUCUGUCGGACGCACAUCGAUCGUGUCGGACGUCCUAAAAAUUCCACAAAGCUUUGAUGACUCUCUGCCAAGACACUGUCGGACGCUCGCAAGGAAGCAUCGGACGUCCUGAAGGAUCGGACGCAUGCUUCGGACGAACAUCAAUAUCAUUGGACGUCCUAAAAAUUCCUCGAAGAUUUGAUAACUCUCUGGACGACGUUCGAACACUGAAGCUCGGACGAUAAAAUUCCAUCGAACGUCCGAACUUCAAUUUGGCUGUUUUUCGGACGAUUGGUUCGGACGAUAAUUUGAUCGUCGGACGUCCGAAAGCCCCAACGGCUAGCUGACUCUUCAUCUGCCUUCUAUCCGUUGGAAGCUUUAAUGAAGCCCAUUUCUGUUCCCCUUUAAAAACAAACUGUUCUGAACGAAGUAAGAACUUUUGCACACUUGGUCUACAAGAUCUCAAGAGAUAUUUUAGCUAGAAAAUAGUCUCCAAAGUUAGAUUUGUUCUCUAAGUGGUGUGAACUUCUGGUGAGCUUUUCUCUUGUGGUUGAAAGUUUCAUUAGUGUAGCUUUGUUGAGGGUUAUCUGAGUGUUUGUAAAACUUCUUAGCUUGACUAAGUGAGGUUUAGGGCAAGGAGGAAGUGCUCCCUCCAUUGUACAUCUAGUUGAUCAUAUUUCAUCAAAGAGAAGUUGCUCAACCUUGUGAUUGGUCUUCAAGUUUAAGGAAAGCUUGGUAGACAAUCGGUUUGAUUUCCUAUUUUACUUUUUGUUUAAUAAAAUUCUCAUUGCUUAUAUAUACUUAUUUUUCUGAUCAAUAUUGCUAUUGUCUUCUAAUCUACUUGGUUGAUCUUUACUAGAAAAGAAGGUAAAUUUUUAUUAAAGAAAAAGUGCAUAAAUUUGGUUAAGGUUUUAAUCAACCCAAUUCACCCCCCCUCUUGGUUGUCUUUGGGACUUACAAUUGGUAUCAGAGCUUGGUCUCCUUGAGAUUAAGCUCUAACGGCUUGGAGUAAAGAUGACAACCAGUCAUGCUAUGUUUGUUGAGGGGCAAUCUGUUACUAGGCCUCCCAUGUUCAGUGGCUCCAACUAUGUUAGCUGGAAAGAACGGAUGAUUAUCUUUUUGUAAUCUAUUGAUAUUGAACUAUGGUUUAUUGUGAGUGAAGGACCGCAUGAAGCUAACUUUCUUGAUGCAGAUACAGGGUUGCUUCGGCCAAAAAUGAGAGCUGAAAUGAAUGCUCAAGAUAGGACUAACCUCACAUUGAAUGCCAAGGCCAUGAAUGUUCUUUAUAGUGCCCUAGAUUCAAAUGAAUCAAUUAGAGUAAAAGGCUGCAAAUCGGCCAAAGAAAUGUGGGAUAAACUAAGAGAAAUCCAUGAGGGUGGUGACAACGUGAAAGAACAGAAAAAGGCUAUCUUGGUCACAAAAUAUGAAUCAUUUAGAAUUGAACCUCUUGAGGAUAUUGACAAAAUGUAUUGCAGGUUCACUGACUUGAUCAAAGAUCUCGAGGUGUUGGGCAAAGAGUACACCUUGGGAGAGAAGAACAGGAAAAUUCUCAAUGCGUUGGGCAAAGAAUGGGAAAAUAAAGUGACUGCAAUAGAGGAGGCUAAGGAUUUAAGUUCUGUGGCUAUUGAAUCUAUCAUUAACUCACUAACCUCUUAUGAGUUGAAACUGAAAUCUAAAGUGCAGGAGGAAGAGGAAGCUAGAGCAAAGAGAAACAUUGCUCUAAAGACUACUCAAGGUGAAGAUGAUACAGCUCACUUGGAUGAUGAAGACUCGGAUGGUGAUGAUAAUGAUCUUGCUCUCAUCACCAGAGGUUUCAAGAGAAUCUUGAAUAAAAGAAAGUUUAGAAGGGGAGGACCUAGCAAUCAAUUCCAGAAUCAGCCAUCUAUCGCAAAGUACAAAGGAAAACAGGAUUUCAACAAGAAACAGUUGGACAAAUGCUUCGAAUGUGGACAGCUUGGACACUAUGCAAAUGAAUGCCCCAUGAAGAAGAUGAAAGAUGGAAAAGCUGAUCGGAAGCCAAGAUUCAACAACUUUCAGAUUACUUGGAAUGAAUGCAACUCCGAAGGGGAAGUAGAAGAAGAAGAAGAAUCAGCUCAAAUGGCCUUCAUGGCUAUUGGAAAUAAUGAGGUAACUUCCACACAUUCUCAAUCUGAAAGUGAUGAUGAUGAAGAUGAUGAUCUUGAAUCCUUUGUUGAAAAACUGCAUAAUGCCUUGAAGGAAUCUUAUGAUAAAAACAAGCAGUUAAAACAGAAAAUGGCUUUUCUCAUUCAAGAAAAUGCAAGUCUUUUUCAACAAAAUAAACAACUAAAGACUGACAAUGAAAGUCUUGUAAGAGCCGGAUGUAAUGUUCAAAAUGAGCUUGAUAGAAAGACAAAUAUUUGUGAAAUGCUGAAGGAAAGACAUGGUGAUUUGAAAAAAAGAAUGGACAACUUGGAUGAGACUUUGAAAGCAAGAAAGCAGGAGUUUAUCAAAAGGAACAUGUCAUCUACACAUCCUACUACUUUUCAAAGAACAUUUGCACACAACAAAAAUGCACAUGGUUUCACAACAUAUAGAAGAGGUGGAUUGAGAUAUGUCAAACCAGUACAUGUUAAGGACUCUUCCAUUAUGUGUGGUUUUUGUUGUCAAAGAGGGCAUUUGAAAGGUGAUUGCUAUGUGAAAAGAAAUCUGAACAAAGGGAUGAAAUGCAUGUGGUUAGUUAGAUACAAUGCUAACUAUUGCGGACCCAAAAAUUAAAAUGGGUACCAAACACUUUCUCUUUUCAGGAAAAAUGCUCAAACAAGUCCAAAUGGUUUAUUGAUAGCGGUUGCUCAAGGCAUAUGACCGGUGAUCCCUCUUUGUUCAUAAAGCUGAAAUCAAAGUCAAGUGGAAAAGUGACAUUUGGUGAUGAUGUGAAAGCUAAGACAAUUGGAAUAGGUGAUGUUGGUAAGGAUGGUGAUACUUUUGUCCAUAAUGUGCUCUUAGUUGAUAACUUAAGUUAUAACUUGCUUAGUGUUAGUCAAUUGUGUGAUAAAGACUUGAAUGUGUUGUUUAAAAAACAUGAAUGCAUUGUGCUUGAUUCCAAAUAUAAUAUUGUGUUCAAAGGUAAGAGAUUCAACGACAUAUAUAUUGUGGUUCUUGAUAAAAUUGAUUCUUCUAGCUUAAAAUGUCUUAAAGCUUCAAAUGAAGAUCCUUGGUUGUGGCAUAGAAGACUUUGUCAUUUUAACAUGAAUUUACUAAAGGAAAUUUCGAAAAAGGAGUUGGUUAGAGGCUUGCCAAAAAUCAGUUUUGAUAAGGACAAAAUAUGUGAUGCAUGUCAAUUUGGGAAGCAAACAAAAAAUUCCUUUAAACCUAAGAUGUGUGUAUCUACUUCUAAACCUUUGGAACUCUUGCAUCUUGAUUUAUUUGGUCCCACUCAAAUUACUAGCUUGGGAGGUAAAAGAUAUUGUUUUGUAAUUGUUGAUGAUUAUUCUAGAUACACUUGGGUGAUAUUUCUUGCUCAUAAAGAUGAUGCCUUCAAGAAUUUUACUUCAUUGUUUGCUAAAAUGCAAAAUCUGCUUGGGUUAAAAAUUGUUAGGAUUAGAAGUGAUAAUGGGACGGAAUUCAAGUAUUGUGGUUUUCCAGAAUUUUGUGAUCAUAAUGGUAUAACACAUGAGUUCUCUAUUGCAAGGACUCCACAGCAAAAUGGUGUUGUAGAAAGGAAAAACAGGACUCUUCAAGAGGCUGCUAGAACUAUGUUGAAUGAAUGUAGGUUGCCUAAAUAUCUUUGGGCUGAAGCGGUAAACACUGCAUGUUAUGUGAUGAAUAGAAUACUCUUGAGACCUAUUUUAAAGAAAACUCCUUAUGAGCUGAUUUUUGAUAAGAAACCUACGGUUGGUUAUUUCAAAGUAUUUGGUUGUAAAUGCUUUAUUUUGAAUCUAAAGGAACAUCUUGGUAAGUUUGAUAAAAAAUCUGAUGUAGGAAUAUUUUUGGGGUAUUGUGAGAAUAAAAGACGAUAUAGAGUUUUUAAUAGAAGGACUCUUGUGAUUGAAGAAGCUAUACAUAUAACAUUUGAUGAAACCAAUGAUGAUAAUUCCAAAAGUUCGUGUGAGGAUGAUGAUGUAGGUGUUCGAGAAGCAAUGAAAAACCUAUCAAUUGGAAAUGAAGGAAGCUCUAAACCAGCAGCAACUGAAAUGGAAAAUGAAGUUCAUAAUGAUCAAGAAGAGGAAGAUGAAGACAAAAAUGAUGAUCCACUCAAAGAUCUUCCCAAGGCUUGGAAAUUCAGCCAAAAUCAUCCAAAAGAGCUUAUAAUUGGUGAUCCAUCCGAGAAGGUAAACACUAGUUCCUCAUCUAGAAAAUUGAUUGACAAUUUUGCUUUAGUUUCUCUUUUUGAACCCAAAAAUAUCAAUGAUGCUUUAAAGGAUGAAAACUGGAUUUUGGCAAUGCAAGAGGAACUUAAUCAAUUUGAGAGAAAUGAAGUUUGGACACUUGUUAAUAGACCUCAAAAUCAACCUAUCAUUGGCACAAAGUGGAUUUUUAGAAAUAAGUUGGAUGAUAAAGGUGUUGUUGUAAGAAAUAAAGCCAGAUUAGUUGCUAAAGGAUAUGCACAAGAAGAAGGAAUUGAUUUUGAUGAAACAUUUGCUCCCGUAGCAAGAUUAGAAUCUAUUAGAAUGCUUCUUGCUUUUGCAUGCUUUAAAGGCUUCAAAUUGUUUCAAAUGGAUGUUAAAAGUGCUUUUUUAAAUGGUUUUAUUGAUCAAGAAGUAUAUGUGGAUCAACCCCCCGGUUUUGAAAAUACAAAAUUUCCAAGUCAUGUGUUUAAACUAUCUAAAGCUUUAUAUGGUCUAAAACAGGCUCCAAGAGCUUGGUAUGAAAGACUAAGUGGUUUUUUGAUUGAAAAUGGUUUCAAAAGGGGUGUUGUGGACACCACACUUUUUACUAAGCAAGUGUUGAAUGACCUUCUUAUUGUGCAAAUAUAUGUUGAUGAUAUUAUUUUUGGUGCUACUAAUGAGUAUCUAUGUAAGGAGUUUUCCACCACUAUGCAAAGUGAAUUUGAAAUGAGUAUGAUGGGAGAAUUAAAUUUCUUCCUUGGACUUCAAAUACAUCAAGCUCUUGAGGGAAUUUUUAUAAAUCAAGCAAAAUAUACCAAGGAAUUGUUGAAAAGGUUUGGCAUGGAGGACUCAAAGCAAGUUGGAACUCCAAUGUGCACUUCUACAAAGCUUGACAAAGAUGAAGAAGGUAAUCAUGUGGAUGAAAAGCAUUAUAGAGGUAUGAUCGGAAGCCUACUCUAUUUAACCGCAAGUAGACCUGAUAUUAUGUUUGCUGUUUGCUUGUGUGCUAGAUUUCAAUCUUGUCCAAAAGAAUCACAUUUGAAUGCUGUAAAAAGGAUUUUUAGGUAUUUGAAAGGUACAUUAGACUAUGGUCUUUGGUAUGCUAGAUCUAAUGAGUUUGCACUAUAUGCUUAUUCGGAUGCUGAUUUUGGAGGUUGUCGUGUGGAUAGAAAGAGUACUAGUGGAACUUGUCAUUUUCUUGGAAAUUGUUUAGUCUCUUGGUUUAGCAAGAAACAAUGUGCAAUCUCUUUGUCUACAACCGAAGCGGAAUAUAUUGCCGCUAGUGCAUGUUGUGCUCAACAUUUAUGGAUGAAGCACACCUUGAAUGAUUUUUGAUUGUUGUAUGACUGCAUGCCUGUAUUCUGUGAUAAUACUAGUACUAUAAAUUUGACCAAAAAUCCUAUUCAUCAUUCUACGACAAAGCACAUAGAUAUAAAGCAUCACUUUAUUCGUGAUCUUGUUCAAAAAGGUGAAAUAUGUGUAAAUUAUGUUUGUUCUAAAGAUCAAUUUACGGAUAUUUUUACAAAAGCUUUGCCAUUAGAUCAGUUCAUUCAUCUAAGAUCAAAAUUAGGAAUAAUCGAAAAAUCAUCUUAAUUUUUGGGUCUUCGGACGUCCGAAAGAAGAUGAACGGACGUCCGAUGAUGUUCUUCAGCCAUUUUCCAGAUUGCGCCUGUUCGGACGCAGCUGUCGGACGCACAACGUCGUUCGGCCGUCCGACAGUGCAACGGAUCAAUUUUUUAAAUAACUUUCUUUCUCAUUUGCUUCAGACUCUUCCUAUUCUAUUUCCUCUCGGACGAAAACUCUCUCUUCCCUCACUCUCAAAUUCGUACCAUUUUGAAGCUCUCAUUCUCAAAUUGACUCAAACAAAACUUUUUCUGACUGAUUGCGAUUCAUUUCUCCUGAUCAUUUUCCCGAAUCGCAUAACAUUUCACAAAUUCCCAAAUUUCCUUCAAAACCCUACUUUCUCAUAACCGCUCUGCCAAAUCUUGUUUAAGGCCUUUUUGUCCCAAAAUUUCUGUGCAAAUCACUUCCCUACCACUGUGUGCAUCAUUUGCAUUCUUCAUUCCACACAUUUCACACAAUGGUGAAUCUGAGAGGAGGAAAGGUUACUGCCGGACGCAAGCAUCCACUCAGGGAUGAGGAUGAGGAUCUUCCUACGGUCAAACGUUCAUCCAAACGCUUCAAGAGAGGAGCCAUAAAGGGUCAAAUGUCACGGCCUACUCCUCAACCCACCUCUCAGCCUGAAUCUGGACAGGGAACCUCUGCUCAACCGCCUCCAAAAUCAGCCCCUCCCCCUACAUUCUUUGAUGAUACAGCAAGAGACAAACACUCCUUGAUAUCCCAGAAAGGUGUCAUCCCUCAACGUACUGUAAACCCUUCUGAAUUUCGUCUCAUAGGUUUAGAAACCAUUCUGAAGUUAUUUGCUUUUCAGAAAUGGUCGCAUAUCAUUUCUAUGCCAAAUGUUUACUAUCCUGAAAUGCUGCAUCAAUUUUUUGCUAAUCUUAGAAAAGGGUCUGACCAAACUGAAAUCUUUUCCAGGGUUAAUGGGGUAGACUUAAUCUUUGACUCUGAAAUUGUGAAUUCCAUUUUAAAUACUACCAUUGAACGUGGGUGCAAGGAUAAAAUUACAAAUUUCUUUUCCUAUGAAGAGCACCCUAAUGCUGAUAAUCAUUUUGAUGGGGCUAAAAUGAUGACCUAUUUUAAAAGAAGUUUUUCCUCCCCUGCUGAUGCUAAACUGAAUGAUCUUGCCCCUGUGAAUUUAAUUGCUUUUUCUAUCAUUUCAAACCUGCUUGUGCCUACUGAUGGCCAUAGAACUGAUGCAAACAAAAUGGAGUUGUACCUCUUUUAUUAUUUUCGAGAAAAAAUUUGGAUUGAUUUUGGUUUUGUCAUGUGCAAGUUUUUACUUCGCUAUACCACUGACUCUCGCAGAAAACUAUCCUAUGGAAAGUUUCUUCAAAAGAUUUUUGAGUUUUUCAAAGUUCCAAUUUUAGGUGUUUGUCCCAAAGAAGCAUCUUCUUAUGCCUUUACCAAAGGAUACUUUGAAAGGAAAAAUCUUGUUUUUAAAGAUAAUAUGUGGUCUUAUAAAGAGGCAUCGUCCAGUGAACGUAGGUCUAAGGCUGCACAUGAUCCUUCAUCUAUUCCACUCACUCCCAUUCAUCCUAGGAAAUCUGCCACUAAGGCAUCUUCCUCCUCCAAUGAUGGAGUGAUUGAGCUUCUUCAUGAACUCAAACAGCAUGUUCUUCUUCUAGAACAUGGCCUAAUGCUCACCAUGUCCUCUGAGCAACAAACUGCCUUUCUAGACAAAAAGAACCAUCUCUUUCCCCCACCUGUGGUUGAGGAAGUGUCCCAUGACAAAGAGCCACACCCCACUGAUCCAAGCUCAUCAAUUCCAGACCCUGGUUCAUCAACUCCUGUGACUCCUCAUGGUCCUUCCACAGCAGAUAAAGGCAAGGAACCAGUUGAAGUGGAUGCUGAAGCUGAUGAAGAAACUGAAGAGGAGGACCUCUCCCAAUAUCAGCUCUCUCGAAGAACUCCUGGAUCCACACAGUUCACUACUUAGGACAUUUGCAUUCUGUUUGUCUAUUUUAUGUGUUUGUAAUGGUCAACAUUUGUAACCUUCUUUUAAUGUUUCUCUUGUUGGUACUGUAUGUUUAUGUUAAGUAUUUUGAAUGAUGACUGUGUUUAUGGAUGUUUAAGUAUUUUGGUGCAAUGAAUUUGGUUUUCAUUGAUGAAUGUGUUUGUGGAUGUGUUGAUGUGAUUGGUUGCCCUUUUGUGAUGACAAAAAGGGGGAGAGGACUGGAUUGAUGAUUGAUGAUUGGUGUUGAGGACUGGAUUGAUUGAUGAUUGAUGAUUGGUAUUGAUUGAUGAUUGAUGAUUGGUGAUGUUGGAUAUGUUGGAUUGAUUGUUUAAAUUUGGAUUGGCUGAUAUGCUUAAUUGUCAUAUUUUUAGAAAAUUGUUUAACUCGGAUGGGCAGCCAAGUGAGGGGGAGCUUUUUCAAAAUUUUCAAAAUUUUAUGAUUCACUAAAUAAGGGGGAGUUCGUGAGAAAGGGGGAGCUUAUAAUGCAAUCAUCAAAUUUCAUUUCAAACUUUUGUUUUGUCAUCAUCAAAAAGGGGGAGAAUGUUAUUCUUGAUUUUGAUGAUCACAAAAGUUCGUUGAAAUGUUUAUACAGACCAAGAAAGUGAACACUUUGAUCAGGCCUGAUGGAACAAAGUAAGCAUAUGUUCGAUUAACUCCAGACUACGAUGCUUUGGAUGUGGCAAACAAGAUUGGAAUAAUAUAAACAAAUUUAGUCAUUGUUUUGUUCCGAUCAAAGAUACUGUCUUUUAAGUAUGACAAUUUUGUUAGUCUUGGUUCCUUGAAAUGUUUUAUCUAACUUUCUUCAAAUAUAAGUGUUGUUGCCUAUCAAAGAAUCAGGUACGAAUAUGUCGUGAGAAAAAACAGGACACUCAUGUCGGACGGCCGAAAGGAAUCUGUCGGACGUCCGAAGGGAUGAAGAACAUCAGGAAGGAGUUUCUGUCGGACGCACAUCGAUCGUGUCGGACGUCCUAAAAAUUCCACAAAGCUUUGAUGACUCUCUGCCAAGACACUGUCGGACGCUCGCAAGGAAGCAUCGGACGUCCUGAAGGAUCGGACGCAUGCUUCGGACGAACAUCAAUAUCAUCGGACGUCCUAAAAAUUCCUCGAAGAUUUCAUAACUCUCUGGACGACGUUCGGACACUGAAGCUCGGACGAUAAAAUUCCAUCGGACGUCCGAACUUCAAUUUGGCUGUUUUUCGGACGAUUGGUUCGGACGAUAAUUUGAUCGUCGGACGUCCGAAAGCCCCAACGGCUAGCUGACUCUUCAUCUGCCUUCUAUCCGUUGGAAGCUUUAAUGAAGCCCAUUUCUGUUCCCCUUUAAAAACAAACUGUUCUGAACGAAGUAAGAACUUUUGCACACUUGGUCUACAAGAUCUCAAGAGAUAUUUUAGCUAGAAAAUAGUCUCCAAAGUUAGAUUUGUUCUCUAAGUGGUGUGAACUUCUGGUGAGCUUUUCUCUUGUGGUUGAAAGUUUCAUUAGUGUAGCUUUGUUGAGGGUUAUCUGAGUGUUUGUAAAACUUCUUAGCUUGACUAAGUGAGGCUUAGGGCAAGGAGGAAGUGCUCCCUCCAUUGUACAUCUAGUUGAUCAUAUUUCAUCAAAGAGAAGUUGCUCAACCUUGUGAUUGGUCUUCAAGUUUGAGGAAAGCUUGGUAGACAAUCGGUUUGAUUUCCUAUUUUACUUUUUGUUUAAUAAAAUUCUCAUUUCUUAUAUAUACUUGUUUUUCUGAUCAAUAUUGCUAUUGUCUUCUAAUCUACUUGGUUGAUCUUUACUAGAAAAGAAGGUAAAUUUUUAUUAAAGAAAAAGUGCAUAAAUUUGGUUAAGGUUUUAAUCAACCCAAUUCACCCCCCCUCUUGGUUGUCUUUGGGACUUACAGUUUGGCUCCCGCGAGAGUAACCCUACCCAUAGGGUUAACGAGGUAAAGACGUCGUCCAUUCAGCAGCAGCUAUCGGAGUUAACAUCUUUUGCUCAGCAGUUAGCUGUGGGGAAUAUGCAUCAAGCAAAGGUCUGUGGAAUUUGCACAAACAUGGGCCACCCCACUGACUUAUGCCCUAUUUUGCUAGAGGAUGGGGCUGAACUAGUAAACAUGGUUGGGGGCGUGCCCACGCCCCGUAGGUAGUACGAUCUAUACUCGAACACGUACAAUUCGAGUUGGAGAGACCACCCCAACUUCAACUAUGGGAACAGGCCACAGAAGUCAUUCUCAAAUCGUCCAGCAACCAUGGCAACCAAAGCUUCAACCUUCGUCCUCCAAUUCAGGAGGCUCUUUGGAGGAUAUUGUCAAGAGCCUGGCCACGAGUACUACUCAGCUCCAGCAAGAAACUAGAUCCUUGGUCACGAGUACUGCUCAAUUCCAUCAGGAAACUAGAUUAGGCAUGAAAAAUCUGGAGACUCAAAUAAGUCGUAUGGCAACUGCAAUUAAUCGGUUAGAGUCUCAAGUUUUUGAAAAAUUGCCAUCGCAACCCGAGGUAAAUUCCAAGAAUGUAAGUGCCUUGACAUUGAGGAAUGGCAAGGAAGUGGAGGGGCUUAAGGCCACGAACCUAAAGAGUAAAAGUGAAGAAGAGAUCGAAAAGGAGAUUGAAGAAGAAGGACGCAUUCGUGGAGACCCUAAGGUAACUCUUACUCCAUCAAUUCCCAUUGAAUCUAAUUUACCUCCUUUUCCAUACAGGUUGGAAAAGACAAAGAAGGCGGAGAUGGAAAAAGAAAUCCUAGACGUAUUCUGAAAAGUAGAGAUCAACAUUCCCUUGUUGGAUGCAGUUAAGCAGGUACCAAAGUACGCAAAUUUUUUUAAGAAUUUGUGCACCUAUAAGAGGAAGUUGAGACGGGACAAAAGAGCAGCAGUGGGAGAAAAUGUAUCAGCUAUACUCCAAAGAAAACUCCCACCCAAGUGUGGAGAUCCAGGUAUGUUCAUGAUCCCAUGCAAAAUAGGAAAUACACCGAUUAGAAAAAUAAUGUUGGAUUUAGGGGCAUCAAUCAACGUAAUGCCAAGCACCAUUUAUGUUUCUUUAAAUCUUGGGCCACUAAAAGAAACAGCCAUCAUAAUCCAACUAACUGACCGCACCAAUGCUUAUCCAGAGAGGCUAGUUGAGGAUGUCUUGGUUCAGGUAAAUGAGUUAGUUUUUCCAACAGAUUUUUAUAUCUUAGGUAUGGGAGAUGAAAAAUUGUUAAAUCCGUCACCUAUUUUGUUAGGUAGGCCAUUUCUUAGCACUGCUAGGACUACAAUAAAUGUGAAUGAGAGUACUUUAUCAAUGGAGUUUGAUGGCGAAAUUAUAAAUUUCAAUAUUUUUGAGGUGAUGAAGUAUCCGGAGGAAUCUAACUCAGUCUUUGCAUUGAGUGUUAUUGAACCUAUUGUAUAGGAAACUUUCGAAUUAGACUGUGAAGACGCAUUGGAAGUGGCCUUUAUCAAGCAUCUUGAAAUGGAUGUAACUCUUAAUGUGGACAUGAGGGAUGAGUUGCACCAUACAGUUGAAGCAUUACAUUCACUUCCAACCAUUCCUUCGAGGUAUGAGCUUACCUCUCUUUUUGUGCCAAAAACUCAGACAAAGUUGUUGCCUUCAGUUGCACAGGCACCGGAGUUAGAGCUUAAGACUCUCCCGAAACAUUUAAAGUACGCAUUCCUGAGAGACUAAGAGACGCUUCCGGUGAACAUUUCUGCACACUUAUCUCCAAGUCAAGAGAGCAAACUGGUGCGAACCCUUAGGGAUCAUAAGGAAGCGAUUGGGUGGAGUAUAGCAGAUAUCAAAGGAAUAACUCCGUUCUUAUGCAUGCACCAGAUACGGCUCGAAGAUGAUGCGAAACCGGUAAAACAGGCGCAGCGGAAAUUGAAUUCGCUAAUGAUGGAAGUAGUGAAAAAGGAGAUACUUAAAGUCCUGGAAAUAGGAAUUAUCUUUGCUAUCUUGGACAGUCCUUGGGUGAGUCCCGUUCAAAUAGUCCCAAAAAAAAUAGGAGUGACUGUAGAGGAAAACCAGGAGGGUGAGAUGGUUCCAGUCAGGAAAGCUACAGGUUGGCGCCAGUGCAUUGACUACCGGAGACUAAACGCUGUGAUGAAAAAGAACCAUUUUUGAUGUGAAACCCCGGUCUAGACAACCAAAACACCAUGGCUUAGGCAGCGGAAAUUUGACCCAACUAAUCCCUAGAAGUCACGAACAAUUUUGAUAUUAUCUCAACCCGUAACUACUCGAAUUAACGAACCAAAUUGGAGGUAGUAGAACGCCACAAUCAAGGAGAUACUCGAUUGAUAAGUUCGGGUGAAUAACUUGAGAAGAUUCUCAAGUAUUCAAAGGCAACUCUCUUGCCAAAGAGAAAGUGAAAACUCACUAAUUGUAUUUAAUAGCCAAAAACUCGUCCCAAAACAAAGAGGAAGUGAGGCAAUUUAUAGCCCUUACAAGCAUUAACCCUAAUCCAAAAGUUGACCAAACUACCCUACAUACUUAAGAAAGAUUUUGGGCCUUACUUACUAACAAAUGGGCCGCAAUUAAACUAUCUUAAUUACCUAGAUUUUUAAAACAAGAAAUAACCAAAAUCAACGAGAAAAAUCAAAUAAUCCUACUAAACUCAAGCAUUCGUGCAAUCAACUAGUCUUCACUUGAAUCUUCCAAUUCCCCGUGUGCUUGAAUGGGCCUUGGUCUUUAUAUUCUCAUCAUUCCCCUCCUCUUAAAAGCAAUUUGCCCACAAAUUGAAGCACGAAUGGUGACAAGACGAGUUACAUGCCUUCGACUCAAUCUUGUUAUGAUGGCUACAGAUGGCAUCCAAUGCAAAACCCAUGUGCUAAGUUGGAAAAUAACCCUCGUCGAACCUUGAAUCUCACAGACCAUCUUCAAUGUAUGCUCAACUUUAUUGUUUGUGGUCAUGAGAUAAGGGUCCUCAAAGUGGUAUGAAGUGUAUCCCGUGAAAUCGAACUCCGGCUCGAACACACUUGCAAGGUACCAAGGCGGAUUUGGUGAUGUUGGAGCUUCAUGUGGACUAAGAGCAAGACGAAAAGCAUAAUGGUCAUUGAGGUACUUGUUCUUUAAACGAACCCUUGGUACACAACCAUUCCUAAAAUAUGGAGUGUUCCCUUCAAGAUGAGCUCGAAUCAACUCCCCUUUGGUGUGGACUGAUUUAAGUUGACAUUGUUCCAUGAAUGGAUACCAAGGGGGUUUAACUCUUGGAGUACCAACUCCAUGGAGGCUUGCAACGUCUACAAUUGAUUUUGGAAUGGAACACACCAAGAUCAGCUCAACUUGCCUUUGCUUGAUCUGUAUAAAAGAAGAAACACUAAACAAAGCAAAGGUAAGUUUGUUAAGAAAAUAAUAGGCCUUCACCGGGUUGCUCAAGAUCAGCCCACUUUCUCUUCUUUCUUCCUUUUUACCACCAAUCUCAUUAGAUUUUUCCAUCUCUUUUCCUAGUUCAACAGCUGACCCUUUUAUCUCAUUACUUUCAACUUCCUCGGGUUUUACCUCUGCAGGCACAAUUCCCUCAUCUAGCUUUUUCUCCAUUCUAUAACGCUCAAACUCACUUUUCAUGCAUGCUAGAUCAAUACAAAGUUGGUCAUAAGUAAGUGAUACAAGUGCAAGACGACGACUAUUAAAUAAGAAGGAAUACUUAUUAGUAUGUCCAUCAAUUUUAACUUCUCGCCUCGACAUCCAUGCUUUGCCCAACAACACAUGUGUCACUUGAAUUGGGACUACAUCACACAACACCUCAUCCACAUAUUUGCUGAUUUGAAUAGGUACAAGUGUGUGCUUAGUAACCCAAACAUCCCUAUGAGUGCUCGUCAACUUGUAAGGUUGAAGAUGAUCAAUGGUUGGAAGAUUUAAUUUCUCAACCAUGAUAGCACUUGCAAGAUUGACUUCACAACUACCAUCAAUGGCCAAGCUACAAAUUUUAUCUUUGACACCGCAACGAGUAUAAAACCAACCAAGCAACUGAGAUUUGACGAGGUCCAAUUGCUCAUCUACACCACGUAAUGCCACUUCUUUGACUCCCUUAGGAUCAGGAAGACAAUGUUGUGGGCUAGCUUUUAUGUGUCUUAUACUCGCCAUGACGUAUGAGGGAACCUGCAAAAAGUUAGCAACGAAACCGAAGAUAUUGCCUUUCACGCUCCCUUACGUGUAUCCACUCGCACUCGUGUAUAUGGAUGUCACUCUAAUGGACUUACCAAAUACCUUUACCUGUUGGGUUAGGUAGUUGAGAAAUGCUGCUCAAGUCCAACAACCGUUACCAACCUUUCCACAAGUGUAAUCACAAGAAUGUAGGAGAAAAUGUAUGAAAGUGUUCCUAGAAUCUAGGAAGAGAAUAUAGGAGAGUUUCAUAAAGUGGAUGAGAGAAUAUAGGAAAGGUCCUAAAAAUGGAUGAGAGAAUUUUAGGAGAGUUUCCUAAAAAAUGGAUGAGAGAAUUUAGGAAAGUUUCCAAAAAAAUGGAUGAGAGAGUUUAGGAAAAUUUCCUAAAAAGGUAGGAGAGAGAGUGUCCAAGUGAGUACAAAGAGUUAUCCAAGUGCUUUACUUAGUUUCCUAAUUGAUUUUGGAAACAAGUUAGUUUUUGGAAACCUUUUGAAAAUCCUCUUCCUCUUGAACAACUUUUGGUAACCUUCUUGAAACAACUUUUGGUAACCUUCUUGAAACAACUUUUGGUAACUUCCAAAUUCUACUCCAAGAAAGAUUGCACAAAUCAGAUUUGGUUCUCUAUUCAAAACAAUUCGGUUGCCCCUUUCUUUCCUUGCCUUUUUUUUUUUCUCUUGCCAACCAAUUCCUCUUUUCUUUCUUCUUUUUUUUUGUCUUUUUUUGACUACAACUAUCAACCACGACACAAAACAAGGAAGUCCACAAAUAAUAACAACCAAGAACUCCAAGAUCUUUCAAGAACGUUCAAGGAAGUUGUCAGGAACUUCAGAAAUUUCAAGAUUGUGGUCAAGAAUUCAAGAAGCUCAAGAUUAUUGUAAGUUCUCUUCACGAUUCACAAAAUUCCAACAAUUUUUGCCAAAAUUCAGAUUUGAAAACCAAGUAAACAAGUUGGAUAACACAAACAACAAGGCUGGACAGAUUUGUAUUCGGAUGAACAGAACCCUAUGAACAGUAUCAGUGAACAGUGUCGGUGAACAGUAACGAUGAACAGUAAUAUUUUUUUUUUUUUUUUGGUUCUGAACAAACGAACAGAUUGGGAUAAACACAUAUGACUCGAAAUAAACGAAAACAAAAAAAAAGAUAUAACCUGGUGGUUGUCAACUAGCUCUGGUACCAACUGAUGUGAAACCCCGAUCUAGACAACCAAAACACCAUGGCUUAGGCAGCGAAAAUUUGACCCAACUAAUCCCUAGAAGUCACGAACAAUUUUGAUAUUAUCUCAACCCGUAACUACUCGAAUUAACGAACCAAAUUGGAGGUAGUAGAACGCCACAAUCAAGGAGAUACUCGAUUGAUAAGUUCGGGUGAAUAACUUGAGAAGAUUCUCAAGUAUUCAAAGGCAACUCUCUUGCCAAAGAGAAAGUGAAAACUCACUAAUUGUAUUUAAUAGCCAAAAACUCGUCCCAAAACAAAGAGGAAGUGAGGCUAUUUAUAGCCCUUACAAGCAUUAACCCUAAUCCAAAAGUUGACCAAACUACCCUACAUACUCAAGAAAGAUUUUGGGCCUUACUUACUAACAAAUGGGCCGCAAUUAAACUAUCUUAAUUACCUAGAUUUUUAAAACGAGAAAUAACCAAAAUCAACGAGGAAAAUCAAAUAAUCCUACUAAACUCAAGCAUUCGUGCAAUCAACUAGUCUUCACUUGAAUCUUUCAAUUCCCCGUGUGCUUGAAUGGGCAUUGGUCUUUAUAUUCUCAUCAAUUUUCCUCUCCCUUUUAUUGACCAGAUGAUAGAAAGAUUGGCUGGUCGUGUUUACUAUUAUUUUUUGGAUAAUUUUUCAGGGUACUUCAGAUCUCGAUAGCACCGGAGGACCAGGAAAAGACCACAUUCACCUGCCCAUUUGGUACUUUUGCGUACCGUAGGAUGCCUUUCGAUCUUUGCAAUGCUCCAACAACUUUUCAAAGGUACAUGGUAAGUAUUUUCUCCGAAUAUGUAAAAAGAUUAUUGAUGUGUUCAUGAAUGAUUUUAGUGUAUACGGGGAUAGCUUUGAUGAAUGUUUCGAUAAUUUAGCUGUAAUUUUGAAAAUGUGCAUAGAGACGAACUUAGUUCUUAAUUGGAAAAAAUGCGCUUUAUGGUAGAGUAUGGUAUUGUCUUAGGGCACGUUGUGUCGGCUAAGGGAAUAGAGGUAGAUAAAGCAAAAAUAGAUCUAAUUUCUACUUUGCCUUACCCUGUAUGUGUACGGGAAGUACGUUUCUUUUUGGGCCAUACAGGAUUUUAUAGGAGGUUCAUCAAGGAUUUCUCAAAGAUUGGAGCACCCCUAUUCGAGUUGCUGCAAAAGGACGUGACAUUCGAUUUCACCAAUGAAUAUAAGGUGGCUUUUGAUAAAUUAAAGGAGUCGUUGACAUCGCCGCCCGUCAUUCAACCCCCAGAUUGGAGCCUACCGUUUGAAAUAAUGUGCGAUGCGAGUGAUUAUGAGGUAGAAGCAGUGUUGGGCCAAAGGAUUGGCAAGGUGGCGCAUGCAAUUUACUAUGCGUCGAAAGCAUUGAGUGGAGCUCAACUUAACUACUCCACGACGGAGAAAGAAUUACUAGCCGUUGUUUUUGCACUAGAAAAAUUUAGGUCAUAUUUAUUAGGUGCAUGUAGACACCAAAAAUUUCAUCGAUUCAGUUUUAGCUUUAUUCAUUCAAUUUUGACUUCCUUUGAUUCAAUUUUUAGUUUUAUUAUUAUUAUUUAUUCUUGUCUCAUAUUUAUUAUUUUUAAUUGAUUGGAGGUUGCAAAUGGUAAUUGAUGUUCAUUCUUAUUUUAAAUGCAUUAAAAUUCAUCAUUUUCUUUUUAAAGCAAUUUUACACUAAAUUUUAGGAAAAUCCCGAAUAAAGAUCCAUUUUAUCUUUUUAAAAUUUGAUUUUUUCUUGCUAAGGCAUUUUGCAAGGUAAUUUUUAAAAAUUAAGCAUGUUAAACAAGUGUGUCAAUUGCAUGUUGAACAAGUGUGCAAAUAAGCAUUAGACAAGUGGUUGAGGAAUGGUAGGACAAGUGUAUAGGGGGUAGCUGUCAAGGACACUUGGGGGGUUUUUUGGGGGGCAUCGGAAAAAAAAGGAAGAAAAAACCCUCGAAGAGGCUUGAAAACAGGGGGAAGAGAAAAGAGCUAAAAACAGGGAGGGGGCUUCGGAGGAAAGGGGAGAGGAAAAACGAAAUCGAAAAAGGAGGGGAGAGUAGGGAAAAAUCUGGGGAGAGUCUGUGGGCUAAGAAAAACAGCGGAGAGAUAGCGGAAAAAAAGGAGAAAAAGAACGGCUGAGGGGAAGGCUAAAAAUCUGAAAAGAGAAGAAGGCUUCGGCUGGGAGAAGCUGGAGUGGAAAAAAUAGAAAAAGGGAGAACGGCUGCGGUUGAGGGCCGAGAGAGUGGAGAGCCGAGGAGGAAAAAUCAGAAAAGGAGGAGAAAAAUCAAGGGCGGCGGAUGAAGGGAAAAGCUGGGAAAAUUAGAAACAGAGAAAGAGAGGAUAGCAGCGGACAAAGAGCUUGCGACUGAGGAAGCAGAGCAGCUGGAACUGCCGUUCGCGGGAAGCUGUUGCCGCCCUCUUCCGUCACGCGCGACGCCAGCUUCAUCGCUUCUUCCAUCAUAGUUCAAGCUCCGCCCUCUGCCGGCACAAACAAGUGGCCAACCGCCCGCCCAAGCAACCAAAUCCGAGAUCAGCACCCGCAAAAUUUUACCAAGAAACAAACGGUAAGCCACCAUCAUCCUUCAAAUUUCAGUUUUCAUGUAAGUUUUCGAAGCGUGUUUUAUUUUUCACGUUGUGGCUUGUAGCCAUUUCUCUGUUGAAUUAUUCACUAAUUGGAAGUAUGUAUGCUUUGAAUGUCGAUUGGACUGGAGUUUUCUUGCAUUUGAUGAAAUUUUGGGUGCUGAUUCAUGUCAAUUGAGCGAGAAAUUGGUGAAGUUUUUUAAUGGCUGUUUGUUGUUCGACAGAAUGCUUCAAUGAAAGUUCGGCCUGAAGAAUGGAUUAAUUUCUGAUUUAUAUACGUUCGACUGUUUCAUGCUUGUCAAAAUAAUUGAUUCGAAUGGGUUUGUUUGGGCGUCCGUUUGUUUUGGCAAUCUGCUCCGCUUCUCGUUUGUUUGGUGUUCCUCUUGUAUGGAUUUAAAUUCAUGACAUAAAAUGGCGUGCGAGGGGAUUCAUGUGAGAGUCAUUUGUUUUGCUUUUGUUUUGUUUUGUUGAUUGGAGUCCGAAGUUGAAUUUUCUGGUUGCAAAGAGGAAUGAAAUAGCAGCGAACGUUGAGCCAAUUUGGGAAGAAGAGGAUUGCUUGAUUAAAUUCAUGAUUCCAGUCCCUCAAUUUCCCUUUCCAUUAUGAUUUAACCCCAGAAUUUUAGGACUUCAUAAUUUUUCCUCCAACACCUUCAUAAGUCCUUCAAUUAGGUCCCUGCUCUUGUUGCAUUUUAACCCCUCAGCUUCCCCUUGUUCUGAUAUGACCCGAAAAGUGGAAAAAGUGCGUUUGUUUCUCCCUUCUAGAUUUAAAUCAUCUUCUAAUAAGCAUGAAUAGUCCUUUUACUAGAUUAAUUCUUGUUUGUAGGUUCUAAUUGUGGUUCAAUAAUUUAUUUUGAUUUUAUCAUGUUGGGUUUAAUGAAACAAGUGCCUUGGGCUAAGAGGUUAUUUUUGUUUGGGUUUAAGAAAGUCGUUUUAGUUUAUUUUGUUUGGUUUUUUGGUUCGGGCUAGAGGGUCAAGGCCCAUCUAUUUGGUUGGCUAAUUUUUGGGCCAGGAUAUUAUACUAGCCCACUUGUUUUCCUUGGACUUUCGAUUGGGCCAAGUUAUCUUGGCCCAAGAAAGGUGAAGAUGGCCCAUUCCCUUUUUGUUUUGGAUUUUCGGUUGGGCUUGUAAGGCUUUGGCCCAAACAAAUAAAGGAAAUGGCCCAAUGGCUUGGUCCAUUAAGAAACCAGAAAACGAUUUUGCAAAUCAGUCCCUGAAUUUCUCCCUAAUUGUAUUGUGGCCCUGGACAUUUUCAACUUCUUUCAAUUCGGUCCUUGCUUUAAUUGCAAAUAGGUCCCUGAACUUUAUUUUUCUUUAAUUUUGACCUCCAAACUUUGUCAAUCUUUGCAAUCAGGUCCUUUCUUCUCUUGACUUCUUAAAUGUGAAUUGUCGACAUGAUUUAAUUGAUUCAAAUUCAUGCUUAUUUUUUAUCCUUUGUGAUUAUUUGCCAAAUAAAUUGGUACCUUGACCUUUUUAUUGUUUUGAAGCUAAUAUCUCAUUUACUCGAUUUCCGUUGCGAGGGAGGUAACUUCUAUAUUUUUGAGUUUAUUUUUUCCUACGUGCUCCUACGUGUUAUGUGAAUAUGCCUGUCUACUUUGCUUUCUUUGCCUUUCUUUAAUUCUUUUCAUUUUUUUUUACUUACUUUUGCUUUUUAUUUAAGUUAUUCAUUAUGGGGUAUGUGUACACCUCUUGGCUUGUAAUAGUUAGGGAUUUAAUUAUUUUAUUCUUUUCCCCCUUUUAGAUUGUAGUGGGGUCUCCCUAAUGUAAUAGAUAGGGUUUGGAGGAGCAUUCAAUGAAGACCUAUCGAAGACUUGUGCCUAGCUAGCAAAUGUAAUAGUUAGGGCUUUAAUUGUCUCAUGUGCCUUGCAUGCUUAGUUGCUACGUGUUAAUUUGCUUUGCUAGGGCCUUGCAUCUAGUCGAGCAUGCAAAAUGUUAUGUGCUAUGUGUUUAUAAGUGUUUGGCAUGUCUACUCGCUUUCCAUAGCCUGAAUAAAUGUGAUGGAUGAAUGUACGUCACCACACUAGUCCAAUGCUAGUUGUGGCUCAUUAUUUCAUUAGGAAUUCAUAGAAAGGGCUAGUCCAACGCUAGACCCAAUAGGAUUUUUCCUUUGUUUUUCAUUAAUGCAUUAUUUGCCUGUUCACUACAUAUCAUGCAUUUUUCCUUAGUUUUAUCAUCUGGCAUGCUCCUCGAUUCCCCUUUCCCCUCACUUUAGGAUUUUUGCAUUUCAUGCUAGUUAUAGGGUUCAUUUGCCUGAAGAGUCCCCUUCUGAUAAGGGAAACGAGCGAGUGUGGCUACUCGAUAGCCUUAGCACGCUAGUUUCGCCUUCUAAUCAAAGGGAAGAUUAAGUCACAAAGUUAGGACUCCCCGUUCCCGUCUUGAUGCAUUCCUAUAGGAUUCAUGCAUUCUAUUCAUUCACUAUCACAUACACUUACUUUAUAUUCUAACCCUUUUUCCACAUUCUCACUUCACACUACUUUUACACGUUUUCAUUUAACUACUCACACUCUAUGCCAUAUCACUCGCACACAUGCACUUUAUAUUAUUUUCACAUUAUCAUUCUUUACUCACCUUACCUUGUAAAUACAUUUGCACACCUCCACUUUUCUCACUUCACAUAAACUUACAUUUUCACAUGACAUGCACCCCAUUCAUUUUUACGUCAUUUAGGAUUACGUGUGACCUCUCCAAAGGAUCAUUAUUGGGCUUCACAAUUAAUGUGAUUGGCACCACUCAACCUUUGAAGAGAAAUUUCCCCCAAUACCCCUAGGUCUAGGGUUUUGCAUUCAUAUAGACAUAUCCAACACGCGAUACAUACCUUGGGUAGAAAAAUUAGGAAAAAUUGGUUUAAGUCACGCAACUAGCCUUGGCUAGGUCGAAGGGGUGCCUUGGAUUUUUUAUCCUUGCCUUCCCCUUCGUCAAAUGUGACCCCCGAUCCCUCUUUUUGGUUACGUAGACCCAAAAGUUCUUUAAAAGGGUUUAUUUACUUUUUUUAUUCAAAAACAAAAAACCAUUUUUUGGGUGACUUGGUACACCCUAACCCUAUACCAAGUGGCGACUCCAUUUUUGAUACAAAAAACCCUUUUUGAACUUUAUAUGGCCAAACCGUCGCAUUAUCAAGUCCCAUGGCCUUUUACUUUUCAUUUACACACGUUCACAUUCCAUUACACCACUCACAUCUCACACCACACACACACCACAACUCAUCAUCUUCGAAAAGUGGGGCGCGACAGUUGGCGACUCCACUGGGGAAGCUCCUAAGUGGGUCCGAGCAUUUGACUUAGCCAUUCGUUUCCUUUUUCUACCCUUUUUAUGCAUUGCACUUGGAUAUUAGGGUUGCAUUUUUUUUAUUUUAGGCCUUUUUGCCUCGUGCGCGUAUCCAACUAUUCCCUCACUCACGUACGUGUGAUUGGUUGAUUGGAUGUAUGUUUACUUGUUUAUCUCGCGCUUGCAUUGCAUUUGGGAGGGGGCGUGUCACCUUUAGAGCCUCACGUUGGUUCUCAACCCCUUCCCUCAAAAUAGGGGAGCACUUCAUACGUGCACGUUUACUUGCUUUUAUCCCAUUUUAUUUUGUUUUUCGUGGGCGUUUCCCACACCGCCUUGUAGGAUUAGGAUCGAUUGCCUUGGGUAGGCGGCUGGUGUGCUCUGCGCCCAUAACGCUACCUAAGGGAUCACUCGAGCCACCGAUCAAAGGCCUUGGGAGUGAUGACCCUUUGCCUUUAGGUCUGAAGGCUUGGGAGCCGAAGCUUUAUCGAGUCUAGGCAUUAAUGAACCAAACCUCAUGCAUCCAUGUUAGCAUUUGCCUAGGGUAGAGUCAGCCUCACCCUUUUUAAGCACAAUUAGGCACGAGGGAAGGGGUUCCACCCCUUUUUAUUGGCUUUUAUUGUAUUUCUUUUUCUUAAUUGCUCCCAAUAUGUUAUGUGUAUUACCAAUUGCACUAACCAUUCUUUUGUUUUCUUGGCUUGCAUUCAUAUGCCCUAGCAAUAAGAGGCCCUUUUGGCACUCUUUUAGUGACCUAUCCACUAGAUAACUCACAUGUUUAAAUUUCAGUCAUUAUACUUAAUAAAUACAUUUCAUUUUAGACCUUUUUUCCCCCGAUGCAUUAUUUAUGUCCCUUAGGUCAUAUUUGUCACAUAUUUACAUCGCUUUAAUAAAUGACAUCAUGCAUAAACCCUAGAAAGGGAAUGCCAUUUAGGGGAUCCCGUGUCAGGAAUAAGCCACCUUGUGUCUCGGAUACUUAAUCCAGUGAGACUUGCACGUUUACAUUUUGUACCAUCCAAAGGGGGUAGUGCACAAGGUAAGGUAGGAUCCGAUCAUUUUCAUAGAGUGAUCUUUGGGAUAUGAGCAUCUAAUAAUCACUUUUUGGCCAUUUUAUCAAAAAUUGGUAAAAAUUCCUUGCGUGAAGGACAGUAAUUUGAAGAAAUUCACAAAUGAUUCCUUCUAUUGAGACGAUAAAUAAAUUGAGGCCAAAAUUUGAUUUUUAGAAGCUCAUAGACUAAUGCAUCUCAAUCAUUUUGAAAUCACCAAUGGCCGGACAAUUCAACCAAUCCAUUUUACCCAUUCAUUCAAUAAAUCAUCAAUUCAUUUGAUCAAUUUACCCUUUUUAGGGUCAUCCGGUCGAUUUUGAAUAAAUCGUCAAUUCAUUUGACCAAUUUACCCUUUUUAGGGUCACCUGGUCGAUUUUCAAUAAAUCAUCAAUUCAUUUGAUCAAUUUACCCUUUUUAGGGUCACCUGGUCGAUUUUGAAUAAAUCGUCAAUUCAUUUGACCAAUUUACCCUUUUUAGGGUCAUCCGGUCGAUUUUGAAUAAAUCAUCAAUUCAUUUGACCGAUUUACCCUUUUUAGGAUCGUUCGGCCGAUUUUUGAACAAGUCACUAAUUCAAUUUCAUUCAUUUGGCCAAUUUACCUUUUUUUAGGGCAACCGAGCCGUUUUUUGACCUGUUUCCCUUCUAGGGUAAUCCGGUCGAUUUUCAAUAAAUUGUCAAUUUCAUUUGACCAAUUAGGAUUUCAAUGUCGAAUUCCAAAUUGGGAAAUCUAGUCAAUUUUGAAGAAAACCGUCCAUUGCAUCCAAUCACUUGAUCAAUUAGGGUUUUUGACCCGUAAUUCACUGAGAAAUUUUAUCAACGAAUUCCAAUCUCUUCGAUAGGAGUUCGUCAAGGUCAAACCCAUGCGUUUUGCAAAUCAAAGGUGAUCAAUCUAUUCGGACGUUGUCCUCAUUUUGACAAAUCUCUUGCCACUCCAAUGGCCAAAUUUUUCAAAUUAUUUUUCACUCAAUGAGUUGAUCAGAUCCGUCAGGUAUGGUAUAGUGCUUCCCUAGAGGAUUGCAUUUUCAUGCUAGGCCUACCCUUGGCAUAAAAAGGGUUCCCCCAUAGGACAUGCAUACCGAUUUUUUUUUAUUCUUACUUACUGACUCUGGGUAUUUUUCUUUUUGUUUUCCCCUCCCCCUGCAUUUAUAAAAAUGUUUCAAUAAGGCGAGAAUAUUCUUCUAUAUCUGAUAAUUUUGAUCCAAUAAAGCUUGAAGAUUACAAGUAUUACUUGAUUUUUAGGUAGACAUUGCCGCGAAAGCAUAAAGGGGAAAUUCUAUUUAUUUGAUUUGUUAAUACAUUUUGUUCCAAAAGAAAAGGAGACAAAAAGUGUAUGUGUUGAGCUCUUUACGAGUUUCUCUCUUCUCAUUUGUAUCAUAAUUGAUUGAGCAAUUUUGUUUCAAACUUUUUCAACAAUAAAAUUUUUUGGAUAAUUUUUGUUUUGUGUAUAUUUAUGUACAUUUCAUUCUUUAUUCUUACUCAUUGGAGAUUUCAUGAUGAUUUUUGAGAAAUAAGACCCAAUUUGAGAUUUUUCAACCUAUAGCCUGAAUUUCACAAGUGUGUGCUUCCUAAAAUCCUUACACUCGAUUGGUGUUCCAACCUGUACAAUAAGAGUGCUCAGAAAGAAAGAGAGUGAACGGUCACUCAAAAGGCCCUAUGAGAUACCUUUCUCCUUCACUUAAUUCCAAAAUAAAAUCAGUCACAUUGAUUGAUAAAUUGUAAAUUGGGGUAACUUUUGCUUGAAAAUGUUCAAGGCGUCUAAUCUGGUUCAAUCACAUCUAAGUGAAAGCAAAAAUGUGCAUUAUUCUUAUUUGUUUGGAAAAUUUGGAAUGAUACUUCAAGCAUUCGUUUCAUUACCUGUACAGAUUUUUAUCAUUUGCUCUCCCAUUUGAGCUUCUAAAAGAAUAAUUUCGUUUCAAAUAAGGGUCUUAAUGAUCACUACCCGUCAUUGAAAAAUUUUCAAAUAUCAAAAGAAGAAUGGGUUUUCAAUGACCAUUUCGCUACUUCGGUUGUCAUGAGGUAUAAGAAUGAUACUUUGGCCGUCAGUUCUACAAUCUAAACACUGAUCAUCCCUUGCAUCCUCGUUUGAGCUAAAUUGGUGGUUCUUUUCGAGUGCACAUAUGAUCGCACCCCACAUUGGGGAAGGAGAUUGGGAAAUUUUGAAAAAAGGGAAAAGAAAAGGGGAAAAGCAAAAAAUGCUAGAAUAAGGAGGGAACCGCAAAUUUGGGGAAUUUGAUUCCACUUGGGUUCCAAUUUUGAAAAAAAAAAAGAAAAGAAAAAGAAGAAAACAAGUUCUAUCCGGUGGAUCACUUAUGUUUCAUAGACAUGAAUGAGCAAGGGUCUUCCUCAGUCAGUUAAUUCAGAUACAUGCCAAAAAUUUCCCAUUAAUGAAAAUUUCUUUUCAGAGUUAAUGUAAGGAACGGAAUACAAGUCAGGCCAUCUUCUUUUCCGAUCAAGCAUCUAUCCCUAGUUAUCCCUUUUGAGCAUUCAGAAUGAAAUACUUCGUUUGGCAACCCCUGAGAAUCGCAAACCCCACACUGGGGCAAGUUGGUUUGAAAAAGGAAAAUUUCAAGAAGCGGAAAAGUGAAAAGCCACAAAAUCAAAAGGCAAAGGAAGAAAAGAGAACCUCAGUUCAAAAAUAAACUGGGGCAAAUUUUGUGAAAGUUCGAAAAAAUGGCCGAAGGCCGAAAAAUCAAAAGAAAGAAAAUAAAAGUGAAAAAGCCUCAAUUGAGCAAAAACUGGGGCAAAUUCUGAUUUUACCCUAAAAUAGGGUUGACGCAACAAUGCGAUUUCAGAUUCUUCAAACCACUUUUGAAAUCCGCUUUCAAGCCUUAACUUUUCUAAGCACCCCACCUGACCCCAUUACAAAAGCCAAAAGUCCUGACUUCUGUUCUUUGCAAUGGCCCUGUCAAGAAAAUUUCUGAUGCCGGAAAAUUUUAGCUGUAUUGCUGAAUUGCUUGAGUAUGAGGUUGGCGCUACUCAUGUGAAAACCCAUCAGCUCGAGGGAAAAGAAAAGAGGCAAAAAGCAAAGCAAGAAAAGUAAAUGCAAGGAAAAUGCAAAAAGACUUGACGCUGAAGUCCCUGGGGAAUGAUGAGAAAAUCCAAACAAAGUCUGAAAUCUUUUGAGUUCAAAUAGGGGCAAUUUUGGAAAAAUGUGAUCUUCGGUGCAAUGUCCUUGAAAGUUUUAUUCUUUAGCUAUCGUUUUUCAAGCCAAAUUACAAGCUAAGAAAGUCCAUCGUUGACUUAUUCCUUCAUGACAAUCCAAAGUGAGGAUCAUACUCAUAAGAAAUUCAUCAAAUCAUUUGUGAUCAUAAGGGUAUAACCCGUUUCCACAUGUUUAGCUAUCACUUCUGUCCAUACGUUACAAGCCUAGAAAGCUGGUAUGUUGACUAAGUUUUCUUGAAAAAUAAGGGUGACAAACUCUUUGCUUUCACUAAGAUGUGACAUUGAAUGGAUUACAUACAAUUGGGGCACAAAAAUGAGACAGAUUCUGACCUCUCAUUUUCCUUCAGCCACUUCCAAAUCAAAAAUAAAGUCACUUGAUUGGUCCUGAAAAAUGAGCCAACCAGAAGUGGUGACCCGUUACCCUAAACACCAAUGCUAAAAGUGAGGAAGAAAUCUUCUUGAAUUUGGUGUUACUUCGAGGAAUUCAUCAUGAAAUUUCUGCAUGAGUUUCAAACUUGACGUUUAAAGUUUCUUCACAUUGUUGUAUAUGUGCACUCUUUUCUAAAUUUUAGAAAGUGCGGUUUUUCUUUGUUCAAAUCAAUGGGAAAUCAUCUGAACAAAUUUUUGCAAUUAAGGGAGCCCACACUGGGGCAAAAAUUUUAUUUGUGAGAUUUCAUGAAAUAAGCCCAUACUGGGGCAAAUUUUUUGUAAUACAUUUGAGAUUUGUGUCCAAAAAUCAAAUAAUAACAUUUUUCGAAACAAUCCCGCUGCUCUUUUCCUGGAAUUUAAGUGCAUGUCAUACUUUGAUGAACCCCUUGUACAGGUAUUCAUGAUUCAAAAUGACGAAAGGCAUCCAGUAAGGCGGAAGGCCGAUACUGCAAAGAGAAGCAAGAAGAAGGAGGAAAAAUGGACACUACACUUGGGGCAAAUUAUUUUUUUAAAAUUUUUGAAAAAAGGGAAAAAAGAAGGAAAAAAGAAAAAAAGAGAAAAAACCAAAAAUCAAAUCAAAAAGUCAAAAAUCAAGUUCAAAUUCUUGUUUCUUGAAAAAUCAAAUUUGAUUUCUUGUGGGCGAAGCUCCAAUGCACGCCGCGCAUCAUUCUGUUCCCCCCUUCUCUUGACAUUCCAAAUCAAGUUGGGCCUGGAUUUCGUGCCACCAACAUCAUUUUAUCACGUUGGGCCUGGACUUGGUGCCGCCAACAUCACUUUAUCACGUUGGGCCUGGACUUGGUGCCGCCAACAUCACUUUAUCACGUUGGGCCUGGACUUGGUGCCGCCAACAUCACUUUAUCACGUUGGGCCUGGACUUGGUGCCGCCAACUUCACUUUAUCACGUUGGGCCUGGACUUGGUGCCGCCAACAUCACUUUAUCACGUUGGGCUUGGUUUUCGUGCCACCAACUUCGCUUUGUCACGUUGGGCUUGGAUUUAGUGCCACCAACAUUACAAAAGUCACAUUGGACCGGGUUUUAUCCCGCCAAUCUCGGCAGGACCGGGUCUAAUCCCGCUGACCGCUUACAGGACCGGGUCUAAUCCCGCUGACAGGCAGGACCGGGUCUAAUCCCGCUGACCGCUUACUUCGGCAGGACCGGGUCUAAUCCCGCUGACCGCUCACCUCGGCAGGACCGGGUCUAAUCCCGCUGACCGCUCACCUCGGCAGGACCGGGUCUAAUCCCGCUGACCGCUCACCUCGGCAGGACCGGGUUUUAUCCCGCUGACCGUCCACACCCCGUCGGCCUCAGAUGUUAUCCCACCGACCAAUUCAUCACACUGGGGCAAAUUUUUUAGAUAAUUUUUCAAACAAGUCCUAUACAGUUCUCUAUUUAAUUUUCUGUUCGGGUCUAUCCCAUGGGUCUGUCCCAUCUACAUUUUUAUCCGAGUCUAUCGCAUUUACAUUCCUGUCCGGGUCUAUCCCGUUUACAAUUCUGUUCAGGCCAGUCCCAUGUUUGAAAUUCCUUGUUUAGGUCAGCCCUCCGAAUAGGGGCAACCGAAUGGUACAGGUAAGCAUUUGGUGUCUACUUCUUUGUCUCAAGUUUUUUCAAAACUCAGACAAAGAGGGGCAAACUGUAGACACCAAAAAUUUCAUCGAUUCAGUUUUAGCUUUAUUCAUUCAAUUUUGACUUCCUUUGAUUCAAUUUUUAGUUUUAUUAUUAUUAUUUAUUCUUGUCUCAUAUUUAUUAUUUUUAAUUGAUUGGAGGUUGCAAAUGGUAAUUGAUGUUCAUUCUUAUUUUAAAUGCAUUAAAAUUCAUCAUUUUCUUUUUAAAGCAAUUUUACACUAAAUUUUAGGAAAAUCCCGAAUAAAGAUCCAUUUUAUCUUUUUAAAAUUUGAUUUUUUCUUGCUAAGGCAUUUUGCAAGGUAAUUUUUAAAAAUUAAGCAUGUUAAACAAGUGUGUCAAUUGCAUGUUGAACAAGUGUGCAAAUAAGCAUUAGACAAGUGGUUGAGGAAUGGUAGGACAAGUGUAUAGGGGGUAGCUGUCAAGGACACUUGGGGGGUUUUUUGGGGGGCAUCGGAAAAAAAAGGAAGAAAAAACCCUCGAAGAGGCUUGAAAACAGGGGGAAGAGAAAAGAGCUAAAAACAGGGAGGGGGCUUCGGAGGAAAGGGGAGAGGAAAAACGAAAUCGAAAAAGGAGGGGAGAGUAGGGAAAAAUCUGGGGAGAGUCUGUGGGCUAAGAAAAACAGCGGAGAGAUAGCGGAAAAAAAGGAGAAAAAGAACGGCUGAGGGGAAGGCUAAAAAUCUGAAAAGAGAAGAAGGCUUCGGCUGGGAGAAGCUGGAGUGGAAAAAAUAGAAAAAGGGAGAACGGCUGCGGUUGAGGGCCGAGAGAGUGGAGAGCCGAGGAGGAAAAAUCAGAAAAGGAGGAGAAAAAUCAAGGGCGGCGGAUGAAGGGAAAAGCUGGGAAAAUUAGAAACAGAGAAAGAGAGGAUAGCAGCGGACAAAGAGCUUGCGACUGAGGAAGCAGAGCAGCUGGAACUGCCGUUCGCGGGAAGCUGUUGCCGCCCUCUUCCGUCACGCGCGACGCCAGCUUCAUCGCUUCUUCCAUCAUAGUUCAAGCUCCGCCCUCUGCCGGCACAAACAAGUGGCCAACCGCCCGCCCAAGCAACCAAAUCCGAGAUCAGCACCCGCAAAAUUUUACCAAGAAACAAACGGUAAGCCACCAUCAUCCUUCAAAUUUCAGUUUUCAUGUAAGUUUUCGAAGCGUGUUUUAUUUUUCACGUUGUGGCUUGUAGCCAUUUCUCUGUUGAAUUAUUCACUAAUUGGAAGUAUGUAUGCUUUGAAUGUCGAUUGGACUGGAGUUUUCUUGCAUUUGAUGAAAUUUUGGGUGCUGAUUCAUGUCAAUUGGGCGAGAAAUUGGUGAAGUUUUUUAAUGGCUGUUUGUUGUUCGACAGAAUGCUUCAAUGAAAGUUCGGCCUGAAGAAUGGAUUAAUUUCUGAUUUAUAUACGUUCGACUGUUUCAUGCUUGUCAAAAUAAUUGAUUCGAAUGGGUUUGUUUGGGCGUCCGUUUGUUUUGGCAAUCUGCUCCGCUUCUCGUUUGUUUGGUGUUCCUCUUGUAUGGAUUUAAAUUCAUGACAUAAAAUGGCGUGCGAGGGGAUUCAUGUGAGAGUCAUUUGUUUUGCUUUUGUUUUGUUUUGUUGAUUGGAGUCCGAAGUUGAAUUUUCUGGUUGCAAAGAGGAAUGAAAUAGCAGCGAACGUUGAGCCAAUUUGGGAAGAAGAGGAUUGCUUGAUUAAAUUCAUGAUUCCAGUCCCUCAAUUUCCCUUUCCAUUAUGAUUUAACCCCAGAAUUUUAGGACUUCAUAAUUUUUCCUCCAACACCUUCAUAAGUCCUUCAAUUAGGUCCCUGCUCUUGUUGCAUUUUAACCCCUCAGCUUCCCCUUGUUCUGAUAUGACCCGAAAAGUGGAAAAAGUGCGUUUGUUUCUCCCUUCUAGAUUUAAAUCAUCUUCUAAUAAGCAUGAAUAGUCCUUUUACUAGAUUAAUUCUUGUUUGUAGGUUCUAAUUGUGGUUCAAUAAUUUAUUUUGAUUUUAUCAUGUUGGGUUUAAUGAAACAAGUGCCUUGGGCUAAGAGGUUAUUUUUGUUUGGGUUUAAGAAAGUCGUUUUAGUUUAUUUUGUUUGGUUUUUUGGUUCGGGCUAGAGGGUCAAGGCCCAUCUAUUUGGUUGGCUAAUUUUUGGGCCAGGAUAUUAUACUAGCCCACUUGUUUUCCUUGGACUUUCGAUUGGGCCAAGUUAUCUUGGCCCAAGAAAGGUGAAGAUGGCCCAUUCCCUUUUUGUUUUGGAUUUUCGGUUGGGCUUGUAAGGCUUUGGCCCAAACAAAUAAAGGAAAUGGCCCAAUGGCUUGGUCCAUUAAGAAACCAGAAAACGAUUUUGCAAAUCAGUCCCUGAAUUUCUCCCUAAUUGUAUUGUGGCCCUGGACAUUUUCAACUUCUUUCAAUUCGGUCCUUGCUUUAAUUGCAAAUAGGUCCCUGAACUUUAUUUUUCUUUAAUUUUGACCUCCAAACUUUGUCAAUCUUUGCAAUCAGGUCCUUUCUUCUCUUGACUUCUUAAAUGUGAAUUGUCGACAUGAUUUAAUUGAUUCAAAUUCAUGCUUAUUUUUUAUCCUUUGUGAUUAUUUGCCAAAUAAAUUGGUACCUUGACCUUUUUAUUGUUUUGAAGCUAAUAUCUCAUUUACUCGAUUUCCGUUGCGAGGGAGGUAACUUCUAUAUUUUUGAGUUUAUUUUUUCCUACGUGCUCCUACGUGUUAUGUGAAUAUGCCUGUCUACUUUGCUUUCUUUGCCUUUCUUUAAUUCUUUUCAUUUUUUUUUACUUACUUUUGCUUUUUAUUUAAGUUAUUCAUUAUGGGGUAUGUGUACACCUCUUGGCUUGUAAUAGUUAGGGAUUUAAUUAUUUUAUUCUUUUCCCCCUUUUAGAUUGUAGUGGGGUCUCCCUAAUGUAAUAGAUAGGGUUUGGAGGAGCAUUCAAUGAAGACCUAUCGAAGACUUGUGCCUAGCUAGCAAAUGUAAUAGUUAGGGCUUUAAUUGUCUCAUGUGCCUUGCAUGCUUAGUUGCUACGUGUUAAUUUGCUUUGCUAGGGCCUUGCAUCUAGUCGAGCAUGCAAAAUGUUAUGUGCUAUGUGUUUAUAAGUGUUUGGCAUGUCUACUCGCUUUCCAUAGCCUGAAUAAAUGUGAUGGAUGAAUGUACGUCACCACACUAGUCCAAUGCUAGUUGUGGCUCAUUAUUUCAUUAGGAAUUCAUAGAAAGGGCUAGUCCAACGCUAGACCCAAUAGGAUUUUUCCUUUGUUUUUCAUUAAUGCAUUAUUUGCCUGUUCACUACAUAUCAUGCAUUUUUCCUUAGUUUUAUCAUCUGGCAUGCUCCUCGAUUCCCCUUUCCCCUCACUUUAGGAUUUUUGCAUUUCAUGCUAGUUAUAGGGUUCAUUUGCCUGAAGAGUCCCCUUCUGAUAAGGGAAACGAGCGAGUGUGGCUACUCGAUAGCCUUAGCACGCUAGUUUCGCCUUCUAAUCAAAGGGAAGAUUAAGUCACAAAGUUAGGACUCCCCGUUCCCGUCUUGAUGCAUUCCUAUAGGAUUCAUGCAUUCUAUUCAUUCACUAUCACAUACACUUACUUUAUAUUCUAACCCUUUUUCCACAUUCUCACUUCACACUACUUUUACACGUUUUCAUUUAACUACUCACACUCUAUGCCAUAUCACUCGCACACAUGCACUUUAUAUUAUUUUCACAUUAUCAUUCUUUACUCACCUUACCUUGUAAAUACAUUUGCACACCUCCACUUUUCUCACUUCACAUAAACUUACAUUUUCACAUGACAUGCACCCCAUUCAUUUUUACGUCAUUUAGGAUUACGUGUGACCUCUCCAAAGGAUCAUUAUUGGGCUUCACAAUUAAUGUGAUUGGCACCACUCAACCUUUGAAGAGAAAUUUCCCCCAAUACCCCUAGGUCUAGGGUUUUGCAUUCAUAUAGACAUAUCCAACACGCGAUACAUACCUUGGGUAGAAAAAUUAGGAAAAAUUGGUUUAAGUCACGCAACUAGCCUUGGCUAGGUCGAAGGGGUGCCUUGGAUUUUUUAUCCUUGCCUUCCCCUUCGUCAAAUGUGACCCCCGAUCCCUCUUUUUGGUUACGUAGACCCAAAAGUUCUUUAAAAGGGUUUAUUUACUUUUUUUAUUCAAAAACAAAAAACCAUUUUUUGGGUGACUUGGUACACCCUAACCCUAUACCAAGUGGCGACUCCAUUUUUGAUACAAAAAACCCUUUUUGAACUUUAUAUGGCCAAACCGUCGCAUUAUCAAGUCCCAUGGCCUUUUACUUUUCAUUUACACACGUUCACAUUCCAUUACACCACUCACAUCUCACACCACACACACACCACAACUCAUCAUCUUCGAAAAGUGGGGCGCGACAGUUGGCGACUCCACUGGGGAAGCUCCUAAGUGGGUCCGAGCAUUUGACUUAGCCAUUCGUUUCCUUUUUCUACCCUUUUUAUGCAUUGCACUUGGAUAUUAGGGUUGCAUUUUUUUUAUUUUAGGCCUUUUUGCCUCGUGCGCGUAUCCAACUAUUCCCUCACUCACGUACGUGUGAUUGGUUGAUUGGAUGUAUGUUUACUUGUUUAUCUCGCGCUUGCAUUGCAUUUGGGAGGGGGCGUGUCACCUUUAGAGCCUCACGUUGGUUCUCAACCCCUUCCCUCAAAAUAGGGGAGCACUUCAUACGUGCACGUUUACUUGCUUUUAUCCCAUUUUAUUUUGUUUUUCGUGGGCGUUUCCCACACCGCCUUGUAGGAUUAGGAUCGAUUGCCUUGGGUAGGCGGCUGGUGUGCUCUGCGCCCAUAACGCUACCUAAGGGAUCACUCGAGCCACCGAUCAAAGGCCUUGGGAGUGAUGACCCUUUGCCUUUAGGUCUGAAGGCUUGGGAGCCGAAGCUUUAUCGAGUCUAGGCAUUAAUGAACCAAACCUCAUGCAUCCAUGUUAGCAUUUGCCUAGGGUAGAGUCAGCCUCACCCUUUUUAAGCACAAUUAGGCACGAGGGAAGGGGUUCCACCCCUUUUUAUUGGCUUUUAUUGUAUUUCUUUUUCUUAAUUGCUCCCAAUAUGUUAUGUGUAUUACCAAUUGCACUAACCAUUCUUUUGUUUUCUUGGCUUGCAUUCAUAUGCCCUAGCAAUAAGAGGCCCUUUUGGCACUCUUUUAGUGACCUAUCCACUAGAUAACUCACAUGUUUAAAUUUCAGUCAUUAUACUUAAUAAAUACAUUUCAUUUUAGACCUUUUUUCCCCCGAUGCAUUAUUUAUGUCCCUUAGGUCAUAUUUGUCACAUAUUUACAUCGCUUUAAUAAAUGACAUCAUGCAUAAACCCUAGAAAGGGAAUGCCAUUUAGGGGAUCCCGUGUCAGGAAUAAGCCACCUUGUGUCUCGGAUACUUAAUCCAGUGAGACUUGCACGUUUACAUUUUGUACCAUCCAAAGGGGGUAGUGCACAAAGUAAGGUAGGAUCCGAUCAUUUUCAUAGAGUGAUCUUUGGGAUAUGAGCAUCUAAUAAUCACUUUUUGGCCAUUUUAUCAAAAAUUGGUAAAAAUUCCUUGCGUGAAGGACAGUAAUUUGAAGAAAUUCACAAAUGAUUCCUUCUAUUGAGACGAUAAAUAAAUUGAGGCCAAAAUUUGAUUUUUAGAAGCUCAUAGACUAAUGCAUCUCAAUCAUUUUGAAAUCACCAAUGGCCGGACAAUUCAACCAAUCCAUUUUACCCAUUCAUUCAAUAAAUCAUCAAUUCAUUUGAUCAAUUUACCCUUUUUAGGGUCAUCCGGUCGAUUUUGAAUAAAUCGUCAAUUCAUUUGACCAAUUUACCCUUUUUAGGGUCACCUGGUCGAUUUUCAAUAAAUCAUCAAUUCAUUUGAUCAAUUUACCCUUUUUAGGGUCACCUGGUCGAUUUUGAAUAAAUCGUCAAUUCAUUUGACCAAUUUACCCUUUUUAGGGUCAUCCGGUCGAUUUUGAAUAAAUCAUCAAUUCAUUUGACCGAUUUACCCUUUUUAGGAUCGUUCGGCCGAUUUUUGAACAAGUCACUAAUUCAAUUUCAUUCAUUUGGCCAAUUUACCUUUUUUUAGGGCAACCGAGCCGUUUUUUGACCUGUUUCCCUUCUAGGGUAAUCCGGUCGAUUUUCAAUAAAUUGUCAAUUUCAUUUGACCAAUUAGGAUUUCAAUGUCGAAUUCCAAAUUGGGAAAUCUAGUCAAUUUUGAAGAAAACCGUCCAUUGCAUCCAAUCACUUGAUCAAUUAGGGUUUUUGACCCGUAAUUCACUGAGAAAUUUUAUCAACGAAUUCCAAUCUCUUCGAUAGGAGUUCGUCAAGGUCAAACCCAUGCGUUUUGCAAAUCAAAGGUGAUCAAUCUAUUCGGACGUUGUCCUCAUUUUGACAAAUCUCUUGCCACUCCAAUGGCCAAAUUUUUCAAAUUAUUUUUCACUCAAUGAGUUGAUCAGAUCCGUCAGGUAUGGUAUAGUGCUUCCCUAGAGGAUUGCAUUUUCAUGCUAGGCCUACCCUUGGCAUAAAAAGGGUUCCCCCAUAGGACAUGCAUACCGAUUUUUUUUUAUUCUUACUUACUGACUCUGGGUAUUUUUCUUUUUGUUUUCCCCUCCCCCUGCAUUUAUAAAAAUGUUUCAAUAAGGCGAGAAUAUUCUUCUAUAUCUGAUAAUUUUGAUCCAAUAAAGCUUGAAGAUUACAAGUAUUACUUGAUUUUUAGGUAGACAUUGCCGCGAAAGCAUAAAGGGGAAAUUCUAUUUAUUUGAUUUGUUAAUACAUUUUGUUCCAAAAGAAAAGGAGACAAAAAGUGUAUGUGUUGAGCUCUUUACGAGUUUCUCUCUUCUCAUUUGUAUCAUAAUUGAUUGAGCAAUUUUGUUUCAAACUUUUUCAACAAUAAAAUUUUUUGGAUAAUUUUUGUUUUGUGUAUAUUUAUGUACAUUUCAUUCUUUAUUCUUACUCAUUGGAGAUUUCAUGAUGAUUUUUGAGAAAUAAGACCCAAUUUGAGAUUUUUCAACCUAUAGCCUGAAUUUCACAAGUGUGUGCUUCCUAAAAUCCUUACACUCGAUUGGUGUUCCAACCUGUACAAUAAGAGUGCUCAGAAAGAAAGAGAGUGAACGGUCACUCAAAAGGCCCUAUGAGAUACCUUUCUCCUUCACUUAAUUCCAAAAUAAAAUCAGUCACAUUGAUUGAUAAAUUGUAAAUUGGGGUAACUUUUGCUUGAAAAUGUUCAAGGCGUCUAAUCUGGUUCAAUCACAUCUAAGUGAAAGCAAAAAUGUGCAUUAUUCUUAUUUGUUUGGAAAAUUUGGAAUGAUACUUCAAGCAUUCGUUUCAUUACCUGUACAGAUUUUUAUCAUUUGCUCUCCCAUUUGAGCUUCUAAAAGAAUAAUUUCGUUUCAAAUAAGGGUCUUAAUGAUCACUACCCGUCAUUGAAAAAUUUUCAAAUAUCAAAAGAAGAAUGGGUUUUCAAUGACCAUUUCGCUACUUCGGUUGUCAUGAGGUAUAAGAAUGAUACUUUGGCCGUCAGUUCUACAAUCUAAACACUGAUCAUCCCUUGCAUCCUCGUUUGAGCUAAAUUGGUGGUUCUUUUCGAGUGCACAUAUGAUCGCACCCCACAUUGGGGAAGGAGAUUGGGAAAUUUUGAAAAAAGGGAAAAGAAAAGGGGAAAAGCAAAAAAUGCUAGAAUAAGGAGGGAACCGCAAAUUUGGGGAAUUUGAUUCCACUUGGGUUCCAAUUUUGAAAAAAAAAAAGAAAAGAAAAAGAAGAAAACAAGUUCUAUCCGGUGGAUCACUUAUGUUUCAUAGACAUGAAUGAGCAAGGGUCUUCCUCAGUCAGUUAAUUCAGAUACAUGCCAAAAAUUUCCCAUUAAUGAAAAUUUCUUUUCAGAGUUAAUGUAAGGAACGGAAUACAAGUCAGGCCAUCUUCUUUUCCGAUCAAGCAUCUAUCCCUAGUUAUCCCUUUUGAGCAUUCAGAAUGAAAUACUUCGUUUGGCAACCCCUGAGAAUCGCAAACCCCACACUGGGGCAAGUUGGUUUGAAAAAGGAAAAUUUCAAGAAGCGGAAAAGUGAAAAGCCACAAAAUCAAAAGGCAAAGGAAGAAAAGAGAACCUCAGUUCAAAAAUAAACUGGGGCAAAUUUUGUGAAAGUUCGAAAAAAUGGCCGAAGGCCGAAAAAUCAAAAGAAAGAAAAUAAAAGUGAAAAAGCCUCAAUUGAGCAAAAACUGGGGCAAAUUCUGAUUUUACCCUAAAAUAGGGUUGACGCAACAAUGCGAUUUCAGAUUCUUCAAACCACUUUUGAAAUCCGCUUUCAAGCCUUAACUUUUCUAAGCACCCCACCUGACCCCAUUACAAAAGCCAAAAGUCCUGACUUCUGUUCUUUGCAAUGGCCCUGUCAAGAAAAUUUCUGAUGCCGGAAAAUUUUAGCUGUAUUGCUGAAUUGCUUGAGUAUGAGGUUGGCGCUACUCAUGUGAAAACCCAUCAGCUCGAGGGAAAAGAAAAGAGGCAAAAAGCAAAGCAAGAAAAGUAAAUGCAAGGAAAAUGCAAAAAGACUUGACGCUGAAGUCCCUGGGGAAUGAUGAGAAAAUCCAAACAAAGUCUGAAAUCUUUUGAGUUCAAAUAGGGGCAAUUUUGGAAAAAUGUGAUCUUCGGUGCAAUGUCCUUGAAAGUUUUAUUCUUUAGCUAUCGUUUUUCAAGCCAAAUUACAAGCUAAGAAAGUCCAUCGUUGACUUAUUCCUUCAUGACAAUCCAAAGUGAGGAUCAUACUCAUAAGAAAUUCAUCAAAUCAUUUGUGAUCAUAAGGGUAUAACCCGUUUCCACAUGUUUAGCUAUCACUUCUGUCCAUACGUUACAAGCCUAGAAAGCUGGUAUGUUGACUAAGUUUUCUUGAAAAAUAAGGGUGACAAACUCUUUGCUUUCACUAAGAUGUGACAUUGAAUGGAUUACAUACAAUUGGGGCACAAAAAUGAGACAGAUUCUGACCUCUCAUUUUCCUUCAGCCACUUCCAAAUCAAAAAUAAAGUCACUUGAUUGGUCCUGAAAAAUGAGCCAACCAGAAGUGGUGACCCGUUACCCUAAACACCAAUGCUAAAAGUGAGGAAGAAAUCUUCUUGAAUUUGGUGUUACUUCGAGGAAUUCAUCAUGAAAUUUCUGCAUGAGUUUCAAACUUGACGUUUAAAGUUUCUUCACAUUGUUGUAUAUGUGCACUCUUUUCUAAAUUUUAGAAAGUGCGGUUUUUCUUUGUUCAAAUCAAUGGGAAAUCAUCUGAACAAAUUUUUGCAAUUAAGGGAGCCCACACUGGGGCAAAAAUUUUAUUUGUGAGAUUUCAUGAAAUAAGCCCAUACUGGGGCAAAUUUUUUGUAAUACAUUUGAGAUUUGUGUCCAAAAAUCAAAUAAUAACAUUUUUCGAAACAAUCCCGCUGCUCUUUUCCUGGAAUUUAAGUGCAUGUCAUACUUUGAUGAACCCCUUGUACAGGUAUUCAUGAUUCAAAAUGACGAAAGGCAUCCAGUAAGGCGGAAGGCCGAUACUGCAAAGAGAAGCAAGAAGAAGGAGGAAAAAUGGACACUACACUUGGGGCAAAUUAUUUUUUUAAAAUUUUUGAAAAAAGGGAAAAAAGAAGGAAAAAAGAAAAAAAGAGAAAAAACCAAAAAUCAAAUCAAAAAGUCAAAAAUCAAGUUCAAAUUCUUGUUUCUUGAAAAAUCAAAUUUGAUUUCUUGUGGGCGAAGCUCCAAUGCACGCCGCGCAUCAUUCUGUUCCCCCCUUCUCUUGACAUUCCAAAUCAAGUUGGGCCUGGAUUUCGUGCCACCAACAUCAUUUUAUCACGUUGGGCCUGGACUUGGUGCCGCCAACAUCACUUUAUCACGUUGGGCCUGGACUUGGUGCCGCCAACAUCACUUUAUCACGUUGGGCCUGGACUUGGUGCCGCCAACUUCACUUUAUCACGUUGGGCCUGGAUUUGGUGCCGCCAACAUCACUUUAUCACGUUGGGCCUGGACUUGGUGCCGCCAACUUCACUUUAUCACGUUGGGCCUGGACUUGGUGCCGCCAACAUCACUUUAUCACGUUGGGCUUGGUUUUCGUGCCACCAACUUCGCUUUGUCACGUUGGGCUUGGAUUUAGUGCCACCAACAUUACAAAAGUCACAUUGGGACCGGGUUUUAUCCCGCCAAUCUCGGCAGGACCGGGUCUAAUCCCGCUGACCGCUUACUUCGGCAGGACCGGGUCUAAUCCCGCUGACCGCUUACUUCGGCAGGACCGGGUCUAAUCCCGCUGACCGCUCACCUCGGCAGGACCGGGUCUAAUCCCGCUGACCGCUUACUUCGGCAGGACCGGGUCUAAUCCCGCUGACCGCUCACCUCGGCAGGACCGGGUUUUAUCCCGCUGACCGUCCACACCCCGUCGGCCUCAGAUGUUAUCCCACCGACCAAUUCAUCACACUGGGGCAAAUUUUUUAGAUAAUUUUUCAAACAAGUCCUAUACAGUUCUCUAUUUAAUUUUCUGUUCGGGUCUAUCCCAUGGGUCUGUCCCAUCUACAUUUUUAUCCGAGUCUAUCGCAUUUACAUUCCUGUCCGGGUCUAUCCCGUUUACAAUUCUGUUCAGGCCAGUCCCAUGUUUGAAAUUCCUUGUUUAGGUCAGCCCUCCGAAUAGGGGCAACCGAAUGGUACAGGUAAGCAUUUGGUGUCUACUUCUUUGUCUCAAGUUUUUUCAAAACUCAGACAAAGAGGGGCAAACUGUAGACACCAAAAAUUUCAUCGAUUCAGUUUUAGCUUUAUUCAUUCAAUUUUGACUUCCUUUGAUUCAAUUUUUAGUUUUAUUAUUAUUAUUUAUUCUUGUCUCAUAUUUAUUAUUUUUAAUUGAUUGGAGGUUGCAAAUGGUAAUUGAUGUUCAUUCUUAUUUUAAAUGCAUUAAAAUUCAUCAUUUUCUUUUUAAAGCAAUUUUACACUAAAUUUUAGGAAAAUCCCGAAUAAAGAUCCAUUUUAUCUUUUUAAAAUUUGAUUUUUUCUUGCUAAGGCAUUUUGCAAGGUAAUUUUUAAAAAUUAAGCAUGUUAAACAAGUGUGUCAAUUGCAUGUUGAACAAGUGUGCAAAUAAGCAUUAGACAAGUGGUUGAGGAAUGGUAGGACAAGUGUAUAGGGGGUAGCUGUCAAGGACACUUGGGGGGUUUUUUGGGGGGCAUCGGAAAAAAAAGGAAGAAAAAACCCUCGAAGAGGCUUGAAAACAGGGGGAAGAGAAAAGAGCUAAAAACAGGGAGGGGGCUUCGGAGGAAAGGGGAGAGGAAAAACGAAAUCGAAAAAGGAGGGGAGAGUAGGGAAAAAUCUGGGGAGAGUCUGUGGGCUAAGAAAAACAGCGGAGAGAUAGCGGAAAAAAAGGAGAAAAAGAACGGCUGAGGGGAAGGCUAAAAAUCUGAAAAGAGAAGAAGGCUUCGGCUGGGAGAAGCUGGAGUGGAAAAAAUAGAAAAAGGGAGAACGGCUGCGGUUGAGGGCCGAGAGAGUGGAGAGCCGAGGAGGAAAAAUCAGAAAAGGAGGAGAAAAAUCAAGGGCGGCGGAUGAAGGGAAAAGCUGGGAAAAUUAGAAACAGAGAAAGAGAGGAUAGCAGCGGACAAAGAGCUUGCGACUGAGGAAGCAGAGCAGCUGGAACUGCCGUUCGCGGGAAGCUGUUGCCGCCCUCUUCCGUCACGCGCGACGCCAGCUUCAUCGCUUCUUCCAUCAUAGUUCAAGCUCCGCCCUCUGCCGGCACAAACAAGUGGCCAACCGCCCGCCCAAGCAACCAAAUCCGAGAUCAGCACCCGCAAAAUUUUACCAAGAAACAAACGGUAAGCCACCAUCAUCCUUCAAAUUUCAGUUUUCAUGUAAGUUUUCGAAGCGUGUUUUAUUUUUCACGUUGUGGCUUGUAGCCAUUUCUCUGUUGAAUUAUUCACUAAUUGGAAGUAUGUAUGCUUUGAAUGUCGAUUGGACUGGAGUUUUCUUGCAUUUGAUGAAAUUUUGGGUGCUGAUUCAUGUCAAUUGAGCGAGAAAUUGGUGAAGUUUUUUAAUGGCUGUUUGUUGUUCGACAGAAUGCUUCAAUGAAAGUUCGGCCUGAAGAAUGGAUUAAUUUCUGAUUUAUAUACGUUCGACUGUUUCAUGCUUGUCAAAAUAAUUGAUUCGAAUGGGUUUGUUUGGGCGUCCGUUUGUUUUGGCAAUCUGCUCCGCUUCUCGUUUGUUUGGUGUUCCUCUUGUAUGGAUUUAAAUUCAUGACAUAAAAUGGCGUGCGAGGGGAUUCAUGUGAGAGUCAUUUGUUUUGCUUUUGUUUUGUUUUGUUGAUUGGAGUCCGAAGUUGAAUUUUCUGGUUGCAAAGAGGAAUGAAAUAGCAGCGAACGUUGAGCCAAUUUGGGAAGAAGAGGAUUGCUUGAUUAAAUUCAUGAUUCCAGUCCCUCAAUUUCCCUUUCCAUUAUGAUUUAACCCCAGAAUUUUAGGACUUCAUAAUUUUUCCUCCAACACCUUCAUAAGUCCUUCAAUUAGGUCCCUGCUCUUGUUGCAUUUUAACCCCUCAGCUUCCCCUUGUUCUGAUAUGACCCGAAAAGUGGAAAAAGUGCGUUUGUUUCUCCCUUCUAGAUUUAAAUCAUCUUCUAAUAAGCAUGAAUAGUCCUUUUACUAGAUUAAUUCUUGUUUGUAGGUUCUAAUUGUGGUUCAAUAAUUUAUUUUGAUUUUAUCAUGUUGGGUUUAAUGAAACAAGUGCCUUGGGCUAAGAGGUUAUUUUUGUUUGGGUUUAAGAAAGUCGUUUUAGUUUAUUUUGUUUGGUUUUUUGGUUCGGGCUAGAGGGUCAAGGCCCAUCUAUUUGGUUGGCUAAUUUUUGGGCCAGGAUAUUAUACUAGCCCACUUGUUUUCCUUGGACUUUCGAUUGGGCCAAGUUAUCUUGGCCCAAGAAAGGUGAAGAUGGCCCAUUCCCUUUUUGUUUUGGAUUUUCGGUUGGGCUUGUAAGGCUUUGGCCCAAACAAAUAAAGGAAAUGGCCCAAUGGCUUGGUCCAUUAAGAAACCAGAAAACGAUUUUGCAAAUCAGUCCCUGAAUUUCUCCCUAAUUGUAUUGUGGCCCUGGACAUUUUCAACUUCUUUCAAUUCGGUCCUUGCUUUAAUUGCAAAUAGGUCCCUGAACUUUAUUUUUCUUUAAUUUUGACCUCCAAACUUUGUCAAUCUUUGCAAUCAGGUCCUUUCUUCUCUUGACUUCUUAAAUGUGAAUUGUCGACAUGAUUUAAUUGAUUCAAAUUCAUGCUUAUUUUUUAUCCUUUGUGAUUAUUUGCCAAAUAAAUUGGUACCUUGACCUUUUUAUUGUUUUGAAGCUAAUAUCUCAUUUACUCGAUUUCCGUUGCGAGGGAGGUAACUUCUAUAUUUUUGAGUUUAUUUUUUCCUACGUGCUCCUACGUGUUAUGUGAAUAUGCCUGUCUACUUUGCUUUCUUUGCCUUUCUUUAAUUCUUUUCAUUUUUUUUUACUUACUUUUGCUUUUUAUUUAAGUUAUUCAUUAUGGGGUAUGUGUACACCUCUUGGCUUGUAAUAGUUAGGGAUUUAAUUAUUUUAUUCUUUUCCCCCUUUUAGAUUGUAGUGGGGUCUCCCUAAUGUAAUAGAUAGGGUUUGGAGGAGCAUUCAAUGAAGACCUAUCGAAGACUUGUGCCUAGCUAGCAAAUGUAAUAGUUAGGGCUUUAAUUGUCUCAUGUGCCUUGCAUGCUUAGUUGCUACGUGUUAAUUUGCUUUGCUAGGGCCUUGCAUCUAGUCGAGCAUGCAAAAUGUUAUGUGCUAUGUGUUUAUAAGUGUUUGGCAUGUCUACUCGCUUUCCAUAGCCUGAAUAAAUGUGAUGGAUGAAUGUACGUCACCACACUAGUCCAAUGCUAGUUGUGGCUCAUUAUUUCAUUAGGAAUUCAUAGAAAGGGCUAGUCCAACGCUAGACCCAAUAGGAUUUUUCCUUUGUUUUUCAUUAAUGCAUUAUUUGCCUGUUCACUACAUAUCAUGCAUUUUUCCUUAGUUUUAUCAUCUGGCAUGCUCCUCGAUUCCCCUUUCCCCUCACUUUAGGAUUUUUGCAUUUCAUGCUAGUUAUAGGGUUCAUUUGCCUGAAGAGUCCCCUUCUGAUAAGGGAAACGAGCGAGUGUGGCUACUCGAUAGCCUUAGCACGCUAGUUUCGCCUUCUAAUCAAAGGGAAGAUUAAGUCACAAAGUUAGGACUCCCCGUUCCCGUCUUGAUGCAUUCCUAUAGGAUUCAUGCAUUCUAUUCAUUCACUAUCACAUACACUUACUUUAUAUUCUAACCCUUUUUCCACAUUCUCACUUCACACUACUUUUACACGUUUUCAUUUAACUACUCACACUCUAUGCCAUAUCACUCGCACACAUGCACUUUAUAUUAUUUUCACAUUAUCAUUCUUUACUCACCUUACCUUGUAAAUACAUUUGCACACCUCCACUUUUCUCACUUCACAUAAACUUACAUUUUCACAUGACAUGCACCCCAUUCAUUUUUACGUCAUUUAGGAUUACGUGUGACCUCUCCAAAGGAUCAUUAUUGGGCUUCACAAUUAAUGUGAUUGGCACCACUCAACCUUUGAAGAGAAAUUUCCCCCAAUACCCCUAGGUCUAGGGUUUUGCAUUCAUAUAGACAUAUCCAACACGCGAUACAUACCUUGGGUAGAAAAAUUAGGAAAAAUUGGUUUAAGUCACGCAACUAGCCUUGGCUAGGUCGAAGGGGUGCCUUGGAUUUUUUAUCCUUGCCUUCCCCUUCGUCAAAUGUGACCCCCGAUCCCUCUUUUUGGUUACGUAGACCCAAAAGUUCUUUAAAAGGGUUUAUUUACUUUUUUUAUUCAAAAACAAAAAACCAUUUUUUGGGUGACUUGGUACACCCUAACCCUAUACCAAGUGGCGACUCCAUUUUUGAUACAAAAAACCCUUUUUGAACUUUAUAUGGCCAAACCGUCGCAUUAUCAAGUCCCAUGGCCUUUUACUUUUCAUUUACACACGUUCACAUUCCAUUACACCACUCACAUCUCACACCACACACACACCACAACUCAUCAUCUUCGAAAAGUGGGGCGCGACAGUGCAAAAAUAAUUAUUUUCUCUGAUCAUGCAGCCUUGAGGUACUUGUUAGUGAAGAAGGAUGCAAAACCAAGGCUCAUAAGGUGGGUUUUACUUCUGUAAGAGUUCAAUUUAGAGAUUAAGGAUAAGAGUGGGGCCGAGAACUUGAUGGCUGAUUAUUUGAGGCGUUUUCUUACGAAUAAGGAAGAUCUGUCAUUGAGAGAAUUGUUUUUCGAGGAGCAGUUACUAGCCAUUAAUUCGUCAGUACCUUGGUAUACUGAUGUUGUCAAUUUUUUGGUAACAAAUCAAUUACCUGCAGAUUGACCAAAGGCUAAGAGAGAUAAAUUGAGAAGUGAUGCCAAAUACUAUAUUUGGGAUGGCCCUUACCUGUGGAGGCAAUGCUCGGAUCAAGUGAUAAGAAGGUGUGUAAGUGCAGGUGAGUUCCAUUCUAUUUUAACUUUUUGUCAUUCAUUUGUACGUGGAGGGCACUUUAGACCAAAGCGAACAGCUCGUAAGGUGUUGGAGAGUGGUUUUUAUUGGCUUACUCUGUUUAAGGAUGCAUAUUUAUUUUGUAAAUCUUGUGAUAGGUGUCAAAGGGUGGGGAAUAUUUUUCGUAGAGACCAAAUGAUUCAAACUCGCAUGUUGUUUGUUGAAAUUUUUUAUGUCUGUGGUAUAGAUUUCAUGGGUCCCUUUCCCUCGUCUUUUGGUUUCUUAUACAUUUUACUUUGCUGUCGAUUAUAUUUCUAAAUGGAUGGAGGCAAAGGUCACCCGGACUAAUGAUUCGAGAGUGGUUGCAGAAUUUAUAAAGUCUAACAUUUUUUGUCCGCUUUGGAAUGCCUAGAGCUGUAGUUAGUGACAGGAGCACUCAUUUUUGCAAUAAAACGAUCGUUGCCUUGUUCCGUAAAUAUGGCGUACUCCACCAAAUAUCCACACCCUAUCAUCCGCAGACGAAUGGUUAGGCCGAAGUGUCGAAUAGGGAGAUUAAGUCAAUUUUGGAGAAGAUGGGGUGGCCUGAUAGAAAGGAUUGGAACUUGAAGUUGGAAGAUGCUCUAUGGGCUUACCGCACCGUGUAUAAAAUACCAAUUGGAACGUCCCCAUACAGAUUAGUCUUCGGGAAGCCGUGCCACCUCCCAAUAGAAUUUGAACACAAGAAAUUUUGGGCAAUUGAGCGGUGCAACAUGGACCUUGUGGAUGCCGGGGGACAUAGAAAGCUCCAAUUACAAGAGUUGGAAGAAUUAAGGAAUGAAGUCUAUGAGAACGCAACAAUUUAUAAAGAGAAGAGCAAAGUCUUUCACGACUAACAAGUCUCAAGGAAGUCAUUUGUAGUAAGGCAAAACGUCCCCCUAUAUCACUCGAGAUUUAAGUUUUUUUCCGGUAAGUUGCGUUCGCGUUGGAUUGGUUCAUUUGUCAUUUCUAAUAUUUUUCAUUAUGGUGCAGUGGAAAUCCAAAGUUUGAAAAUUGAGAAGAAGUUUGUGGUAUAUGGUCAACAUUUUAAACCCUAUUAUGAGAGGUUUAAUAGUGAGCAAGUGGAUGUCAUAUAUGUUGAUGAUCCAAAUUGUGUGGCUUAACUAGCUAUUACUGUGUCUAGCCAAAAACAUUAAAGAAAGACGCUACUUGGAAGGCAAUCCAAGGAUUUCAAUUGUGUUUUAUUUCAUAUUUGUGUAUUCAAGAUCAGUGGAUUUAGGUUCCUAUUGACAAACAAUCUGUAUUGUACGUCAUGGGUGUUUCUGUGCAGUUUUAUUCUAGGUUGGGGGCACAAAUUUGUGGGCAAGAGACUUCAUGUUACAAGGCGUGCUCGCGCCUUGUAUUCACCGCACAUGGACAUUUGUAAAAUUUGGUGAACAGAGGACUUACACCCCCAAGGCAUGCCCACGCCGCACAGCAGAUCGUGUCGAACAUAUUACAAUGGGAUGGGCAGACAGAGUCAAACGUGACCAGGACCUUCUCUAACCCCACUUUUCUACUUUUCUCUUUUCUUGUCUUGACUGGUCUUUUCAUUUUUUUUUGUCUUAGCCUCCCCUAGUUUUCUCCCAUCUUUGCUGAAAUCUCAGAGGCCACCGCCACUGCACACCUGCUCCGUUGAUGCCGCUGUCUCCACUAUCUGCGGUCAAGCUCCGGCCGCCAUCAUGCACGCUGUCCGGGCGCACAUCGGCAUCGCCAUAUGCGCCUCGCCGACGCUGCUCAUGCACGUCUCAUGCCGCACGCCAACGCCUCCGUACUUCCCUUCCUCGCCGUAGCGCGCCACCACCGUAGGCGCCAUCAGCUCUACCUAGGGCGCCACACCAAUCAUCGACCGCUCGCGCCCCGCGAUAUCUCACUGUUCCCCGCCGUCGCGACUGCUGCCCUCCGCCAUCGUCGUCAUUGAGGCUCCACUUCUUCCUCUCUGUGCACCACCAACGCUUGCUCCUUCCACGCCACCGCGCCGACCGCCGACUCACCCCUGACGCCCUUGCAGUCGUACCGACCGUCGCUUCCACCGGGGUCCCCUCCAGCAUGACAAAGUGGUACCCCUAAUUCAUUUCUUGCCAUUACUGCUUAAAAUCUGAAAUUGUUUCUAUGCGAUAUUACUCUAUUGUUUGAGCUGAGCUUGCUGAACCUCUGAGACUUUCAUAUGUGUUCUUUGCUUCGCGGUUGAAUUGCUGUGAUUGGUUGUUGGUGUUGGUGUAGAAUUGUUGUGGGGUGCUGAGGUUGUUGUUGUUUAUUUUGCUUUCGAAUUGGUUGUCGAGGGUUUGAUAGGUGAAGCACGUGGCGCAGUAUCAAUUCUGGUUUAAUGUUGAGUGCAUUGUUGACCAGUUAUUUUAGGAAUCUGUUUGUCUUUUUGCCUUGUUGUUGUGGUGGUGGGGUAAUUAUAUUUUUCUUUGCUAUUGGACUGUUGACUGUUGAGUGACACCUAUUGACUGUGGUCCCCUGUCCCCAUUUGGUGGUUGCUUCACUGUUUCUGUGCUUAUUCGUAUUUGUCCUGUGGCCUCCAAAUGCCUUCGAAAAAGCGCGUGUUCAGACACCCACUUCAUCUGGUCCAUCUAAGUCCCAACCUCGUAAGAGGCGAGCCCAAUUCAACCCCCCACUCGAUCCCGUUUAGGUCUCUCUAAAAGUACUAUAUCUCCUGGGACAUGGGGGGAACCUACCACUAACCUUACACAGGAACAAAAGGACCGAUUGACUAGCUUGAUGCCACGUCCUUUUGCUCCGUGUAAAUGUUUCCAUGCCCCAACCCUGGAUCAUUUGCAAAUUGCACGAGAAGUUGAACAGUUGUUCUCAGCAAUUGGUUGGCAGUGGUAUCUGGUCAUCGACUAUCCUACAUUUGAGGAGCUAUGUUAUGAAUUCUACUCCACUUUUGAGUUCAAUAAAAAUGAAUUCAUCACUUUGGAUGAGCGGGGGUGAUUACAUUUAGAUUAAGGGGUACCCCACAAGAUUUGUCCAUUAAUGACUUUAAUCUGAUUUUGGGGUUUUUCAGUGAAGAGACCCUUUCCUCCGGGACGUAUAUCAACAGUGCGUGUGAUUAUACCAGACCCUUUGCUAGUGAAUAUAUUGACAUAUGGAGGGAGUAGUUCACGGACCCUCAACUCUAUGAUCCGAGUCAGUCCAAGGCCUCUCAUCUUAAGAAUCCGAUCUUGAAGGUUAUCCACAGGUUCUUGGCCUACAAUUUCUCGGGUCAGAAGAACUCUUCCGGCACCCUUGCCAAGGUUGAAUUCUAUUUUCUUUGGUGUAUGCGCAACAAAGUACAUGUCGACUUUGGGUGUUGGGUGACCACUCAAAUGCAAUCCGUCAUUCAAAAGCGACAUAAGUAGGUGAUUAUGGAUUCGCUCAUUACUCACUUGGCCGUUCGGUUGGGAUUGCUUGACCUCGACAAAGAACACAAGUUCGCUCUAACUUGCGAGAUUGAGCCAUUGGAUUUGCGUAGCUUAGAAAGGAUGGGGGUUAUUUUCAAAGUAGGAGAUGUAUAUCAGAUGACGCUUCCUGGCGAUGGCAGGCUACAACCCCGGGUUCCUCCUACUAUUCCCCCUACUGGUUCACCAACCCGCACAGAUCAAGUGGGUCCGUCCUCCUACCAUGCUCCCCCUGCUUGGGAUUUCCAAUACCGUGCCCUCCAAGAUUCUAUUCGUGAACUAGGCGAGCUAGUUGUGGGACUGGAUGGCCGUCUUGCAGCGUUGCAAGUUUUUUCCCGUAUUCAGACAAAGAAUCAGGCAGCUUUCUUUGCUUAGAUUGGAUUCUAGCUGCCUCAUCCUCCUCCCCCUUAGUGUUUCGCUGCGUCGUCUCGGCUGUCAGGGAAGUUUCACCCCUUUACACUUACACACUAUUUAUUUUUGCUACAUUGAAGACAAUGUCGAUUUUAGGUGUGGGAGGGAUGGUUUCUAUUAUUUCUUUUUUGCUUGAAAAGAGAAAAAAAAGAAAUAAAAAAAAGAAAAAGAAAGAGAGGAAAAAAUGAAACAAAAAAAAAAGUAUAGUUAGUUGACUUCUUUAGUUCUAUAUUUGUUAAUUGCUAGAGCAUGUUGCUAUGAUGGAUUGCACAAUCAAGGUGCACGUGUAUGUAUCAUUUAUGCUAACUAUGUACUCUACUUUUCCUAGCCAAUGUAGCUGAGUGAUGAAUAUGCUGGACUUGACCCAUUCUUGAAACUUUUGGGAGUUUUUGAGCAGUGCACGAGCACAUUACUCUCGUUUGCUUCGUUUGUGUUGUUGAGUGGGUAUCACACAUGGUAUUAACAUUCUAGAACUUGCUAUUUUAUACAUGUCAAAGCCACAUCUUGUUGAACUGGAUGCAUUUGAAAUGAUAAAGGCAUUUAGGAUUUAACUUUCUUUAAUUUUCUACAAACCAUACCUUCAUCUUGUCUCCCAAUAGUGAAUCAAUUUGAGCUUUUAUUCUUCUCCUUUGUUUGUUAGCCGUGUUUGAUAACCCAGGACUUUUUUUUUUGACUUUCUUGUCCAACCUUGUGUCGUUAAGAGAUGUCUGAAUUUCAUUGUUUGUGCAAGGCAAAUAAAUUUAGGGUCGCAAGUGUUGUUAGAAUAGAAGUUGUAUGGUGUUGGUUCUGUGCAUCUGAGAUCGAAAAGAAAAAGAAAAAAAAGACGAGAAAAAGAGAAAAAAGAAGGAAAAAAAUGUCUACAAACUGGUGAGCAUGGGAUUCUGCUUACAGGGCGUGCCAUGCCUUGCAAGACGCCCUUUCAAAAAAAAACAGAAAGAGAGAGAAAAGAGUUUCGACACUUGCGCAGUUGGUAUAGCAAAUGGAAAUGCCUUGCUUGUGGAAGUUCUCCAGUAAAGCGUUGAGGUUAUGUAGUGGAUAUCGGACAUUAUCUUGACACAGUGCACCCUAUCUUUACCUUCUUAUCCCGCUUUGUUGGCCUAAUCAGCAACAUCCCUCAGAUUCCGGCUCGAAGGGACUAACCGCCCAACUCGUGGCACCCAGGGGUGCAGCCCCUCAUGCUGGCCAAGCGUGGUACGAUGCUUUUCGCUGCUAUUGUGGUUAAGGAAAUAAAGUUACAUCUUCACUAACAGCUAUAGCUUUUGGUGCAAUGGUAAGCGCUUGAUCCUGACAAGUGGUAUCGGAGCGAGGUCGCAGGUUCGAGUCUCCCUGGUUAUUGUUGGGGGAGGAAAUGUUGGCCUAAUCAGCAACAUUCCUCAGAUCCCGGCUCGAAGGGACAGCCCGUGGCACCCAGGGAUACAGUCCCUCAUGCUGGCCGAGCGUGGUACGGUGCUUUGCGCUGCCAUUGUGGUUAAGGAAAUAAAGUUGCGCUUUCACUAAUAGCUAUAACUUUUGGUGCAAUGGUAAGCGCUUGAUCCUGACACGCUUUUCAUCCAAGCCCCAUUACAACCCUAUUAAAGUCCCUUUGAUUUAUGUAUUGAGUUCAUUUUUGAAUGGUAGAGAUGUGAUAAAUGUGCAAGCCUAUGGUAAUGUCAUUCCGUGGUGUUGAUUUGAGCGUUCCUGGUAUCUAUACAUUUUCUUGAAAGUGAUGAGUAUUACUGCUCAUACUCUUUGGAUAACUACCUGUCCGGUGUGCUCUAACUUUGGCGACAUUGUCAGGAAUGCAGGAUGCUUGUGUUAGUGUAGAUCACCGCAUAGUAGUUGCUAUUGUGAUUGAACUUCUGAUCUUCGAAAUGCUUGAGAACAAGCAUUGCCUAGGUGUGGAGGGAUUUGAUAGAGCAAUGUUUGGGCAUCUUAUGUGCUGUUAUGUGGUCAUAAUUUUGGCUACUUAUUAUGCUAAAUAUUGAAAUUUUGCUCAUAUUUGAUAUUUGUGUAAAUUAUAGGCGGUUGGUGUCAAAAAGUGUCUCUGAAGGUGAAUUUCCACAAGACUUUUUAUUUCAGGGUGUGCCCACGCCAGAAACUGUAGAAGAGACGCCUCAAAGUCAGACCGCGGGACUAACUAACUAACUAAACUCAUCCUUAUUCCUGCGGGAUGCGGUUGGAAGUGCGUCAAAACAAAAAGACGGCAAUUUCCAGCGAAUUUGUGAUAGGGUAUUAAUUGUUAGUAAUUUUAUUGUUAAUUUUUUCCUUUGUCCUUACCAAAUAUUGUUUUAAAUUGUUAAUAUAUACUUGUAUUUGGUAUUUGGACCUAUCUACAGGAAGUGGAACUAAAAAGUGCUAAAAAGGGGGGACCUUUUGGAGAGAAUUGCUCCACACGUGGGAGACUUCAAAAAGCUUCACGAACCUGGCCCACAGGAUACUAAGCAACGGACUUCCUUUUCUUUUUGCUGAUAAAGAGUUGCUGACUAGGAGUCUUCCUAUCAAAAGGAAACGAAAAAAGUGGAAUUCGGAGAGCUUUCUUUUUGUACCUUUUCUUUCAAUUCGGCAGGGACAACGUAGGGAGCAUUAGUCAUUGUUUAAGAGACAGUUUAGUUUUCUUUCUUUUCUUUUUCAUGCGUAAGUCUUGUUCGAUAAAAGUCUCGACUGGAGAAAUAUCGUUUAUUUCUUGAUUAUCUAGUGAAAAACGUGAUGCCUUUGCAAUUAAUUAAUUUGCGUGGAGAUUUACUGAUGCGGCGUGGUUAAGUUUUUCAUCUAGUCAAGGAUCAAUGCGACAAUGCAAUCCCUAAUAUCCGUGAGAUCGAAUUAAUUUUCAUGCAUUCCUUAAUUUGUUAAUAUUUGCACGUUGUCUGCUUGAAUUUUCAUGGGAUUAUUUUGUUAAUUGAAUGUCAAGGGCCCGAUGUUCAAUGCGACUUAUUAAUCUCCUGUCAAAUUAGUUAAUUAAAUCUGUAAUUAUUUAAAUUGAUUGAUAUCAGUGGCAACUAACGUUUUUAUACACUAGGGGAGCGUUCAAUCUGUUUCAAAUAACUCUCGUAGCAUGUUAUUGAUUAGGGUUAGACUUUUCUAGUUUUUAAUGCAAUUAGAGAAUUAAAUCCUAUGAUCAUACCUAGGAGUGUUUCCGGGUUAGGGGUAAUCAACGGUCGUACCUUGGUUGUCAAUAAAUUAAGGAAAAGCUGGUCGUCAGAACUUAUUGGCGACUAUAACUAACCUGUUAAUAAAAUUAAGUAAGCCUCCCUUGCAUCAAUAAUCGGAUGAAUGGACUGUGUCGGUGAAGUUGUAUCCUUGGCUCGAACUUGUCUAUUAUUUAUUUAAUUCCUAUCUACAUUCGUGUUAGUUAAUCGUUUACUUUUGGUUGAAUUGCUUAAUUAUUUUUAGUUUCAUUCCGAUAAAAUCCCCCAUUGUUAACUUGAACUUUAGUAAGAAACGAAUUACUCCCAAUCUCUGAGAAUACGACCCUACUUGCCCUGUUUUCAAAGCAAUAAUUAUUUGUGAAUAAGCAAUCCCAUUCUGGUAUAUCGGGUCAAGCAAACUUUUUGGAAACAGGGUGAAUCAAGUAACCUAUUGCACACCUAGAGUCCCUACUCCAGUACUUAGAAUUGGAUUUUGAUUACUCCGAUUGGCAACUAGGUUUAUUUUUAUUAUUGCGCAGGUUCGGCCCUUGUCAAUUUUUGGCGCCGUUGCCGGGGACUGGCAUUAAUUAUUUGUUUCUUUUUAAGUUCAAUUUUGUUCUAAUUUUCUGAUAUUUUUCUAGUUUAUGCCUCGUUCUUCUUGGACAGACGAAUUAAUUUUUGACCCUGAAGUAGAGAAGACCGCGCGUAAAAAGAGCAAAGAGACAAGACAGCUUAGAGAGGAGUUGUCCAGUGUUGCACCUGAGGGACUUGAUCCAAAGGUUGAGUCAACAAAUUCGCAUGGUGAUAAUUCGAGUGAUUCAGACCAAGAGGAAGUCACCAUGGCGAAUGCACGAACAUUAAGGGGGUUAGCUGCCCCAAAUUUAAAUCAACAACCCUUAUGCAUUACUUUUCCGCAUUUAAAUGAUAACACAUCUUUCGAGUUAAAAUCUGGCCUGAUUCAUCUUUUACCAUCUUUUCAUGACUUACCAGGUGAGGAGCCCUACAAGCACUUGCAAGAGUUCAAUGUCGUUUGCAACAGUAUGAAGCCCUCGGAAAUUACAGAAGAGUAGAUAAAAAUGAGGGUCUUUCCCUUCUCUUUGAAGGACUCCGAGAAAAAUUGAAUGUACUACCUACAACCAGGUAGUAUCACCACGUGGGACCAGCUGAAAAAAAAAUUCUUGGACAAAUACUUUUCGGCGUCUCGAGCUGCAAGUCUAAGGAAGGAGAUAUGCGGUAUCAAACAACACCCAGGCGAGUCUCUCUAUGAGUACUGUGAGAGGUUUAAGAAGCUGUGCAUCAAAUGCCCUGAGCAUUAGAUAAGUGAGCAACUGCUCAUCCAAUAUUUCUAUGAGGGGCUACUCUUCAGGGACAGAAGUAUAAUCGAUAUUGCAAGUGGAGGGGCAUUGGUGAACAAGAUUCCUCGAGAAGCAUGGGAGUUGAUUAAAGGGAUGGCUGAGAAUUCACAGCAGUUUGGUUCAAGAGAGGACAUCCCGACGCGUAGGGUGAAUGAGGUAGAAACAUCCUCUAUCCAACAAUAGCUCUUCGAAUUGACAUCUUUUGUACUACAACUAGCUGUGAAAAAUGCUCCACAAGCCAAAGUAUGUGGAGUAUGCACUGCUUUGGGUCAUUUUAUGGAGAUGUGUCCACUAGUUCAAGAAGAAAGUGCAGAGCAAGUGAACAUGACUGGUCACGCGCCCGCGCCAAGAAGGCCAUAUAACCCGUGUUCGAAUACGUACAAUCCGGGUUGGAGAGAUCACCCUAACUUUAGUUAUAGAGGAAAUAGGCAGUCCAAUUUUGCACCAAAUAGAGAGCAAGGGCAUCAACAGCAGUACCAGUCUCGCCCACCACCACCCCCUUCGAACUCAAGUCCGUCCAUGAAAGAGAUGAUGAAGCAAUAAAUUGCUAAUCAACAAAAGACGGAUUCAGAGUUGUAAAGUAUGAGAAAUCAAUUGGGACAGAUGCAAUCAUUGCAAAAUCAAAUAAAUCAAAUGGCCAUAACGAUCAACCGCCUGAAAUCCCAAGUUCAAGGGAAGUUGCCAUUUCAACCUGAGUUGAAUCCGAAAAAUGUAAGUGCACUGACCUUGAGGAGUGGCAAGGAAGUCCAAGGAUCCGAACCGGUGAUUCUUAGGACAAGGACAAGGAACGAAUUGAGAAAGAGUUGGAAGAAGAGGGCAGAGACAACAAAGAUCCAAAGGUAACCUCGGACCAAUCAUUACAGUUAGAACUAAUCCACCUUCCUUUCCUAGCAGGUUGGAGAAACCAAAGAAGCAAUACAAAGAAAAAGAGGUCCUGAAGAUAUUUCGCAAGGUGGAGAUCAACAUUUCCCUACUGGACGCGAUUAAACAAGUACCCAGUUACGCAAAGUUUUUGAAGGACUUGUGUGUCAACCGAAGGCGGUUAAAAGGAGAUGAACGAGUUAUAGUGGGGGAGAACGUGUCAGCAAUUCUACAAAGGAAACUUCCCAUCGAAAUAUGGGGACCCAAGUAUGUUACUAUUCCCUGUAGGAUCGGUAAUACCUUGAUUGGAAAGGCCAUGUUAGACCUAGGAGUUUCGAUAAACGUCAUGCCAAAGUCCAUAUAUGCUUCUUUGAAUUUAGGUCCUUUAAAAGAAACGGGGAUAAUAAUUCAAUUAGCUGACCGAACUGCCCUGAUGGGUUGAUUGAAGAUUUUUUUAGUAAAAAUUAAUGAAUUGAUUUUUCAACUGAUUUUUAUGUGCUUGAUAUGGAUGAUAAAUACUCCCACGACCCCUUACCUUUAUUGUUAGGUAGACCCUUUUUUAGCACAGCCGAACCAAAAUUGAUGUUAACAAGGGUAUCUUGUCUAUGAAAUUUGAUGGUGAUAUUGUUCACUUUAACAUUUUUGAGACCAUGAAAUAUCCUUCAGAUUCAAAUGUCAGCUCUGUUUUCUCUGUAAAUGUUAUUGACCCUGCGGUACAGGAGGUUAUUGAAAUUGAAGGCAGGGAUGAGCUGGAAGUCGCCUUGACCAGGCACUUCGAGUCAGAGACGACCUCUGAGAUAGAGUUGAGUGAAGAGCUCAAAUGUGUGAUUGGAGCGUUGCAAUCAUUGUCAAUCACGAAAACAAGGUAUGGGCUUGCACCCAUUUUCACACCUGAACCUCACCAACGGUUACUUUCAUCUGUGGUGUAGGCACCUAUCUUGGAACUGAAACCCCUGCCGAAACAUCUAAAGUAUGCAUACUUGGGUGAAGGGGAGACUCUCCCAGUGAUCAUCUCUGCUAGUUUAUCGGAGGUCCAAGAAGACAAACUAAUUCGAGUUUUGAGGGAACAUAAGCAGGCGAUAGGAUGGACCAUCGCCGAUAUCAAGGGAAUUAGCCCCGCGGUAUGUAUGCAUCGCAUUCGACUCAAUGAGGGUUCUAAACCCGUGCGGCAGGCUCAGAGGAGACUAAAUUUCCUCAUGAUGAAGGUAGUGAAGAAAGAGAUCCUGAAACUGCUGGAUGUGGGGAUAAUAUUCGCAAUAUCAGACAGCCCUUAGGUAAGUCCAGUAUAGGUGGUUCCGAAAAAGGCAGGGGUGACGGUGGAAUCAAAUUAAGAGGGUGAGCUCAUGCCAGUUCGGAAGCCCACCGGAUGGCAACAGUGUAUCGACUAUCGGAAGUUAAACGUCGUCACAAAAAAGGAUCAUUUUUCCCUUCCUUUUAUUGAUCAGAUGGUAGAGCGAUUAGCAUGUCGAGCUUAAUAUUAUUUUUUGGAUGAAUUUUCAAGUUAUUUUCAGAUUGCUAUCGCACCCGAGGAGCAGGAGAAGACCACUUUCAUGUGCUCGUUUGGAACAUUUGCAUACAGGUGAAUGCCAUUUGGAUUGUGCAAUGCACCUACUACCUUCCAACGUUGCAUGGUAAGCAUUUUUUCGGAGUAUAUUGAGAAGAUUAUUGAGAUUUUCAUGGACAAUUUUAGUGUGUAUGGUGAGAGUUUUGAUAACUGUCUAGAUAACCUGAAACUAAUCUUAGUAAGGUGUAUAGAAACUAAUUUCGUGCUUAAUUGGAAAAAAUACCACUUUAUGAUCGAACACGGGAUAGUUUUGGGUCAUGUAGUGUCGUCUAGGGGUAUUGAGGUUGAUAAAGUGAAAAUAGACAUUAUAUCUACUUUACCUUACCCCAUGAGUGUGCGGAAAGUGCGUUUUUUUUGUCACGCAAGUUUCUAUAGAAGGUUCAUCACAGACUUCUCGAAAAUUAGAGCACCCUUGUUCCAACUUUUGCAAAAAGAGGUGCCCUUCGAAUUUGAUGAAGCGUGUAAGAGGGCAUUUGAUAGGUUGAAGGAGCUAUUGACCUCGUCAUCUAUUAUACAACCUCCUGAUUGGAACCUACCAUUCGAGAUCAUGUGCGACACCAGCGAUUAUGCAGUGGGCGCGGUGCUGGGUCAGAGAGUAGGAAAGACAGCCCAUGCUAUCUACUACGAGUAUCAAGCCUUGAACGGAGCUCAAUUGAACUGUUCAAUCACCGAAAAGGAGCUUUUGGCGGUUGUUUUUGCUUUAGAGAAAUUCUGGUCUUAUUUACUAGAUACCAAAGUUAUUGUCUUUUCAGACCAUGCAGCGUUGCGGUAUCUGUUGACCAAGAAAGAGGCAAAACAGUGACUGAUAAGGUGGAUAUUAUUGUUACAAGAGUUUGACCCAAAGAUCAGAGACAAGAAAGGGGCAAAAAAUCUGGUAGCAGAUGUAGACACCAAAUUUUUAGCCUUUCUUUUUCUUUUUAUUUUAUUUAUUUAAUUAGUUGAUUUUGUUUUAAUUUUUGCUAAGAAAAUUGUUUUACUAUUAUUAAUUAAUUCAUUGAAAAAAAGAAAAAGAAAAAGCUAUUCCAUGUGCAUGUGCUUGGCACGUGCGCCAUUUUCUUUUCUUUCAUGCAAAAAAUGCAAGCGGAAGGCGAAAAUAGGGACAGAAAUUUGCAGCUGCAUUUUUUUAAUCCCAGCCUCAUCUCAAAAAUGCCAUCCAAUGGCUCAAGUUUUCAGUAGAAACCCACCCUUCAUCCUCACCUUUGAGGUGAGGGUUUUAGGGACCUGGGGUUUCCUAUAAAAGAAAAAAGAGCAGCGGGGACAAAGGGUAAGAGGAGUCGGCAGCUGGGGCUGAGUAGAAACAACGGAGGAAAAAAGCAAAAAGGGGGGGUUCUUGGGGAGAGUAGUUGACGGCUGAAGGAAAGAGUGAAUGGAGAGUCUGAGGGCUAGAGAGAGUUUUGGAGAGGGUGACGGCCGAAAGAAAGAAACCAAGCGAGAGGAAACCAAGGAAAGGAGAAGCGACUUCAUCAAUGUAAAGGGCAUUUCGUGGGUCUUCGUUUCCAGAAACAACGUGUUUGUCCUGAGACUGGUAGAGAAACGAAUCAAGAGUCUGAGGAAGACACAAGGGAGGAUCGGGGAAUAAGCAAAGGAAAUCUGCAAAAUCUUGAAGAAGGCUUCGAAGCUGAGAGCGAGGGAAAGAGGACUGCUCGACGAGGUGGCAACUUCUGCAGCAAAAGUUCCCGAUCGCGUUCCUGGGAACCCGUAUGCGUUUCCGGGCAGAUCCCAAGGCCGCUCAACCAUGCUAGCAUUCUCAGGUAAAAAUGCCUCUUAUUUGGUGGAUUUUAACAUGUUUUUAUGAAAGAUAAAGCCAUCGGAUGUGAAUCUUUUUGUUUGCUAUUGGGUCAAGCUCUCGCUGGUUCUAUGAUUCUGCCAUUUUGCUCGUUUGCUAAGAUCUGAUUCAGUAGGAACCUAUGAGAUGAGUCUGAUUAAGAACAUGGGGUUUAGGGUUUUCUGUAGUGGUCACCUGAUGAAUCCAUGAGUUCUUUGCUCGAUGUUUAUGGUCAGUCUUUGUGUGCAUGAAUAAGCAAACCCAGAAAAGUGGCGUAAAGCUUCGGACAAGUCUGUUUUGAUGUUUCCUUGAUUGCUGCUUCUCCAUUUCUUGUUGUUUGUGUAAUAUUUGAUAUCGGGUUUCAGUGUUAAAUGGAGCAAAUGGUGAGUUUUGGUUGUUGGCUUGGAGAUUGAUCCAUCGGAUCCGAACAUUUGAUAAUAAAAAUGGUAGAAGGUUUUUUGAAUGCACCUGGUUCGAUGUUAGUUUUGUACUUGGGUUAUGUUAAUAAGGGUGAUUUGGAGAUUUAUGAGAGUUCUAGUUCACAAACAAAAUAAGUUUCAUUGAUUUCUUUUCAUAUAAUAUCAGCGUGGGUUGAGCUGCAAUUUUGCAGUAGAAAGUUGCGGCAGAAGAAGAAUGUUUUUUUCAUAUCAGGUUGCAUGAUCCUUUUGUAUGAGUGUCGGGUGCUUAAAUAUAAUGGUUUUAUGUUAGAAAACAGAGGGGGGAAUGUUUAAUAAUCCUGUUGCCUGGCUUCAGUUUGCAUUGCGCUUAUAGUUUGCGCAUAAGAAUGCUUGUUGCAGCGGUAUGGACGAAGUUCUGUUUUUUCCUUUUCCUGUUUCAAGUUCAAGUUUUGACUGUGGAAUAUGUGUGUUUUGUUGCUCAAUUUAAGUUGAAGUCUAGGUGAAAUGUUUUGGAUCAAGUCUGGAAUCCUUAUUUGAAAUGAAAGGGCAACAGCGUGCGUUUGUUCUUGAUUGCAGAAGCUUUAAGCUUCGGGAUUGUGCAUGGACUUGCAUGAAUAGCUUUCAAAAUUUGCACUUUGCUCCCCUUAGCUUCUAUCUAUGCUACAGAGGCCCAAUUAUGUUCUAAUUUCUUGCAAUUAGGUCCUAAAGUAAUUGCCAUUUGAACCAUUGCUUGACCUUUCCAUUACUUAUGGGCCUUUGAAGUUCCCAAAUAUUUUAAUUGGGCUUGAAUGAUUGGUUAAGGCUUGCUCUUGGGUCCUUAGUAGUUUUUUUCUAUUUUAGGAACUUGAUUGACAAUUUACCUUCCUUGCAAUUAUGCAUUAUUUGAUUACAUUCAAUUUGCAAUUGGGAAGGAUUAGGUGAUUUGUUGGUUUAACUUAUUUUGUGCUUUUGUUUAUAUGGUUAUUCGUGAUGCCUUGACUUUUUCUUUUAUUUUGGAGGGUAAAUAAGUAAUCUCACUCCAUUAGGGCCCCAAUUCAAGGAAGGUACACCCUAUCUCUUAUUUCUUACUUUAUUUGACUUUACGUGCCCUAUGUGACUUUACGUGUUUGAUUGCAUACCUCUUGAAUGUUUUUUUUAUUAUUUUAUUAUUUAUUUAUUUGUUUGCUUUAUUGACUUUAGUUUUGUAUAUCUAUUUUAGUUCAAUUUUGAUCAUUUGAAAGGCAAUUUAAUGUCAAAGUUGUAAUAACUAGGUUAUGAUUUUAUUUAUUUAUUUCUUUCCCCCUUAAAUUGUAGUAGGCGUUCCCUUUUGUAAUAGAUAGGGCUUGGGUGUGCCUACAUGCCUAUGUGUUUAAUUGCUUUCCCUAGGCUUCUGCAUCUAUAUAAGCAUGCUUAUGUGCUACGUGCUAUGUGAAACUAUGUGCUUUGCAUGUCUAUUUGCUUUAGUAUUAUAUCUGAUUAUGUGGAUGGAAUGCACGUUACCGUGACUAGUCCAAUGCUAGUCAUGAUCUUCCCCUCGAUCACUCACAAGUCCAAUGCUAGAUCCAAUAGGACUGUCCCUCACUAGUACAUACUUGCAUGCCUUCACUACAUCUUCAUUCAUUUUUUUCCCUUUUAGUUUUACAUUUUUGCAUGAUCCUUCACUCCCUUUCCCGCAUUUGAAACAUGAUUUUUAGGAUUUUGUAUUUCAUUCUAGUUAUUAGGGUCAUUUGCUUGAUUAGGUUAGGGAGUCACCCUUCUGGUAAGGGGAAUGGACGAGUGUGGCUACACAUAGCCUUAGCACGCUCAUUCUUUUUCUAAUCAAAAGGCAAAUCGUAAGUCACGAUUUAGGGUCUCCCCGUACACGUUUUGCUUGCAUUCCUCUAGGUCUCAUGCAUUUCAUUUUGCACACACACACACACUUUACACUCUCUCUCAUUUGCACACGUACACUUUACACUCUCUCUCAUUUGCACACGUACACUUUACACUCUCUCUCAUUUGCACACGUACACGUUACAUAUUCAUUUGCAUCCUUACACUUUAUACACUCCCUCAUUUGCACACAUGCACUUCUCACUAUCACUUUACACUCUUCCUCAUUUGCACACAUACACUUCACAUUAUCACUUUGCACACUACCACCUUACACUUUCUCACUACACACCCGUUCAUAUUGAUCACAUUUGCAUCCAUUCAUCUCACUCGAGCAUUCAUUUGCAUUUAUUCGUGGCCUCUUUGAGGGUUCACCAUUUGGCUAUCACAAUUCAUGUGAUUAGGACCAAUCGAGCCUCAAAAGAGACAUUUUGUUCCUUUCGAACCAAUAAUUAGAUUUAGGUUUGCAUUCACAUUAGACACAUCCAAAAUGCGAUACAUCUUUUGGGUAGAAAUUAGGAAACUUGUCACUAAAUCACGCAACUAGCUUAGGUUAGGGUAAAAGGGUGCCUUAGACUUCGUUUUUGCCUUCCCUUUUAUCAACCGUGACCCCCGAACUCAUCUCUUUGAUUUUCGUAGAUUAGGAGUCAUCUAAAAAGGUUUUUCACCUCAUUUUUCAAAAACUAUUUUUUGGGUGACUUGGUACACCCCAACUCAAUAACAAGUGGCGACUCCUAUUUUUCAUGUUAAAAACCCUUUUAGAUUAUCGUUUUGGCCAAACCGUCGCAUUUAAAAGUCCCAUGGCCUUUUCCUUUAAUUCUCAUAUUCACACACUUCACACACAAUACACAUUAUGACUUCAAAACAAACUUUCACUUUUUUCUUUAUAUUUUCUCAAAAAAUGGGGCGGGACAGCUUGGCGACUCCACUGGGGACUUCCUAAGUGGGUCCGAGCACUUGAUUUAGUUAUUCUUUUCCUUUUUUACCCUUUUCAUGUAUCGCAUUUGCGUGUUUAAGGUUGCAUUUUUUUUCUUUUUUAGGAGUUUUGCAUUCCGCGCGUAUCAACUCACUCCCUUACUCAUUUGCGUACAUUUGAUUUGAUGGAUGGAUGAUUUAUUUAUGUUAUCCCGCGCUUUGCAUUGCAUUUGGAUGGGGGGAUAUUACCCUAGAGCCUCGCGUUGGUUCUCGAUCCCUCCCCUCCAAAUGGAGCACUAGCAUACGUGCAUACGCUUUAUUUUUUAUCCCUCAUUUAUUUUUCUUUUUAGUGGCUUGUCACGCCACUCCACCCUACUAGGAUUAGACGACCCAUUUGGACGUGUGAUCGCGACACGAUGUGUGCGUAGCAUGAUCCAAGGGGUCACUCAAUCUUCCAUUUUAAACUUUGGAUUGAUAACCUUUAGUUUUUAGUCAAAGGUUGAGGAUUUUUGAUAGAUUCACUCAGAUAUGUAGCCGUGACACGAUGUGUGCGUAGCAGUGUCUGGAGAAUCGCUCGAGCCACCGACAAAGAACCUUGGGAUUGAUGACCUUUGGUUUCCAAGUCUGAAGGCUCGGGGACCUAAAACCUAUCGAGUCUAGAUGCAUUAGUGAGCCAAUACCGCAUGCAUCCAUGAUAGUUUACUUAGGGUAGAGCCUGCCUUACCCUAUUAGGAACACUAUUCACGAGGGGAGGGAUCCAACCCCUCUUUUCCUUUUAUUGCUUUAUCUCUUUGUAUUGCUUUGCUUCAAUGUGUUAUGUGUAUUUAUCUGAUUGAACUAACUUUUCUUGGUUUUUGUCUCUAUUGCAUUCAUAAAUCCUAGAAAAUAAGAGUUCUGGCAUGGUACUCUCUAGGAACUUACCCUAUUUGAUGUGACACGUUUAAAUUCAAUGCUUCGCAUUUGUAACAUGAAUACAUUUCAUUUUAGGCGUACCCCGGCAUACAAAAGGGGGUUCCUUUAGGUCACGUUUCAUUUGUAUACUGCAUAUUUAGUUGCUUUGAUAAAUUGACAUCAUGCAUGAACCAUAGAGGGAAUGCCAUUUAGGGGAUCCCACGUUAGGAAUAAACCGCCAUGUGUCUCGGAUAUACAAUCCAAUGAGACUUGCACGUCUAUAUUUCUUGUACCUUCCAAAGGAGUAGUGCACAAGGUAAGGUAGAAUCCGAUCUUUUUCCAUGAUUAUAGAACAAAUUUUGCACAUUAGAAUAUGAACAUCUAACAAUCAUUUUUUGGUCAUUUAUCUGGUAAAAAUCCCUUGCGUAAAAGGCAUUAAUUUGAAGAAAUUUACAAACGAUCCCUCAUUGUUCAGACGAUAAAUAUAUCGAGGCCAAAUCUUGAUUUUAGAAGACUCAUAGACUAAUGUAUCGCAAUGAUUUUUUUUUGAAACUACCAAUAGGUAGACAAUUCAAUAAAUCAUCAUUUUCAUUCAAUUCGUUUGAUCAAAUUAUCCAUCAAAUUCUUCCAAUCUAUUUGGUCAAUUCAUUCAUUUUAGGACAAUUCGGUCAAUUUUGAAUAAAUCAUCAUUUUCAUUCAUUCGACCAAUUUACCCUUUUUAGGGUGAUCUGACCAAUUUUGAAUAAAUCAUCAAUUCCAUUCAAUUCAUUGGAUCAGUUUAUCUAUUUUUAGGGUGAUCUAGUCAAUUUUGAAUAAAUCAUCAAUUUCAUCCUAUUCAUUUGACCCGCUUAUUCCGUUUAGGGUUUAACUCUAAGGUUCACUAAAUAAAUUAGUCGACACAUUGCAAUCCUUUCAAGAGUAGACUCUUUUACACAUCAUUUUAUGUGUUGAUCAAAACAAGCAAUCCAUUCGGACUUUGUCCUCAUUUUUAGGACAAAUGUCUCUUCUCACUCCAAUUGACCAAAUUUGUUAAAAUUAUUUUUUCACUCAAUAAGUUGAUCGGAUUCAUCAGGUAUUGUAUAGUGCCUACCCCAGAGAAUUGCAUUUUCAUGCUAUGCCUACCCUUGGCAUAAAAAGGGCACCCCCAUAGGACAUGCAUACCGAUUUUAUAGUCUUGCUUACUAACUCGGGGUAUUUUUCUUUUAUUUUCUCCCCUCCCCUGCAUUCAUAAAAAAUGUUUCAAUAAGGUGAAAAUAUUUUUUCUAUAUCUGAUAACGAUUUUAUCUAAUAAAUCUUGAAAAUUACAAUUAAUAUUUGAUUCUUGGAUAGACCCUACUAUUUGAAGAAUCUAUCUGGAGGCACAAGGCUAAAACACCUAAGAGACUUCAUAAUUGUUUGUCAAAGAAAAAAUUUUGUUUAUUUGAUUUGUUAAUACAUUUUGUUCCAAAAGAAAAGGAGACAAAAGUGUGUAUAUGUGGAGUUCUUUAGAAGUUUUUCUCUUCUCAUUUGCAUUAUGAUUGAACAAGAAAUUUUGUUUCAAACUUUUCCAAUAAUAAAGUUUUUUAUUUAGACAAUUAUUGUCUUGUAUAUAUAUUCAUCUAUAUUUCAUUCUUUAUUUUGCUCAUUGGAGAUUUCAUGAUGAAUUUUAAGAAAUGAGACUACAUUGAGAUUUUUUCAACCUCUAGCCUGAAAAUUCACAAGUGUAUGUUUUCUAAAAUCUUUGCAUACACUAGAUUGGUGAUCUGAACUAUACAAUAAGAGUGUUCAGAAUUAAAAAGAGGUCACUCAAAAGACCCAAUGGGAUACAUUUUUCUCCUUCACUGUACAAUUCAUAUUUUUGCCCAUUUCUAUUAGCCCCCCAAAAUCAGUCACAUUGAUUGAUAAAUUACAAAUUGGGGCAAUCUUUGCUUGAAAAUGCCCACUGUGUCUAAUUAGAUUCAAUCCACAUCUAAGUGAAAACAAAAAUGUACAUUAUUCUUAUUUGUUUUGAAAGUUUGGAAUGAUACUUCAAGCAUUCGUUUCUCUAUCUAUACAGAUUUUAUCAUUUGCUCUCUCAUUUGAGCCUUUAAAAGAAUAAUUUCGUUUCAAAUGAGAGCCCUAAUGAUCACUACCCCAUAUUGGAAGAUUUUUCAAAUAUCAAAAGGGAGUGGAUUCUCAAUGAGCAUUUCGUUACUUUGGUUGUCAUAAAACUUAAGAAUGAUGCUUUGGCCAUCGUUUCUACAAUCUAAACAUUAUUUAUCCCUUGCAUCCUCCUUUGAGCUAAAAUGGGUGGUUCUUUUUAAAAGCAUUUAUGAUCGUACCCCACACCGGGGAAGGAGAUUGGAGGAUUUUUCAAAAGAAGAAAAAAAGGAAGAAAAAGGAGGCAAAAAAUGCUAAAAUUCAAGAAGAAGAGAGGGAAUUGCAAAUUGGGAAAAUUUGAUUCUAUCUGGGAUUUAAUUUUGGAAAAGAAAGAGGAAGAGUUUUGUCCGGCGGAUCACUUAUGUUUCACAGAUAUGGAUGAACAGGAGUCUUUCUCAAUCAAUGAUGCGAGACGCGGAAGCAAAGACUGGAUUUCAGAGGUACACGUCGCGAUUGACGGAAUGGAACCCGACUUGGACCACUCAAGGACGGAUUCAACGGUAGAGGACGCCACAAUCAAGUGUGUGAGCUUGAUUGAUAAGUCAAUAAAACAGCCUAGGAACCACGCUCGGACAUUCAACUUAGCCUUCACAAGCUAAAGGAAUUUGCCACAACCAAUGGACGAAAUUCUGGAAUUUUAUUGAAUAAUAUCGGAAAACUGAAUGUAAAACAUGAUUUAAGGCUAUUUAUAGCCUUGACUAAACCCUAAUAAAGCUUGGAAAAUACAAAAGAAAAUUCGGCCAACCCAUUUCCUUCACUUGGCCGAAUAUUAACCCAACAACCUAUGGCCCGUAACUCAGCGUAGGUACUUAACUGCGGCCCAAUCAGCCGUUUGAAGCUUGACCACUUGCAUCCUCAACUGUAAGCAACACUUUAGUAGUCUCGCCCGGAUCUUCCAACUCAAUCCCUUCAAUGGGCGGUUUCUCUUGGGUUUGGACUGUGACGGCCCCACAUCUCCUUAAGGCGAACCAAAGGGUAUCCGCGGGACGCCUGCCCAACUCUCGCCAGGACUCAAGCAAUUCCAUUCCUCUUAAAACCAAACCGAACAUUUCGAAGAGAGUAACAUGAGUACAAAUAAUGCGGAAGCGUUCAACUUAACAAGUCACUUAACAUGUAACCAGUACAUCGGGUAAACAUAAUACGACUUAAAUUCUAAUUACACGUCAGGGCCCAAAUUUUACAUUUCAAUUCCAAAAGUACAGUCCAAACCAGGGCCUAGCCAAAAUAUAGAAGAAAUCCUAAACAAAAGUACAACGAAGGGUUUCUCCAUACUUCUCCGAGAUUCGGUCCUGUUAAGGAAAACAAAACUAUGGGGUGAGCUAAAUGCUCGUGAGGCCAAGAACACAUAUUCAAGCACAUUGUUCAAAUAGCAAUCCUAAAUUUAUUAAAUAAAACCGUGAUAUUUCAAUAAUCAACCAUUCGAGCAGGAAAAGUAAUCAGAAACAAUUCAAGGAUAUAGUAGCUCUCAGGAGUUAAGUUCCACUCGCUCUGCCGAUGUCAUUCGUAUACCUUCCCGCGAUGACCCUCCGUCAACCGGGUCGGUAUUUCCAUUUCCGUAGAUCACCACUUACUUCCCUCCGUCCACCGUACACCUCCAGGGCCCACAAGUCAUUUAUAAGGCGAUACUCCACGAGUAUGCCAAGCAAGACCUCUCAUUAGGUCAAGCUUAUAUAUCUCAUGGCUCGCCCAGGUUCCCGACCAAGCCCAUUGCCGGCUCGAGUCCAAGGUCGGCCUAUGAGUUUGGGCGUCCCCCAUUCAUUUGAAAGUCGAGGAGAUUCACUCCAACGACGUAUGUAGUUAUAACAUACCAUUGCAUUUCAUUCAUUCAUUCAAUACAUUUCAUUCAUUCAUUUGAAAUUAGAACGAGUGUGAUAAAAUACACACCCGCCCUUAUUUUUAAAAUCUCCAACAAUUACCACAAAUAAGCAAGUAUCAAGGAUUCACACACUUGACACUCACCGAGCAAUUCAAUAAGAAUUAUUUUCUGGAAGUUCAAGUGUCCACUGUAAGAUCCUCUUGAAGGUCUCCUUGUGCGCCUGGCAAUUAAUAGUGGAUAAUCACUCAAAUAUCAAAAUUAUCAAGGAAGAUUGUACACUAGUACAAUCUAAAGAAUAUUUCACAAAAAUGAACCUCAAUUACUCGUAAAUCGAGGUUCAACUUGCAUUUUAUUAAGUACAAUAUUAUUUGAGUUUUUAUCAUGAAAAUCGAGGGCAAAACGUUUGAAUAAUACUAAGAGAAUUAAGAGUUUUGGAAAAACUCCUUUGCCUUGAAAAUUGAAAAUUUUCAGUUUUAUUAUAAAUCUUUGAAAAUUCGUAUCUCUCUCGAUAUAAGUCCAAAAUUGGAAAACUUUAUCCCGUUGGAAACCUUUUGGAAAGUGUUAAAAGUUCGUAGAAGACACUUUUCCAUGAAUCUAAGUGGAAAGUACUUAAAAAUGAGCUUGAAAUCACUGUUCCAGAAUGUUCAGGAUUGAGUUAAGGUUGGUUUUUUUUGCUAACUUUGGAAAUUUGGCAGAAUUCACUCGUUGCAAGCUAGCCCUUGAAAUUUAUAACUCAAUUAGAGGUGUAAGUAAGGUUUAGGGCAGAACAAGCGGAUUGAGAAUUGGAGUUUCGAGCACCGAGAUACGGUAGCUCGAAGUUGGGAAAAUUCAAGUCUGGUGAACAAUUUCCAGAUUUGAGUUUCCAAAAAUUGGAACCUUAGCUAAGUGUCAAAACGAACUUGGAUUGGUAUAAACUUUUGUAGUAUGUUACUCCUAUAUGAAAGGUAUCUCUCUAUCAAAUUUCAGGAAAAAAUACCUUCGGAAAGAUAGUUAAUUAAUCAUCCAAAGUUCAGGAAAAUUUCUAAGGCAACCUGUCUUUUGACUUCAUUUCCCAAUUCAAAUCGUUUAAUCAACAAAGCUAUCCAACCAUGGUUCAUUUAUGAAAUAAAGGUCUAAGAUACAUCCAUGAUACCUUUGGUAGGUGUUUAGCAUCAAGAACUUCAAUUAAUAAGAUCACUCCCAGGUUUUGUCCCAAACCAGUCCAAGUAUUACGGUUUUUCCAAAACAGUGCAGUCCUCUUGUUUCGGUCACAACUCAGUCAAUUUAACUCAGAAUCGAGCAUGGUUUAUGUCGUUGAAAAAUACAUUCAUAGGGCUAUAAUAUCACAGAAGAAAUCAUUUCAAAAUUUGGUGCCCAACUAGUUCAAAAUUGGGCAUCAAUUUGCUGCCUUAUCACUUCAUUCCAGUUGAACAGAGCAACAGGACAGCGAUCUUAAAACGUUUGGUUCGGCUCACUCACAAAGAAUCAGAACGUGCAUUUUAUCUCAAAUUAAAGCCUGAAAUGUCUAGUUUCCAACGCCACCAACGGCACAUGAUUUCGACAUCCGAGGACGGAGUUAUGGCCGAAUCACCACCGCUGGUCAGAGCCAUACGUGAACAGUUUCCAGAUUUGCUAGUUUCACAAAAAAAAUUCGUUUGCCCAACCAAACCUCAUUAUUUUUCAAUGAAAUUUUUCACACAUCUAAUACGUCAUAUAAACAUCAAAUUCAAGCCAUUAGGUCAUUAAAAAUUGGCCUUAAAAUGGCCGAACAAGGCAGGGGCAAAAUCGGAAACUUUUGCUUCUUGCACCCAAUGAAGUUUCUAUCAAUUUCACACCAUUAAUCCAUCAUUUUAACCACUAAACCAACAAUAUAUCCACCAUCAAUCAUCAAAUCAGCAACAACCCAAGAGUGGGAGUUCAUAGAGCCCACUUUCACAUUUUUCCAACAAUAUCAAGUCAUCUACUUAUAUGCAAGUACUUAGAGAUGCAUAUCUACUACUAUAAAUCAAGUUUAAGGUGAUGGAUCAUGUUAUACCUUCUUAAUGUACUAGAACAGAAUUUUUGGCCCUUGAAAUGCUCCAAGAAAUCGUGAUUUCCAGCACCCUUUUUGCAGCUCAAAAUGAUCUCCUAGUGUUAAGCUAAGUGUGGUGCAAGUUUGGUUGAAUUUGGAGAUGUUUUGGUGGUGGUUUGAGUAAGCUUUGUGAAGUAAAAUGAAGAACAAUGAAGCUUAAGAGAGAGAGAGAGCUAGUCGGCAGUCUUGAGAAGGAAGAGAGAGAGAGUGAUCAGAUUUUUAAGCUUCCAAGAGAAGAUACUAACUUGUGGCUACAAAUCACCCAUUAGUCAACUCACAUUAGGGGGCAUUUGGCGCGAUUAGGGCUCGUUUUCACGCGCGUUUGGUUCACUAGUGCACUAAGUCUCUAAUGCACUUAUUUUCAUGUAAAUAUUAUUCACUCUUAAUUGUCCCGAAAUAAGGGUCUAAAGUCCCUCAAAUAAAGUCGCGCGUAUGAAAACGCGUACCGUCAAUUUUAACGCUAUAACGCGAAACCUCCGAGAAAUUCUUAUAACAACCGUGCUACUAACUAUCACUUGAGUAUUUAUUCAUAAGAUUACCUAUUUUAGGACCAUAGUACAAGUCUCCAAUAUUCCAAACUUAUUGUGCUCCCACGCGGUAAAAUCUCCGAGCACUGUUCACUAUUUUUACUAAACGCACUCCAGGAAAUUAAUUUUUGAGACGAGUCACUUUAAAAAUAUAACGAAGUUAUAUUAUCAUGUAUUUAGGUCUAAUAAGACUAGAAAAUAUUUCUCGUGGUAAAAAUCCAAUUAAAUAAUUUAUUAAGCCAUAAGUUAGGCUAAAAAAAAUAAUAGUUUUUACGAGUCCUCACAUGGACGGCAUAAACCAAGGCUUGAAGUGACUCCUUGAAUCUCUUAACUCGUGCUCGUGUCACUGGGCCUUGGGGCACCUUUACAGGGUCUACUUGAGCACCAUGGGCCUCGUCCGCAUCAAUCAAUUAAUUCAGAUACAUGCAAGAAAUUUCGCAUUAAUGAAAGUUUCCUUUCAGAGUUAUUGUAAGGAACGGAAUAAAAAGUUAGGCUCUCUUCUUUUCCAAUCAAACAUUCUAUCGCUAGUUAUCCCUUUCGAGCCUUCAAAAUAAAAUACUUCGUUUGGCAACCACUGAGGAUCGCAAACUCCACACUGGGGCAAGUUUGAGUUGCAAAGGGAAGGAAAGUUUCAAGAGGUGAAAAGUGAUAAAGUAACAAAAGAAAAAGAGAAAAUGAAACAAAAGAGAACCUCGGUUAAGCAUAAACUGGGACAAAUUUUGAAAAGUUCAAAAGAAUGGCAAAAGGCCAAGAAGAAAAUAGAGAGAAGAAAAUGAAAGAGAAAAGAGCCUCGGUCGAGAAUAAAUUGGGGCAGGUUUUGAUUUAACCCUAAAAAUAGGGUUGGCGCAACAAUGCGAUCUCAGAUCAUUUAAACCACUUUUGAAAUCCGCUUUCAAGUUUUAACUUUUCUAAGCACCCCACCAGACCCCAUUACAAAAGCCGAAAGUCCUGACUUCUGUUUUUUGCAAUAUCUCUGUCAAGAAAUUUUCUAAUUGGCAAGUGAUGCUCAUAUAUUGAUGCCAAGGAAUUUUUAAAUAUAUUUGAAUUGAUUAGGCGUGAGGUUGACACUGCUCUUCAUGUGAAAACCAGCAAGGGCACUUUUGAAAAAAAGAAGGAAAAAGGAAAAAGCAAGCGAAAUAAAUGCAAAAGAAAAAUGCAAAAAGAUUCGAUGCUGAAAGUCCCUGUUGAGUGAUUAUAAAGUCAAACAAAGGUCGAGAUUGGGGCGAUUUUUGGGAGGAAAUGCGAUCUUCAAUGCAAUGUCCUUAAAAUCUUAUUUAUUUAACUAUCGUUUUCAAGCCACAUUACAAGCUCAUAAAGUCCAUCGCUGACUUAUCUUUCAUGACAAUUCGAAGUGAGGAUUAUGCUUCUAAGGAAUCCAUUAAUCAUUCAGGAUUAUAAGGCAAUAACCGGUUUCCACAUGCUUAACUGUCAUUUCUACCCAUAUGUUACAAGUUUAUAAAGCUUAUAUGUUGACUAAGUUUUCUUAAAAAAUAAGGGUGACAAACUAUUUGUUUUCACUAAGAUGUGAUAUUGAAGGGAUUACAUACAAUUUGGGCACAAGAAUAAGACAAAUCCUGACCUCUAAUUCCCCUUAGCCCCCUCAAAAUAAAAAAUAAGAUCACUUGAUUGGUCCUGAAAGAUGAGCUAACAAAAAAGAGGUGACCCAUUACCCUAAGUCUCGAUGUUAAAGUGAGGAAGAAAUCUUCUGUAAUUUGAUAUUAUUUUGAGAAAUUCAUCAUGAAAUUUUUUGUAUGAGUUUAAGCAAGAUGUUUAAUUUUCUUCACAUUAUACGUUAGGAAACAUAGUUUCUUACUUUGUUCAAAUAAAUGGAGAGUCAUCGAAACAAAAUUUUUGCAAUUGAAAGGGCCCACACUGGGGUAAAUUUUUGUAAUGCAUUUGAGGAUUUCGUCCAAGAGUCAAAUAAGAUAUUUUUGAAUCAAUCAUACUGCUCUUUACAUGAGUAAUAGGUGCAUCAAUCAAAAAAAUAAUAAGAAAUUUAAGUGCAUGUUGUACUUUGGUAAGACCCCUAUACAGGUAUUCAUGGCUGAAAUUGAUGAAGAAACAUUUAGUGAUGUGGAAGGCCGAUACCGGAAAAAGAGAAGAAAGGAAAAGAAAAAGGGCUCUACACUGGGACAAAUUAUUUUUUGAAAAGAAUCUCUCAAUCAAAAAAAAAUCCCAAAAAAAAUCAAAAGAUCAAAAAUCCAAAAAAAAAAAAUCAAAAGAUCAAAAUUUUAAAAAAAAAUCAAUCAAACAAAAAAAAUAAAAAAUAAAAAAUCAAGUUUAAAUUCUUGUUUCUUGGAAAAUCAAAUUUAAUUUCUUGUUUCUUGAAAAGUCAAAUCUAAUUUCUUAUUGGUGAGUCUCAGCGUCCGCUGCGCACCCUUCUACCUCAUUUCUGGACAACCACAUUUAAUUCACUGACUUCUACCACCGUUAGCAUCGAGUCUAUCUCACUAACGUGUGCGUUUUUAUUCAACUACCGUUAGCAUCGAGUCUAUCUCACUAACGUGUGCAUUUUUAUUCAACCACUGUUAGAAUCGAGUCUAUCUCACUAUCGUGUGCGUUUUUAUUCUACCACCGUUAGCAUCGAGUCUAUCUCACUAACGUGUGUGUUUUUAUUCUACCAUCGUUAGCAUCGAGUCUAUCUCAUUAACGUGUGCGUUUUUAUUCAACCACCGUUAGUAUCGAGUCUAUCUCACUAACGUGUGCGUUUUUAUUCUACCACCGUUAGCAUCGAGUCUAUCUCACUAACAUGUGUGUUUUUAUUCUACCAUCGUUUGCAUCGAGUUUAUCUCACUAACGUGUGUGUUUUUAUUCAAAUACCGUUAGCAUCGAGUCUAUCUCACUAACGUGUGCGUUUUUAUUCUACCAUUGCUAGCAUCGAGUCUAUCUCAUUAACGUGUGCAUUUUUAUUCAACCACCGUUAGCAUCGAGUCUAUCUCACUAACGUGUGCAUUUUUAUUCUACCACCGUUAGUAUCGAGUCUAUCUCACUAACGUGUGUGUGUUUUUAUUCUAUCUUCGUUAGCAUUGGAUUCAUCCCACUAACGUUAUUCUAUCUCCGUUAGCAUUGGGUUCAUCCCACUAACGUGCCUUUCUAUUUUCGAUUUUUUCGGCAGGCUCGAGUGUUAUCAUACUGACCGACUAUCACGGCAGGUUUGGGUUUAUCCCACUAACCGAUUCUCAAGGCAGGCUCGGGUGUUAUUCCACUGACCGAUUAUCAAGAUUAUUAAGGCAGGUUCGGGUUUAAUCCCACUGACUGAUUAUCAAGGCAGACUCGGGUUUAAUCUCACUGAUCGAUUGUCAAGGCAUUUCAUUCAUCACUGCCACUAAACAUGGGUUAGUCCCACUAGUGAGCACUUCAUUCAUCAUUGCCAUUAAACACGGGUUAAUCCCACUAAUGUACAUUACAUCUUAUCGUUAGACAUGGGUCAGUCCCACUAACACUUCAUUUCACUUCACUUCACUUCAUCCCGUUGGGUUUGGAUUUUGUGCCACCAACCUCGGCAGGCUUGGGUUGUAUCCCACUGACCGAUGUCAUAGCAGCUUCGGGUCAGUCCCGUUUUAAAUUUCUUGUUCGGGUCAGUCACGUUUUAAAUUCCUCAUUCAGGUCAGUCCCGUUUUAAAUUUCUUGUUCAGGUCAGUCUCGUUUUAAAUUUCUUGUUCGGGUCAGUCCCGUUUUAAAUUUCUCGUUCGGGUCAGCUCCAUUUUAAAUUCCUUGUUCGGGUUAGUUCCGUUUUAAUUUUCUUGUUCGGGUCAGUCCCGUUUUAAAUUUCUCGUUCGGGUCAGUCUCGUUUUAAAUUAUUUGUUUGGGUCAGUCCCAUUUUAAAUUUCUUGUUCGGGUCAGUCCCGUUUUAAAUUCUUUGUCUGGGUCAGUCCCAUUUUCUAAUUUUUUGUUAAAGGGGUCAGUCCUCAUUUUGAAAGCGUCAGUCAUUCGAGUAGUUUGCAGCAGAAUAACCACAGGUGAGUAUUUGGUGUCUACGUCUUUGUCUCAAAUUUCUUCGAAACUCAGACAAAGAGGGGUAAACUGUAGACACCAAAUUUUUAGCCUUUCUUUUUCUUUUUAUUUUAUUUAUUUAAUUAGUUGAUUUUGUUUUAAUUUUUGCUAAGAAAAUUGUUUUACUAUUAUUAAUUAAUUCAUUGAAAAAAAAGAAAAAGAAAAACUGUUCCAUGCGCUCGUGCUUGGCACGUGCGCCAUUUUCUUUUCUUUCAUGCAAAAAAUGCAAGCGAAAGGCGAAAACAGGGACAUAAAUUUGCAACGGCAUUUUUUUAAUCCCAGCCUCAUCUCAAAAAUGCCAUCCAAUGGCUUAAGUUUUCGGUAGAAACCCACCCUUCAUCCUCACCUUUGAGGUGAGGGUUUUAGGGACCUGGGGUUUCCUAUAAAAGAAAAAAGAGCAGCGGGGACAAAGGGUAAGAGGAGUCGGCGGCUGGGGCUGAGUAGAAACAACGGAGGAAAAAAGCAAAAAAGGGGGGUUUUUGGGGAGAGUAGUUGACAGCUGAAGGAAAGAGUGAAGGGAGAGUUUGAGGGUUAGAGAGAGUUUUGGAGAGGGUGACGGCCGAAAGAAAGAAACCAAGCGAGAGGAAACCAAGGAAAGGAGAAGCGACUUCAUCAACGUAAAGGGCAUUUCGUGGGUCUUCGUUUCCAGAAACAACGUGUUUGUCCUGAGACUAGGAGAGAAACGAAUCAAGAGUCUGAGGAAGACACAAGGGAGGAUCGGGGAACAAGCAAAGGAAAUCUGCAAAAUCUUGAAGAAGGCUUCGAAGCUGAGAGCGAGGGAAAGAGGACUGCUCGACGAGGAGGCAACUUUUGCAGCAAAAGUUCCCGAUCGCGUUCCUGGGAACCCGUACGCGUUUCCGGGCAGAUCUCAAUGCCGCUCAACCGUGCUAGCAUUCUCAGGUAAAAAUACCUCUUAUUUGGUGGAUUUUAACAUGUUUUUAUGAAAGAUAAAGCCAUCGGAUGUGAAUCUUUUUGUUUGCUACUGGGUCAAGCUCUCGCUGGUUCUAUGAUUCUGCCAUUUUGCUCGUUUGCUAAGAUCUGAUUCAGUAGGAACCUAUGAGAUGAGUUUGAUUAAGAACAUGGGGUUUAGGGUUUUCUAUAGUGGUCACCUGAUGAAUCCAUGAGUUCUUUGCUCGAUGUUUAUGGUCAGUCUUUGUGUGAGUAUUGGAGCAGGGACUGAAACCCGAAUUGCCAUCUCAACCUGAAUUGAACCCGAAGAACGUAAGCGCGAUGAGUACUGGAGCAGGGACUCUAGGUGUGUAAUGAGUUACUUGAUUCAUCCUAUUCCCGAAGUGUUUGCUUGACCCGAUAUACCAGAAUGGGAUUGCUUAUUCGCAAGAAACUAUUGAUUUGUAAACAGGGCAAGUAGGGUCGCAUCCUCAGGGACUGGAAAAAAUUCGUUUCUUUUCAAAUCCACAAUAACAAGGGGAUGUUUUUGGUAUAAACGAUGACAAUCAAAGGAGUUUAAAUAAAGAUAAAUAGCUAACUAGGAAUUAAAUGACAAUUUACUAAAAUCAGAGUAAUAAUAAUUAAAGGUCUAGCCAAGAAAUAACUUCAGCAAUGGUUCACCUAAUUGAUCAUCGAUGCAAAUGCAAUUCCAGUUAUUUACUAAUAAAUAGGUUAUAACUGUCAAACAAGCAAUGACAGUCAACCCCUUCUUACUGUGUCGGUGACUAAGGUACGCCCGUUAAUCACUACUCUAAUUGAGAAAUAAUCCUAAGUACGCCCGUAAGAUUUAAUUUUCCAAUUGCCUUACGUAUUAAAGAAGCCCUAUUCUAACCAAAUAACACACUACCAGGGUUAUUUUAGAUUAGCCUGCGCAUUCCCCUGACACAAACCCAAUCAUGCCAGUUGUCACUAUUUUAGGGCAAUUAAACAAUUACGAUUUAAUGCUCUAAUUGACAAUAGGUUACUAAACUAAUUCAUUAUCUGGAUCCAAGACAAUCAAUUAAUUAAAUAACCAUAAGUACUACAAUCAGGGAAUAUGCAAAUACCAAUAAAUAAGAGGAAAAGAUAAAUUUAAAUCGAUCUCACAAUUUUUAGAUGAACCAAAACCUCCGUUGUUUCUUGACCAGAAAAGGGAAUUUAAUUCAUCCCGGAUAGGAAAGACCCACACAAAGUUGCAGCAAUAGUUGCGGCCAUUGUCUCCAAGAAUUGGGAAAAUUCAAUUCGUUCGAAUCAAUAAGAAAAGCAAGCUACAGAAAAUAAUUACUGGUCUUCACUUUGUCUUGACAUACGAAGAAGGAAAACUACUAAGAGCCCACAAGAAGAAAAGUCAAAAGCUAAAACUAAAAAGUAGUGCCCUCUUGUUUCUCUCUAUUCCUAUCUAAUGCCCCCUGCUUUGCAGCUGCCCCGCGGCAGAAAAAGAGAGAGUCCAGCCUUGUUCCGUCUCUUCCUUCUUCGGUAAGUACCAAAAGGGGAAAAGUUCCCCUUUUCCAAAAAUGCCACUGGGAUGAGGGCUGCUACUUGAACUCCUUUCCUAAUGACUAUCAAAUUGGCACUUGUUGUGGUAUUUUUGUUCUACUCCCUGUAAUAAAUGUAAAUUUUCAAAAGUGAGUAGAAUCUAACAAUUAAUCCACAUCAGGUCAAGUAAUAAGAGAAAUUAAUAAUAAAAGAAAUGAUAAAAUUGCGACCUAUCAAAAUGGGAUGGAUGUUUAGAUAGGAAUUCUGUAGAGGGCUGGUAGCAGCCAUCCAAAGAGAACAAGUCCAUUUGUGGACAAAAUAAAGUGAAUGGAGAAUAUAUAUAUAUAUAUAUACGCUACAUGAAUAUUCAACAUAUACAAAAAUGUGAUCAAGAAAAAUGAGGAAUCUGACAGCCUAAUGCUUACUUGCUGCUUUUUAUGGUUUAACUUUAAAGAGACUUUGGUGUCUUGGUAGUUCGUAAUUUGAUUCGAGGUUGAUAAAAAGAAAUUUUUCAGAAAACGUGAAAUAGGGUAAGUAUCCUAGUUUAUUUUAGGUAUUGAAAGUUAAUAAAAAUGGAAAUUAUGGCAGUAAUCCUCUUCAUUUUUCCCCACCAACCAAAGCAACGAUUUUUAAGAAUACAAACAAGAUUUUAAAAAAUAGUUGUGGAGAAAACUUUUAACAAGUUUAAAAUGCAAAGUGUCCAUCAUAAUGUAGAAGAGCACAAUAAUUAGAACUCCCACGUUGGCUAAGCAAAAAUAUAUGUUUGCUCUAAUAACAUAUUACAUAUUAAAUUAUUUUACUAUGAGGUAGGGUACAUUUUUUUUAUAGUUUAGCAAACUAGAACAAAAUUAUAAUAAUUUUAAAUUAAUAUAGUUGCGUGGUGAAAUAUCAUCUGCGGCAAUAUAUAUAUAUAUAUAUACACACACACAUGCGCACGCACACUACUUAUUCAGUUGAAAAAAAUACAAGAAUUUGACAAUAUUGGUUAAUCAAAGAGCACCUUUAGUGACAUGAGAAUGAAAAUUGCUCCUAGAAUAUCUUCCUGAACUUUGUCAUUGAACGAUUGCUCAAAGAGUCUGUAAGAAAUUUAAUUCAUUCUAAUUUUGUCAGUAUUUAAGAAAGUAAGGAUGAUUGAAUUUGACUGCCAUUGUUUUCGAAAGAAUGACUCCACUCAUUAAAGAAUCAAGCCAAAAUUGAGACAAGUAUGAACAAACAAGCAAUUAGUAAUUUAUAUUGUGGUAAUACAAGUUUAUACAAAAAAAAAAGUAGGCACAGUGUAUUUUUUCUGCACCUGUUGUCUAAUAAUAUUAUCACCUUCCAAACUUUGUGGGUUUGUAAAAUGCAUCAAUUAUGGAUCUUGGAGUAAAGAUAUUAAGUAUUAACUAAAUUAACUAAUUAUUGAACUUAUACUCAUGGAAUAAUAAUUUUUUUUUGUAAUGUGCUAAUCUCUAGAAUAUUUGACUUUUAAUAUCCAGGUCUCCCAAUGGUGUGGAAAUUAAGUUGUUCUUCAACAUGCAGCUUCGUGGGACUUCAAGCAUGCCAAGAGUUUCUGGGAAAGAAUAGGUCAAGAUAAGUGACUUGGAGGAAUCUUCAAAAUCAAUACACUUUGUUGAAAUUGAAACUCUUGGAAGUAGCUUGACUGCAUUCAUACCAAAAAGUAAUUUAACAUAAUACUUAUGGACUUUCUCCAUCUCUUUUGUCAUUUCUUUUUCGAAAUUUAUUGUUUAUAGGAAAAAGAAAAAGUCGAUUCAAGAUAUGAAUCUAUGAACAGUUCAACAAUCUAGAUAAUAUUACUCAUUAACGAGAGAGGUUAAUCUAAAAGGACUGAGAUUCGUAGACCAACUGGUCACUACUCAUUACUCAUUAAUAUUCUAAUGUUUGCUUGCUUCUUUUUCAUGGUUUAACUUUAAAGUGAUUUUGGUGUCUUGCUAGUUUGUAAUUUGAUUCAGUCCGGUUGAUAGAAAGAAAUUGCUCAGAAAAUGUGAAAUAGGUUAAAAUAUCCCAGUUUGGUUUGGAUAUUGAAAGUUAUAAAAAUGGAAAUUAUGGCGGUGAUCCUCUUCAUUUUUCCCCACCAAUCAAAGCAGUGAAUUUUUUAAGAAUACAGACAAGAUUUGAAAAAAUAGUUAUCUAUAAUAAUGUAGAAGGGCACAAUAAUUAGAACUCCUAUAUAUGUUGGCUAAGCAAAAAUAUAUUUUUGUUAUCAUAAGAUCUUACAUACGAAACGAUUGUACUAUCAGGCAGGGUAGAUUUUCUUUAUAGUUAGCAAACUGGAACAAAAUUAUAAUAAUCUUAUUUUAAUAAAAUUGCCAAAUGAAAUAUCAUUUGCAAUGACAAUGUAUAUAUUACUAGUUUAAUUGACAAAAUAUAAGGAUUUGACAAUGCUAAUUUGAUUAAUCAAAGAGCACUUUUAGAAGAUAUUACGUUUACACGUAAAACUUAAAAGCCAAUUUAUUUAUUUUUUUUUGCUUUUCUAAAUUUAAAUUCUUUUUGCACGUGCUUCCACUAUUAUCUUGCUCUACAUUUGAGAAGAACUUCUUACAACUUUCUUCAAAUAAAUACCUUUUCCAUACAAAUCCCGCGCCUUUAUAUAAACAAUUACGCUGGUUACAAAGUUUAUCAAGCAAUAAUGAAGAGGCCGAUAACAUUUUAUAGUACCUUACUUUUCUUCUUUCUUUUACAUCCUGAAGAAGUGAUCACUUUCACUUUCUUGGAAGAUCAUUUGUGCCAUCAUGAUGAGGCUCUUGCACUGCUUCAGUUUAAGGAAAUGCAUAGCACAUCAACUGAUGCUUCUCAUGAUUGCAAUUAUUUUGGUCAGUACUCAUAUCCAAAGACAACACAUUGGAAACCAGAUACAGAUUGUUGCAAUUGGGAUGGUGUCACAUGCGACAACAUCACCGGUCGUGUAAUUGGGCUAGAUCUGAGUUGUGGCCAGCUUCAGGGAGUCAUCCAUCCAUACGCUACCCUUUUCAAUCUUUUCCAUCUCCACAGUCCCAACCUUACUUUUAAUGAUUUCACCGGCUCACGGAUUUCAUAGUGAUUUGACUCGCUAAAAAGUUUGAUCCACCUCAAUCUCUCAAAUUCAAAUUUCCAAGGUGAGGUUGCUUCAGAAAAUAUCACACCUGUUCAACCUAAUUUCACUUGAUCUCUCUUUCAAUCUCUUGUGUAAUUCUAUGGGUUGCUCAUAUCCAAGAUAUGAAUUUAGUAAUUUUGAAGCGAUGCUUCAAAACAUAACCCAUUUAAGAGAGCUAUCACUUUCGUCAGUGAACAUCUCAUCCGAGUUAAGGGUGAAUUUUUCUUCAUCUUUGACAUAUCUAGAUCUCUCAUAUACUGGAAUAACAGGUAAUCUACUAGGCAAUGUUUUUCAUCUACCGAACAUGCAAGUUCUCUCGUUAGAUAGCAAUGAGAAUCUUACUGUUAGUUUAUCAAACUUGAACUGCAGCAUUUCUGAUUCUCUGAGGCAGUUGGACCUAUCGGCGACAAGUCUCUCUGCUGCACUGUCAGAUUCAAUUGGGUGCAUAAGGUCCUUAAAUUCUUUGGAUCUAGGAACUUGUCAAAUUUCUGGUGUCAUUCCUGAAUCAAUUGUCUUCGGAAGAUAACUAUCUUCUAGGGAAAAUUCUAGCUAAAUUUUCCUGUUCACAAAAGCUAAGUAGACUAUCACUUGGUCUUUUUAGAUCUCUCUAGUAAUCAACUAAGCGGUUCACUUCCUCCAACAAUUUUUACUAUUCUGACUCUAUCUUAUCUUGACCUUUCUUCAAACCAUUUUGCUGGGGUUGGGCAAGACGUAUUUGUGGACUUCAAUAAGCUUCAAAAGAACCCUCUUGAGAAUGAAGCCCCACGGAACACUAAAAACAAUGUGAGCAUUUCCUAUCCAGAUUUCUGGCACUUGGGAUUGUCUUCUUGCCAGAUAAAGGAAUUUCCUGAGUCGCAUAGAAAUUCAAAGAGCUUAAAAUUUCUGGACCUCUCAAAUAACAGGAUUCACGGCGAAAUUCCAAGCUGGUUCAUGUUGAAGAAAAGGGUUCAGAUUGGGAAAAACUUCAAGCGUAUAUUACUGAUUGCAAUAGUCUGCUGAUAUAGUUACAAGAAUUUGACAAAAAAGGGAAGAUACAAUUAUUCCUAAAAUCAUGUAAUGGAAAGCUAAAACUACUCCUACAAUCACGUCAUGACAAAAACUUAUAUGGUAACAAUAUAUACAGCUAUAUGAUUGAAUAUCUCAACACUCCCCCUCAAGUUGGAACAUGGAGAUUGCGAAUGCCCAACUUGCUCAACAAAUGGUGGAACUGAGCUUUCCCAAGUGCUUUGGUGAACAAGUCGCCAAUUUGAUCACAUGAGCGAACGUGAGCAGUCUGCAACUCGUUACUUAGUAUGCGAUCACGAAUGAAAUGGCAAUCAAUUUCAAUGUGCUUUGUACGUUCAUGAAAAACUGGAUUUGCAGCAAUGUGUAGAGCAGCUUGGUUGUCACAAAAGAGAGACAUGGGUGAUGCUAAUGAAACUUUCAAAUCUGCAAACAAAGAACGCAGCCAGAGGAGUUCACUAGUAGCAUUGGCCAUUGCCCUAUACUCUGCUUCAGCGGAUGAGCGGGAAACUGUAGUUUGCUUUUUGGACUUCCAAGAAACCGGGCUAUUACCGAGGAAAACGAUAUAACCACUAGUCGAUCGUCGAGAUGUUGGGCAGCUGGCCCAAUCUGAGUCACAAUAAGCAAUGAGUUGCAGCAAACUAGCAGAUGACAAGAAUAUACCUUGGCCUGGUGCCCUUUUGAGGUAGUGAAGGACUCGAUAAGCUGCAUCCAAGUGAGGAACACGUGGAUCUUGCAUAAAUUGAUUGAGAACUUGUACUGGAUAGCUAAUGUCAGGUCGAGUUAUCGUCAAAUAAAGUAGCCUUCCAAUGAGACGACGAUAUUGACCAGCAUCUUUAACUACUGCACCAACUCCCGCUGCCAAGUUGUGUCGUUGUUCCAUAGGAAAGUCAGCAGGACUUGCGUCGAGAUGACAAGUCUCUUCAAGGAGGUCUAGAGUGUAUUUUCGCUGGCUAAGUACAAUUCCUUCCUUAUUACGAGCCACCUCAAUACCAAGAAAAUAUUUGAGUUGCCCAAGAUCUUUGAUGCGAAAAGCUGAAUCAAGAUGAUGCUUCAUAUGAUUGAUGGUGGUUGAAUCAUUUCCAGCCACAAUAACAUCAUCUACAUACACUAACAAAGCAGUAAAGUGUGCUCCACUGGUGAAUGUAAAAUGUGAAUUAUCUGUAGCAGAUUGACUAAAACCAAUACUCUACAAGCAACUAGAAAAUGUUUGAAACCAAUUUCUAGAGGCUUGUUUAAGGCCAUAAAGGGACUUUCGAAGUCGACAAACCCGAUUGUCACCUGGUUUUGCAAAGCCUUGUGGUAUUUUCAUGUAUACCUCUUCACGUAGAUCUCCAUGCAGGAAGGCAUUAUUAAUGUCCAGCUGAUGUAAUUCCCAAUGUCGUACUGCAGCCACAACUAAUAGACAACGUAGAGUUGUAAGCUUUGCAACUGGAGCAAAAGUAUCAUGGUAAUCGAGUCCUUCAACCUGUGUAAAACCUUUAGCAACCAAACGUGCCUUAAACCGCUCAAUUGUGCCAUCAGACUUGUACUUGAUUUUGUACACCCACUUGGAAUCAAUGGCAUGCUUACCAGGUGGUAGAUGCUCUAAUGUCUAAGUUUGAUUCUCCUCCAGUGCCUUAAUUUCUUGCUGCAUAGCAAGUCUCCAACGAUGAUCCCUAACUGCUUGGGAAAAAAACUUUGGUUCGUCUAAUGAAGUGAUGGAGGCCAAAAAAGCUUUAUGGGCAUCAGUGAAAUGAGAAUAGGACAAGUUAUGAGAGAUAGGAUAAAUUGUACCUGAGUUUGCUGAUGGAGGGGACUCCCGAGAUGGUUCCAAGGAGGGUAACAACUUAUAAUCAAAACCAGAAAGCUUUGUGGAUACAUGCCUUACUCGAUGUGGACGCUGCAAGGAAGGAAUUAUAUUUCCACUAGGGCUGCCAGUAUCUGGUUGUAGUGUAGAAUUAUCUUUUUCAUGUUGGGUUUGUUGGGAAAAUGUAUGUUCAAUAGGAGAUGGUGUGGUGUCCAUCGAAGUGGAGUUUAUAGGAGGUGGAAUUGGGUCAGAUUGUGAGUAAUCAUGCUGAUCUAUAUGGGGUUGCACACUCCACAUUGAAGGUUUAGACUCGUUAUUUCAUUGAAAAGGAAAUUCUGUCUCAUAAAAUAUCACAUCCCGUGAUACAAAUACUUUUUCUCUUUCCAAAUCAUAGACUUUAUAGCCCUUUUGUCCAUGGGGAUAACCAAGAAAAAUACACCGAUAGGCUCUAGUAGAGAAUUUAUCUCGGUGUUUGUCAUGAUUAUGAGCAUAACAAAGUGAUCCAAACACCUUCAAAUGAUUGUAGUUGGGUUUACUUUUGAAAAGUACCUCAUAUGGGCUCUUGCCUUUGAGAGUGGGAGUGGGCAUCAAAUUGAUAAGAUGAACUGCUGUCAAAACACAUUCUCCCCAAAAUUUCAAAGGUAAAUGGGCUUGAAAACGCAAUGCUCGCGCAACCUCAAGAAUGUGGCGAUGUUUGCUCUCCACUCGCCCAUUUUGUUGUGGAGUAUCAACACAAGAGGUUUGAUAGUCAAUCCCUUGACUAGCAAAAAAAUCUCUCAUGGUCCUGAGACAAAUUCACUCCCAUUAUCACUUCUCACAACCUGUACUGGGUAACCAAAUUGAGUUUGUGUAGAUUGGCAGAACAUGGUUAGAAAAUCAUAGGCCUACAAUUUAUUUUUCAAAAGAAAGACCCAAGUACAUCGUGAAAAAUCAUCAAAAAUAGUUAAGAAAUAAUGAGCACCACUAAGUGAUAAGACAGAAUAUGCUCCCCAAAGAUCAACAUGAAUCAAAGCAAAAGGUUUAACACUUUUCUUAUUGCUGUUUGGAAAAGACAAUCUUGUUUGUUUGGCCCUAUGGCAUACAUCACAAAUGUGAUUAAAAUUGCUAGGAAAAGGAAUACUAGAAAUUAAUUUUAAUCGGCUAAAGGAAGGAUGACCCAAGCGCAUGUGCCACAAGGUAGCAUCAGAUUCAGUAACACUAAGACUUGCGAGCCCGUGGCCUCCUUCUAAUUGAUAAACCCCAUCUCGGAGCCUACCCACUCCAAUCAGCAUCCUCGUACACAGGUCCUGAAAAAAAACAAGAAUCAGGAAGAAAGGUUGCUGAGCAGUUUAAUUCCUUUGUAGCUUUGGCAAUAGAGAGGAGAUUGAACUUGAAACCAGGCACACAAAUAACAUUUUUCAAAUUGAUAUUUGGUGUUAGGUAGGCAUUACCAACGUGAGUUACAGGGAGACUAGAGCCAUUUGCGAUUCUCACAUUUGGAUAUGAAGAGAUGCAUUUAACAUUGUCAAGUAUACUUUUGUCUCCAACCAUAUGGUUAGAGGCACCAGUAUCCAAAAUCCAUGAGUUAUGGAAUGAAUUGCAUUUACCUGCAAAGUUGGCCAAGGCCUCAUUAUCAUGAUUUGGUGGUCCAAGGAUUUGCAUGAGUUUGUUGUACUGGUCCAUUGUCAAUCCAAGAGGUUGUUGUGACUGUGACUUCUCACUUGGGUUGAUAAAUUGGUGGUCAGUUGCUGCUAUGUUGCCAUAGAUUUGCAUCUGCCCUGAAUUGUUCUUGCCUCCACCACAAUUGCCACCUUUGCUUUGUUGAUUAUUCUUCCAAUUUGCUGGAUACCCUAUUAUCUCAAAGCAUUCUUCCUUGAGAUGUCCCAUUUUCUUGCAAUGUUCACACCUUUUACUUGAUCGACUUCUUGGGGCUUGACUCCUGGUAUUUUCGUUGCCCCUACGAUCAGUUUUUGCUGCAAAAGCCGCUCCUUCCAGGCUGUGUGAUGUUUGUUCAUUUACUUGUACAAAGGAUUGCUCUUCUUGUAAAGCCAAGGAAAACAGUUUACUGAGUGAAGGUGUAGGUUCCAUGGACAGCACAUUAGAUCUCAACCGAUCGAAAUUUCCAUUCAAUCCCAGUAGAAAUUGAAGGGCUUUUUCUUUUUCUCGGCGUAAUAAGUGAUCCUUGGCUGCCUCGCAUUUGCAAUAAGGCAAUGGAUCAUAGAUUUACAGUUCUUGCCAUAAGGUUUUGAACUUGGUAUAAUAUUGAGUUAAAGGCUGCCCAUCUCCUUGUAACAUGUUGGAAAAUUAUUUUUUUAUUUUAUAAAGUCGAGGUGCAUUACUUUGUCCAUACCUUUCACAAAUCUCAGUCCAAAUUUCUUGUGCCGUGCCGGUGUAGACAACGCUCUCUUGUAUGUCCUUGGCCAAGGAAUUCCUCAGCCAUGCUCUAACCAUUGCAUCAUUCUUCUUCCACCGUUGAAAGUCUGGUGACUUUAGAUCUGGCACUUCUAGACUGCCAUCAAUGAAACCACCCUUGCCUUUGGCAUAUAGGGCUGUUUCCAUGGUGCUUUUCCAUGCUGCAAAAUUUUCUCCUGCGAAUGGUGUGGAGACAAAUUGCAGCCCUGGAUGAUCUGAAGGUACAACACAUAGGGGGAGUCAUCAUAGAUUGUAACCUCUCCCCCUUUCGUUGAAUUCUCUGGAGUUGACAUAUUUUAUUGUCAACAAUUGUUAAGGCUCAACCUGCUCUGAUGCCAUGAAGAAAAGGGUUCAGAUUGGGAAAAACUUCAAGCGUAUAUUACUGAUUGCAAUAGUCUGCUGAUAUAGUUGCAAGAAUUUGACAAAAAAUGGAAGAUACAAUUAUUCCUAAAAUCAUGUAAUGGAAAGCUAAAACUACUCCUACAAUCACGUCAUGAUAGAAACAUAUAUGGUAACAAUAUAUACAGCUAUAUGAUUGAAUAUCUCAACACAUGUCCAAGACUUGGGAUAAUUUGCCCUACUUGAAUCUUUCGCAUAACUUUUUGACUGGUACCAUAGACCAACUACGGUGCAAACAUCUGUUGCAUCUAGAUAUGAGUUUCAACUCACUUCAGGGUCAAAUGCCUUCUUCUAUCUGUAACUCAACUUCUCUUUUCAUUCUUGAUUUGUCAUAUAACAAUUUGGUUUCCCGAAUCCCUCAAUGCUUGGGAAACUUCAGCCAGAAGCUCUCCGUUUUGGAUUUGGGAAAUAAUGGACUUUUUGGCACCAUUCCCACAACUUUUUCACAAGGUAACUCUCUGAAUAUUCUUAUGCUGAAUGACAAUCAACAAGAUUGAUGAUAGAUUUCCAAUUUGGUUGGAAUCUCUACCUAAUCUACAGGUUUUCAUAAUCGAUUUCACGGAGGAAUUGGUAAUUUUCAAACUGAAAGCCCAUUUCCGCAGCUGAGAAUCAUCGAUGCAUCCUGCAAUGAGCUCACUGGUGUUCUACCUACAGAACUCUUCAAAAGCUUAGAAGCUAUGAGAAGCUUAAAGGAUCACCCUGGGCAAUAUAGGUCAGAAACUGGCUAUGAGCUUGAUUAUUACAUCCAUUCCUUGACUUUAGUAAUCAAAGGGACGGAGUAUAGUCUUGAAAGAGUCCUGAUAGAUCGAACAGCCAUUGAUUUCUCAAGCAACAGAUUUGAAGGACAAAUUCCAGAAAUUAUCGGAACCCUUCAUUCUCUUCUUAUACUCAAUUUCUCUCAUAACAAUCUCAGUGGUCAUACUCCCCGGGCAUUAGGGAAUUUGAAUAAGCUUGAAUGUCUAGACCUCUCUUGGAACCAGCUUGAGGGAACUAUUCCUGUGGAGCUUCUGAAUCUGACAUUCCUUGAAUUCUUACACCUUUCAGAAAAUCAUCUGAUUGGACCCAUUCCUCGAGGAAGACAUUUUGAUACAUUUGGGAAUGAUUCAUGCAGAGGGAACUCGGCCUUGUGUGGAUCACCAUUGACUAAAGAUUGUGGAAAUACAGGGGCACCACCACCAGCCUCGCCAUUCGGAUCUGAGCAACAAUAUGAUCCAGAGUUCUUUGAUGGAUUCACCUGGAGAGCUGUUGUUCUGGGAUAUGGUUGCGGAUUAGUGCUCGGACUAACCAUGGGAAGUCUCGUGUUCUUAACUGAAAAACGAAGAUGGUUCAUAUAGAUUGUUGAAGAGUCGUACAAUCUGUGAAAAAGAUCGAGGAAAUAUGUCCACAUACGAACUUGAGAACAGCAAUGCAAUUUACAAAAUUGGUGGGCAAAACAUACUCUCUUCUGCAGCUGUUGUCUAAUAAUUUUACUUCCUCUGCAUAAUUUCCAUUUUCAUAAUCAAAUAUCCUUGGAAAUGAUAACUUUUUUCUAUGGCUAAUCACCAGAAAAUUUGACUUUUUAUGUCCAGGCCUCCCAUUGGAGUCGUAACUAGGAAGGAUCAGCAGUAAAACUGGCUUUGUUUCAGUUCCAGUUGUAUGUAUCUGCUAUGCACGUUUUAAGGUUCUAAUAGUUGCUUCUUUUUAUGAUUGUCAAGUUCCAGGUGCAAAGAGAUUCUGAUUCCUUGCAACUUUAUCUUUUGCUUCAUGGUUAAAAAUGAAAUCAAGAACAUGUUCAGAAAAUAUGAAAAAAGGGUAUAUCCCAGUUUGGUUUGCACAUUGAAAGUUGUUCGAUGAAAAUUAUGACAAUAAUUCUCUUCAUUAUUCCCCACCUGCCAAAGAAGUUAUCUUUGAGACUACAAACUAGGCUAGUGUGCUUUAAAAUGCUUUACAUUGACUAAUCAACAACGAAGAUGUUCUUCAACUUGCACCUUUGUGGGACUUGAUUUGGAACAGCUUUGCACCAUUCGAACUUCAAUCGUUUACUGCCACAGCUGGUAUGUGUGAACAGAGAGAGACUAAUCCAAGCCACUUUUCUUGACUUUGUGGAAAAGAACAAGUCAUCCUCAGUCUUUUGCAAUAAAUUAUAGAUAAGUGAAGCCUAGUCUUCAUCCAAAAUUGUCAAAAGUGAAAUUCAUGGAUGCAACUUGAACAUAACUUAUUCUUCACUGGACCUGAAAAUUAGAGCACCAGCGACCAGCUUAAUCUUAAUUGGCUUUGGAGCUUCCACGCCAAAUGGUACGACAAUUUUGAGAAAAGGGAAGGGAGAGUUAUAGAUUUCAAGAGAAUGAUCUUUUUUCACACUACCAAAUUAGGGUCUACUAACAAAAUUUAUAGUGAAGUUCUUCAAAUCAAAUGAUCAAUCCACGAGACAAAAUCUAAUAGCAUGAACUAACUCGAAAAUAAGGUUGAGAUCUCUAUUUUAAAUACAAAAGACAAUUCACAUAUCCGAGAUAAUGAGUCAAGGAUAACCAUAUAAUAAAGCACAUACAACCACAAACUUCAAACAGCAACAAGUAACCAUGAAAUGCUUCAUGAUCCAAUUAACACAAGAAAAGCAAGAUAGUUAAGUAAUCUUAACAGAAUGCUUAUUGACUUUCUACAUCUCUUUAAUCAUUUCUUUUUCCAAUUUUUUUUUUUGUUUUACAACAAAACAAAAGUGAAUUCCAGAUAUGACCCCAUUACAGGUUCAAAAGUACAGAUAAUACUCAUGAACGAAAAGGAAUGAGAUGGGUAGGCCACUUUGGCCCCAUAGCUGUGACAAUUAGUGGACUCGUUGAUCCAAAGGCAUUUAUGGUGGAAAUGAAUUUAGAACGUAAAUGUAGUUUCUUGGCAUUACAAGUCUUUACAAGCCUAAUGAAGAUAGCAAAUAAUUCAUAUGGAUGCUACGACUUUUCAGAGGAGCUAAGGCCCAUUCUAAUUAGCCAUUACUCAUGAAAGGGAUAGUUAGAUAGGAAUUUAGUAACAUAGUGAUAGAAGCCAUCCAAAGAGAACCGGUCCAUUUGUGCACAAAGCAAAGUGAGUUUAGGAUAUAUAUGCUACACCAACAAUCUGCACAUACAAAAUUUGAUCAAGCAAAAUGAGGAAUCUAAUAGUUUAUACACUAGUGCUCCUUUCUUUGCAAUCUCGAGAAAUUACCAGUUUGUCUUCCUUUUUACCUCAUUUGUGUCACCAUGAUGAGAGUCUUGCUCUACUUCAGCUUAAGCAAAUGUUUCAAAAAUCAACAGAUGCUUCUGCCUACUGUGAAAAUGCAUAUCCAAAGAUGAUAUCAUGGAGCAAAACUUCUGAUUGCUGCACCUGGGAUGGGGUAACAUGCCAUAGAGUUACAGGUCAUGUAAUUGGCAUAGACCUUAGUUGCUGCCAACUUCAAGGAUCCAUCUAUGCUAAUAGUAGCCUGUUCAAUCUUUCUCGCCUCCAAAAGCUUAAUCUAGCUUACAAUGACUUCAAGAAUUCACCAAUUUCUCAUGGCAUUGGUGGCUUGACUAGUUUAACAAACCUCAAUCUCUCCAAUUCCAAUUUCUACGCUCAAAUUCCAUCCCAAAUAUCUUUACUGUCAAAUUUAGUUUCACUCGAUCUCUCCCAAAAUCCUAUUGAGUUUGAACAUCAGGAUUUCCAACUGCUUCUUCAAAACUUAACUCAGGUUAGAAUACUUUCUCUUUCUGACGUUAGUAUCUUCUCCGAGUUCCCUAAGAACUUUUCUUCAUCUUUGACAAUUGUGGAUCUUGGUCAAACUCAAGUUUAUGGUAAGCUACCAGACCAUAUUUUCUAUCUAGCAAAAUUGCAACAACUCAUACUAAAUGGAACUCAAGUCACUGGAAGUUUACCGAACUUGAACUGCACUGCUUCAUACAUGUUGUCGUACUUAGAUCUUGCUUACACAAAUUUUUCUGGGGAACUUCCCAACACAUUUGGCUGCUUGAAGUCCUUGAACGCCAUGUUGCUCGAUGGAUGUCAGUUCACUGGUCGCCUUCCUGAGUCAAUUGGAAACCUUUCUCAGCUCACUACGAUGUCUCUGACUCAAAACAGUUUCAGUGGGCCUCUUCCAUCGGUGAUCUCAAACCUUGUCCAACUGGAAGUUUUAGACCUUACAGGCAACCAAGUGCAAGGCCAAAUACCAGAUUGUUUCACAAAUCUCCAAAAAUUAACUCAAUUGUCAUUGCGAGACAACCAUUUGGUUGGGCCUUUCCCAUCCACCAUUGCGAACCUUACCAAUCUCCAGACGCUAGAUCUACAAUCCAAUUCGAUAACAGGUCCUCUUCCAUCAAACGUGAGUGGCCUUCAGGAAUUGUCUUUUCUAUAUCUUUAAAACAACUUGCUCCAUGGCACAGCACCGACAUGGUUAUUUAGCCUGCAGUUACUCACAACUUUGCUUCUCAAAAACAAUCUCCUAACAGGACAAAUCGAAGAGCUCAAUGGAAUGUCACUGAUGAAAAUUGAUUUGAGUAAUAACCAAUUAUAUGGUCAAAUUCCUAAAUCAAUUUCAACACUCCCAUUUUUAGAUUUCCUUGACCUCUCAUCAAAUAAUUUGAGUGGCGUGCUUGAACUAUCCAGUGAUGGUCUUGAGUACCUUGUUCUCUCUAAUAAUCGAAUAUCAUGGAGCACCAGCGGAAAUGUCAGCAACUCUUUACCAAACCUUUAUCGUUUAGAGCUAUCUUCUUGUGAGAUGAAGGCUUUCCCAGAAUUUCUCAGAAGCUCAAAGAAGUUAGAAGUUCUACAGCUCUCUGACAAUAAGAUUCAAGGUCAGAUUCCCAGCUGGGUGACAUCCAUGCCUUGGGAUUCACUUCUGUAUCUAAAUCUAUCUUAUGACCACCUUUCUGGGAUGGAUGCAUUACCUUGGAAGAAUCUAAGGGUUCUAGAUGUUCGAUUCAACCAAAUCCAAGGACAAUGGCCUUUUUUCAUUUGCAAUUUGAAAGCUCUAGCAAUUCUUGAUUUGUCAAGGAACAAAUUUACUGGUGCAAACCUCGGUGUUUUGGGAACUUUUCUAGUUUUGUGGUCCUGAAUUUGGAAGGAAAUGGCCUGCAAAGGACCAUUAAUUCAAUGGUAUUUGCAAAAGAUAUCAGAUUGAGAUAUCUUGGUCUGAAUAGAAAUUUCUUGGAAGGGCCGCUGCCAGAAACUUUGGCCAACUGCAAGUCCUUGAUGUGGGGAACAACCGUCUGAAAGAUAUAUUUCCUGCAUGGUUACAAAAUCUUACGGAGCUCCAAGUUCUUGUGUUGAGUUCUAACAGAUUCUUUGGACCCAUAAGCAUUUUCAAGGCUAAGAGUCCAUUCCAAAAGUUGCAAAUCUUCGCCCUCUCUUGCAAUGAGUUCAGUGGUGUUCUAUCUACAGAACUUUGGAAAGCUUCAGGGCUAUGAUGAGCUUACAAAGCAACAAAUCAGAAUCUAAAUACUUGCAUGCAACCGGUAAUACAACAAAUUAUCUAUACUCUGUCAGCAUGACAUCCAAAGGCCAUGAGAUUGAGUUCACCAAAAUCAUUAGAACUCUCACAACCAUUGAUCUGUCAAGCAACAUGUUUCAUGGGAGGAUCCCAGACGUCAUUGGAAAUCUCUACUCCCUCAAGUUGUUGAACUUAUCCAACAAUAACUUUUCUGGCCACAUUCCACCAGCUAUUGGGAACCUGAAAUUUCUUGAAACAUUAGACCUUUCAAGAAACCAAAUUGGAGGAGAGAUUCCAAUGCAGCUAACGAAUCUUACAUCUCUUGAAGUCCUAAACUUAUCAUGCAAUCAUCUUAUUGGGCAAUUCCUCAAGGCAAUCAAUUGCGCACACUUGGUGAAGAUUCAUACAGCGGAAACUCAGGAUUAUGUGGAUUCCCAAUAACAAAAAGCUGUGAAGAAAUGCAUGUGCCACAAGCGCCCCCAGAUGAGGCAUUGGAACAAGGCGAGGAUUCGAGUUUCAUGGGUGGAUUUACAAGGAAAUCAGUGCUCAUAGGAUAUGGUUGUGGACUUGUUCUUGGCAUAGCUUCUGGUUUUCUAAUGUUUGCUACUGGAAAACCAAGAAGAUUGGUAAGAUUCAUUGAAGAAGAAGCAUAUAGUAAUAGUGUACUCUUGUUUGGAAAGAGAAAAACUGUAUAAUCAGCUGAAAAAACCAAUAACAUGUCACGAGCGCAUGGAAGAAGAAACUAAAUAUCCAGAUAAAUGAGGUAACUAGAACAUACAUUCUGUGAUUUUAUAUUGUUUCCUUGUACAACUUUGUUAUCUAUAUCAUCAAAUGUUUACAUUCUUAAGAUAAACUGUACUUCUUACAGUUGCCCAAUUUAUAUUCAAGCACUUACUAUCUUUGUGCUUAAUAAGCUAUUAUUCAUACAGCGGGUCUGGUUUUAUAUUUGUAUAGCUGAUAUCAAAUUUUUGGAGCAUGUCUCGUUGCCCCAUUAUUCAAAAAUAACAGCUUUAAGAUCUCCAGUCUAUGAACCAAGAUAUCACUCAAGGCCAUAACCAAAAGGAUGACCUCACAGGAUCCAAAGCCAUUUCUGAUAAUUAGUGAGACUGAUAGUUUCUUGGGUUUUCACUGAAUUUCUGAUUCAAUGAAUUAGAAUAGACAGCUUUAAGGAUAUGAUACCUUUCUUUUUAUUAUUCUCAUUUAUUGAUUUGAUCAAUUCAUCUAAGCAAUCACCAUUGUUGUAGUUUAAUGUGCUUACCUUUCAUUUUUGUAGGUGGAGAAAUUUGGGAAAGAGAACUUUUCAUUCCACGUUAGAUGUCUUAAGUAUUUGUGUUAGACCUAUUAACCUUUCACGGUUCUUCAAGUGCUGUCAAUUACUAAACUCAUAGAAAUCAAAAUCCGCUUCAAAAUUUCUCAUAUUAUGUCCUUUGUUCUUUUCAUGUGUGAAUCUUAGUGUGGUUUUGUAACACUUUGUAGAAGCUCAACAAUUGAUUACUAGAUUCAGGUUUCUAAAAGAUAGUCUCCAUUAAUUAUAUGAUUUAGGAAACCCAAAUUAAUGGUGAAAAUAAUAAUUACAUUUUUCAGAAGCUCCUAAAGGUAGGAACUAAUAUUGAAAUUCACCUUUAUGAGACGGUACAGACUCUAUACAUUGGCACAUCCCAAAAUUAUUCUGAAAAUGAUCCAGCUUUGUGUCAAAGUUCAUUAAGGGUACACAAGAAUGUCCAACCACAAGCUAAAAAUUAGUUUUACUAGAACUAAUUUUUAUUAAACUUCAAAACAUAAGCUAAAUUAUUUAACAACAAAAUAGCAAUGAAUUGAGAACAUAGGAUUUGUAAUUCAACAAAAAAGAGGAAAUUAAGGAUUAUGUGGAUUUGCACAAGUACAUGUAACUUGAUGUUACUGUUGGAUCUUUUAAUUGGAAAUAAAGGAUGGCUUACCUAAUUAAAUUUACCACUACCAGGUCAACCUUCUUGCAGUUUCAGCAUUGUUUUUUCAAUAACUCAGCUUCCCCAUGGAUUUUGCUGCAUUCAAAUAAUUUUGUCCUCAGCGUCAGAGAGAAGUCAUAGACAAGUAAUUUGAUUGAUAAGAAACCAACAUGUCAGGCCAUUCAAUUAACUUCUUAAUCAUGUAACUCACCGUUGUGCACAGAAAUAUGAGACUCUAAAAGACAAACCUUGAAAUAGCAUUUCUCCAUUCACGUUUAGUUUGAUUUUAUGAUCUAAAGUAACUGCUGGUGUACUUGCAACACAAAAUGAGAAGACUAACGUGCUUUGUGCAUCAGUUGAAUGAAGCUAAAGGAAAGCACCAACAAAGUGCCCUGCGUCUGGUGAACAAAAGCCACAUAUGGCAACACGAUGAACAUCUCCAGCUCCACGACAAACCUAGUUGCAAAGUUACCCAUUAAAGAACAUAAAAACGAAAGUUGAAAACUUUCUGAUCGAACAUCUUUAAAACCAACAGAACAAUCUUCCAGAAGGAGCAAGUCAUUCUGAUUCUUGUGCAAUCUUUUAUCAAUCCCACAAGGGUGGAACAAAACCUAGAAGUGGAUUCAAUUAAUAACUCUAUGGUGACAAAUUGUCAUCAAAAGAUUUAAGCUCUGAAGGAAACAACUAUAACCAAAAUUUUAAUUGUGGUAUAUACAUCUAAAUGAAAGCAAUUUCAAAGUUUGAGGAGCCAAAAACAUCAGCAAGAAUGAUGAUUGCUACCCAUAAAAGGAAAAAGAAAAAAAAGGAUAAGAUCAGCAGCUCUACUCAGCCACCACUCAAACUGAUUGCAACAUAGCUAGAACAUGUUGACACUCUGCCUAAUCUAAUUAACGAGAAACUGGCAUGUCAUACAAAUGCACUUCUGGACACGCAAUUGCGAGAAACUGGCAUGUCAUACAAAUGCAAUUGAUAUAAAUUUCUGCUGACAUGGGAACAAAAUGUUGAUCUCAGCAUCCUGGCAGUAUACUUCAUGGAUGGAAUAGUUGGAAAAUUGUAUUCAGCAAGUCAUGGAGCCUGAUGUUUCCAAGUCACUCUCUUCACUCCCAGCAAAUUUAAUAGAUCUGCCAAAAAGAGCCAUCUUCUCUGACAAAUUACGAAGAGCAUCCUGCCUAUUAGCCAAUUCCAUAAGCACCUUAAUCCUCCUAAAUGAAACAUUACUUGGUUUUUGCCCUUUCUCCACCAUCUGCAAGAAAGACCUCUCAGCCUCAUCCAACUUCCCCAUGUCACAAAGCAAAUCAAACAAAACGUCAGAGACCAAUAUAUAAGAGCCAUACCCCAUCUCCACCAUAUCAUUCCAUAGCUCAAGUCCCAUUUCAACCUUCUCGUGCCUUCUCAACAACCUGAUCAAAAACAUACAAGAUUGAGUGUUUGGUAGACACCCUGUUUCCCUCAUUCUCAGGUACAAGUUCCAUGAACUUAUCAAAUCAUUCCACCAAUAAAAGUCCUCAACAAAAUAUUUUAAGUAGUUGCAUUUGGGCUCAACACCUUCUUUACCAUCUCAUUCAUCAAACCAUAGGCAUCCCCAAUCCUCUUUGCAAUACAGAAAUUUCUAAUAGCAGCAUUGUAAGCUGCCACAUCAGGAUAGCAUCCAUACUCUCUCAUCUCUUCCAAAACAUCCCUUGCCUUAUCAGGUUGCCCCACAAGCCCCAAACCACCAAUCAAACUCGUAUAUGUAAUCACAUCUGGACUAAUAUCCCUCUCCCUCAUCUCCUCCACCACCCUAUACGCCUUAUCCAUUUCUCUCGUCUUACAAUACACAUCCACCAAACACUAUCAGGUUCAACCCCCAUUUCCCUCGUCUCCUCAAAAAAGCCCUCGGCCUCAUCAGUUGACUUCCAACCAGCCAACAAUAUAUUAAAAGUCUGCAAAUUCGGCCUAAAUUCAUGCUUCAAGUUAUGAUACACAUUCCUGGCAUCACUCAUCCUCUUCUCUUGACACAAUGUCCUAAACAGUGCAUUGUAACAACUAGUAUCAAACUCCAAAACAAGCCUUCGAAACCGCUUAAACGAAAUCACAGUCUGCUUAACUGAACAAACCUUAGCAAUCCUAGCUAAGACAACUUGAACAGUUCUUGAAGUGAUCGAAGAUUGAUCCUUUUUCUUCGCUUCCACCAAAACCUCCCAAAUAUUAUCAAAUUUUCUGCUCCUACCCAAAACAUACAGCAUUGUAUCCAAAGAAAAUGCAGAAUGCAAAAACCCCUUUUUCCUAGAUGUAAACUUAAAGAAUUCCAAAGCCUGUAAUGGAUUAGAAUGAGAAAAUCUGACCCUUUUCAGAACAUUAUCAAUUAAGUCAUUUGAGAAAGGGAUUGAAGCUGCUGCUGAUCUCAGUGACUGUCUGAGUUCAACUGAGGUUCUUGAACUUGUUAGUAUCCGAAAAACAGUCUCAACAUCGUCGUUUACAGCAGGGGAGGAAGAAGUAAAAGGCGGGAUUUUUUCAAUUUGGGGAAUGGAACUAAAGAAAAGAAGUGAAUUUAAACAGGCAUACCUUACUGUUGCCGUUGAUGAUGUACAAGAGUGAAGAAAAAUGGGAUUUCUGAUAAAAAGAUGGAGCAAUUUUUUUGGGAUGAAAUCUGAAUGAAGACAAGAACCAAAUAUUCAGACUCUAUGCUACUGCUGCUCCUGCAGGUUUUCCCUCAAGUAUUCGAAUGCAUGAAAUUUUUGGGAUUUUUGUGAUUUUGGGGUCAUUUUUUAUGCUGUGGUUUUGCCGCAAAGCGAUUCUUCCAGCUGAAUUGAAGUGAAAGUUACACUUCAGGGAUGCACCUCUGUAUUCUUUUGUUUUCCUCUUUUUUGCCUUUUUUUUUCCAUCGGCGAAAUAAAAAGAGAAAAAAAAAGUAGGCUAAUACCAUAAAAAUGACCAUAGUUUUAGAACCAUCAGAUCCAAUUACUUUUAAAGGUCAAACUAGGAGGGGAACACCGCGCGAUGCGCGGUGUAAUUUUCAAGUUUGCCCAGAAACGUUCAAUUAUUCAAACUGGGAUAUUCAAUAUAAAAAGUUACAUGAAGGUGCAUCCAAAUGUUUGUGAUUAUUUUUUAUAAUUUUAUUAUGCAAUGAAGAGAGCCACAAUUUCAGUCUAGUUGCUAAAUGACAGUCAUUUUUGGUAUGCUGACUAAUUGGACAGCAAUGGCAAUGUCAUUAGUUUGAAAAUAAUAUAACACUGUGUAAUGCUGCCUUAUAUUUUUUAUGUACACCAAAAUCUGUGACUUUGUAGCUAAAAAAAAAAAAGAGAGAGCAGUGUAGUAUUGCAGCAAGGCUUAGCCUUAUUUUUAGACUCUGAUACAACCAAUCCACUAUUUUCGUAAUUGCAUCAAAUUAACCCAAAGACUGAAAGAAAGACCUAUUACUUUGUAGUACAAUAACCAAAAUGGCUUCAUUAGCUUGUAACUUCAAGAAAUCUACGGAAAGCAAAAGAAUUGUGCUCACAUAUCAACCGUAGUGAGAUAAACUGCAUUUGACCAAAAACGGAGGAGGAUUACCUAAUGCAGGUGUAUCUUCUCAAUACAUCAAUAGUAUAGGGGAUGGUCAAGUACUCAAUACACAAAAAAAAAAGAAAAAAGGAAGUUUCACAGGCCUCGAUGCAAUUCUACCUUUGAUCAUUUGAUGCAUGUCAACAACCAGAAUCCCGUAAAAGGAAAGACAAGUACAUGAGAUAAUGUAAAAGCCUGCAUUUAUGAAACUUACUACCAGUAGACUGCAUUCCAGAGGUUCUCAUUACACAUCAAAGCUGUUCCAGCUCAAAAAGGAAUAUAAGAAAAAGAAGAAAAAAGAAAUGCACAGUGUGCAUCAAGCCUUUUCCUUGUUAUUAGAAUCAUACACUUCAAAAUAACCGAAAGACCGAAAAAUGCAUUACUUUGUAGUACAAUAACUAAAAAGGUUUUUAUUAGCAUAUAACUUCAAGAAAUCUAAUGAAAAGUGUGAAUUUCAGAGGAAGAGAAUAAAUUCCCCAUAUUUUUAUUCAUCAAUGGUAAGGGUAUAUAUACAGGUAUAGACAUCUUAUAAUAUGAAGAUAUCCUAUUACAAUAAAUCAGUCCUCUAAUUCCUAUAAUUUAGGCUACAAACUAGCCUACAUUUGUUAGCUAUCUAAUCCCUACAAAUCAGCCUAUAUCAAUCUGUGACAGCUAUCUAAUCCCUACAAAUCAGCCUGCAUAUAAUCUGUAACACUCCCCCUCAAGCUGGAGCAUAGAUAUUAAUCAUGCCCAGCUUGUUACAUAGAUAAUCAAUCCGGACCCCGUUAAGAGCUUUUGUGAAUAUAUCACCUAAUUGUUCUCCAGUCUUCACAUAACCUGUAGUGAUCAAACCUUGUUGGAUCUUUUCACGAACAAAAUGACAAUCAAUCUCAAUGUGUUUCGUUCGUUCAUGAAAGACUGGAUUGGAAGCAAUGUGAAGUGCAGCUUGAUUAUCACACCAUAGCUUGGCAGGUACUGAGACCUUAAUUCCUACUUCACUAAGGAGCUGAUAUACCCAUAUGACUUCACACACAGACUUGGCCAUAGCUCUAUAUUCAGCUUCCGCACUGGAUCGUGAGACGACAUUCUGUUUCUUACUCUUCCAUGAGACCAAAUUUCCCCCAACAAAAACACAAUAUCCUGAAGUAGAUCUCCUAUCUUCCUUACACCCUGCCCAAUCUGAAUCUGAAAAACAUUCAAUCCUAGUAUGACCAUGAUUGCCAUAUAGGAUUCCACGUCCAGGAGCACAUUUUAAAUAGUGCAAAACUUGUUCGACUGCUUUCCAAUGGUCAACAGUUGGUGAGGACAUAUAUUGGCUUAACACACUCACUGAAUAAGCAAUAUCAGGACGUGUCACAGUAAGAUAAUUCAACUUUCCGAUUAGUCUUCUGUACCUCUCAGGAUCUGCACACAAUUCACCUUCUUUGGUUAAUUGUAAAUUAGGAACCAUUGGGGUACUACAUGGUUUAGCACCCAACUUUCCCGACUCCGACAGUAAAUCAAGUACAUACUUUCUCUGUGAUAGAAAGAUUCCCUUCUUACUCCUGCUAACUUCAACUCCCAAGAAAUACUUUAACAUCCCCAAGUCUUUGGUAUAGAACUGAGUAUGAAGAAAGGACUUUAGAGACGAAAUUCCGCUAGAGUCGCUACCUGUGAUUACAAUAUCAUCCACAUAUACAACUAACAGAAUAAUACCUCCAUUAGAGUGUCUAUAGAAAAUAGAAUGAUCUGACUUGCUUUUCUGCAUCCCAAAUUUCUCAAUAGCUUGGCUAAAUUUUCCAAACCAAGCCCGAGGACUCUGUUUCAAGCCAUAUAGAGAUUUUUGCAGACGACAGACUUUCCCUUUCCCAUACCCCCCUUGAGCAACAAAACCAGGUGGUUGCUCCAUAUAUACCUCCUCCUGAAGAUCACCAUGAAGAAAGGCAUUCUUGAUGUCUAACUGAUGCAGAGGCCAGUCAUAAGCUGCAGCAAGGGAGAUAAACAACCUGACCGAAGCAAGUUUAGCAACAGGAGAAAAAGUAUCAUGAUAAUCCACCCCAUAAAUUUGAGCAUAUCCUUUAGCAACAAGUCGAGCUUUCAAUCGAGAAAUGGAGCCAUCAGAAUUCAUUUUGACAGUAAACACCCAUUUACAUCCAAUGGCUUGUUUACCUGCAGGUAAGGUAACCAAAGUCCAUGUACCAUUGACAUCUAGAGCAUUCAUUUCCUCAAUCAUAGCAGUCCGCCAUCCGGGAUGAGCUAAUGCCUCUCGAACAGUCUUAGGUACAGAAACAGUGUCUAGGGAUGUAAGAAAAGCACAAGAAGAGGAAGACAAAUGAUGGUAGGAAACAACUGAAGAGAUUGGAUAAGUACAUGCACGUUUACCUUUUCUGUGAGCAAUAGGGAGAUCAAGAUCAUCGUUGGCAGCCGGAUCUGAUGACAAAGAGACUGGUUCAUCAGGACAUGAUUCUGGAGACUCAAGGACCAAGUCAGAACUGGGCUGAUGUGCCCGACGUGAGUAGGUAUAUUUGAUGGGAGGCUUAACCGGUGUAGAAGGAGGCGGACCCAAAUUUGGUAUGACACUAUAGAUUAACAAAUCAUCAUCCUCCCCUGGACUCACAGAACUUGAAGAGCCUGAAGAUGAAGAUAAAGGUGUUUGUUCCAAAAAAGUAACAUCAGCAGACACAAGAUACUUACCAAGACUAGGACAAUAACAACGAUACCCUUUUUGCAUGCGAGAAUAACCCAGAAACAUACACUUUAAGGACUUAGGAUCAAGUUUUGUAACUUGAGGACGAACAUCCCGAACAAAACAAGUACAACCGAAUAUCUUUGGUUCUAUAGGAAACAACUGUUUAUUUGGAAAUAGAGUGUGGAAAGGAGUAUUACCAGACAAAACAGAGGAAGGCAUACGAUUGAUUAGAAAACAAGCAGUAGAUAGAGCAUCAGCCCAGAAACAUUUAGGAACCUUCAUUUGAAAUAACAAAGCUCGAGCAGUUUCAAGAAGGUGUCUAUUCUUUCUCUCGGCAACCCCAUUUUGAGAAGGGGUGUCAACACAAGAGGUCUGAUGAAGAAUACCCUGCUCAAGCAUGUAUUUCUGAAAACUGCUUGAAACAUAUUCUUUUGCAUUAUCACUUCGCAAAAUUUGUACAGGUUUACCAAAUUGGGUUCGAAUUUCAGCACAAAAGGAAGAAAAGUGAAGAAAUAGUUCUGAGCGACUUUGCAUCAAAUAAAGCCAUGUCAUUCUAGAAUAAUCAUCCACAAAGGUAACAAAAUAUCUGAAACCAGUUUUAGAGGUAACUGGACAAGGACCCCAAACAUCAGAAUGUACUAACUCGAAGGGAGCAGUAGCUCGCUUAUUGAUUCUAGGACUAGAACUAAGACGAUGAUGUUUAGCAAACUGACAAGACUCACAAUCUAAGGAAGUAAUGUUUGAAAACUGAGGACAAAGUUUCUUCAACAUAGAAAGCGAAGGAUGACCCAAUCGACAAUGUGCUUCAAAAGGAGAGAUUGUUCCAGCACAAGCUAUAGACCCUGGUUUCGGUGUAUCAAGAAUGUAGAGACCGUCAGACUCAUGUCCCUCACCAAUAAUCUUCUUCGUCAUGAGAUCCUGAAAUGAACAAUAACCAGGAAAAAAUGAGACACAACAAUUAAGAGCACGAGUAAGUUUGCUGACAGAAAUCAGAUUAAAAGAUAGUUGUGGUAGACUCAGAACAGAUGAUAAAUGGAGAGAUGAUGUGGGCUGAGUGGUUCCAGACCCAAUAACACUGGAUGUUGAACCAUCGGCUAAAGUAACAGGAGUGAUAGAUUUAUGUGGCUGAAAGUUAGAAAGUAAACUAGGAUUACCUGUCAUGUGAUCAGUAGCACCAGAAUCAAUGACCCAUUUUGGAGAAGAGGAAACAAGACAUGCAUUGGGUUUACCUGUCUCGACAGGAGCAGUAACAUGACCAGAUGGCUGUUUCACUGUUUCUUGAAACUGAGUCAAUCUAGCAUACUUAUCCGCAGAUAUUGUAACAUGCUUGUCAGAGGUGGCACAACUAGAUGCAAUAUGGGCAGAGUGAGCCUUCUUAUACUGCAGCUUCCGACAGUCUCGCUUGAUAUGACCUGGUUUAUGACAGUAGUGACAUACAAUCUCUCCUUGCUCCUGUCCAUGAUUGCUAGUAUUCUUAUCAGAGUGGUUGGGCCCCGACCCCAUGCUCGUACUGUUGCCAUUACUCUUGUAGUGUUGUCUUCCUGAAUCAGCUGUGGUAGUUCGGCUAAGAAGAACACUGUUAGGCUGAGUAGAUAGAACAGGUAACGUAUUCUCUGUACGGAGAACCCUUCGAAAAGCAUCUUCUAGACUGGAAAUUUCUGAACCGGAAAGAAUUUGAGAUUUAGCAGUCUCAAAUUCAGACGGAAGACCGGCUAGAAAACUCAUAACCGCCAUCUUCGCUCGCUGAUUUCGUUGUUCCUCCACAUCACAACUGAAGGGAAGCAGCAUAUUGAGCUCUUCAUAUGUUUUCUUGAAGUCCAUAAAAUAACUGGUGAGAGACUUGUCUCCUUUAUCUGCCCUGUAAAAAUCCUUGCAAACAUCAUAGAUACGAGAGAAAUUUCCUUUUCCAGAAUAUAAGAACUGUAAAUAGUUCAUUAAUUGUUUUACUGUCUUACAAUGAGUCACCAGACCAACCACCUCACUAUCAAUAGAAUUACGGAUCUGUAUAUACAAGCGAGCAUCCUCUCUCAUCCAAGACAAUUUAGAGUCAUCCGUAGGUGGAUCAUCAGUCAGAUGGCCAUCCAUAGAAAUACUGAGCAGAUAUAAUUCAAUAGUAUUGUUCCAAUCAAGAAAAUUAAUUCCAGUUAACUUAUGUUCCGUGAUUUUUGAAACCAGCGGAACUAUAUCAGAAACAACUCCAGGCUUUUUGUCAGACAUAAUUGCUAAGAAAAUUCAACAAGAUAACAGAUUACCCACAAGAAAAACCUGUUGUAGCCAAGUCCCACACCUAGAUCGAUGUUGACCCACAAACAGGUAUGCAAAUAGCGUCGAGAGACAGAGGAGAGGUGCUGGGUUCUGACCAAUCGGUACUACGUACCUCCCUGAGUUGGCGGUGUCUAUAAAGGAACCUCUAAAGCCUGUACCUUGAAUAUGGCAGCAGCUUCCCUCACACCCAACAACCCAGAAAAAAAAAAUUUAUGAACAAACCUUGCUCUGAUACCAUGUGAAUUUCAGAGGAAGAGAAUAAAUUCCCCAUAUUUUUAUUCAUCAAUGGUAAGGGUAUAUAUACAGGUAUAGACAUCUUAUAAUAUGAAGAUAUCCUAUUACAAUAAAUCAGUCCUCUAAUUCCUAUAAUUUAGGCUACAAACUAGCCUACAUUUGUUAGCUAUCUAAUCCCUACAAAUCAGCCUAUAUCAAUCUGUGACAGCUAUCUAAUCCCUACAAAUCAGCCUGCAUAUAAUCUGUAACAAAAAGAAACUGUGUUUACGUAUCAACCUUAGUGGGAUAAAUUGCAUUUGAUCAAAAAAGGAGGAGGAUUAUUAAUAUAGGCCAUACUUCUAUCCUCUCAAUACAUCAGUAGCAAAAGGGAUGGUCAAACUCUUGGCACAAAAUAACUCAUCCAGUUACACAAGAUUUUAAACCAAAUAAAAAUAUUAUGAUAACACCAUCCGCGUGAGAUAUAAUGCAUCAAGAGCUGACAUACAUAUAUAGCAGGUAAUGCAAAGAUCAGAUAGCUACAGUUAGUGCAAAAUCUAGUAUCCAGGGUCAUACGCUUCAAGGCUUUGAUCUUGAUAAAGCUUCAAGGGUGGCCGAUUCUGCUUCCCACAUAAAUAAACACGUAGUUUUGUUAAUCAAAUGGCAGAGGCAUUCUUGAGUGGUACUGCAAAAAUCCACUUCGUAUAGUUAAAUAUUAGUAACAAUUACCAUAUUCUCCAAAAAUAUAUCAUAGAUUUUUUUCUUUUAUCAUUGUCACUUCCAUUUUAAUCUAACUUUUUUCACUUACAGGAACAUCAUAAUUAGCGCCUAUCUAUGCAAUUACCUAUAUGGCAGACAAGUUUUUUCCAUAUAAUUAUCCCUGAAGGCAAAAGUAUGGGGCAAAGGAUUUUGUACAAUUCAUAGGUUAGGGCAUACUGCACCAGUGUGGCCAAAGAAUAAACGAACAAUCUUCAAUUACAAUAUAAAACAUGCAAUAACUACAAAUGAACAAUUUUCCAUUACAUUAUUAUAUACACAAUAUACACACUGUUGUAAAAAAAAAUUCCAUUCAUAGAGAUGGUUACAUUAAACCGAAAGGUGAAAGAAAAAAGGUUAGAAUCAGCACCUUAAAAGUAGUAGAAGGCCAUUAUUUGCUUUAUUAUAUGCCGAUAAUUUUAAUACCUAAUUCCAUCAUGAAGAGCCAGGUAGCCAUCUAAUUUAACGCCAAAUAAGGACACAAAGAAAUGGUUCGCAAGCUAAAUAGCAGAAAAGAUAAUUAACAGAAACUUAAUCAUUUUCUCAUAAUUAACAGAAACAUAAUCAACAAAGACAUCUACUAAUUAUUAGUAUACAAGCACAUCAAUUUGACUAAGAUAUUUUUUUAAAUAAAGUGUAAACAGCUUACUUGUCUAAAGCUGAACUAUGCUAAAAGGCCAAAGCUUGGGCUUAGACUGACUGGUACUAAACGAAGCAUUACCCCUAUAAAAUUCAACCCAAAAGUUAACAAAAAUAAACAGGAGCAAAAAUAAAUUGUUCAUAUGCAAAAUGGAAACAAGUAGCAAAAAAGAAGGCUGUAAAAUGUUACACAAAGAUAAUCACCAAGUUUUUAGCCAAAGACAUUGUGCUAAGAUUUAAACAACCCAUGAAUCCAAAACUAUAUGGUCAAAGAAGGAAAAGAGAUCUAGGGAUUUUUUCUUCUAAAUAAUAGGUUUUUUGGUAAACAUACACCUUUCAUAACAGCAUUUGUGGCCAAAGUGUUAUCUACCAACCAAUCUAACAAAUUUUGCCACUUUAACCUCCUUUCCCACAAUUAGUUGAAAAUUAUUCAAAACUAUAAUUAAAAACUUCAAACUAAAGUCAUCAAAAGAUGAAAUAAGUUCAAUUCCAUUGGAAAUUGACAAUGGCGGAGACAUGAAAAAGAAACAAAGAAAAUUGACAAUUUAAGUUAUUUCGAAAAUCCCAAGCAACAACUAAACAAGAGCUGGGAAAUUUGAGCAUAUAACAUCUCGAGUGAUAACCAAUGCAAUCUUGAUUUUGAGCUCCAAGACUCCAAAUGAUCAAGUAGUAUAGUACAGCAUAAACUGAAAAGCAUGAAACUUUUGCACUAAAAACCAAAGCCAACAGAUGAGAUAACUUAUUUAUGGCUUGGUUCCUAAGCUUAAAUGACACCACAAAUACAGCAAUAAUAAAAAAUCAACUUUAAUGUGCUCAAACUUCAAAGCUUGCGACGUCUGUGCAAUCACUCAGUUGAAAUUUUAGCUCAAAACACUAUACAACGGAAAAGGAAUAAGCAAAAGCACAAAAACACAUAAAAUCCGACAUUUUAAAAGCAAAAAAAAAAGAAUCCAUGGAAUUAAUGUUUGGAACCUUUUUUACGGCAUGCAGUGCAGCUCCAUGACCACUGACGCCAGCGCCAAUAAUGAUGAGAUCGUAAUCAAAGGAUUUGGGAGCGCUUCCAUUAUCAUCCGAAGAUGCAGAAACCUUCGUCGGACUCGCCUGCGCUUUUCUCGGAAAAAUUAGCCUCUUUGCUCGAAUAAACUGGCCGCGCUUCAGCUGCGAGGGAACUGAAAACCCAGAGAUUUCUAAUAUUUCACCUGCAAGAUCUAAGCAGAAGAAAAUAAAAAACAUACUACGGGUAGGAAAGCAGAUUUCUAAUAUUUCACCUACAAACUCAAAAGCAUACUCAACAAGAAAAUAAAAAACAGCAGAUCUCUGGGUUUAUAAAUACUUCUGACUUUCACUGCUUUUGGAUGAAGAUUUUACUACAGCUUUCUUUGUUUGCUCAAAGAAGGAGAUGAAAAAAUAGUAUUUCAGACCUCUAGGUUAUUAAUCGAAAGAUUAACAAAUCUUAGCAAGAAAAAUGUCUUUCUUUCUUGAAUAAAGGAAACUGUAAAACUUUGGGGAAAUAUUGGAGCUUACCAAUUAAGAUGAUUUCUGUGUCUCAUGCGUUCAGUAGCUUCAUAUCCAGACCAAUUCUAACAAGGGAAAAAAAUCAGUUAGAAUCAUAUAAUUGAAAAAAAAGGAAAGAGAAGAAAGGAAAAAGGGGGGAGGGGGGAAACGGGAAGGAAAAACAGAGAAAAAAGGACCAAAUAAAAACAACAAAAAGGAACAAAGAAAAGAAAAGAAAAGAAAAAUGGAAGGGGAGAGGAGAGGAGCUCUGGAGAGCAACGAAGCGGCGGACAUGAAUGAGGGGAAAGAAAACAAGGGAAGCCCUAAAACAAAAUUUUUGGCACGCGAGUCCCACGUGAUUGACGACCAAAUUCCAGCCAAUAAAACCCAGCCACGUCAGCAAAACAACAACCACCCUUAACAAUCCCAUUCGCGCUUUUACUAUAUAGGUAGAUUAGCAUUAUUCUUGUUCGGCUGGUUCUAGUUUCGAUUUCAGUUUCUAUCAUUUUCAAUUUUAGUAUUUUUCUAGGUAUAGUUUUCAGAUUUUCUAGUACAUUUAAUUACUUAUGAUUAUAAAAUUAAUUUUAAGAAAAUAUAAUAAUGAAUUUAGAGUAACGAGAAACUAAAGAAAAUGAAUGUAAAAAAAAAUAAGGCUUUUAUUGUAUUAUUAGCUUACAAGGAAGAGAAAGAUGAUAAAAAAAAAAUUUAUGUAAAACAUAUCUCAUAUUUAUUGAAUGUUUUAAAUAAAACAAAAGAUACAUAAUUUUCUAUCAAACUUGAAAAAAGAAAAAGAGAAAAACAUCUCAAUUUUCUCACUAACUUGCGCAUUGUUUUUCUUUUGACUCAACAUUUUAGAACUAGCUUAAUGCUGUUGAACUUUCGGUGAACCUCAACCAAAACCUUUAACCAUGGUUCCAACACCGAUUUAAAAUUUCCAAAUUAGUUAUAAUUUUUUUUUAACAAAUUGCUGAUUCAAUUCCGAUUUGAUUCCAAUUUGAACCUGAACUAUGGCCAUGGUUAUUACUAUUACGUAGAGGUGGCAAUUUGUCCCAAAUCCCAAUGAACUACCCAUACCCAAAAAGACUUUGGCGGGAUGGGUAUUGUAAUUUGAUAUUAGGUUUAAAAUGGGAUGCAUCCCAAUUAUACUCAUUAUUUGAUGGAAAAUGUUGGAAAAUACUUGGGUACCUAUUGAGCCCAAAUAUCUUCCCAAAAAAUUUCAUUUUAUCCAAAAAUUCAUCAUUAUUUUUUUUUUUUUGCAAAAAUCUGAUUUUUUUUCACUUCCAUUUUCUUUCAUUUCCUUUCUUCACUUUCCUACAAAAGAAAACCAGUUAAGUAAAAAUGAUUUCAUUUAAACAACUUUAAAAAAAUUAAAGAUAACAAUAAAAAUAAAAUAAAUUGGUAAAAUUUUGGUGUCUACAAGAUCAAUACUUUACUAACAACUGUUGGUACCCUAUAUGUUAAUUUUAUGCUAAUUGUUGAACUAUCUACAUAGAUUUCUAUAUGCAACCCUGUUAUCAAUUUUUAAUCAGCUUCUUCGUUUCUGUGCUAGCUUUAUUCAGCAUUUAAUGUGAAUUUCUUUUGUAUCAAAUUUUGAAAAUUUUAAGAAUGUCAGUAAGAAUGAAUGUGGUGUUAAAAAACUUGUUUCUAGUCCUUGUGUCAGACAACAUUAUGGGUAAGGUUGGAAUAUGGUUGUAUAUCUAUCUUUUCCUUUUUUUGUUAAUCCAAUUUUUGGUUUAAUCCAGGGAGAAGAUAUGUUCAUUCUUACCAAAAUAUUAUGUCUUUUAAAAGUAACUGCUGAUCGUUCUAAAGUGUAAAUGAAUUCAGGAAAAUAUAAAUUCACAAUAAGAUCAAAAGAAAUUUAAUAAAUAAAAAUAUUAAAGUUAUAUAAAAAAUAAAAAAGAAUUAAAGGAAAAAUAUAGAAAAUAGAUUUGGGUAUUGGACGGGAUCAAUCUAAACCUAUCCCAAAGUGAUCCCGCCCAAGUUAGUCCCAAAAUAUAUAUGGGUAAGAUUAGACCCAAACCCAUAUGAUUCGGUUCUAUUUCGAAUUCAAGCAAAUCACGUCCAUCCCGCCCAUUUUGCCACCUCUACUAUUACGAACCAAAUAGUGAAAAACUUGGGUUUUUUUUUUAUGGAAAUGAAACAACUUUGGUGCGAAGGAAGCUCAAGGGCUCAUGCAUCAAAAACAGAAACUGUUUCGUUGAAGCCCUUUUGGAUAGUGGAUAUUGCCGGCUCAGGCCAUUGAAUUUGAAUUGAAGAAGGAUUGCAUCGUGAUAUAAAUAAUUAGAUUGUAAACGAAUUGAAUCGAAUACAAAAUCUAUUCCCAGAUUGAAUUCUGGAUAUUAAGUCACACAACAAGUAGGAAAAAAUAAUAAAGUUAAAAUUGCCAUGUAUUGCCAAUUUUUCAUGUAAAUCCGAACUUUUUUUCAGUUUUCAUAUAAUGUUUUUAAAAAUUGAAGCCAAAAUCACUAUAUGUACUCGAAUUGUUAAUUAGGCAUUUUAUGACUAAUUUGAUUUAGCAAGUGCUCUAAGUUUUACUCAUCGUUAGCUUAAUUUCUUAAGAUUAUACUCGAAUGCCCAAAUGCACGUAAUUAGAAUGGUAUCUUAUGUACAUAUUAUUAAAAUGAUGUCUUAUGAAAUUAUUGCAGGUAUCAUGCAACAAAAUUUUAUCAAGUCCUAAAAAUGAUGUGAGUUCUUGGAAAAUAUUUUAAAAAGAAAAAAUGCAUGCAUUAUUAUUUUGGUAGUCCACUUAUAUUAAUUGCAUGAGCAAUUGAAGGCAGUCCAAAAUUUUUUCAACAAUCUUUACAAGUGCAAAGUGUUCAUUGUUCACAAUAACAAACAAGGGUGAAACUAUAAAAACUAUUCUUCCUUGGAAAAAUGUGAAAUGUGGGCAAAGAUAUUAUGAAAAUAACACAAAAGACUCGAUGAUCAUAAAAUCAAAUGUUCAAAACAACAUAGAAUAGUUCAUGAUCUUUGUAUACUUUAUACAUAAAUGCAUAAUUAAUGAGUUUUCUAUUAAAUUCCAUAAACUGCAUGGAGGAUAUUAUCAGUUUCAUAUGAGAUUAACUUGGGGUCAACUGGUCAUGGGUAGACCAUGAGAUGCCCUAAAACAUGACAUGGAGAAGAGAAUCUGCAUAUUAAGUGGCUCUUAGAGUCUCUUGCUACUAAUACUCUUGUUUAUGCCUUGGCUAAAAAGCUUGAGCUGCAGGUUAAAUGGCCUUAAUUUUAAGUACUCUUGUAACUUAGCUUAAUUUUGAAUUUGGCCCUGAACAAAUAAUUCAACUCUUGAUUCGAGUUCGAACAAGAAAUAUGAUUUGAUUAAAGUAUCAAAUAAAAUUCGAGUUGAAUAUUCGACUCGUACAUAUUCAAUUGAUUAAAGUUCAAUGCAACUCAACUAAUUUUUUAUAUUUUUAAGUUUCUUAAUAUUUUUUAUAAAAUUAUGCAUUUCCUAUUUUAUUAUUAAAAAAUUAAAUAAAAUUCCAAGCUCCGAAUUGAGCUCGAGCCUAGUGAGUACUAAAUUGAAUCAAACUCAACCUUAAAUUUUAAACUCGUUUAGGAUUCGAAUUGAGCUUUCGUUUGAGUCCAAAAAUUCAAAUCAAGUCGAAAAAUUAGAAUUGGAAUCUGAGUCUAACAGCUAAGAAGUUCGAGUAAAUUCGUUUGCUGCCCUAGCUUUAUGGAUUUGAAAUCCACGAAAUACAAGUUGAAAAGCCAAACAAUUAAUCAAGAAACCAGAGCAUCAAAAACUAUUCAAAAGUUUCCUUUCCUUUCUUCCUCAAUCUCCAUCCCUUGACCAAGACAAAAAAGGUUUUCACUAGUAACGACAUACAAGAAAGGUCUAUCAAUCCUUUAAAGGGCUAAGGGAAAGAGGAAAUGAAACCCCAACUCAAGGGAAGAACAACAGGGACAAUAAUUACAAAAACCUUUACAACUAUACAAAAUUCCUGUAGAAUUGAGGGAUUAUUUCCUCACCUCAAAAUUAGGGAAUGCUUUCUCUAUAACAUGAGUUGGCACUAUGUACUGUUAUGAUUUUUCUUUGUGUAUGUCAAAUAUGGAUCCUGAGCAAUGGUCAAAACAUCUGGCCUCUCUGCCUGAUUAUAUGUAAGACAACGACGAAUAAAAUCCUGCAAAACAUAAAAGGAGUUGCUACUUCAGCAUACAGGACAAAGGUGAUGAAAGAAAAGUUUAGCGCAGUCUAUAUACCAGUAUUCUUCAGCUUUUUGUCAGCAAAUGUCCUUUAACCACAUGUUAACAUCAUUCAUCGCAGAAAAUCCAAAAACUAAAAUAAACAUUGUAAUAAAGAAUCCAAGCUAAACAAGGAAACAUCCUAAAGGUAUAAAUUUUGCACCUUUGCCAAGCAAAUAAUUUAGAAAUCCAUCAACAGUAUUGUUAUCAAUUUUCAUGAGAAUCAGCAAUGGCAGUUUUAUUUAUAAAUCAUCAUCAUAGUUUCUUCAUUUUUGACAUACCUAGCAAGUUUCUCUAUUUCGUUUUGUUCCUUCAUCAAUCAUUUCCAUAUUAUGACUUGCAAUAUGAGUAAAAGGAAGCAUGAACAUUAUGUCUGAGCCAGUCAGCCAGAUGUUAAUCUGUCUCAGAAACUGCUAUAAAACAUUGAUACAAAUGAGAUUUUCAAAUUUGCAGCACAUCUGGCUUGGAGAAUUGCCAGAGACGAGUGGGGGGUGGGGGUGGGGGAAUAGAUUGACAUGUUUGUAAAUGGACACCCUCGAUUGAAUUUCAUACAGAAUACUUCCGCUAACAGAAAGUAUAGACAUUGACGAGUCAAAACCCAUUUACUGAAAUAAAUUUUGAAGCACUUCAAUACCACACAAAAAUUGACUCCACUAUGUUGGAAACAAUAACCAUUAUGAAACAAACAAGAGGAUAUCAAGAAUAAACUCAGUAGCAUCCACAUGAUUGGCAUGCUUAUCCAUUACAGAUAAAUUAAAGAGAUAAUUGUUGAAACUUUUGUCAAAUAAGAUUUACACAAGUGAAAACACAUCAAAUUGUAAAGUAUAAGAAAGAUGAUCGAUUUCACACCCCACUUUUACUGUUAUCAAAUUGUGGUAAUAAACACUAGCAAUUAGUGCUGGUGAUGGUGAUAGUGGUGGUGGUGGUGGUCAUAGUAACAAUGAUAUAGUCUCUCCUACGCAGACUCUCUUAGAGAAUUUACCCUACAUAAGGAUGUCGAAGAUUAUCACCCCAAGAAACAUUAGCAAAGAAGUUUACACACAAAUGAUUAGUGAACCUGCCUUUGCCUCGUUCGACACAGCUGGCCUUGAAGGAAAAUCCACCUUCCGGGCUUUAAUGAUGGUAUCUUCGCGUAAAACAAACAAAACAGACAGAAUUCAACCAAGAUCAAUCUAGCAAACGUCCGUGAUCUAUCCCCCAUUCUAACAACAACUCCCAAUUUUCCUUACUACGAGGAGCUUUAGCCCAUAAGAGACAAGUCAAGUUGAACAAUUUUAACCACUGUUGAUUUAAUAAAAUUUGGAGUGAAGCCCUCCAACGUGUACAGGGCUUGUCUUUCCAAAAAAACAAAAAACAAAAAACAAAACCGCUGCUGCAACUACUUCCAUUAUCAGUAUUCUGUAUUCGAAAAUCAACAUUUAGUCUUUCCCAAAUUUAGUAUAUUUUAGUGCAUAAUUGAAAAAUUCUCUUGGCGCAAGUGGAAAAUUAUAGAUUUGCAAUCAAUUACAAAUUUUCCUCGAAAAUAGAUGCCCAGUGAUCAACUAUGGCGCUUCAUAGUUCACCUUUUCCAGUCUUAUACUUAGGAGUUGGUCUUAAUAGUGCAUUAAUUUUUUCAUAGUUAAUCAGAAUUUUCUAUGACAAAAAAAAGAAGAAGAUUCAUGAAGAAAAAUAAUCUAUUGGCUGUACUUUUUUUCGAUUUAGACAUCAAUAGUGCAAUGGCAAAAGGACUUUGUAGAUGAAGCUAGUUGAUGUAAUGAAUUUAUGAUGAUUUAAUUAACUAAAAAGGCAAUCAAUUCGGUCUACUAAAUGUCAUACUCAAGAGGUCAUCAUCUUUGUCAAAGGGUCUAUACAUUCCAUACAUUAGUAGUAAAAGUUAGUGGAUUUGUUAGUAUUGAUGACCAUGUUAGCCACUGAUUUCUAUUAAAUCAUGUCUUCAGCUUCUUAUAAGCUUCUCUAUACCCUACCUAAUCUCAUACCAUUUUACUUUCUCUUGGAUUAUGUGGAAUGCCUACUUGACUGCCUGCAAUGCCUAUAUUUUAAUGAUUCCGGUGCAUUUUCAAAAUCUUCAAUUUAUUUUGUAAAGUAUCGAAGUUCAGUUCACUAAUUGGCCAUAAAAACAGAUCAAUAGCAAAGUUGAAAUAUGCCACUUAUCCUGAGACUUUGCAGAAAGUUUGGAAUGUUAAUGUUGUCCCUUGUAAUCCGAAUUAUCCGAUUAUGUGAAACUGAAGUUGUUGAAGGGUGAGAUGAGUUUUUCACUUGUAUACAAGCUGUUUAAUGGGGUUUUCAAUAAAAAACUUUAUCAUUUGCUCCAAAAAAAAAAAAAAAAAAGAAGAAGAAGGGUGAGUUGAGGAAGCUGAAUGCUAAGCAAUAUAGUUCUAUUAGUGAUAGAAUAAACAGGUGUGUAUGGCCAGUUAUGUGAAGUGCAAUCCUUUUCCUUCAUUCACCUUUUGAUAUCUCUUUGCAAUUUCAAGAACAAUCUCAGAGUAGUUGUCUCAACUAGGAGGCGACCAGCUAGGAUUUAUGUUUACUUUACGGGCCAAAGAUACUGGCCUGGCCACGUCUUCUUCUUCUUGGUUUUUUUUUUAAUUCUUCUUAUAGAUCUUUCAGGCGAGUAAGCAACCUUUUGGGGAAAUAAUGUGGUAUAUUUGGACAUUGGGAUAAUUUAACAAAUCUCCUCUGAGUUUAUAACAAAUUCAUCAUAGCUCCCCUCAAAUUAUGACAUGACGCUUGUGUCUAUUAGCUAUUGAUUUCCAAGGCAAAUACUGAAGUUUACCUCUAUGUUUACCAUUGACACUUUCUAUACAAAGCGAUACAAAUUAUAUAUAAGAGAUUUGUGAAAAUGUUAUACUUCCGAGCUAUAACUCAUAAACAAAGGCAUUCGUAAAACCCUUUUGAUUCAAAUAUAUAGAUAUACUCAACUAUACACUUAACAAUUUAAUGUGUGCUAAAGUGAGUAGAAUAGGCUUUUGAAAAAAGUACUCAAAAGUAUGCUACUUCCAUCAUUACCUUCUAGCACGCAUUGUGCAAACUCUUUUCAAAUAGAAAAAAGGGAACGGAAAGGAGAUACAAAAAAGGGUUACAAAUUCUUUAAAAUAUGGCAAGGGUAAGCAUGGAAGUAACAUAUAACAUGAAACAAACAUGUUAAGGAAACCUUAAAUCAAGAGAGGUAACAGUAAGUUUGAAAACUUUGGUGCAGCUAAAUGAAGUCAAAAACCUAAAACAAGGUUGAUGGAAUUAUCCUUUGUAAACUUUAUGUGUCCGUGGCCAAGUGAAAAAAUACUGUUCAAAAUUCUUAUUUCUAUCGGAACCAUUUCGAGGAACUCCAAUUUGGAUGUCAAUACUAAAAGAAAUUUUCCCUAUGGUACAACUGAUUUUGAAAUUUACUAAUUAUUUAUAUUUUUUUUCGGAGACGACAACUGUUAUAUAAUCUAAUCUAUCCUACACUAAAGGGGAGGGGGCGGACCUAAAGAGGCCCAGGGGUAUAUAGGAAGCAAAUGCAUUGUAUAUAGGAAGCUGAAAACCAAACAAGACUUUAUUAUUAGGUUAUCAGUAUUAUUAGUCGUAUCCAAGUGUCAUCAUGUUUUUUUUAUUCAAGUGUCAUAACGUUAUUGAUAGUAUAAUUGGGUUGCAUGAUUAUGGUUGAAAGUGUGGACUAUGCGAUUAAACUCCGUCUUAGGUGAUAGGGUGUUAAUUGUUAGUAAUUUUAUUGUUAAUUUUCCCUUUUAUCCUUGUCAAAUAUUAUUUUAAUUAUUAAUAUUUACUUAUAUUUGGUAUUUGGACUCAAUUUCAGGGAAUGGAGCAGAAAACUACAAAAAAUGAAGGACUUUCUGAAAACAAUGGAGACUUCAAACAAUCGGGCCCACAUGGUGCCACAAACGGAUGGCAUUUCCUUUUUGCUGAUUAGGAGUUGAAGUCUUUGAUGGGCAACAGGAAACGAAAAGUAGAGAAAAAUUCGGCAGAGCCUUCUUUUUGUACUUGGACUCCCAAUUCGUUGGGGACCACAGAGAGCAUUAAGGAGUCAUACUUUUGCUUGGAAUAAAAAGAACGUACAGAGGCUAGGGAUAGUUUUUAGCAAUAGUUUAGUUUUCUUGCUUUUUCCUUUUCAUGCACGCCUACUGUUAUCAAUGGUUGUACCUUGGUUAUCAAUAAAUUAAAGAAAAAUUGGUCGUUAGAGUUCGUCGGCGACUAUAACUAGUCUAUUAAUAAAUUAAGUGAACCUCCCUUACAUCAAUGAUCGGGUAAGUGGACUAUGUUUGAAUAGUUGUAUUCUUGGUUAGAAUUUAUCUAUUCUUGAAUUAAUUCCUGUGUAUAUUUGUGUUAGUUAAUUAUUCGUUUUAUUUGAAUUGCUUAAUUAUUUGUAGUUUUAUUCUGAUGAAACACCCCUUUUACCAAUUGGAAUCUCAAAGAGACAAAUAUCCUCAAUUCCUGAGGAGACGUGUGAGAACCCGUAUUUUCCCUAAUAAUUUUCCUAGGGUUUUUCCCCUUUAAUGGCAUGUUUUUUGCAUUUUCUGGCUUAGAAAAUUUUCCUGGUGAAUUUUAUGAGUAAUUAUAGUUUUUAGAUGAUUUUUCUAGCAUUGGAUAGUUUUUGAAAAAUUACGGAUAUAUAACGGACGUGGGGCCCACUAGUGCGAAAAGUUCGGAAAAAUUCGGCCAAUAAGGUUAAGUUUCGGAUACUGAGUGAAAUUUAUCGGGUGUUAAGAGAUAAGUAUAGGAUGUGAUGUGAUUGAUGUGAGAGGAAAACAAAAGGAUAGAAAUGCAUUAAUGAAGUGACACUUGUCAUGUUGGGAUUGGUUUCACUUGUUGACAACUAUUCAUUUUUUUUGACUUUUCUUACCAAUUGAUUAAAUAUCUCAAAAAUCACAAAAAAAAUCACUCUUGUCUUCACCUUCUUGGCCGGCCACCUUGAGCUUAAGAAGGAAGAAAACUCUUCAAAAUCUUGGCUACCAUCUAGCUCAAAUCCUCCAAAACAAUUGCUUGAUCUUGUUUCUACUCCAUAAAAUCUCUCCAUUUGGUACUAGUAAGUGAUUUGGUGAAGUGUUUAAGGAAGCUAAGGUGUCCAACAACUCUCCCUCUCUUGUUUACUAGGUGAGUGGUGAUUGAACUUCCUCCUACACUUAAUGAAGCUUAAGUUGUGCUUAGUGGUAGCUAAAGUGCUGAAAUUUGUGGUUUAUUUCUUGGUUUGAGAUGAAAUGAUGAAGUUUUCAAUUUAAUGGUGUAUUUUCUGGUUUAAUGUGAUCAUGAUGUUGUGGUUAUCUAUGAUGGUUGGUAAUGAAGGGUAAUGACUCUAGUAGGUGUACAUGAUUGGUAAUUGCAAGCAAUUUUGGGUUUGGAAGGAAUUUGAGAAAGUUAGGGUUUUAUAUCCCCAAUUCUGUCCGAUUUUGUAUCUCAUGGUUAGAGGCCGAAUUGGCCUUGUCUUAAAACAUGAAAGUUGUAGGUAUUGAUGUGUUUGAGGUGCCUGUAAAAUUUCAGGUUCAUCGGAGUUGUGUAGAGUGAGAAAAGUCGAUUUUACUGUUGCUGUUCUGGGUUCUUCAGGAUGGCCGAACUGCGUCUGUAAUUGGUGGUUUUGGCUGGAAUUGCUUUGGAUUUGGUUGUUGAGGCCUUCUGAUGAAAUGUAGCUUGAUGUCUUAGCUACCGCAUGCCUUUGGUAUGAAUGAAUUUGGACUUGUAUAGACUGAGUUGGACUAAUUACAGCAUAGUGUAUUUUGUAAACCUGCAAUUAAGGUUCUGGUUUGGUAUUUUGCAUAUUUGACCUAGUUGUGCUAGGAAUUGGACUGAGUGACCUUCUACAUUGUUGUAGCCCUGUUUCUUAGCUUCGAAACGGUGGGUCUUACACCCUCAUCCGAUAAGCGUAGUGCAAUUUGUGCCAUUACCGCAAACUGAGGACAAAACUGUUUUUUUUUCAGGGCCAAGUUAGUUACAUUUCCUGAUUUUCUGGUUUGCUAUAAUGCUUAUAUAUGAAUAUGAAACCCUAUUGGGGUUGUGAUUGGCAUGGCUUUAUGACUCGUUAUCGAGUCUCAUUGUAUUUGUUUACGUGUUUUAGGACGUGACGAGGGUUCACGACGACCUUUUAACGACGGUGCAUGAAACAUCACCUACUUGAGUAGUGAGUAUACUACUCACUUGAAUGUUUAUAAUGUGGCUUUGCUAUAUGUGAUUGUGAUGCCUUGAAGGCUUGUUUGGCUAUUGGACAUGGUUAAGGUGAGGGUGUACUUGACCGCCCUCAUCCUUUUUAUCUUGUUAAUGACUGUUUACCGUUUCACUGUAAUACUGCACUUGCUAUAUGAGAUAUUGAAUUCCAUUCAUGGGAAACUGUUUGGGUGUCGGUUGGACGAGUAUCCAACGGCCCUACUGCAUUACUGAGCUCGACCCCGUUGGUAGUUACUUGAAUCGAGCCAGCGAGGGCUUGGUCGUGAAAAUUGACUAGCCACGGGGACUGAAAUGGGAAUCUUGUGGUAAUGAGACCCUUGGUUCCGGUGUACUCGAGUAUCACCUAAAGCUACUGCUUGGAGUGCGGGCCCGGUUGGGGUAUGUUGGGUGGAAGGAAUGGAAGUGAAGUGAGGUCUACGGUCGGGUAUUCUUAAACAUUGACGGAGGGUCAAUGAGGUUGGAUCAAGAAUGUAAGCGUGGAAAUGGGCUCUUGAGAGCCGUCCGUAUCCUUUUACCGACUUGUUUUAUUUCUUAAUUGCGUACUUGAGAUGAAAGUUAAGUGAUCUUUGUUGAUUAUGUGAUAGUUGCUCACUGAGCUUUAGCUCACUCCGUUCCAUUUGUUUUCCUUACAGGAAAAAUGACUAUUUUGGGAAAGGUUGUGCUAGUUGGUUGUCAAGUUGAGCUCAUGUAAAUGUAUAUUUUGAAUAGCUCCUUGAGGGUGAAAACCCUAAGUGUUUUGUUUCAACCAAUGGUUGGUUUGUAAUUGGCCAAUUGCACAUGUGUGAACUUGUUGGAUAUUUUGGUAUACCGCUUUGGCUUGUAAAUGUUAAAUUUCGAUGUAUAUAUGUUGGAUUGAUGUUUGGUUGAACUCCGGAUUCUGACAUGGCCGGUACUGUUCAUCAUCGGCUUCGAUUUUCAUAUUUUUUUUAUUUUGUGAUUUUGACUUGUUUGCGCGCGUUGGUGUGUUCCGGAAUGUAGUAGAUCGACGUAAACUGAUCCGUUAGUCCUGGCGAGAGCUGGGCAGGCAGUCCGCUAACCCCUUUGGUUCGCCUUAGGGGAAGGUGGGGCUGUUACAAGACGACCCUACUUGCCACUGUCUGCCAAUUAGUAAAUUUUGUCAAAUAAUUAAUUCUGGUAUAUCGGAUUAAGCAAACUCUUCGAGAACAGGGUGAAUCAAGUAACCCAUUGCACACCUAGAGUCUCUGCUCCAGUACUUAGAAUUGAUUAUUGACUACUUUUGACGGGCGUAGGGUAUACAUAUAACAUUAAGCUCAUCCUAAUCAAGUUUUACAUUUAUAAACUCCUAAAUACCCUACACGCGAUUUAUCGCAAGUAUACGAAUCGUGAGCGAGUAUAGGGUAUUAAAAGUCGAUCUCACAAGGAAGAUUGCAAUUACCGGCACUACUAAAGCUUCUCUAUUAUUUAGACUAUCAAUGAAUUAUAACAAAUUUAACCUACUGAACUUAUGCAAGAAAAUAACAAAUGAAAGCUCCUUAAGUUGUGGUAUCCCUAACUACUCAUGCAAGUGCUAUAUUUGGAUCAUUGAAUACUACUAUCUAGGCUAGUUAUGGUGUAAUUUCCUUAAACAUGUGAAACCUACUUUCGUAGUGAAUCAACUAUAUUCAUAACUAAUCCAUACAUAUUCUCAUGGUUAUGAAAUUAGCUACAAGUUCAUUUCUUCAAUGAAAUUAAUCACUAAAAUCACAUAGGUGCACCUCUACUCUCGUGAGCGUACUCCCUAUGUUUAGCACUUCUUAAACUAGUGUUAAAUCUCAAUUUUCAUUGCAGAAACAACACCUUAAAUAAUCACAAUCAAUGGUACCAGAUUAAUCAUGAUUUAAAGAGCCAAAGUACUAAAUAACUUGCUCAAAUCAUAGCAAUCAAAUAACCAAAUAAUAAAUACUAACAAUUAUAGAAAGUUCAACCAAACCCAAGGCAUAAACGUUAGAGACACAUAUUAAACACAAAAUCCAGAACUUGCAUAUCAACUAAACUUAGAAUCCAAUACAAAAGAUAAAGAGUUGGAAAAGAGAUAACCAUUGUCACAUGAGCUUCAACUCCUCCUUUUUCAUCUCCAUUUUCAUCCUAAUCUAGCUAAUAUACAAGAAUGGAAGAGCUAUACUAUUCUAAACUAAACUAUCCUACUACUCAGAAAGUGCAAGAGCUACAUCUCUGCACUCCAAGUUUCUCCUGUAUGUCUCUCUAUUCUCCCUUCAAUCUUGCAAGCUUUGGCUAUAUAAAGGUGAAAGUUGGUCAAGAAGUGAGGUUUACACCUCCCUUUUACAGCUGGGAAUGUUUCUCACAUGUCUAGCAUCACCUGUGACUUAGUGGAGGUGAAAUUGAGUUUCCCACGUAAAGAGCAGCCUUCUCUGACCACAAUCCGGCCAGAAAUCUGGCCAAGUUCCGGCCGGAUUGCUACAGUGACAUUUUGGUGCACUUUUGUUCAAUUUCCAGCUCUGCUCCAAUUUUGUGUCAAUUUCAACUGAACUUUUGUUGAUGAUAAAAGCUGAUUUAGCUCUUGAUCAACAUAAAACUUGUAGCCCUUUGAGUUAGCUUUCCAAUGCAUCAAGAAUCACCUCAUUUGGAUCUGUGUAGGCUGAGAAAUGACCGAAAUACCUUUGACUGCUCACUGCCCUAUUUCAGCUUCGACCAAUAGAAAUUAGCUACUGUAAUUCGGCUUUUUAACCUGGAAAACCUUCAAAAUAGAUUCAGAUGUCUUCACCAAAGUUGUAGAUCUAUCUCUUAUCUUCAAAUUGGUUUAAGAAUCAUCUCAAUCCGAUCAUUAUAGCUCAAGUUAUAGCCAAAAUACGAAAAUGUGUCAAAACUGUCAAAAUGCACAAAAUCCAAGUAAAAAGUGAUAAAAACCUCAUUUAAUUACUUAAAAGCAUUUUUCACCAAUUAUAGCCAAAAUGAAUCAUUUUCUUCCAAUAAUGUAACCAAAGUGACUAACAAUAAUAUAAAAUAUCAUACAAUUAUUACAUAAAUUAGUCACUUAUCAGCUUUUAUUGGCAAUUAGGUUUAUUUUUAUUAUUGCACAGGUUCGGCACCUGUCAUUAGGAGUACUGGUUUUGCUGUGGGAUUUUUCGUUUUCUUUGUCAGCUGCGUCAGCUGCAUGGUGCUUUAGAGCAUAAGCCUUUGUUUUGUAUCGAAACAUCACGGCCAAAAUUGCCAAAAGCAUAUCGAAACAUGAACACAAAAUGAAAGAUGUGAGGAAACUUUAAUGAAGAUAUGCCUUGAGAUUUAAACACCAAAGACAAAAGCUCAAAAAAUAUUAUCAACGGAUCAAAAUAAGAACUUGAUUAUUGGUAAAACACUCCAACAAGUUAAGUCGAACCAAGAUCAACAUAAUCAAUUAUUUGAUUUCAAGAGUCAUAACUUUUGCUUGUAAAGAACAAAUAAAGUUAAACAAUUUAUUGCUUUUUUCCCCCCAGUCAGCUGUGUACCUCAACAUUAUUUCACGUCAAAAACUUGUUUUUCCUCGGAUUAAAUACCCUAGCAUCUGAGGUUAUCACCAGUCUCGACACCCAAUUGUCUACAAUAUUCAGUAUAAUACUCAACUCGAGCACUAACUGUGUUUGGAUUUGCACCAUCACAUUCAAGCCGACCAUUAAUGGCACGAAUUGUAGCCCCAAAACCCUGGCCAGAAGUGAUAAGAUCAUGACAAUGGUUCAUCCAAUACCACAAGCCAGUUUUGAAUGAAAUAACAUUAUUUGUAGCUACAGUUUCAGGUUGGCUGAGUCCAUUGAAUCCAAUGCUUUCACCUGCUGGUCCAUAGUUAGAGUUCCAUGAUAACUGUAUUGGACCCCUGCCGUAAUAUCCCUUGCCUGGCACACAUGGAUACUGAGUGUUGCUCUCAUCACAGUAAUCUCUGGAGGGGCCGUCUAUCUCUUCUAUGUAGCACAAAUCUGCGCAAUAUAAAGAAAUUUUGUCACUCAAUUGAAAUGAUUGAUAAAGGGUUAGAAUCAAAGAAAAUCAGGAGGUCUGGAAUUUUUUGUAAAUUUUUAGAUUUGAUUGUUUUACUAAUGAAUUCAAUUGGUGAGAAAAGACUUUAUCCCAUUUUGUAAAAAUUGGGUUGGACAGACCUAAAGUAAACACUCUUUUUAUGAGGUAAAAUUUUAGAAUGAUUUAACAUUAUAGGGUUAUACGAUAGAUAAAUAAAAAUUGGCAAUAGCAAGAUUAAGAAGGGACCAACAGUGAUAUAAAAAUUACAAAGGUAUCAUGGACGUCUAAAAUAUAUUUGGCUAAUAAAUUUGAACUAAUUUACGGCCAAAUUUAGGUGAAAUAGUUAAUUCUACUUGGUAAAUUGGAAGUUCGGAAACGUGUAUCUGUCAGUUGUCAUACUCAUGAGCGAGCCAAUCUUAACUUAAAAAAGAAAAAGAAAAAAAGAAAAAGAAAAAAGGAAUCCAAAAGAUAAAAGUAGAAAAGGCAUGAAUUUUAAAACGUAAUCGUAAUACCUUGUACCCGAAACAAAUAUGUGCAAUACUUAUUAAGCUAAGCAAAGCCACAUGAUCUACUCUUAGAUGCAGCAAAAUAUACAACCACCUUAAGCUUGGAAUGUAAAGGCAGAAAAACUUGCUUAUGUAGAUAUAAAAGUGACCACUACAAGAAAAGUAAAAAGAAUAUGGAGAUAAUAAUCCUUCUGUUCAUCAUGAUAAAUUAUUUAACAGUAAUAAAUCUUUCAUAUUCAAGUUUUAUUUUUUGAAGAAAAAAUUCUUGGAUAAUAGUGCACAGGAGAUUCCAAGAUAUACUAUCUAGAAAUUCACAGGAGCUACUAAAAAAGUAGAAAAUAUCUUCAAAAUUUAAUUUCCAAGCUAGUGUUAUUCAAAACUUACGUCCAGUCUCAUGAGUGACAUGAGCAAAGAAAGCAGCAAUCUCCCUUUUAGAAUCAUCAACAGAACCAGCGGUUCCAAACUGGGGAUACGAGUUCAGAGCUUCAAGAAAAGCUGAUCGAGUAUAGAACCCUUUUCCAGCACAGCUUGAAGCAGCUUGAUCAGCAAUCCCAUUAAAGAAAGCGUCCGUCACAAUAUCAGCAACUGAAACGCCACUAUUACCACUGCUCGGAGCAGCGGUGCAAGGGCCGGAUUGACAGCCAGAGCCGCAGUAGUCGUUGCCGGUACCGCAAUAGCCGAAUUUGCUGCAGCACAAGUCUGGUGCACAGCCGCAGUUUUGGCUUGAAAUCAGCUGUGGAAAGGCUCCUACAAGAACUACAAUGGAGAAAAUGAUGGUUGGAAAACUCUUCAUUUUUGGAUUUGAUAAAGGAGAGAAGCUUGUGGGCAGCAGUUGUAUCAGAAAAAAGGGUAUAUGUAGGGAAGAGAACUGAAAACUGAUCAGCUUGUGUGAAGCAUGCACAGCUGCUAUUGUUGAAAAUAUUGAAUUUGAGCAAUUAAAGAAAACAGAACAGAAGACGAAAGCGUGAAUGGUUGACUUCUAUCGAGAGUAUUGACUUUGACAUUGUCAAUGAAGCGGAAACUUUCUUUCUUGGCUUCUAGAAUGGGAAAGGUCAAAAAGAAAGAUUUUGGCCAAUUCGUAUGAACAAUUGUGAGAAUAAGGCAUGUAGACUCACAAGUCCCCACUAGAAUGUGUGCAAAAAUAUAAUUUGAAGUUGCCUAAAUCAUUUAAUUUCAUGCUUGUUAUUGAGUUUAUUUGCCUAACUGUGUUUUAGUAAUACUUCAAAAUUGUGUUUGAGUUAGAACGGAAAAAAAUAUGAGACAUUUUUUUUUUAAUUGCAAUUCCAGAAAUAAAAUCUUAUAAAACAUGUAUUAGAAAAAUUUUGAGGGUAAAUGAUAUGAAAAAAAAAAAGAAGAAAUAGUUCUAUAAAUUGACAUAAGUGUUCAUCGGCUUUUGGAAAAAUUAAGAAAGAAUAAAGCAGCCGACAUAUCUAUCAUGCAUAACAACAUUAUGUGGCUUUUGUUAGUACACGCUAUGACCAUAUAUGUUUCAUUUGAGAUGCUUGUCGGACGUGUUGAAUUGUUGGCAAUGAAAUGCUCCAAAAUGUCAGCACUAUAGUUUAUAAAUAGUAUUAGGUCAUAGUGAAUUAUCGACAUAUCGUUACAUGCAGAGUCGUGAAAAUAUACAAGUCUUUCCCUAUCAUUAAUUAGUUGGUCAAAUGACAAUUUUAGAGUGGCUGCUGACUAUGUCAAGAAACAUCUUGCAGUAAAUUGGGCGAUUUAAUGUACUUUUCUUUUUCUAAAUAUUUGCACUUAAACUCUCAAAUCGACCAUAGUUUUAACUAAUUUUGCUCUGGCUUUAUUCUUGAUUCGCAAAAUUCAGAAAAACCAAAACAAACCCUUGUUACUGAAGAUAUCAAAAUGGUAACCCAACUAAGUAAUUGAUUUUGAAAAACAUUCUGAACCAAAUUUCAAGUUUUGGUUUCUUUGCUCUUUUUCUACUGAAAGGCAACUUCCCCGGGCCAAGAAAUUGAAACAAAUAGUACGAUGCUUAAGUUUUCUAUGCUCUUAUGAUCAAGUCAAACCAUGCUUAUAAUCAAUUACAUAAAAAAUUACGGGCAAUUUCGUCAUUAUUUGGGAGGAGGAGGAAUAUUAAGCAAAAAAAAAAGUUCUAUUAAGAAAACGAUUAAGCAUAUUAUUUUCCAGGAAUAAAAAAGAACGAGCAGAGAAAUACAUUAGUUUGGAUGACAUUACAACAUUUAGCAACAUGAUUAGGGAUGCAAUGGGAUGGGUGCCAAUUGGGAAUCAAUGGGAUGGGAGAAAAUGCAGGAGGGGAUGGAGGGAUUGAAGAAUAUUUCUCCUCCAACAUUAAAUGGAUACCUCCAUCCCAUCCCCUAAAACCCCUUGUUGCUAUUCCUAAACAGGAUGCUACUUAUAUCCUCUCUCUAUGAGCAUGUGUGGCUAGUGAGGAAUGCAGGAUUUUGAUUUUGGCGGGGGGAGGGUGGGGCAAAUUGACAAUCAAGAAACAAUAGAAAAAAAACCUUAGCAAAUAAAGCACACAAACUUAAAAUGAAAGUUUAAUAUACGAUAAAUAAAAUAUAAAUAUUUUUAAUAAUAAAAUACACCAUAUAAAUAAAAUGAUAGAGCAAUAAUUGGGCACCAUAAGUGCUGUUAUUUGGUCAUAAUGUUGGCUACUUAUCAUGCUAAGUAGUGCAGCUUUGCUCAUAUUUGAUAUUUGUGUAAAUUACAGGCGGUUGGUGUUGAAACUGAUCUCUCGAGGCAAAUUUUCAGAAGACUUUUUAUUUCAGAGCGUGCCGACGCCAGAAACUAUAGAGAGACUCCUCAAAGGUGGACCGCGGGACUAAUUAACUAAACUUACCUUUAUUCCUGCUUGACGCUGCUGGAAGUGCGUUAAAACAAAAAGGCAAUAAUUUCCAGCGAAUUGGGUAACAACCAAUAAGGAGGAAAAUUAGGGGCACUAGCCUACAAAGCCGGACCCCGCGAGACUGGUAGACAAAGUGGGGAAUUAGGAAGUCUUCAAAGCGGCUAUUUUCUCGUGGGCUGCAGAGGUGAAAAGGACAAGUAGUUUGAGUCUUGCAGAGAGCUUUUGAGUUCUCUUACGUUUUGUCUUGCGGUAGCCACCCGGGGGAGGAUUGAAAAAGCCAUAUUCACGUGGGAUUAGGAGAUUAGCUUUAGUUUCUUGUAUCCCUGGGUAGACGAUCUGCUCUCUGCUUUGCUUUUGGCGACUUUCUUUAGACCUUUUUCUUUACUUUUCUCCGGCACGAACACGGAACCAAAAAAGAAGCAAGACUUUUCGUUUGUCUCGUCGUUAUUUCAUCUUUCCCAACUUUUUGGUAAUUAAGUGGAUGGAAUCAAUCAAAUCACGCGAGAUUGAUGUGAUGAGGAGUGGCUAGGUUUCUCUGCUACCCAAAGGUCGACGCGAAGGCGCGGUCCAUAACAUCUGUGAGAUCUAAUCGAACUUUCACUAUUUCUUCCAAUCCGUUACUAUUCGUGCGUUUUCUGGAUUAACUGUUUAUGAUUAUUUUAUUAAUUGAGUAUCAACAGCCGGAUAUUUAAUUUAAUCUAAUAGCCUACUGUCACGUUAACUAAAUUGAAUCCGUAAUUAUUCGUUUAGUUGAUAAUUAGUGACAACCAUCAUAAUUGGCUUUAUGUUGGGAAAAACGUAAGAUCUAAUUUAGAUAAACCCUCUUAUAGCGUGUUUAUUGGUUAGGGUUGGAUUUUUCUAGCGUUAAUGCAACUGAAUAAUUAAAUUCCUACGGUCGUAUCUAGGGUUAUUUUCUGGUUAGAGAAACAGUCAACGGUCGUACCUUGGCUAUCGAAAAAGUAAGAAAAAACUAGCAGUCAGAGCUUGUUGAUCGCUAUAACCAACCUAGUGACGAAUGAGUGAAAUAUCUUUGCAUCGAUGAUCAUUUAAUUGGACCGUGCCUGAAAAGUUGAUCCUUUGGAUAGAAUUUUGCUAAUUGCUAUUUUCAGUGAAUUGUACUUGGCGAGUUAGCUUUUGAAUUUUGUUUAUUUUAUUUUCAUUUUCAUUCCAUUAAAUAUCCCCCAAUUUUGUUCUAUUGACUUGGAAAGAAACAACUUCUUACCCGUUACUUGUGGAAUCGACCCUACUUGCCAUUUUCAGAAACAACUUCUUAAAUUUUAAUCCUUAUGAAACCCAGCUUCUCUCUCAAUUUUCAGAGGUUUCUUUUCCUUCAUCAUGUCAAAGUUGCUAUUAUAAUCACUGUAAUUAGACAGCUAAACCUGUCAUUCCAAUUAUACCCUUGGUCCGCCGUGGGAAAUACAUAAAAUGUGGUAGCGCUGCCCAAUAAGUCCCACAUUGGACCAUAUAAAAUUGUUUAAGGACUAAAUUGGUAAAAAAAAUCGUAAAUGAUGAAAUUGAUUUAAGUGAAAAAGUUCAAGGACCAAAUUGGCAAUUUUUCCUUAUUAUGAUUAUGAUUAUGAUUAUUAUUAUUAUUAUUAUUAUUAGUCUGAGAUGCCGAACAAGUUGUGGAGACUUAUUUCACCUUUACAAGGUCAUUGGAGGGCUUGACGAGGUGCGAUGUGGUAAGGAAAGGCACAAAAAACUCUUUUUUCUUUAUUAAAAAACAUACAAAUUGCACUAAUAAUGGCUGAAAAUGCAUCCAACAUGCAAUAGUGAAAAAUCGUUAGAUGCAAGAUAUAUAAAAGUUAACAAAAAUUAUCUUAGUACCUCUGAUAUAUUCCAAAUUCAGAUAAAUCAUCUGCCCCCAAUGAAUAUAUGUGCAUAUCAUCAUUGUCAAAAAAUAUUUAUGCAUAUCAUUGCCGUUAGAUUUUAUAUUGAAGUGGUUAAAGCUCCAAAUCUAGUAGAGAAGAAAUUCAACACUUGAGAAAAUAAGUUAAGAAAUUCAAGAUUUGACAUACAAAUCUGAAAAGCUCUCAAAUCUAACAAAACAAGAUAUAAAAUUAUCUGAAUAAAACUCUCACUAGAAUAUCUUAGUAGAGAAGAAAAUUCUCACUAGAUAGUCUCACUAUACUUUAUUAGACAUAAAAAAAAAAAAAAGAGAAGUCAAACAGAGGGAGGAAGGCAAUCCUCCAUGGAGGAAAUAAUAAUUGUCUUGAAGGUUGUGUAGAGAGAUGGUGGAGAAACUUCUUUUGUUUUAUCUAUUGGUUAUCUUUCUAAUUGCUAGUUAACGAACAAUAAACUCUAAAUGAAACUACUAAAUUUGCAACCGAAGACAUUUUUGGGCUUGUAUCUUAGUAUCGUAAUCGUCACCCAAUUAGAGCCGCCCAUGACGGCUUCAUUAAAUAUAUAAUUUGGGGGAACCAGGAUUUAAGGCCAAAUUUCGGCAACCUUCAAGGCACUUCAUUGUUUUCUCACAAAUUUUGUUUAUUUAUUGUAAAAGAUUAACUUUAAAGUGUCCUCAAAUUUCUUCCCUAUCUUCUCUCAAACUUUACCAGUGAAAAUUGUUUGUCUUCGGGUUCGUUUGUUUCGGGUGAAAAUGUUUUCCAGAAAAAGUAUUUUCCUAAUUUCCCGUGUUUGAUUGCACAAAAGUUACUGAAAACAUUUUACAUAAAUUUUCACUCAUCUUAUGGAAAACAACUUCCCUUCCAAACUUACUGAAGUUGUUUUCCGAAAUGCAUGCAUCCCGCCUGUAGUAUGUUCCAAACUUACUGAAACCAUCUUGUAGUAUGUUCUUUUUUUUUUUUAGUGUAAACAGGAGGACUCGAACCAAGACCUCUUCCUUACACUCCCUCCCCCGUACCAUCCAACCCAACCCAACCCUCCCCCUAGUAUAUUCAAAAUAAAAAAAAACCUCAUCCUACUCAUCCUAUUCUAGUAAUUAAUUAUGUAUAAUAGGGACAUUCUUUUCUAGAGAAACUUUCAGCAAUGAUAGUGCAAGAUAUAUGUCACAAUAAGCAUUGCAUGUGAUUGAUAUUUGACACUAAAUGGCCAGCAAUUUGUUUAUUGCUUAAGGAGAUAUUUUUUAUUCAUAUAUACAUUUCUCCAAGAUUUUUUAAAGUUAAACAAUGAGAUAAAUUUUCUUAUUUUGCAUGGGAAGAAGUAUGUAGUUAUAAUGUGUAGAAAGUAAAGAUAGAGAUAAAAGUGAAAAUAUUUCAAAAGUUAAACAAACACCAAAAAAAUGAAGUAAGAAAAUAUUUUCAAUAAACUAACCAAACACCUGAAAAUGAUGAAAGAGAAAUGAUUUUCAUGGAAAAUUACUUCCACGGAAAAUAUUUUCCCAAGAAAAACAUUUUACUUCCAACCAAACAGACCCUUCAUCUCGUUGAUUGUCUCCCCCAGUGCAUACAAAUGUAUUAUGGGCAUUUUGGUGAAAGAAAGGCAUAAACUGAGUUCUGCACAACUAAAUUUUGCCAAUAGCAUAUGAAAAUAUGAAGAAGAAUAAUAAUAAAUGAAGGGUCUGUCUAAUAAGUAUUCAUAGGGAACCAUUGAAAUAUAUCUCAAGUGUCAUGUUUUUGGAAAUGUAAAAUUAAUAGAAAAAAUAAAUAAAUACAAGAGAGAGUAGAUAAAAUUAAAUAAGAAAAGUUAAUAAUUGUUAAUAGAUAUAUAUACAUAAUAGAUUAGAUGAACGUUAAAUAUGUUAACAAGUACCUUAUUAGCACCCGUUAAAAAAAGCUAUAAAUGAAAGAUGUGAUCACCAAAUCAUUGACAAAGAAAUGUGUUGAAAAUGAAACAAGAAAGUCAAACAUGAUAAGGGAUCAAAAAUGGAAUUUAAUAAUUGCAGAUACUCCAAGAAGUUGAGUUGAAAUCAGUUAUCCGAUUUCAAAUUCACAACUUCUGCUGUCAAAGAACUACAAAGGGACUCAACUUCUGCUAAUUUAUAUUAGUUUCGAAACUCUUACAAGUACCCUAGCAUCUGAGAUUAUCACCGGGAUCAACACCCAACUGGUUACAAUAUUCAGCAUAAUACUCAACACGAGCACUAACAGUGUCCGGAUUUGCACCAUCACAUUCAAGCUGUCCGUUAACGGCACGAAUUGUAGCCCCAAAACCCUGGCCAGAAGUGAUAAGAUCAUGACAAUUGUUCAUCCAGAACCACAAGGCAGUUUUGAAUGAAAUAACAUUAUCUGUGGCCACAGUUUCAGGUUCAGUUAGUCCAUCGAACCCUAUGCUUUCACCUGCUGGUCCAUAGUUAAAGUUCCAAGAUAUUUGUAUUGGACCCCUGCCGUAAUAUCCCUUGCCUGGCACACAAGGGUACUGAGUGUUGCGCUCAUCACAAUAGUCUUUGGAAGGGCCGUCUAUCUCUUCUAUAUAGCACAUAUCUGCACAAUAUAGAGAAGUCUGUAUCAAUUAUCACUGCAUUCAAUUGCUUAUAUGAAAGCCACUCAUUGAUACAUUAUGGAUUUUAGAUAUUUUUACUAUUAAAAAACCUAUAAUCUAAAUACAAAAUAAAUGAGAACAUAAAAAAAAUUAAUUAUUUAAAAUCAGAAUCUAUAGUCAGUUAUAAUAAUCAAUCAAGAACAACCCCAAAAAAUGUCAUCAAUAUUUAAGAAGGGACCAUAUGUGAUAAAGAAAUUAUAAAGUUAUAAGUAAUCACAGACUAAAUAAAUAACCAAUACAACAAAGUAGAAAAAAUUAACGUCAAAGUGGGACGGAGGGAGUAUAUGUUUUUCUUGGUAUCCUAGCAAUAUGAUAGUUGGAGCAAUAACCAUUGUCAAAUUUUGGUGUUUGAUUGUUGCUCUCAUGCUUGAGGGCAAGCAUGGUUCAGGUGUGAGGAGAAUUGAUAGGGUGUUAAUUGUUAGUAAUUUUAUUGUUAAUUUUCCCUUUUAUCCUUGCCAAAUAUUGUUUUAAUUAUUAAUAUUUACUUAUAUUUGGUAUUUGGACUCAAUUUCAGGGAAUAGAGUAGAAAACUACAAAAAAGGAGGGACUUUAUGGAGACAAUGGAGACUUCAAACAACCGGGGCCACAUGGUGCCACAAACGGAUGGCAUUUCCUUUUUACUGAUUAGGAGUUGAAGUCUUUGAUGGGCAACAGGAAACGAAAAGUAGAGAAAAAUUCGGCAGAGCUUUCUUUUUGUACUUGGACUCCCAAUUCGUUGGGGACCACAGAGAGCAUUAAGGAGUCAUACUUUUGCUUGGAAUAAAAAGAACGUAUAGAGGCUAGGGAUAGUUUUUAGCAAUAGUUUAGUUUUCUUCCUUUUUCCUUUUCAUGCAUGCCUACUGUUCGACAAAAGUCCCAACUGGAGAAAUAUCUUUCACCUCUUGAUUAUUUAGUGAAAAACCCGAUGCCUUUGCAAUCAAUUAAUUUGCGUGGAAAUUUAUUUAUGCGGCGUGGCUAAACUUUUCAUCUAGUCAAGGAUCAACUCGACGGCGCAGUCCCGAAUAUCUGUGAGAUCUAAUUAGUUUUCACGCGUUCUUAAUUUGUUAAUAAUUGCGCGUUGUCUAUUCGAAUUUCCAUGGGAUUAUUUUGUUAAUUGGAUGUCAAGGGAUCGAUGUUCAAUGUGACUUAUUAAUCUCCUGCCAAAUUAGUCAAUUAAAUCCAUAAUUGUUUGAUUGGUUAAUAUUAGUGGCAACUGGCGUGUUUACACACCAGGGGAACGUGCAAUCUAAUUUAAAUAACCCUCGUAGCGUGUUAUUGAUUGGGGUUAGGUUUUUCUAGUUAUUAAUGCAAUUGAAAAAUUAAUUCCUACGGUCGUACCUAGGAGUAUUUUCUGGUUAGGGGUAAUCAAUGGUUGUACCUUGGUUAUCAAUAAAUUAAAGAAAAAUUGGUCGUUAGAGUUCGUCGGCGACUAUAACUAGUCUAUUAAUAAAUUAAGUGAACCUCCCUUACAUCAAUGAUCGGGUAAGUGGACUAUGUUUGAAUAGUUGUAUUCUUGGUUAGAAUUUAUCUAUUCUUGAAUUAAUUCCUGUGUAUAUUCGUGUUAGUUAAUUAUUCGUUUUAUUUGAAUUGCUUAAUUAUUUGUAGUUUUAUUCUGAUGAAACACCCAUUUUACCAAUUGGAAUCUCAAAGAGACAAAUAUCCUCAAUUCCUGAGGAGACGUGUGAGAACCCGUAUUUUCCCUAAUAAUUUUCCUAGGGUUUUUCCCCUUUAAUGGCAUGUUUUCUGCAUUUUCUGGCUUAGAAAAUUUUCCUGGUGAAUUUUAUGAGUAAUUAUAGUUUUUAGAUGAUUUUUCUAGCAUUGGAUAGUUUUUGAAAAAUUACGGAUAUAUAACGGACGUGGGGCCCACUAGUGCGAAAAGUUCGGAAAAAUUCGGUCAAUAAGGUUAAGUUCCGGAUACUGAGUGAAAUUUAUCGGGUGUUAAGAGAUAAGUAUAGGAUGUGAUGUGAUUGAUGUGAGAGGAAAACAAAAGGAUAGAAAUGCAUUAAUGAAGUGACACUUGUCAUGUUGGGAUUGGUUUCACUUGUUGACAACUAUUCAUUUUUUUUGACUUUUCUUACCAAUUGAUUAAAUAUCUCAAAAAUCACAAAAAAAUUCACUCUUGUCUUCACCUUCUUGGCCGGCCACCUUGAGCUUAAGAAGGAAGAAAACUCUUCAAAAUCUUGGCUACCAUCUAGCUCAAAUCCUCCAAAACAAUUGCUUGAUCUUGUUUCUACUCCAUAAAAUCUCUCCAUUUGGUACUAGUAAGUGAUUUGGUGAAGUGUUUAAGGAAGCUAAGGUGUCCAACAACUCUCCCUCUCUUGUUUACUAGGUGAGUGGUGAUUGAACUUCCUCCUACACUUAAUGAAGCUUAAGUUGUGCUUAGUGGUAGCUAAAGUGCUGAAAUUUGUGGUUUAUUUCUUGGUUUGAGAUGAAAUGAUGAAGUUUUCAAUUUAAUGGUGUAUUUUCUGGUUUAAUGUGAUCAUGAUGUUGUGGUUAUCUAUGAUGGUUGGUAAUGAAGGGUAAUGACUCUAGUAGGUGUACAUGAUUGGUAAUUGCAAGCAAUUUUGGGUUUGGAAGGAAUUUGAGAAAGUUAGGGUUUUAUAUCCCCAAUUCUGUCCGAUUUUGUAUCUCAUGGUUAGAGGCCGAAUUGGCCUUGUCUUAAAACAUGAAAGUUGUAGGUAUUGAUGUGUUUGAGGUGCCUGUAAAAUUUCAGGUUCAUCGGAGUUGUGUAGAGUGAGAAAAGUCGAUUUUACUGUUGCUGUUCUGGGUUCUUCAGGAUGGCCGAACUGCGUCUGUAAUUGGUGGUUUUGGCUGGAAUUGCUUUGGAUUUGGUUGUUGAGGCCUUCUGAUGAAAUGUAGCUUGAUGUCUUAGCUACCGCAUGCCUUUGGUAUGAAUGAAUUUGGACUUGUAUAGACUGAGUUGGACUAAUUACAGCAUAGUGUAUUUUGUAAACCUGCAAUUAAGGUUCUGGUUUGGUAUUUUGCAUAUUUGACCUAGUUGUGCUAGGAAUUGGACUGAGUGACCUUCUACAUUGUUGUAGCCCUGUUUCUUAGCUUCGAAACGGUGGGUCUUACACCCUCAUCCGAUAAGCGUAGUGCAAUUUGUGCCAUUACCGCAAACUGAGGACAAAACUGUUUUUUUUUCAGGGCCAAGUUAGUUACAUUUCCUGAUUUUCUGGUUUGCUAUAAUGCUUAUAUAUGAAUAUGAAACCCUAUUGGGGUUGUGAUUGGCAUGGCUUUAUGACUCGUUAUCGAGUCUCAUUGUAUUUGUUUACGUGUUUUAGGACGUGACGAGGGUUCACGACGACCUUUUAACGACGGUGCAUGAAACAUCACCUACUUGAGUAGUGAGUAUACUACUCACUUGAAUGUUUAUAAUGUGGCUUUGCUAUAUGUGAUUGUGAUGCCUUGAAGGCUUGUUUGGCUAUUGGACAUGGUUAAGGUGAGGGUGUACUUGACCGCCCUCAUCCUUUUUAUCUUGUUAAUGACUGUUUACCGUUUCACUGUAAUACUGCACUUGCUAUAUGAGAUAUUGAAUUCCAUUCAUGGGAAACUGUUUGGGUGUCGGUUGGACGAGUAUCCAACGGCCCUACUGCAUUACUGAGCUCGACCCCGUUGGUAGUUACUUGAAUCGAGCCAGCGAGGGCUUGGUCGUGAAAAUUGACUAGCCACGGGGACUGAAAUGGGAAUCUUGUGGUAAUGAGACCCUUGGUUCCGGUGUACUCGAGUAUCACCUAAAGCUACUGCUUGGAGUGCGGGCCCGGUUGGGGUAUGUUGGGUGGAAGGAAUGGAAGUGAAGUGAGGUCUACGGUCGGGUAUUCUUAAACAUUGACGGAGGGUCAAUGAGGUUGGAUCAAGAAUGUAAGCGUGGAAAUGGGCUCUUGAGAGCCGUCCGUAUCCUUUUACCGACUUGUUUUAUUUCUUAAUUGCGUACUUGAGAUGAAAGUUAAGUGAUCUUUGUUGAUUAUGUGAUAGUUGCUCACUGAGCUUUAGCUCACUCCGUUCCAUUUGUUUUCCUUACAGGAAAAAUGACUAUUUUGGGAAAGGUUGUGCUAGUUGGUUGUCAAGUUGAGCUCAUGUAAAUGUAUAUUUUGAAUAGCUCCUUGAGGGUGAAAACCCUAAGUGUUUUGUUUCAACCAAUGGUUGGUUUGUAAUUGGCCAAUUGCACAUGUGUGAACUUGUUGGAUAUUUUGGUAUACCGCUUUGGCUUGUAAAUGUUAAAUUUCGAUGUAUAUAUGUUGGAUUGAUGUUUGGUUGAACUCCGGAUUCUGACAUGGCCGGUACUGUUCAUCAUCGGCUUCGAUUUUCAUAUUUUUUUUAUUUUGUGAUUUUGACUUGUUUGCGCGCGUUGGUGUGUUCCGGAACGUAGUAGAUCGACGUAAACUGAUCCGUUAGUCCUGGCGAGAGCUGGGCAGCCAGUCCGCUAACCCCUUUGGUUCGCCUUAGGGGAAGGUGGGGCUGUUACAAGACGACCCUACUUGCCACUGUCUGCCAAUUAGUAAAUUUUGUCAAAUAAUUAAUUCUGGUAUAUCGGAUUAAGCAAACUCUUCGAGAACAGGGUGAAUCAAGUAACCCAUUGCACACCUAGAGUCCCUGCUCCAGUACUUAGAAUUGAUUAUCGACUACUUUUGACGGGCGUAGGGUAUACAUAUAACAUUAAGCUCAUCCUAAUCAAGUUUUACAUUUAUAAACUCCUAAAUACCCUACACGCGAUUUAUCGCAAGUAUACGAAUCGUGAGCGAGUAUAGGGUAUUAAAAGUCGAUCUCACAAUGAAGAUUGCAAUUACCGGCACUACUAAAGCUUCUCUAUUAUUUAGACUAUCAAUGAAUUAUAACAAAUUUAACCUACUGAACUUAUGCAAGAAAAUAACAAAUGAAAGCUCCUUAAGUUGUGGUAUCCCUAACUACUCAUGCAAGUGCUAUAUUUGGAUCAUUGAAUACUACUAUCUAGGCUAGUUAUGGUGUAAUUUCCUUAAACAUGUGAAACCUACUUUCGUAGUGAAUCAACUAUAUUCAUAACUAAUCCAUACAUAUUCUCAUGGUUAUGAAAUUAGCUACAAGUUCAUUUCUUCAAUGAAAUUAAUCACUAAAAUCACAUAGGUGCACCUCUACUCUCGUGAGCGUACUCCCUAUGUUUAGCACUUCUUAAACUAGUGUUAAAUCUCAAUUUUCAUUGCAGAAACAACACCUUAAAUAAUCACAAUCAAUGGUACCAGAUUAAUCAUGAUUUAAAGAGCCAAAGUACUAAAUAACUUGCUCAAAUCAUAGCAAUCAAAUAACCAAAUAAUAAAUACUAACAAUUAUAGAAAGUUCAACCAAACCCAAGGCAUAAACGUUAGAGACACAUAUUAAACACAAAAUCCAGAACUUGCAUAUCAACUAAACUUAGAAUCCAAUACAAAAGAUAAAGAGUUGGAAAAGAGAUAACCAUUGUCACAUGAGCUUCAACUCCUCCUUUUUCAUCUCCAUUUUCAUCCUAAUCUAGCUAAUAUACAAGAAUGGAAGAGCUAUACUAUUCUAAACUAAACUAUCCUACUACUCAGAAAGUGCAAGAGCUACAUCUCUGCACUCCAAGUUUCUCCUGUAUGUCUCUCUAUUCUCCCUUCAAUCUUGCAAGCUUUGGCUAUAUAAAGGUGAAAGUUGGUCAAGAAGUGAGGUUUACACCUCCCUUUUACAGCUGGGAAUGUUUCUCACAUGUCUAGCAUCACCUGUGACUUAGUGGAGGUGAAAUUGAGUUUCCCACGUAAAGAGCAGCCUUCUCUGACCACAAUCCGGCCAGAAAUCUGGCCAAGUUCCGGCCGGAUUGCUACAGUGACAUUUUGGUGCACUUUUGUUCAAUUUCCAGCUCUGCUCCAAUUUUGUGUCAAUUUCAACUGAACUUUUGUUGAUGAUAAAAGCUGAUUUAGCUCUUGAUCAACAUAAAACUUGUAGCCCUUUGAGUUAGCUUUCCAAUGCAUCAAGAAUCACCUCAUUUGGAUCUGUGUAGGCUGAGAAAUGACCGAAAUACCUUUGACUGCUCACUGCCCUAUUUCAGCUUCGACCAAUAGAAAUUAGCUACUGUAAUUCGGCUUUUUAACCUGGAAAACCUUCAAAAUAGAUUCAGAUGUCUUCACCAAAGUUGUAGAUCUAUCUCUUAUCUUCAAAUUGGUUUAAGAAUCAUCUCAAUCCGAUCAUUAUAGCUCAAGUUAUAGCCAAAAUACGAAAAUGUGUCAAAACUGUCAAAAUGCACAAAAUCCAAGUAAAAAGUGAUAAAAACCUCAUUUAAUUACUUAAAAGCAUUUUUCACCAAUUAUAGCCAAAAUGAAUCAUUUUCUUCCAAUAAUGUAACCAAAGUGACUAACAAUAAUAUAAAAUAUCAUACAAUUAUUACAUAAAUUAGUCACUUAUCAGCUUUUAUUGGCAAUUAGGUUUAUUUUUAUUAUUGCACAGGUUCGGCACCUGUCAUUAGGAGUACUGGUUUUGCUGUGGGAUUUUUCGUUUUCUUUGUCAGCUGCGUCAGCUGCAUGGUGCUUUAGAGCAUAAGCCUUUGUUUUGUAUCGAAACAUCACGGCCAAAAUUGCCAAAAGCAUAUCGAAACAUGAACACAAAAUGAAAGAUGUGAGGAAACUUUAAUGAAGAUAUGCCUUGAGAUUUAAACACCAAAGACAAAAGCUCAAAAAAUAUUAUCAACGGAUCAAAAUAAGAACUUGAUUAUUGGUAAAACACUCCAACAAGUUAAGUCGAACCAAGAUCAACAUAAUCAAUUAUUUGAUUUCAAGAGUCAUAACUUUUGCUUGUAAAGAACAAAUAAAGUUAAACAAUUUAUUGCUUUUUUCCCCCCAGUCAGCUGUGUACCUCAACAUUAUUUCACGUCAAAAACUUGUUUUUCCUCGGAUUAAAUACCCUAGCAUCUGAGGUUAUCACCAGUCUCGACACCCAAUUGUCUACAAUAUUCAGUAUAAUACUCAACUCGAGCACUAACUGUGUUUGGAUUUGCACCAUCACAUUCAAGCCGACCAUUAAUGGCACGAAUUGUAGCCCCAAAACCCUGGCCAGAAGUGAUAAGAUCAUGACAAUGGUUCAUCCAAUACCACAAGCCAGUUUUGAAUGAAAUAACAUUAUUUGUAGCUACAGUUUCAGGUUGGCUGAGUCCAUUGAAUCCAAUGCUUUCACCUGCUGGUCCAUAGUUAGAGUUCCAUGAUAACUGUAUUGGACCCCUGCCGUAAUAUCCCUUGCCUGGCACACAUGGAUACUGAGUGUUGCUCUCAUCACAGUAAUCUCUGGAGGGGCCGUCUAUCUCUUCUAUGUAGCACAAAUCUGCGCAAUAUAAAGAAAUUUUGUCACUCAAUUGAAAUGAUUGAUAAAGGGUUAGAAUCAAAGAAAAUCAGGAGGUCUGGAAUUUUUUGUAAAUUUUUAGAUUUGAUUGUUUUACUAAUGAAUUCAAUUGGUGAGAAAAGACUUUAUCCCAUUUUGUAAAAAUUGGGUUGGACAGACCUAAAGUAAACACUCUUUUUAUGAGGUAAAAUUUUAGAAUGAUUUAACAUUAUAGGGUUAUACGAUAGAUAAAUAAAAAUUGGCAAUAGCAAGAUUAAGAAGGGACCAACAGUGAUAUAAAAAUUACAAAGGUAUCAUGGACGUCUAAAAUAUAUUUGGCUAAUAAAUUUGAACUAAUUUACGGCCAAAUUUAGGUGAAAUAGUUAAUUCUACUUGGUAAAUUGGAAGUUCGGAAACGUGUAUCUGUCAGUUGUCAUACUCAUGAGCGAGCCAAUCUUAACUUAAAAAAGAAAAAGAAAAAAAGAAAAAGAAAAAAGGAAUCCAAAAGAUAAAAGUAGAAAAGGCAUGAAUUUUAAAACGUAAUCGUAAUACCUUGUACCCGAAACAAAUAUGUGCAAUACUUAUUAAGCUAAGCAAAGCCACAUGAUCUACUCUUAGAUGCAGCAAAAUAUACAACCACCUUAAGCUUGGAAUGUAAAGGCAGAAAAACUUGCUUAUGUAGAUAUAAAAGUGACCACUACAAGAAAAGUAAAAAGAAUAUGGAGAUAAUAAUCCUUCUGUUCAUCAUGAUAAAUUAUUUAACAGUAAUAAAUCUUUCAUAUUCAAGUUUUAUUUUUUGAAGAAAAAAUUCUUGGAUAAUAGUGCACAGGAGAUUCCAAGAUAUACUAUCUAGAAAUUCACAGGAGCUACUAAAAAAGUAGAAAAUAUCUUCAAAAUUUAAUUUCCAAGCUAGUGUUAUUCAAAACUUACGUCCAGUCUCAUGAGUGACAUGAGCAAAGAAAGCAGCAAUCUCCCUUUUAGAAUCAUCAACAGAACCAGCGGUUCCAAACUGGGGAUACGAGUUCAGAGCUUCAAGAAAAGCUGAUCGAGUAUAGAACCCUUUUCCAGCACAGCUUGAAGCAGCUUGAUCAGCAAUCCCAUUAAAGAAAGCGUCCGUCACAAUAUCAGCAACUGAAACGCCACUAUUACCACUGCUCGGAGCAGCGGUGCAAGGGCCGGAUUGACAGCCAGAGCCGCAGUAGUCGUUGCCGGUACCGCAAUAGCCGAAUUUGCUGCAGCACAAGUCUGGUGCACAGCCGCAGUUUUGGCUUGAAAUCAGCUGUGGAAAGGCUCCUACAAGAACUACAAUGGAGAAAAUGAUGGUUGGAAAACUCUUCAUUUUUGGAUUUGAUAAAGGAGAGAAGCUUGUGGGCAGCAGUUGUAUCAGAAAAAAGGGUAUAUGUAGGGAAGAGAACUGAAAACUGAUCAGCUUGUGUGAAGCAUGCACAGCUGCUAUUGUUGAAAAUAUUGAAUUUGAGCAAUUAAAGAAAACAGAACAGAAGACGAAAGCGUGAAUGGUUGACUUCUAUCGAGAGUAUUGACUUUGACAUUGUCAAUGAAGCGGAAACUUUCUUUCUUGGCUUCUAGAAUGGGAAAGGUCAAAAAGAAAGAUUUUGGCCAAUUCGUAUGAACAAUUGUGAGAAUAAGGCAUGUAGACUCACAAGUCCCCACUAGAAUGUGUGCAAAAAUAUAAUUUGAAGUUGCCUAAAUCAUUUAAUUUCAUGCUUGUUAUUGAGUUUAUUUGCCUAACUGUGUUUUAGUAAUACUUCAAAAUUGUGUUUGAGUUAGAACGGAAAAAAAUAUGAGACAUUUUUUUUUUAAUUGCAAUUCCAGAAAUAAAAUCUUAUAAAACAUGUAUUAGAAAAAUUUUGAGGGUAAAUGAUAUGAAAAAAAAAAAGAAGAAAUAGUUCUAUAAAUUGACAUAAGUGUUCAUCGGCUUUUGGAAAAAUUAAGAAAGAAUAAAGCAGCCGACAUAUCUAUCAUGCAUAACAACAUUAUGUGGCUUUUGUUAGUACACGCUAUGACCAUAUAUGUUUCAUUUGAGAUGCUUGUCGGACGUGUUGAAUUGUUGGCAAUGAAAUGCUCCAAAAUGUCAGCACUAUAGUUUAUAAAUAGUAUUAGGUCAUACUGAAUUAUCGACAUAUCGUUACAUGCAGAGUCGUGAAAAUAUACAAGUCUUUCCCUAUCAUUAAUUAGUUGGUCAAAUGACAAUUUUAGAGUGGCUGCUGACUAUGUCAAGAAACAUCUUGCAGUAAAUUGGGCGAGUUAAUGUACUUUUCUUUUUCUAAAUAUUUGCACUUAAACUCUCAAAUCGACCAUAGUUUUAACUAAUUUUGCUCUGGCUUUAUUCUUGAUUCGCAAAAUUCAGAAAAACCAAAACAAACCCUUGUUACUGAAGAUAUCAAAAUGGUAACCCAACUAAGUAAUUGAUUUUGAAAAACAUUCUGAACCAAAUUUCAAGUUUUGGUUUCUUUGCUCUUUUUCUACUGAAAGGCAACUUCCCCGGGCCAAGAAAUUGAAACAAAUAGUACGAUGCUUAAGUUUUCUAUGCUCUUAUGAUCAAGUCAAACCAUGCUUAUAAUCAAUUACAUAAAAAAUUACGGGCAAUUUCGUCAUUAUUUGGGAGGAGGAGGAAUAUUAAGCAAAAAAAAAAGUUCUAUUAAGAAAACGAUUAAGCAUAUUAUUUUCCAGGAAUAAAAAAGAACGAGCAGAGAAAUACAUUAGUUUGGAUGACAUUACAACAUUUAGCAACAUGAUUAGGGAUGCAAUGGGAUGGGUGCCAAUUGGGAAUCAAUGGGAUGGGAGAAAAUGCAGGAGGGGAUGGAGGGAUUGAAGAAUAUUUCUCCUCCAACAUUAAAUGGAUACCUCCAUCCCAUCCCCUAAAACCCCUUGUUGCUAUUCCUAAACAGGAUGCUACUUAUAUCCUCUCUCUAUGAGCAUGUGUGGCUAGUGAGGAAUGCAGGAUUUUGAUUUUGGCGGGGGGAGGGUGGGGCAAAUUGACAAUCAAGAAACAAUAGAAAAAAAACCUUAGCAAAUAAAGCACACAAACUUAAAAUGAAAGUUUAAUAUACGAUAAAUAAAAUAUAAAUAUUUUUAAUAAUAAAAUACACCAUAUAAAUAAAAUGAUAGAGCAAUAAUUGGGCACCAUAAGUGCUGUUAUUUGGUCAUAAUGUUGGCUACUUAUCAUGCUAAGUAGUGCAGCUUUGCUCAUAUUUGAUAUUUGUGUAAAUUACAGGCGGUUGGUGUUGAAACUGAUCUCUCGAGGCAAAUUUUCAGAAGACUUUUUAUUUCAGAGCGUGCCGACGCCAGAAACUAUAGAGAGACUCCUCAAAGGUGGACCGCGGGACUAAUUAACUAAACUUACCUUUAUUCCUGCUUGACGCUGCUGGAAGUGCGUUAAAACAAAAAGGCAAUAAUUUCCAGCGAAUUGGGUAACAACCAAUAAGGAGGAAAAUUAGGGGCACUAGCCUACAAAGCCGGACCCGCGAGACUGGUAGACAAAGUGGGGAAUUAGGAAGUCUUCAAAGCGGCUAUUUUCUCGUGGGCUGCAGAGGUGAAAAGGACAAGUAGUUUGAGUCUUGCAGAGAGCUUUUGAGUUCUCUUACGUUUUGUCUUGCGGUAGCCACCCGGGGGAGGAUUGAAAAAGCCAUAUUCACGUGGGAUUAGGAGAUUAGCUUUAGUUUCUUGUAUCCCUGGGUAGACGAUCUGCUCUCUGCUUUGCUUUUGGCGACUUUCUUUAGACCUUUUUCUUUACUUUUCUCCGGCACGAACAGGGAACCAAAAAAGAAGCAAGACUUUUCGUUUGUCUCGUCGUUAUUUCAUCUUUCCCAACUUUUUGGUAAUUAAGUGGAUGGAAUCAAUCAAAUCACGCGAGAUUGAUGUGAUGAGGAGUGGCUAGGUUUCUCUGCUACCCAAAGGUCGACGCGAAGGCGCGGUCCAUAACAUCUGUGAGAUCUAAUCGAACUUUCACUAUUUCUUCCAAUCCGUUACUAUUCGUGCGUUUUCUGGAUUAACUGUUUAUGGUUAUUUUAUUAAUUGAGUAUCAACAGCCGGAUAUUUAAUUUAAUCUAAUAGCCUACUGUCACGUUAACUAAAUUGAAUCCGUAAUUAUUCGUUUAGUUGAUAAUUAGUGACAACCAUCAUAAUUGGCUUUAUGUUGGGAAAAACGUAAGAUCUAAUUUAGAUAAACCCUCUUAUAGCGUGUUUAUUGGUUAGGGUUGGAUUUUUCUAGCGUUAAUGCAACUGAAUAAUUAAAUUCCUACGGUCGUAUCUAGGGUUAUUUUCUGGUUAGAGAAACAGUCAACGGUCGUACCUUGGCUAUCGAAAAAGUAAGAAAAAACUAGCAGUCAGAGCUUGUUGAUCGCUAUAACCAACCUAGUGACGAAUGAGUGAAAUAUCUUUGCAUCGAUGAUCAUUUAAUUGGACCGUGCCUGAAAAGUUGAUCCUUUGGAUAGAAUUUUGCUAAUUGCUAUUUUCAGUGAAUUGUACUUGGCGAGUUAGCUUUUGAAUUUUGUUUAUUUUAUUUUCAUUUUCAUUCCAUUAAAUAUCCCCCAAUUUUGUUCUAUUGACUUGGAAAGAAACAACUUCUUACCCGUUACUUGUGGAAUCGACCCUACUUGCCAUUUUCAGAAACAACUUCUUAAUUUUAAUCCUUAUGAAACCCAGCUUCUCUCUCAAUUUUCAGAGGUUUCUUUUCCUUCAUCAUGUCAAAGUUGCUAUUAUAAUCACUGUAAUUAGACAGCUAAACCUGUCAUUCCAAUUAUACCCUUGGUCCGCCGUGGGAAAUACAUAAAAUGUGGUAGCGCUGCCCAAUAAGUCCCACAUUGGACCAUAUAAAAUUGUUUAAGGACUAAAUUGGUAAAAAAAAUCGUAAAUGAUGAAAUUGAUUUAAGUGAAAAAGUUCAAGGACCAAAUUGGCAAUUUUUCCUUAUUAUGAUUAUGAUUAUGAUUAUUAUUAUUAUUAUUAUUAUUAGUCUGAGAUGCCGAACAAGUUGUGGAGACUUAUUUCACCUUUACAAGGUCAUUGGAGGGCUUGACGAGGUGCGAUGUGGUAAGGAAAGGCACAAAAAACUCUUUUUUCUUUAUUAAAAAACAUACAAAUUGCACUAAUAAUGGCUGAAAAUGCAUCCAACAUGCAAUAGUGAAAAAUCGUUAGAUGCAAGAUAUAUAAAAGUUAACAAAAAUUAUCUUAGUACCUCUGAUAUAUUCCAAAUUCAGAUAAAUCAUCUGCCCCCAAUGAAUAUAUGUGCAUAUCAUCAUUGUCAAAAAAUAUUUAUGCAUAUCAUUGCCGUUAGAUUUUAUAUUGAAGUGGUUAAAGCUCCAAAUCUAGUAGAGAAGAAAUUCAACACUUGAGAAAAUAAGUUAAGAAAUUCAAGAUUUGACAUACAAAUCUGAAAAGCUCUCAAAUCUAACAAAACAAGAUAUAAAAUUAUCUGAAUAAAACUCUCACUAGAAUAUCUUAGUAGAGAAGAAAAUUCUCACUAGAUAGUCUCACUAUACUUUAUUAGACAUAAAAAAAAAAAAAAGAGAAGUCAAACAGAGGGAGGAAGGCAAUCCUCCAUGGAGGAAAUAAUAAUUGUCUUGAAGGUUGUGUAGAGAGAUGGUGGAGAAACUUCUUUUGUUUUAUCUAUUGGUUAUCUUUCUAAUUGCUAGUUAACGAACAAUAAACUCUAAAUGAAACUACUAAAUUUGCAACCGAAGACAUUUUUGGGCUUGUAUCUUAGUAUCGUAAUCGUCACCCAAUUAGAGCCGCCCAUGACGGCUUCAUUAAAUAUAUAAUUUGGGGGAACCAGGAUUUAAGGCCAAAUUUCGGCAACCUUCAAGGCACUUCAUUGUUUUCUCACAAAUUUUGUUUAUUUAUUGUAAAAGAUUAACUUUAAAGUGUCCUCAAAUUUCUUCCCUAUCUUCUCUCAAACUUUACCAGUGAAAAUUGUUUGUCUUCGGGUUCGUUUGUUUCGGGUGAAAAUGUUUUCCAGAAAAAGUAUUUUCCUAAUUUCCCGUGUUUGAUUGCACAAAAGUUACUGAAAACAUUUUACAUAAAUUUUCACUCAUCUUAUGGAAAACAACUUCCCUUCCAAACUUACUGAAGUUGUUUUCCGAAAUGCAUGCAUCCCGCCUGUAGUAUGUUCCAAACUUACUGAAACCAUCUUGUAGUAUGUUCUUUUUUUUUUUUAGUGUAAACAGGAGGACUCGAACCAAGACCUCUUCCUUACACUCCCUCCCCCGUACCAUCCAACCCAACCCAACCCUCCCCCUAGUAUAUUCAAAAUAAAAAAAAACCUCAUCCUACUCAUCCUAUUCUAGUAAUUAAUUAUGUAUAAUAGGGACAUUCUUUUCUAGAGAAACUUUCAGCAAUGAUAGUGCAAGAUAUAUGUCACAAUAAGCAUUGCAUGUGAUUGAUAUUUGACACUAAAUGGCCAGCAAUUUGUUUAUUGCUUAAGGAGAUAUUUUUUAUUCAUAUAUACAUUUCUCCAAGAUUUUUUAAAGUUAAACAAUGAGAUAAAUUUUCUUAUUUUGCAUGGGAAGAAGUAUGUAGUUAUAAUGUGUAGAAAGUAAAGAUAGAGAUAAAAGUGAAAAUAUUUCAAAAGUUAAACAAACACCAAAAAAAUGAAGUAAGAAAAUAUUUUCAAUAAACUAACCAAACACCUGAAAAUGAUGAAAGAGAAAUGAUUUUCAUGGAAAAUUACUUCCACGGAAAAUAUUUUCCCAAGAAAAAUAUUUUACUUCCAACCAAACAGACCCUUCAUCUCGUUGAUUGUCUCCCCCAGUGCAUACAAAUGUAUUAUGGGCAUUUUGGUGAAAGAAAGGCAUAAACCGAGUUCUGCACAACUAAAUUUUGCCAAUAGCAUAUGAAAAUAUGAAGAAGAAUAAUAAUAAAUGAAGGGUCUGUCUAAUAAGUAUUCAUAGGGAACCAUUGAAAUAUAUCUCAAGUGUCAUGUUUUUGGAAAUGUAAAAUUAAUAGAAAAAAUAAAUAAAUACAAGAGAGAGUAGAUAAAAUUAAAUAAGAAAAGUUAAUAAUUGUUAAUAGAUAUAUAUACAUAAUAGAUUAGAUGAACGUUAAAUAUGUUAACAAGUACCUUAUUAGCACCCGUUAAAAAAACCUAUAAAUGAAAGAUGUGAUCACCAAAUCAUUGACAAAGAAAUGUGUUGAAAAUGAAACAAGAAAGUCAAACAUGAUAAGGGAUCAAAAAUGGAAUUUAAUAAUUGCAGAUACUCCAAGAAGUUGAGUUGAAAUCAGUUAUCCGAUUUCAAAUUCACAACUUCUGCUGUCAAAGAACUACAAAGGGACUCAACUUCUGCUAAUUUAUAUUAGUUUCGAAACUCUUACAAGUACCCUAGCAUCUGAGAUUAUCACCGGGAUCAACACCCAACUGGUUACAAUAUUCAGCAUAAUACUCAACACGAGCACUAACAGUGUCCGGAUUUGCACCAUCACAUUCAAGCUGUCCGUUAACGGCACGAAUUGUAGCCCCAAAACCCUGGCCAGAAGUGAUAAGAUCAUGACAAUUGUUCAUCCAGAACCACAAGGCAGUUUUGAAUGAAAUAACAUUAUCUGUGGCCACAGUUUCAGGUUCAGUUAGUCCAUCGAACCCUAUGCUUUCACCUGCUGGUCCAUAGUUAAAGUUCCAAGAUAUUUGUAUUGGACCCCUGCCGUAAUAUCCCUUGCCUGGCACACAAGGGUACUGAGUGUUGCGCUCAUCACAAUAGUCUUUGGAAGGGCCGUCUAUCUCUUCUAUAUAGCACAUAUCUGCACAAUAUAGAGAAGUCUGUAUCAAUUAUCACUGCAUUCAAUUGCUUAUAUGAAAGCCACUCAUUGAUACAUUAUGGAUUUUAGAUAUUUUUACUAUUAAAAAAUCUAUAAUCUAAAUACAAAAUAAAUGAGAACAUAAAAAAAAUUAAUUAUUUAAAAUCAGAAUCUAUAGUCAGUUAUAAUAAUCAAUCAAGAACAACCCCAAAAAAUGUCAUCAAUAUUUAAGAAGGGACCAUAUGUGAUAAAGAAAUUAUAAAGUUAUAAGUAAUCACAGACUAAAUAAAUAACCAAUACAACAAAGUAGAAAAAAAAAAGGAAAACAAUAAUCCCUCUGCCCAGUUAUAAGAGACACACCCUCAUGAUAAAUUUCUUUUUUUUCUUUUUCAGUUAUGUCAUUUUAAGUUAUUUGACAAUAGAAAGUAUUUCAUAUUAAUGUCGUUAUCUUUGAAGAAAGUUCUUGGACAAUAGUGCACAGGACAACAUCCUACGUAGAACUGUACAAAGAUUUAGUAAAUAGGAUCUAAGACGUAGAAAAGUUGCUAAAAAUUUCAAAAAAACUAAAUCUCCUUGGUGGAGUUGUUCAAAGCUUACGUCCAGUCUCAUGAGUGACAUGAGCAAAGAAGGCGGCAAUCUCCCUUUUGGAAUCAUCAACUGAACCAACUGUUCCAAACUCAGAAUACAAAUUCUGAGCUUCAAGAAACGCCGAUCGAGUAUAGAACCCUUUUCCAGCACAGCUUGAACCAGCUUGAUCAGAAAUCCAGCUAAAGAAAGCGUCUGUCACAACAUCAGCAACUGAAACACCAUUAUUACCACCAUCUGAUGAAGCGGUGCAAGGGCCGGACUGGCAGCCUUUGCCACAAUAGUCGUCGCUGGUGCCACAAUAGCCCCACUGGCUGCAGCAUAAAUCUGGUUCACAGUCACAGUUUUGGCUUGAAAUCAGCUGGGAAAAGGACCCUACAAGAACUGCAAUGGAGAAAAUGAUGAUUCGAAAAUUCUUCAUUUCUGUACUUGAAGAAGGAGAAAAGGAUGUGGACAGAAAUUGUUUGAGUAAGAAGGAUAUUUAUAGCAUGGAGAACUGGAAAAGUGAUCAGCUUGUGUGAAGUAUGGAGAACUGCUAUUGUUGGAAAUCUUGAAGUUGAGCACUGAAUGGAAUGGAUAUAAAAUGCAAUAUUAGUGCUUGACUUUCAAUUAAUCUAUUGACUUUGGCACUGUCAAAAAGUAGCAACCUUCUUUCUUGGCAUUCGGAAUGGGAAUUGUGGAAAAGAAAAAUUUUGGCCAAUUGAUAUCAACAAUUGUGAGUACAAGUCACAAGUCACAAAUAUAAUGCGUGCAAAAAAGAUAACUUGAUGUUGUCUGUAUCAUCUGAUGUUAAUAAAGCCUAACUCUGUUGUAGUCCUAUUUCAGUCUCGUAUUUGAGUCAGAACACAGAUGAUAUUUGUACCAUUCUAGAUCCACGGGCUGCCCUACUACAAAUACUUUUCAUUUGGCUUAAAAAAAACAUUUUAAAGGGUGUAAGCUUUACAAUUAAAGCACGAUCUUUACCUUAUCAUGCAAAGUAUUGGACAUAUAAAAUUUUAUCAAACUGUUGUAGUGAAAAGAACUCAAAUGAUCAAAUUUUAUCCAGUUGAUAAAUAUAGAAUCCUAAAUAAAAUGCAUAGUCCUUUUUUUUUCCUUUAGAGUUCUUAUUGCAUACUAUAUGAAUUAAUUGGUAAAAUUUUGGUAGCGUAUAGGAAAUGAUACCAAUAUAAAAACUACAUUUACUACUCGAGGGCUUAUUAUGCUGCCCAAUUUUUUGGUUUCUACCAUGAGCUGAAAAAAAAUCUUUUCGAAGCAUAAGUUUCCCCAAAUUCUCAUAGACUUUACAAAUGAAAGUUAUUUGUUUCUUGUCGUUCAUUGACUCACCAUGCGUGUGCAGAUGAAUUAUUGAUUGGCCUUUUUGUGGCAGAAAGAUAAAACAGAAUUGAACCAAAGACCUCAUAAUUCCCUAAUUAGUCACUUCAGCCAGUUGAAUUAGAUCUUAUUCACAAGUUUUUUGUACUUCGGUAUAAUAGCGCUCCUGUUCCUUAGUCUCUUAUGCUUCGGUUUACUCCCAAUCUUAAUUGCCUUAACAUUGGUGCAUUUAGACCCUUGCAUUUGGUAAUUCAUAAUCUUAGUAUAGUUAUGAUCCUCAAAUAUCAUACCUUGAGAAACAUCACGGCUAAAAUUACCAACAGCAUAUUGAAACAUGAAAAGUAAAUGAAAGACGUGCAGAAACUUCAAUGGAGAGGCUUGUUGAGAGUGGAAACACCAAAGUCGAAAGCUCGACGAAUACGAUCAAGGGUUCAAAACUGGAACAUGCCUAUUCGUAAAUAGUCCAAGAAAUCGAAACAAGACCAACAAAAUCAAUUAUAUGAUUUCAAAACUUAACAACUUUCGCUUGUAAAGAGCAAGAAAGGUAAACACCUUUUGCUAAUUUUUAUUAAUUUCCAAUCAGUUUUAAGCCUUUAUAGCUCAACAUAUUACUCCCUUCCGAGCACUUUCGGCUCUCCAGAAGUACCCUAGCAUCUGAGAUUCGGACCAGGAUCAACACCCAGUUGGCGACAAUAUUGAGUAUAAUACCCAACACGAGCACUAACAGUGUUUGGAUUUGCACCGUCACAUUCAAGCCGACCAUUAAUGGCACGAAUUGUAGCCCCGAAACCCUGGCCGGAAAUGAUAAGAGAAUGACAAUGGUUCAUCCAAAACCACAAGGCAGUUUUGAAUGAAAUAACAUUAUUCCUGGCUACAAGUUCAGGUUGACUUAGUCCAUUGAACCCAAUGCUUUGUCCUGCUGGUCCAUAGUUGUAGUUCCAUGAUAUUUGUAGUGGACCGCGGCCGUAAUACCCCUUGCCUGGCACACAUGGAUACUGAGUGUUGCUCUUGUCACAGUAGUUUCUGGACGGGCCGCUUAUCUCUUCUAUAUAGCACAUAUCUGCAUGAUAUAGAGAAGUGGUAUUAGUUAUCAUUCCGUCGAAUUGCCAAAAAAGGAAAAAAUGAACGUUAGGUAAGACAAGGAUUGUCGGAUGAUAUGAUAAUGAAAAAUGUAGCAAAAUUUUAUGAGUUCUAAUAACAAUUAAUUGCAAAAUUAUAGAAUUGAAAGGAUUUAAGAAUCACAAACAAAAAUAUUUAUGUGGGAGAAAAGAGAAUAAAUAACUUAACUCAAAAUGUCAUUAAUAUUUCAAACAAAGAAGAAAAUCUCACCACAAUAAAAAUCUAAUAAAUUUUCUAUAGACUAUUUUAGGCUCUCUUAAAUUUUUAGAAAAUACUCCACCUAAUACUCUAGUGCUAAUUUAUGAGAAUCAUUGAAUAAGAAACAACACGAUUAAUUAUGAAAUAAAACACCAAUCACUAAAUAAUAAAAUUACUAGAAAUUGACUUCAAUAAAACUAAUGAUAAUUAAAUAGAAAAUUUUUGAAGCUUGGUUUAUUUUGCCAAAAAAAGAAAAGAAAAGAAGAGCCAUCAAUAUUUAUGAAUAGACCACAAGUGAUUUAAAAUUUACAAAGUUGUAAGUAAUGAUUUAAAAUUUACAAAGUUGUAAGUAAUCACAUGCUUACUAAAUUAUAAAGUUGACUACUACAACAAAGUGAAAAGAACGGAAAAUAAUAAUUUCUCUAUCCAAUUAUAAGUGGCACCCAUAUUCAUGAUAAAUUAUUACAAUAAUAAGUAUUUCUUGUUAAAAUUUUAGUUUUUGAAGAAAGUUCUUGGAUAAUAUUGCAAAGAAAAAUAGUCAAAACUUGGGGACAUCCGGUUUUCAAAAAUCCAAUAGACCAAAGUGUGCUAUACUUUCUCACCAAGUGGUUUAACACAAUUUGGACUAUUGAAUUUUUGAACAUGGGACUUACCCAAGUGUGAGUCCAGAAAAAUAAUCUAUAUAUUACUGUACCAACAUUUAGAAAAGUUACUAAAAAUAUUUUAUAGAAAGUUCCAAAGUAAUUCUCUUUGGUAGAGUUGUUGAAAACACUUACGUCCAGUCUCAUGAGUGACAUGAGCAAAGAAAGCAGCAACCUCCCUUUUAGAAUCAGCAGCAGAACCAGCAGUUCCAAACUUAGAAUACGACUUCUGAGCUUCAAGAAAUGCCGAUCGAGUAUAGAACCCUUUUCCAGCACAACCCGAAGCAGCUUGGUUAGCAAUUCCAUUAAAGAAAGCGUCUGUGACAAUACCAGCAACUGAAGCACCAUUAUUACCACCGCUGGGUGCAGCAGUGCAAGGGCCGGAUCGGCAGCCGGGGCCACAGUAGUCGUUGCUGGUGCCGCAAUAGCCGAAUUUGCUGCAGCAUAAGUUUGGUGCACAGCCACAGUUUUGACUUGAAAUCAGCUGUGGGAAGGCUCCGACAAGAACCAUAAUGGAGAAAAUGAUGGUUGGAAAAUUCUUCAUUUUUGUGCUUGAAGGAAGAGAAAUGGAUGUGGGCAGAAGCUGUUUGAGAAAAAAGGGUAUAUAUAGGGAGGAGAACUGGAAAAUGGAUCAGCUUGUGUGAAGAAGGGAGAGCUGUUAUUGUUGAAAAAAUUUAAGUUGACUAAUGAAUGAAAACAGAAAUCACGUUUGACUUUAAUUCGUGCAUUGACUUUGACAGUGUCAAUAAGUGGGAAUUUUUGUUCUUGGUUUCUAGAAUGGUAUUUGUGAAAGAUUGAUUUUGAUCAAUUGAUAUCAAUAAUUUUGGAAUUGAAUAAUGUAGACUCACAAGUCGCAACUACUGUGUGUAUUUUUAUGACUUGAAGUUGUCUACAGCAUUUAAUUUAGUGCUCAUUAAUUCAUUAACUUGCCUAACUAUGUUUUAGUCAUACUUCACAUUUGCAUUUGAGUUUAAGCACUCAAAAAUAUGAGACAGAUCAAUUUGUCAGUUACAAUUCAUGAAAUAAAAUAGUGUAGAACCUGUGUUAGAAUAAUUUUAGGUUAAAUGGUAAAGAAAAGCAACACUUUUACAUAGCAAUAUAAGUGGUAGUCAGUUUUGGAAAAGCUAAGAAAGGAUUAAAGCCCCGCUUGAUAACCUAAUUCAACACUUAAAUUUAUUGAAUUCAAAUUUUAAUAUAUUCAGACCAUUUGAUAACCAAAGAUUGAACAUCUGAAUUAAUUAAUUCGCACUGAAUUUUCUAGGUAAAACUUAUUUCCAAAAUUAAGUGAUAAGCUAUUCACUUAUCAUUGAAUAUGAUAUGCACUCAAAUAUAUUAGAUUUAAUACUUAACAACUCAAUAAUUUAACGGAUUUAAAUUUAAAUUUUCAAUUUUCAAAUUUGAGACUUCAAUUUUCACGCUUAACUUUUGUCAAACGCAUCCUAAUUAGGCCACUUGCAUAUCACGAAUGACAAAACCAUGUGGCUUCUGCUAGUACACGUUUCGACAGUAUUCCACUUCACGUGUUUGUUGGGCAUACUGGCAUGUCCAUUUGCAUCAUGUCCUAUUUCAUAACAAAAUAUUAUAUUCUAAAUAUAUAUGAAAUAUUUAAUUUAUAUAUGUUAAUUUUUUAAUACAAUAAUAUAAUGUACUUGUAAAUCAAAUAGUAUUAAGUAAAAUAACUACAUAGAAGCAGAUAAAAAUAUAACUGCAGUGCCCCUGUUAGAUUGAAUCUUUAACAAAUUGAAUGCUUUGAACUUUUUUCAUUCAGGAUUUCAGUGCUAUAAUUUAUAAACAGUAUUUCCAAAAAAGAAUUGUUAGUGAAGAUAUCAAAUUGGUGCCCCUAGUAAGUAAUUGUGUUCAGAAAACAACUAGAGUCAAAAGUCAAAUUUUCGUUUCUUUCCUGUUCUUGUCUAAAGACAAUUCUGCAGACAAAGAAGUUGGAAAAAAAAAUAUGCUCACAAUUUGGCAGGGCAAACCUCCUUGCCUAAAAAUUAAGAAAAAUCCACGCCUAAAAAUUAAGAUAAGAAAAAAAAAUCAGUUCAUUUUCUCCUCAUGUUCACUAUUAUCUUAUUAAAUUAAAGGAAACCACGCUUAUAAAUUAUAAUCACUUGCAUCAAAAUCCAACGGCAAUUUUCUCCAUUUUUUGGAAAGAAGAGGAAGGGGGAAAAAGGAAGAAGCUUCCGUAGAAAAGGAAAGAAUUGAGAAAUGUGAUAGGUACUCUGUCUCCCUCUCGGCAAGUGCGGCUUAAGCCAAGCACAGCUCACAGAAGUCCAUUGUUGAAUUAGUCUCCCUGAAAAUUUCUAGCCAUAAAAAUUUUAACUUUUCCUUUUAGUAUAAAUGGAAGAUCUCGAAGUGGGGACCUCUUAUUUACAUUUUCUCUCCUCAUAUCAUUCAACUCAUUUUUUCCCCGAAUUUCAACUUGCUACUCCAUAACUUAGCUUCAUGGAUCUAUAUUUAUGUUCUCAGAAAUGUGAUGUCAUACUUCUAGAUACAUUCAAAAGCGAUGAAUAGUCGAUCAUUUGGACAAUUGUAGUUUAAAGAACUAAGAAUUAGUGCAAAUAUCUAGUUCAUUGAAAACGUAUGGCCCUUAAUUUUUGUAUUUUGACGAUAUACAAGUCUGAAAUUCUAGAAAACAAAGAAAACUGCCAUCCUUGAACAAUUCUUUAGAGAUUUUUUGUUCUUUUUAUUUUUUGAGCAAAUGAAACAUCUUCCCGUUUAUCAUUGGAACAUAAGCUUUACAAAGGAGCAAAACCUCUUACUACAACAAAAAAUCUGGAGCGAGCUAUACCCAUUAUACAAUACUAUGCAUGUGAAAACAAACAAAACAGACAGAAUUCAACCAAGAUCAAUCUAGCAAACGUCCGUGAUCUAUCCCCCAUUCUAACAACAACUCCCAAUUUUCCUUACUACCAGGAGCUUUAGCCCAUAAGAGACAAGUCAAGUUGAACAAUUUUAACCACUGCCGAUUUAAUAAAAUUUGGAGUGAAACCCUCCAACGUGUACAGGGUUUGUCUUUCCAAAAAAACAAAAAACAAAAAACAAAACCGCUGCUGCAACUACUUCCAUUAUCAGUAUUCUGUAUACGAAAAUCAACAUUUAGUCUUUCCCAAAUUUAGUAUAUUUUAGUGCAUAAUUGAAAAAAAUUCUCUUGGCACAAGUGGAAAAUUAUAGAUUUGAAAUCAAUUACAAAAUUUCCUAGAAAAUAGACGCCCACUGAUCAACUAUGGCGCUUCGUAGUUCAGCUUUUCCAGUCUCAUACGUAGAAGUUGGUCCUAAUAGUGCAUUAAUGUUUCAUAGUUAAUCAGAAUUUUCUAUGACAAAAAAAAAGAAGAAGAUUCAUGAAGAAAAAUAAUCUAUUGGCUGUACUUUAUUUCGAUUUAGACAUCAAUAGUGCAAUGGCAAAAGGACUUUGUAGAUGAACCUAGUUGAUGUAAUGAAUUUAUGAUGAUUUAAUUAACUAAAAAGGCAAUCAAUUCGGUCUGCUUAAUGUCAUACUCAAGAGGUCAUCAUCUUUGUCAAAGGGUCUAUACAUUCCAUACAUUAGUAGUAAAUGUUAGUGGAUUUGUUACUAUUGCUGACCAUGUUAGCCACUGAUUUCUAUUAAAUCAUGUCUUUAGCUUCUUAUAAGCUUCUCUAUACCCUACCUAAUCUCAUACCAUUUUACUUUCUCUUGGAUUAUGUGGAAUGCCUACUUGACCGCAAUGUCUAUAUUUUAAUGAUACCAGUACAUUUUCAAAUCUUCAAUUAGCUUUUAAAGUAUCGAAGUUCAGUUCACUAAUUGGCCAUAAAGACAGAUCAAUAGCAAAGUUGAAAUAUGCCACUUAUCCUGAGACGUUGUAGAAAGUUGGAAUGUUAAUGUCGUCCCUUGUAAUCCGAAUAUGUGAAACUGAAGUUGUUGAAGGGUGGGGGAGAGUUGGGUUGGGUGGUACGGGGCAGGAAGUAUAAGCAAGAGGUCUCGAGUUCAAGUCCUCCCGCUUACACUAAAAAAAAUUAAAAAAAAAAAGAAGCUGUUGAAGGGUGAAUGAGUUUUUCAGUUGUAUACAAGCUGUAUAAUGGGGUUUUCAAUAAAAAGUUUAUCAUUUUCUCAAAAAAAGAAAAAAAAAAGAAGAAGGGUGAAUUGAGGAAGCUGAAUGCUAAGCGAUAUAGUUCUAUUAGUGAUAGAAUAUAACAGGUGUGUAUGGCCAGUUAUGUGAAGUGCAAUCGUUCUCCUUCAUUCACCUUUUGAUAUUACUUUACGGGCCAAAUAUAAGAAUGAGAUCUCUUGGGCUGGCCACGUCUUCUUCUUCUUCGUUUUUUUUUUCCAUUCUUCUUAUAGAUCUUUAGGCGAAUAAGCAAUCUUUGGGGAAAUAAUGUAGUAUAUUUGGACAUUGGGAUAAUUUAACAAAUCUCCAUUGAGUUUUAUGACAAAUUCAUCAUAGUUCCCCCUCAAAUUAUUGCAUUACACUUGUGUCUAUUAGCUAUUGAUUUCCAAGGUAAAUGCUGAAUUUCCCCUCUAGGUUUACCAUUGACACUUUCUAUACAAAGCGAUACAAAUUAUAUAUAAGAGAUUUGUGAAAGUGUCAUACUUCCGAGCUAUAACUCAUAAACAAAGGCAUUCGUAAAACCCUUUUGAUUCAAAUAUAUAGAUUUUUUUUUAUCCAACACCAAAAUUAUAUUGCCCAAUAAAAAAAGAAAACCUUUUUUUUUGGUUAAACCAAACUAUUAUUAUUGCAGCCCCAAAAAAGUACAAAGUUCGGGACCAGCCCUUCCCUAAGAAUACAAGCUCACACACCCUGCCCCACCUCUAAUUAACCCCUACCGCCGGCAUCUACGAAAAUUUGGAUACCCACACACAUCUAAUAUAUAGAUAUACUCACCUAUACACUUAACAAUUUAAUGUAUGCUAAAGUGAGUAGAAUAGGGUUUUGAAAAAGUACUCAAAAGUAUGCUACUUCCAUCAUUACCUUCUAGCACGCAUUGUGCAAACUCUUUUCAAAUAGAAAAAAGGGAAUGAAGAGGAGAUACAAAAAAGGGUUGCAAAUUCUUUAAAAUAUGGCAAGGGUAAGCAUGCAAGUAACAUAUAACAUGAAACAAACAUGUUAAGGAAACCUUAAAACAAGAGAGGUAACAGUAAGUUUGAAAACUUUGGUGCAGCUAAAUGAAGUCAAAAACCUAAAACAAGGUUGAUGGAAUUAUCCCUAGUAAACUCUAUGUGUCCUUCACCAAGUGAAAAAAUACUGUUCAAAAUUCUUAUUUCUAUCGGAACCAUUUCGAGGAACUCCAAUUCGGAUGUCAAUACUAAAAGAAAUUUUCCCUAUGGUACCCCUGAUUUUGAAAUUCACUAAUUAUUUGUAUAAUUGUAUCAUAUAUAUGCUUUUAUGUAUUGUGUAAUGAUUCACAUCAAAUUCAUGAGAAAUUUCGCAUCCCUCUCACAAAAGUUAGCAAAUGCAUUGUAUAUAGGAAGCUGAAAACCAAACAAGACUUUAUUAUUAGGUUAUCGAUCAGUAUUAUUGGUCCUAUCCAAGUGUCAUCACGUUUUGUUUAUUCAAGUGUCAUAAUGUUAUUGAUAGUAUAAUUGGGUUGCAUGAUUAUGGUUGAAAGUGUGGAAUAUGCGAUUAAACUCCGUGUUAGGAGUACUGGUUUUGCUGUGGGUUUUUUCGUUUUCUUUGUCAGCUGCGUGGGGGCUUUAGAGCAUAAGCCUUUGUUUUGUUUCUAAACAUCACCGCCAAAAUUGCCAAUAGCAUAUCGAAACAUGGACACUAAAUGAAAAGAUGUGAGGAAACUUUAAUGAAGAUAUGCCAAAGACAAAAGCUCGAAAAAAUAUGAUCAAGGGAUCAAAAUAGGAACAGGCGAACACCAACAAGUUAAGUCGAACCAAGAUCAACAUAAUCAAUUAUUUGAUUUCAAGAGUCAUAACUUUGCUUGUAAAGAACAAUUAAAGGUAAACAAUUUGUUGCUUUCCCCCCCUCCCCAAUCAGGUGUGUACCUCAACAUUAUUUCACGUCAUGAACUUGUUUUUCCUGGGAUAAAUACCCUAGCAUCUGAGGUUAUCACCAGGCUCGACACCCAAUUGUCUACAAUAUUCAGUAUAAUACUCAACUCGAGCACUAACUGUGUUUGGAUUUGCACCAUCACAUUCAAGCCGACCAUUAAUGGCACGAAUUGUAGCCCCAAAACCCUGGCCAGAAGUGAUAAGAUCAUGACAAUGGUUCAUCCAAUACCACAAGCCAGUUUUGAAUGAAAUAACAUUAUUUGUAGCUACAGUUUCAGGUUGGCUGAGUCCAUUGAAUCCAAUGCUUUCACCUGCUGGUCCAUAGUUAAAGUUCCAUGAUAACUGUAUUGGACCCCUGCCGUAAUAUCCCUUGCCUGGCACACAUGGAUACUGAGUGUUGCUCUCAUCACAGUAAUCUCUGGAGGGGCCGUCUAUCUCUUCUAUGUAGCACAAAUCUGCGCAAUAUAAAGAAAUUUUGUCACUCAAUUGAAAUGAUUGAUAAAGGGUUAGAAUCAAAGAAAAUCAGCAGGUCUGGAAUUUUUUGUAAAUUUUUAGAUUUGAUUGUUUUACUGAUGAAUUCAAUUGGUGAGAAAAGAAUUUAUCCCAUUUUGUAAAAAUUGGAUUGGACAGACUUAAAGUAAACACUUCUUUUAUGAGGUAAAAUUUUAGAAUGAUUUAACAUUAUAGGGUUAUACGAUAGAUAAAUAAAAAUUGGCAAUAGCAAGAUUAAGAUGGGACUAAAAUAUAUUUGGUUAAUAAAUUUGAAUUAAUUUACGGCCAAAUUUAGGUGAAAUAGUUAAUUCUACUUGGUAAAUUGGAAGUUCGGAAAUGUGUAUCUGUCAGUUGUCAUACUCAUGAGUAAGCCAAUCUUCACUUAAAAAAAAAAGUAAUCCAAAAGAUAAAGCCGCAUGAUCAUCUACUUUUACAUGCAGCAAAAUACACAAUCACCAUAAGCUUAGAAUGUAAAGGCAGAAAAACUUGCUUCUGUAGAUAUAAAAGUGACCACUACAAGAAAAGUAAAAAGAAGAUGGAGAUAAUAAUCCUUCUAUCCCCUUAUAAGGAUUAAACCUUCGUCAUGAUAAAUUAUUUGACAGUAAAAACUCUUUCAUAUUCAAGUUUUAUUUUUUGAAGAAAAAAUUCUUGGAUAAUAGUGCACAGGAUAAUUUAGAUUCCAAGAUAUACUAUCUAGAAAUUUACAGGAGCUACUAAAAUAGUAGAAAAUAUCUUCAAAAUUUAAUUUCCAAGCUAGUGUUAUUCAAAACUUACGUCCAGUCUCAUGAGUGACAUGAGCAAAGAAAGCAGCAAUCUCCCUUUUAGAAUCAUCAACAGAGCCAACGGUUCCAAACUGGGGAUACGAAUUCAGAGCUUCAAGAAAAGCUGAUCGAGUAUAGAACCCUUUUCCAGCACAGCUUGAAGCAGCUUGAUCAGCAAUUCCAUUAAAGAAAGCGUCCGUCACAAUAUCAGCAACUGAAACGCCACUAUUACCACUGCUCGGAGCAGCGGUGCAAGGGCCGGAUUGACAGCCAGAGCCACAGUAGUCAUUGCCGGUACCGCAAUAGCCGAAUUUGCUGCAGCACAAGUCUGGUGCACAGCCGCAGUUUUGGCUUGAAAUCAGCUGUGGAAAGGCUCCUACAAGAACUACAAUGGAGAAAAUGAUGGUUGGAAAACUCUUCAUUUUUGGAUUUGAUAAAGUAGAGAAGCUUGUGGGCAGAAGUUGUAUCAGAAAGAAGGAUAUAUAUAGGGAAGAGAACUGAAAACCGAUCAGCUUGUGUGAAGCAUGCACCGCUGUUAUUGUUGAAAAUAUUGAAUUUGAGCAAUUAAAGAAAACGGAAGACGAAAGCGUGAAUGGUUGACUUCUAUCGAGUGUAUUGACUUUGACAUUGUCAAUGAAGCGGAAACUUUCUUUCUUGGCUUCUAGAAUGGAAAAGGUCAAACGGGAAGAUUUUGGCCAAUCAUAUAAACAAUUGUGAGAAUAAGUCACGUAGACUAACAAGUCCCCACUAUAAUGUGUGCAAAAAUAUAAUUUGAAGUUGCCUAAAUCAUUUAAUUUGAUGCUUAUUAUUGAGUUUACUUGCCCAACUAUGUUUUAAUAAUAUUUCAAAAUUGUGUUUGAAUUAGAACAAAAAAAUAUGAGACAUACUUAUUUAUUUAAUUGCAAUUCCAGAAAUAAAAUCGUAUACAACAUGUAUUAGAAUAAUUUUUAGGGUAAAUGAUAAAGAAAAGAAAUACUUCUACAAAUUGACGUAAGUGAUCAUCAGCUUUUCGAGAAGUUCAGAAAGAAUAAAGUGGCCGAUAUAUAUAUCAUGCAUGGCAAACUAUGUGGCUUUUGUUAGUACACGUUAUGACUAUAUGUAUGUUUCAUUUGACAUGUUUGUUGGACGUGUUGAAUUGUUAGCAAUGAAAUGCUCCAAAAUGUUUUCAUGCAAGAUUUCAGCACUGUGGUUUAUAAGCAGUAUGAGGUCAUAGUGAAUUAUCGACAUAUCGUCACAUGCAGAGUCGUGAAAAUAUACAAGUCUUUCCCUAUCAUUAAUUAGUUGGUUAAAUGACAAUUUCUAGAAUGGAGCUUCAUGGUUGGCCAUGUCAAGAAACAUCUCGCAGUAAAUUGGGCGAGUUAAUAUGGUCCUCUUGUUUUACACAGGAUGUACUUUUCUUUUUCUAAAUAUUUCCCCUUAAACUCUCAAAUUGAUCAUAGUGUUAACUAAUUUUGCUCUGGUUUUAUUCUUGGUUCGCAAAAUUCAGUAAAACCAAAACAAACCCUUGUUACUGAAGAUAUCAAAAUGGUACCCCAACUAAGUAAUUGAUUUCGAAAAACACUCUGAACCAAAUUUCAAGUUUUGGUUUCUUUGCUCUUUUUCUACUGAAAGGCAACAUCCCCGGGCCAAGAACUUGAAACAAAUAGUAUGAUGCUCAAGUUUUCUAUGCUCUUAUGAUCAAGUCAAACCAUGCUUAUAAUCAAUUACAUAAAAAAAAAAAAAUCACGGGCAAUUUUGUUACUAUUUGGGAGGAGGAGGAAUAUUAAGCAAAAAAAUAUUCUAUUAAGAAAACGAUGAAGCAUAUUAUUUUCCAGGAAUAAAAAAUAACGAGCAGAAAAAAACAAAUAGUAUGAUGCUCAAGUUUUCUAUGCUCUUAUGAUCAAGUCAAACCAUGCUUAUAAUCAAUUACAUAAAAAAAAAAAUCACGGGCAAUUUCGUCACUAUUUGGGAGGAGGAGGAAUAUUAAGCAAAAAAAUAUUCUAUUAAGAAAACGAUGAAGCAUAUUAUUUUCCAGGAAUAAAAAAUAAAGAGCAGAAAAAUACAUUAGUUUGGAUGACAUUAGAACAUUUAGCAACAGGAUUAGGGAUGCAAUGGGAAGAGUGCCAACUGGGAAUCAACAGGAUGGGAAAAAAUACAGGGCGGGGUGGGGGGGAUUGGAGAUAUAAUAAAUCUAAAAUUUUGUUUCUUUAGGAAACUUACAUAAGUGAACUUAAUAUUUCCUAAAAUAAUAUUUAAAAGUUAUAUUUAUUGUAAGGAAAAUAGAUUUGCUUUAUUUUGAGAUACUUUUUAACUUAAGGAAACUAGAGUUAAUUUAUUUUAGGACACUCUUGUUAAGGAGAAAUUAAAGGAAAUUAACAAUCUAACUAAUGAUAAAUAUGUUUUUUUUAGGGCAUUCGGUUGGUGCUUGAGAACACACCCGAGUACUGCAGCGUCUGCUGGAGAUUAGAGCAUUCGGUGGAGGAGUGCAGGAAGGAUACUCAUAACGGUGCAGGAGCCUUGGUUAAGGGCAACCAACCGCAAUUUGUAUCGCAGAGUGAUACUGUUGGGGCUGUCAUGGAGGCAAAAGGCAGUUCGGUUGGUGCGUCGAAGCCGCCCGGGGGGGGGAACACUCCCAGCAGCGCUGAUGGAGGCUCCGCUCUCCAUCCCUGGUCGAGAUGGCAAAAGCCCAGCGGCAGCAGCUGCGGUAACAGGGGUGGUGCCCAGGGAGGCAGAGCUGACCCACGAGCAUCAGCCUACUCGGGUUGCUGGUGUGAGUGUGGAGCUCCUUGAGGGAAGCGGGCAGGAUGAUGGCGCGCCAGAGGGGGAGCGUUCCACAGCAAGGGAAGGAGCCUCGCUUGCGCAGGUGAAUGCUAGAGCGGAGAUAAUGGUGGAGGGGCGACGUGCGGCUGAGCUUCCAGUGGCAGCAGGCUCGAAGGACAGUGGGCAAGCUGUUGGCGCACCAGAAUGGGAUCAGGCUGAGCAGGUGGAUGCUAGAGUAGAGAUCAUUUUGGAGGGGUGCAGUGCGGAUGUCCAGACUGCAACGGGCAAUCUGUCUCCGCGGCCCAGCGCCUAUUAUGGGGAGUUGGCAGCUUCUCCCUUGGAGGCGAUGAAUGUAGAUCAGUCACGGGCAUUGGAGCCGGCUAUAAAACUCGGAAAAUCAAAGGGAAUAAGAGCGAUUUUCCCUUCCGACAGGUAGCUGCGUUCCACUUCAACAUCCUCCAAAAACGGAUUCCAGGUUCUUUCCCAUGAUUAAUAGCAUAUUUUGGAACAUUAUGGGGGUUUCCAAACCUCCUAAUUUGAGACGGUUGAAAAACCUUAUUCGAUUACAUAAAGUUCAGCUGGUAGCUAUAUGUGAACCGAAACUUGAUGUCACAAAUAUUGAGAGCAUCCGCUUAAAUUUAUCGUUUGAUGCUGCUGUUGUUAACUUGUCAGCAGAUGUUUGGGUCUUGUAUAAUUUUCCGUUAGUAUGCUCUAUAGCUGGGAAUUCUCAGCAACAUAUCUCCUUGAAUGUCCAUCAUCCAUGGCUACCUCGCUCCUUGCGAUUUUCUUUUGUGCAUGCCAGGUGUACAUUGGAAGAACGACGGGGGUUGUGGCAAGCACUUUUGGUGGACAAACCACGCGACCAGCCAUGGUGCAUCUGUGGGGAUUUCAAUGUGAUCAUAUCCCCUAGCGAAAAAAAAGGAGAUCGGCCUUUUCGUGUCUCGGAGAGGUUAGAGCUUCUGACCUUCAUGGAGGAGGCGGAAGUUUUUUAUGUGGGUUUUUCCGGCUCGAGUUUCACUUGGUGCAACAAUAGCCAUGGCCGGGCUCGGAUAUGGAAGCGAUUGGAUAGGCUAUUGGUUAAUGGAGAAUGUUCUGAAUUACCGUCAGCCGUGUCGAUCACUCACUUGGCUAGACAUCCAUCCGACCAUGCACCGCUACGAGUUUCUUUCACAUCCUGUGUAGAGAUAAACCUCAUGCGUUCCGCUUCCUGAAUGUGUGGACAUCCAGAGCAUCUUUACUUGAUGUUAUUUGAACGACUUGGCAACAGGAGUGUCGGGGUUCUCCCUUAAGGAUCUUAUGCUCCAAGUUGCUAGCAGCAAGGAGAGCUAUCCAAGAGUGAAAUAAGUCCUCCUUUGGGAAUAUAUUUGCAGUGUCUCGCGAAGCAGAGGCUUCGGUGCUUAGGGCGGAAGCACGGGUGGAAACUGAGGCAUCGGAGAAUGCUCAGAUAGAGCUUCAUAGGUCUCAAGCACAGCUCAACCGUGCUUUGUCAGUGGAGGAGGAGUUUUGGAAGCAGAAGGCUCGUGUCAAGUGGCUCCGACAUGGCGACUGUAACUCAAAGUUCUUCCAUGCCACCCUGAGACAGAGGAGGAUGCAAGGGCAAAUCCACAGGAUUAAAGAUGAGACUGGCAUAUGGGUGAAGACGGAUGAAGAUAUAUCACGUGAAGCGAUACGGUAUUUUUCUGAUUUAUUCUCUGCUCCGGCGGAAUCCUCAUCAGACUUGCUGCAUGUUAUCCCUGCCAACGUCACGGCGGAGGAAAACAUGAGCUUAGAGGCCGAUCCGUCUUUCGAUGAAGUAAAAAGAACUAUCUUUGCAAUGGACGGUGAUAGUGCAGCAAGCCCCGAUGGUUUCAUGGGUAAGCUUUUUACUUUUGCUUGGGAGGUGAUUGGUCAAGAUGUCUAUAAUGCAGUUUUGAGCUUUUUCUGUAGGGCUGAGCUCCCUCAUUUUAUUACAUCUACUUCUAUUGUCCUUCUCCCGAAGGGACCGAACCCUCAGGAUUUUUUGAUGUUCAGACCGAUUAACCUCUGCAAUUUCUUUAAUAAAGUAUUGUCCAAGAUCUUGGCUGAUAGGUUGGCUAAUAUUCUGCCAAGAAUCGUCUCACCCCAACAUACAGGCUUUGUUAAGGGCAGGAAUAUAUCAGAGAAUUAUUUUCUCGCCCAGGAAAUAAUGUCAGGGAUGCGUAGAUCGUACAGGGGUGGGAAUGUAGCAUUGAAGUUAGACAUGUCCAAGGCAUAUGAUCAUGUAUCGUGGGUAUUUCUCAUGAACGUAAUGCGGCAGUUUGGGUUUGGAGAAAGGUUUCUUGACAUGGUGUGGAGGUUGAUUUCUAAUGCUUGGUUUUCGGUUAUAAUUAAUGAAGCGUCUUAUGGCUUUUUCAAGUCGGGUAGGGGAUUACGGCAGGGGGAUCCGAUAUCCCCCGCGUUAUUCGUAAUUGGGGCGGAGCUUCUCUCACAGGCUUUAAACAAUCUCGUGUUACAUUGUGGCUAUAGGGGUUUUAAGGUCCCACGGGGGUGUCCCCAAGUCACGUACUUGGCCUUCGCUGACGAUGUAUUGAUUUUCGCUAAUGGGUUUGCUCGAGCUUUGCAGGAUAUUGUGCGGGUAUUGGAGCUUUACCAACAAUCCUCGGGUCAGUUGGUGAAUAGGCAAAAAAAUGGGUAUAUCGUCCAUCUCUCCGCCUCGAUUGCUAGACGGAGGGUGAUUGAGCAUCUCACUGGCUUUUCUAGGCAACAGGCGCCUAUUCGAUACUUGGGCUUCCCAUUGUACUUGGGCCAAAGUAAGGCUUAUUAUUACGGUGAGGUGAGUCAAGCAAUAAUCGGAAGAAUCCUCUCAUGGAAGUCCAAGUUUUUGUCUCAGGGGGGUAAGAUCAUCCUCAUCAAACAUGUUCUCUCUUCUAUCCCACUGCACUUACUAUCUGCUGCAGUAAUGCCGACUUCGGUGUUCAGGGUAAUUAAAAAGGUUUGUUCUGACUUUCUAUGGAGUUCGACGGAGAGGGGGGCCAGGUAUUACUGGAUCCACUGGGAGUUGUGCUUUUCAAAGGAGGAGAAGGGAGUAGGCUUCAGGCUUCUAAAGGAUGUUUACACAGCUUUAUCUCAUAAACCCUAGUGGAAAUUCCGCACGGGGACGUCUUUAUGGGCAAGGUUCUUACGUGCUAAGUAUUAUGGGGCUUGCCACCCUUGUCAAGUGGAGCUUAAAGUGGGCGUAUCAGCAACUUGGAAACGGAUAAUCAAUGUCAGCAGGGAGGCGGAGUUGUCUAUGCGAUGGUUGGUGAAUGCUGGGACCUGUGACUUCUGGUAUGAUAACUGGCUAGGGAAUGGAGCUCUUUUCCUUAAAGCUCCUGUUCAGGGGGAUUUAUCGUUCAGAGACUUUAUUGUUGACGGGAAGUGGAACUCGGUGGGACUUGCAGAAUACCUCCCAAGGGACAUCACAACUAUGAUCCUGCAACACUCGACCCCAGAGGGUGAGAGGCCCGAUGAGGUGGUAUGGGUGUCAACAACUUCAGGAUCAUUUUCGUUAUCCUCUGCUUUUCGUGAGGUAAGGCAAGCUCGGAAUCCCUCUUGGAUAUUUUCCCACAUUUGGCUCCCCCAACUCCCUGUAAAAGUUUCUUUAUUUAUGCUCCGUCUUUUGAUGCGGAGGCUCCCCCUGGAUGAUAUCUUGGGUAAGUUUGGCUUUCAAUUACCUUCCAAAUGUUUUUGUUCUUCCAUGGCAGCGGCGGCGGGAGAAUCUAUUGAACACAUUUUCUCAACGGGACAACUAGCGGUAGAGAUUUGGGGUGUCUUUGGAUCCUCGUGCGGUAUAUGUCUGCCGGCCGUAUCAUUGCGAGAGCGACUGGUCGCUUGGUGGUUGUCCCCGCACUCAGAUGCUCAAAGACGUCAUGUUGUUUCCAUCCUGCCAAGUUUCAUCUGUUGGCAUAUCUGGAAGGCACGGAACAAAGCAAUCUUUGAAGGGGUUGAACUGACUAGGGGGGAGAUUUGCCAUGGCAUUCUCCGGGAUAUUUUCGCAACGGUUGAGAUUAAAUUUCGUCAUGGGAUUGUAGCGCAAACAUUUGAUCAGUUUUGUGAAAGACUCUCUUAGCCGCCGCUAGUACUUCGGGUCCAGUUGGUCAAGUGGUAGGCAUCUGGAAGGGGGGUUUUCUCCCUUAAUACGGAUGGGUGCUCAAAGGGGAAUCCAGGGAUGAGUGGUGGUGGAGGAAUAUUACGGGAUUCAAAUGGUCAGGUGCUAGUAGCAUUCUCAGCCUCCCUGGGGGUCAAUACAAGCUUGCACGCUGAAGCAUUGGCACUUUUAACGAGGCUUCGCGUAUGCUUCCAGCAAGGGUUUGUACAGGUGCGAGUGCAGACAGAUUCACUGGUUCUAGUAGAUAUAUUACAACGGAGGUUCCAGUGUCCAUGGCUCAUUCGAAGAGAGGUACACCAAAUAUGGCAGCUAGUCGCGAAUCCUACACACUUUUCGCAUUGUUUUAGGGAAGCCAACAAAGUGGCUGACAUCUUAGCUAAUGUAGGUAUCUUGCAUCCGCAGGAUCAUGUAAGGGUGUAUCACCAACUCUGCUCUCUUUCACAGCUAGCAAGGGGGGAAGUUAGGUUGAAUAUGCUAGACUUUCCUUCUAUUAGACUUAUCAAAGGAUCGUCGUGAUGACCGGUCCUGGUCUCGGCUUGUAAUCUUCUGAUUGGGCAAUAAAAGUUUUUUCAAUAAAAUAAAUAAAUAAAUAAAUGUUUUUUUUGGGAGGGGGAUUGAUAAAUUUUUAAUCUGAAACAAAACUCUAUAUUGUUGUUUUGGGUGAGGGGAGGGAGGAGGGGGGACUGCCCCCACAAUAGAUCUUUUGUUUCAUUCUCUGUGUUAUUUUCUGUUUCACUUUUUAUUAUAUCAUUAUUUUUUCUUCAUAGACAUCAUAUUUUAUUUUCUUUAUUUCUUUAAGAUCUAAUAACUAUUAACUAAGUAAAAAAUAAAUACAACAAUCUAAAAAUAUAUAUAUAAUAGAAAAUUAGAAAAUAUAGCAAAAAAUUUAUUAAAAAAUCUCAUUUUUCAUGCAUUUUAAUUUUUUGAAUUUGUUAAAUUUGGUGUAUUACUCAGUUAAUAGUUAUUGGAUCCUAAGGAAAUUAAAAAAAAAAACUAAAAUAUGAUGUUUAUGAAGGAAAAAUAAUAAUAUAUUAAAAAAUGAGACGGAGAGUGGCACAAGGUGUGAGACAGAAAAUCCAUUGCAGGCUGCCCUGCUGGCCCUUUCUUAUGUCCGUCACUAUAUGGCUAGAAACAAGUACCUAUUGCUGAAUUAGUCUCUCCCUUCUAACUUCUAAGAAUUCCAAGGUUUUGUAAUGAUUCCGCAGGAAAUAAGACAAAAAUAGUUAGCCAACUAUUACCUUGCUGGAAUUGUUAUAACGGCUACCACUUGCAGAAAGAAGGUUACUGAUUAGUUAGUGGGGAAGCUUUCUAUUAAUAGGCCAAUACUAAUGUAAAGGGGCAUGCAAAUUCUGAUCAUUGAGAAUACAACUUUCCCGCUUCUUUCCCAUUCAUUCUGCUCCCUCUCUUUUCUCUCAACCUUUUUCUCUCUAUUCCUUUCUAUAUUUUUGUUCCUUAGUUGAAUCAACCAAUUCCCAACCAUUACAGUUUUUUUUUCUUGUCAAUCGACAACUUCUACAUUUAUCCUACUCCUACUCCUACUUUUUCUCCUAUUCUAACCUAUCUAAAGAAUGGCCUAACAGGGCCAAAAAUCCUAUUCCUAGUUCUAUUUCCACUCCCAUUCUAACCUAUUUAAGGGAGGGUCUAGCUGGAUCAAGGGGACCUAGAGAGAGUAGUCCCCAUCUCUAGACCAACGUCUGGAUUUGGAGGAAACUACAUACUAGUCACAAUUGCUAGAAAGUAAGAAUUGAAUUCUUGAUCUCUUACUCCAAGGCCUUUGACAAGUGACUAAUUUACACUAUAUUUGAAUGAUAUCUUAUGUUAUUUUUAGUCACUUUGGCUAUAUUAUUGGAAGAAAAUGGAUCAUUCUGGCUAUAAUUAGUUUAAAAUGCUCUUAAGUGAUUAAAUGAGAUUUUUGUCACUUUUACUUGCAUUUUGUCCAUAAUUUGUAUAGGAGUUGGAAAUAUAUUUCCUUUGGAUGAAGAGGAAGUUGACAGCUUUGACACAACUUCGUAUUUCGGCUAUAACUUGAGUUACAAUGAUCGGAUUGAGAUGAUUCUAGAACCAUUUUUAAGAUAAGAGAUAGAUGUACAAAUCUUAUGAAGACAUUGAAAUACAGUUUGAAGGUUUUCCCUAUCAAAAAUCUGAAUUAUAGUGCCAAUUUCUAUUGGUCGAAGCUGAAACAAGGCAGUGAGCAGUCAAGGGUAUUUCUGUCAUUUCUCCAUCUACACAAAUCCAAAUGAGGUGAUUCUUGAUGCAUUGGAAACAUAACUAAAAGGGUUACAAGUUUCAUGUUUUGGUCAAGAGUUAAUUCAACUUCUAUCAUCAAGAAAAGUUCAGUUGAAGUUGAGGCAAAAUUGGAGCAACAUUGAAGACUGGACAGAAAUUGCUAAGAAUGGCAGGGGAGCAAUCCGGCUGAAAAUCCGUCCGGAUUCUGGCCGGAUUCUAGUCAGAAAUAGCUGCUCUCCACUUGCACAACUUAUUUCCUCCUCCAAUAUUCAUAGCUAUUGAUGGACGUGUAACAACAACUUUGCAGCUGUAAAAGUGAUAUUUGAAGCCUUAUUUCUUGACUAAAUUAUCUAUAAAUAGCCAUGGACUUAUAAGGAUAAGGAGAGCUUGGGGGAGUGCAAGAAACACCACAAAAAUGUAGUUCCUUGGUUCUUUAGUGUAGAGUAGUGUAGGAUAGUUUAGUUUUAGAUAGUUUAUCCUUUCUUGUAUGUUAGCUAAAUGAAGAUGAAGAUGGAGAUGAAGAAGGCAAGGAAAGAGCUCAUGUGACAAGGAUUACUUUACCUUUCCAACUCUUUAUCUUUUGUACUUGAUUCUAAGUUUAGUUAAUAUAUAAGUUUUGGAUUCUAUGUUUAUUAUGUGUUUCUAAAGUUUAUGCCUUGGGCUUGGUUGAACUUUCUAUGAUUGUUAGUGUUUAUUAUUUGGUUAUUUGAUGCUAUUAUUUUGAGCAAGUUAUUGAGUACUUUACCUCUUUUAAAUCAUGAUUAACUUGGUACCAUUAAUUGUAAUUAUCUAAAGGUGUUGUUUCUUCAAUGAAAAUUGAGAUUUAACAGUAAUUCAAGAAGUGCUAAACCUAGAGAAUACACUCACGAGAGUAGAGGUUCACCUAUGUGGCUUUAGUGAUUCAUUUCAUGUAAUUUCAUAGAAGAAAUGAACUUGUAGCUAAUUUCUUAACCACGAGAGUAGGUAUGGAUUAGUUAUAAGUAUAGUUGAUUCACUACGAAAGUUGGUUUCACAUACAUAAGGAAAUUUCGCCAUAACUAGCCAAAAUAGUAGUACUCAAUGAUCCAAAAAUAACACUUGCAUGAGUAGUUAGGAAUACCAUAGACUAAGGAGCUUUCAUUUGUUAUUAUCUUGCAUAAGGUUAGCAUAGUUUUAUCUCUUUUAAUUCAUUGAUCGUCUAAAUAAUGGAGAAGCUUUAGUAGUGUCGGUAAUUGUCCAAUAUCAUUUGCAAGGGUAGUGAGGAAUUCCAUAUCUCUAGAAGCUUUCUAGUACUGAUUUUCAUUACUUUUAUAUUUAUGGUAAUCUAGAUAAUAAAGGAGUUCGAAAAACACCGGUAAUUGCAAUCUUCCUUGUGGGAUCGACCCUUAAUACCCUAUACUCGCUCACGAUUCGUAUACUUACGAUAAAUCGCGUGUGGGAUAUUUAAGAAUUAUAAAUGUAAAACUUGAUUGUGGAUAAACUUAUUGUAUAUGUAUACCCUGCGCACGUCAGCCUUUAUGGUGGCCAACAGCCCAAUAGGACAUUGGUUACAUGACAUCAUACUUCUAGUACAUGAGAAUACAUUAAAAAUCAAUCGCUUUCACAGUUCCACUUCAGACAAUUAAGAAUUACUAUCCAUUGGAUAAAACUAGUUUUAACCUUCAAAUAUCUUAUUGCAAGUAAGCCUUCUAAAAUAUGCUCACGAUUACUAUAUUUUUAGCAUUUUCACUAUGUAUAAGUCUAGAAUUGUAUGAUGAAAAGAAUUUCCAUCAAUCAAUAACUACUUAAGACUUUAUUGAGCCCAAUGACUAGCUUCUGAUAUAUUUUUGAAAGUGUACACUUUAGGUCGUUAAACCAUCAUUUUCAAGUAAAAUUACAGACCUAUUAAGCAACAGUUAAGAAAUUAUAGAUUGCACAAUACUAAAUUCACAGAAAAAUGAAAGAUUACUAAAUGAGGAUAAAUAUAUAGUUGGGAGGUGGAGCUAGAAACAAAAUUCAGUACGGAUAAACAUACUGUUAAAUUAUACUACUUUCAGUGUAUAAAAAAAGUUACAAUAACUUUUCAAAUGAAUUUCUUGUGUGUUGGGAGCACAUCAAUGAUGGAUCUAAGGGGGGGCUGGGGCCCCCCUCGACCCAUGUUUUGAAAAGUUUAAUUCAUAGUGUGUAAAUAUAUAUAUAAAAUAAUGUUGGCCCCCCUUAAUUUUUUCCAAUUUUAAUUUAUAUUAUGAGAGUUUAUAUUUAUAUAUAUAUAGUCACCUUUGAAUUAAUUUUUUUAUUCAAAAAAGUUAUUUAUUUUUUACUAAUUACUUAACUUUCAAAAAAUUAAACAUACUAUUUGAUGAUCCAUAGUAAAUUGAUCCAAUUUGACAUAUUAUAAUAAAAAGACCCAAUUCACAAUAUCAAUGGGUUAAAACAAAAAUAAUAAUUUUAUUGGCCCAUAUGCAAAUAUACAACUUAACCCAAUUGAAUGAUUGUCUAAGUAUAUACAUAGAUAGGGGUGGCAAUGGGGCGGGGAUGGGGCAGGGGACACCUCCCCCAACCCCCGCCCCCGGCUUCCCCCGCCCCGCCCCGCUUCCCCCCACGGGGGCACUCGUAGGGUUAAAAAAAUUUUAUUAUGUAAUUUCAUUAUAAUUAAAUUUGAGCAAAUAAUCAAAUAUUAAAAUAUCAACACAUCACCAAAUUAUUAUUCAUUGUAACUUCACAAUUGAAACUCAUAAAAAUAAUUAAACAAAAGUUAUUUGAAUACAAUCUAAUAUGAUAAAACAAAUAUAACUAAAAUAAUCAAGUUUUCACUUUUGAUACAAAUACAAUCACUAAAUUAUUAUUGUGUUUUUUUUAGAAAAAAGUGUUAUUGUAUUAAGUGUAGUUAGAAAUUUAACAUAAAUGUAUUAAUAAAUUUAGUAUAAAUAAUUAAUAAUUUUUAUUAAUAGACAUGUAUAAUUAGUAGUAUAAUUGAUAAUAUCAUUAUAUAUAUAAUUAUGUACAUAUAUAUAUAUAUAUAUUUUUCAAACAGGUGGCGGGGCAGGGGUGGGGCGUACUCCCCUGCCCCCCGCCCCGUUUCUAAACGGGGGGAAAAAUUCCCCCCCCCGGCCUUCGCCCCAACCCCCACCCCACUAAUCCCCCGCGGGGCGGCUGUCCGCCCCCGUUGCUAUCCGUAUACAUAGAAAAGAAAAUUGCUGAAAAAUUUAUCAUUGAUUCAAUCAUAGAUGAAUUUAGUUCUAUGAAAGAAUGUAAAGCUCAAUUUACUUUAAAAUAAAAGGUUCAAAUUUUAAGUUAUAUUAACAUAACUUUUAUCUUGUUUUAAUUGAAAAUAGAUAUAUUUAUAUUGCAUAGUUAUAUGCUUUCUUUUCUUUUUGCAUAGGUGACAUAUUGGAGUUUAUGUUCAUAAUGUGCAUCUUGGAUGGUUUGCAAUGCUAUAAGACAUUUAAUCUAAUGUUAUUUCUUGUCUUAAUUUUCGUUAUGACUAUAUUGCAUAUUUAUGAAAUAGACAUACACUUAUAAUUAAAGUUAAUAUUGGAUAUUUUUAGAUAAUAUAUAUUUAAAUAGUUGAAAUUUAUUUUGAACAUAACAUAUUAAGAUAAUUUUGUUAGAAAAUCCCCCCCCCCUCACGAAGAAAAAAAUCCUAGCUCCAUCACUGGAGCAGAGAAAAAGAAGGAAAAGAGGAAUAAACAUAAAGUUGAGUUUUUGUUAGUUAUUUUUUAUUUAUUUGUAAGAGGUGAAAUGAGUUGUUUUUUAUUUUUAAUCUAUUGAAAUGGUGAGGACAAAGUGAUAAACAAAGGAUAAUAUUAGAUACAUAUUUUAUUAGAACAUAGUGGGGAAAAUAUUAUCUAACAACGACAUGAAUUGUAUAUAAGUUAUAUGCUUUUGGUGGGUCAGUGGAGGUUAUUGUCUCCAUUGUAUCGUUUCCUAGAAUCAGUAUAUUCUAGUAAAUGAUUCUAGUUAUAUGUAAGUGAUUUAUAUUACUAAUUUUUUGUUACAAUUUUUAGAGAAUAGUUGGUUGAUUCUUAAAAAUAGAGCGAAGUCAACAACUAAUGCGCUUCAUAGUUAAUAGAAGUUUCCAAGAGGGCACCAAGUAAUAUUUUCAUAAUUGAUUAGCUUGGUUUUCAAGUGCAUAUAAAAAGAUAUCCAUGAAGACCUCCCCACCCAAGGGAAGACUGUAAGUUACGAAAACGUUUACUUUACUCUCAACAAAAUGUUGAGCAUACUUUAUUUUACUUUCGACAUCAUGCAAUGAUUAAAGGAUUUUGUAUAGGGACCUAGUUAAUUCAAUAAGCUUUAUGAUGGUUUAAUUGACUAACGGAGGAAUUUGCUCAGCCUAGUAACUCUGGUACUCAAGUAAUCAUGACCUUUAUCUAAAGAUCUACACAUUCCAUAUUGAAGUAAAUGAUAAUGGAUUUAUUACUUUUGUUGACCAAGUCAAGCAAAAAGCUGUUAUCAAAUCAUGGUUUUAGCGACUUAUAAGUUUCUUGAUAUCCCAACUAACCUCAUAGGAGGGCUACUUUAUUUCUUUUUGGUUACUUUCUAAUGCCUAGUUGCCUGUCGGAUAAAAUAUUGCCUUCACGGAUUGAUUCCAAAACUUGCUCAAAAACAUCUAUUUAUUUUUAAAAUAUUGCUUAUACUAUAUUUUGAACCAUUCAAUUGCAAAACACAAACAAUUUUUCUUAUGGUGCCUUCUUGUCGUUGAAACUAGGAAGCUAACCAAACAUUUGAAGCAAAGUGAUAAACAAUUAAUAGCAAACUAUAUUGGAUCUUCGAAAGGAAAAUUGAGGCCUCAUCUAUGAAUUUAACAUUUUCCGUUGUGAUGACAUCCGAAAUUGAUUGUGAGAAGAUUUUACAAACGCUAAAAGAGUAUCUCCAUUUAAUUGUGGAAAGGAAUUUGAUUUUGUCAAAUGCACAGAUAAUGGAAAUGACAAAAUAGCAGCACUAUCCUUGUCAUUAGGAAGCACUCAAAAGUUACGUAUUAAAUGGGAGUCUAACGUACAAGCAAUGAAACACUAUUGUAUUUGCGAUAGUAUUGAUAAAAAUUAAGAUUCUAUAGUCUUUGGAUCAUAAUGAAUUCAACGUUGGAUGACACAAUAAGUAUUCUGAAUUCUUAAAUUAUAAUAAUGUUAAAUAUUUAAAAUAGAAGCUGAUAUCGUUAUUAAGAAAUACACAUUGAAGGAAUAGUUCUCUAAGCGAUAAAAAUUUUCCAAAAGUAAAAGAAUGAAUGAUCAAAGUUUUCCAUCUUUGCCCGAUGACUCGUCUCUUUCCAUUUUACUUUCCCAAAGGAUAGCAUUUAAUAGCCUCGUGCCUGCUCUCAUUUUAAUCCUAAAAUAAGUGAUCAUGGGCUUCUUUGAGAAUGGGCUUGGUCUAAAUAUUGAACGCUCAAAACAGACUUCUUUUGUUGGAGGCGGCUUUCACUAGAGAGCGUGGGACUGAUUCAGAGUUCUUUUUUUUUUUGUAGGAAAAGGGAGACUGAUUCAGACUUCUUGCUAUCAUAGUUAUUAAACCUACCUUGGAGAGGAAUCCGGUGAAGGAGGUGGGUCAACGGAUUAUUGGUUCAAUCAGUGGAUGAGUAGUUGAAUUGGUGGGUUACUAAAUAUAUUUAAAUAUUAUGUCUCAUAAUUUUUUCAUAUAGGGUAUCUGGUUUAAACUACAAUGAACUAUACCAAGCAAAUGGUUAUUUAGGGUGUGUUUAAUAAAAUUAAAAUUUGAAAUUAAAAUCUGAAAUGUGAAUCUAUUAAGUUAUUAAAUUGUUAAGUGCUAAAUCUGAUACAUUUGUGUGUGUGUAUAUAUAUAUAUAUAUAUCAUAUUAAGUAAUAAGUGAAUAGUUUAUCACUUAUUUUUAGGAAUAAAUUUUGCCUAGAAAAUUCAUUACUAUUUAAUUAAUUCAGAUGUUCAAUUUUUUAAUAUGUUAAGAUCUGAAUCCAUUAAAUUAAAGUGUUGAAUUGGAUUAUCAAACAGGGUUUUAGUCUAAUUCAUUAUAGUCUAAUUCAUUAUAGAAUGAUUAAUUAUUAUAAAAAUCUAUAAAAUCAAAAUUAAAUUAGUAAUCCACCAAAUUUCAAGUGCAAAUAUUUACCUAUAUUUAGUGUAAUUAUUUAGUUUAUUUAUGAAUUUUAAGUGCAAGAGGUUAUUAGGAACAAUAUUUGCCUUUAAAUGAAUUGUAUACUAUGUUAUUUUUGAAAUCCAUUUCAGAACUUAUAGAGUUUGAGAAAUAAUAAAUUUUAUUAAAAUAUCCCAAAUAAUUUUUAUUUUAGAGAAAUUAUAAAAAUAAAGAAACAAUUGACUAACAUAUAAUAUAAGACAGGUGAAUAACUAGCAUGUCAGCUGUUCACCUAGCGGUAAGUACUCGUUGUUUAUAUGCAUGAGGUUUUGAGUUUGAACCAUUAAAAAAACACAAUCUUGUCUAAUUUUUCCAAUAGCAACUAAUGUUCUACCUGAUUCAACCGGUCGGAUUUUCGAUUUAAUCCGGUUGAACCAUUGAUUUGUUGACAAGUCAAUGAGACUUGUUCACAUUCAAUCCAAUUAGAGACCCGAUGUUGUUUACUGAUCAGGCUUAAUAACUAUGCUUGCUGUGUUUCCUAGGUUUGCAAGAUUGAAUUCAAGGUUAAUUGUAUUCAUCUCCUUUUUGGUUAAACCAAAUUACAAAAAUCUUUUAUAUUGUUUGACCAAAUUAAGAGUACAGGCAAAGCCCUUGACCAAAUUACAAAAAUCUACCAUAUUGUCUGACCAAAUUAAGAGUACAGGCAAAGCCCUUGAUGGCAAAACAUUUAUCAAAUGCGCCCUUAUAUCAAUAGCUGUUAAAAUUGAUGCUUACAUUAACAAAAACCACAUAUUUGAAAGCCCCAAAAUAACCUUUUACACCUUGAGUUAAUUACACUUAUCUUUAUAUUUGGCAAUUGGGUGGGUUGAACGGAUUUUGGGCGGGUUAAUAUUGGAUUUUCACUUAAAUGGAUUAUACCCAACCCGUCCAACUUUAGAUUUGGUUGAUUUUGGGUUGGGUCAUAUUGGGUUAUUUCAAACCCAUGACCCAAAAAUAACCUAUUAUAUUAAUUAAUACAUAACCUUUUUUCACAUUCAUUUUAACAUACAAAAAAGAUUUUUUUCACACAUAUAAACACAUUUUCACAUACAUAAAUGUAUUUUCAUACACACUCACUUCUUAAGUUCCUUGAAAACACAUCAUAAAUAGAAUAAUAUUUUAUAUUACUUGUAUUGUAAAUUUUAGAUAAUAAAUGAUGGGGGUUGGGUUCUGCAGCAGGUUGCGUGAUGAAGUCGUAGAUGAUGUUGGGAGUACUGGGAAAGGAUGGAUGAUGAUGAUGGAGGUGAUGAGGAGGUGGCUCCGCCAUUAUACACACAGAGUAUACAUGAAUGAGGAUGGCGCCGAUGAUGACUGCACUCACUUCUUAUUAUAUGUAUCCACAUUAAUAAUUCCUAUGUACACAUGAAACUCUGUGUGUGUGUGUAGAUACAAUAUAUAUAUAUAUAUAUGUAUGUGGCGGGACUUAAAUUAUAUAUAUAUGGGACAUAGAGCCACUGCUACUGGUCUAUAGUAUAGUUCAACAACAACAGCAGCAACGGCAUUCGACUACUCUGUUAGUGCAGUGUAUCAGCAGCUUGAGGUUAAAAAAGGUUAAAAAAGAAAUUUGUACAAUAUUAUAUGUACACGAAAUAUUGACAAACAAAAGCAAUCAUGAAAUAUUAAAAAAGAAUGCAAUUAGAAUAAAUUUAAAACUCUAUUUUACGUACACGAAAUAUUAACAAACAAAAGCAAGUAGCAACUUGAGAACAACCACAAAAAAAAAAAGAAAAAAAGAAGGAGGAAAAUAACAUACUCUUAAAAGGCAUAAUAAAUUAUUAUAAAAGUUGAGUAAGUUUAACUACUGUUAUAAAAGUAAAAUAGCUAUGAGUUUUUAUUUCAAGUUUCUUUUUUCUUUUAAAUAAAAAUUAAAAAAAUUGAUUGAAAAAAAAAAAUAUAUAUAUAUAUAUAUAUAUAUAUAUAUAUAUAUAUAUAUAUAUGAGAAUUUUGAAUACAAAUUAAUCAAUGAAUUAUUAACACAUGUCCAAAUGCAAAUAGUUAGAUAUAUGUGUAUUGAAUCUUGUAUUUAUUAUUUUCAAUUACUUUUAAACAAGUUAGAUAUUGAGUACCCAAAUAAAAAAUUCAACCCGUCCAAUGAAUAAAUUGGAUUGUUCUUACCCAACCCAAUAAAACCCAUAACCCAAUUAACCCAACCCAUCAUUUAAAAUUAAUGGACGGAUUUUGGGCUUUUUUGCUAGCUCCACUUAUCUUCCUUGGAUUUUGUCCAAACUACUUUCAUCUCUCGUGAGGGUUGUACAAAUGACAAGUAAAGCCUAUUAUUGUCCAAAUCAAUUCAAAGCUAUAAAUAACCCAAUACUUUUCAAAUACACCAUAGUCAACUUAAUUAGUUGCAACAAACUUCUAAAACAAUUCUCAAAUACCGAUUAGUUACUACCUUUUUCUUUUACCAUUUUUUCUCCUCGUAGGUUAUAGUGUUACUCCACCUAAAAACUUGAAUUCGAUUUUCGCACAUCGUUGGGCCUUGCAUGAUGUCAAAUAUCAACAGUAUUUUCGGCAAUUGAUUCUUUAGUCGCAACUGCUAUGUACAAAAUUGAAACUUUUCUCCUUGUUAGCAUGCAAAUUAUCAAAAUCCAUUUUUCAAAUAAAAGACAGUAUAAACUUAAAUCCACCUUAGCACUAAAAUUUAAGGUUUCUAUAUAAACGAUAUUUUGGAAUUCAUUAGUAAAAGUCCAAGAAAAAAUUAUCUAGAAAUUUUAGAAUAAAAGCUUAACAUCUUAAUAUGGAUAAAAAGAAGACAAUCUAAAAAGAAAGUUCCGUCUAAGCUAAGUCAAUCCUUGCUGAUGGUUCAUGAUUUUGGAGGAAAUUGCUCCAAAUGCGAGACCUGGCAAGAUGAUAUAUUCAGGCUGUAGUAGGCAGUGGGCGCGCUAUACAUAUGUGGCAGGAUUCAUGGCAUCCACAUGGACCUCUGUUACAAUACUAUGGGUAUGAUAUUGUUAAGGGUAAAAAACAAAAAAAAAAAAUUCUCCUGUAGCAAACCUAAUACAUAGAAAAGCUCUCCGUAAUUUUAAAACGUACAACAUGACACCUCAUGUUUUGAACUAAAUUGUAAAGGUGAAUGCCUUAUUGGAACCUAAAAAAAAUUUUAUACCUAAUUUUUAACAAAUAUACAUGUUCUCCCUCUUAACCCUCAAUUCUCUUUAUAUAGAAAAUAAAACGAAUGAUUUUUUUGAACUGUUUUUUACUUAAUUAUAUGAAGGCAUUUUGGUCACUUCAUCCAUUUCUGUUAAGUUUAACGGAUUCCGUCACUUUUACAAUUUAGUUCAAAGUAUGGAGUGUUGUGUUGUACAUUUUGAAAUUACGGGGAUUUUUCUAUAAAUUAGAUUUACCACGGGGGCUCUUUUGUUUUUUACCCUAUUGUUAAACAAUUUAAUAGGUUUGAGAAUGCAAGACUGGCUUCAAUUGUGAACACAAGUGCUUGGUGUUGGCCACAUGGUAGAAGAAGAACCUCUCAAGCGGAGGAUUUGAUCCAUAAACUUCCCUCUGCUUGUGUACCUCUCUACCCAGGGAAGAUGAUACCUUCUCAUGGUUAUGAGAUAAAACUGGAAUGUUACUACAAAGUCUGUUAUUGCUUCUUUGAGAGAACAUUGUAUGAAUGUCGAGUGGUAUAAACUGGGGUGGUUUAAGCAACAUAUCCUAGACAUACAUUUAUCGCUUGGCAACAUAUUCCUAGACAUGCAUUUACAAACAAGCAACAUAUUGUUUGUAAAAAUAGUUUGGCUACAAAAGAUAGGUUACUUAAAUGGGGUAUGCCAGCUUAUGUUUGGAGUAGGAUACAACAGUGCUAUUUGCUUUAUGGAGGCGUAUAUGGUUGGUCUGUAGGAUUGGCAUUGUGGGUUGGUUUCCUGUAGAAUGAUGAAUUUGUUACCUCAGUCAAAAGAUUGGCUCUUGGGGGUUUUUAUUUAUUUCCUUUGGCAUGAGCGCAAUCAAAGGCAGUUCAAUAGUAAGGUGUCGAAUGCUGAUUAUGUGAUACAGCAUAUAAUUACUACUGUUAGGCAAACUAUAAUAGGCUGGCGAAGGGUGCAAAGGACACAUAGCAGCUGGGAGUUUGGCAUUGGCUGGAAUUUUGAAUAGCAGUUUUUUUUCUUAGAUUAAUAUUUCAUGGUUAUAAUAUUUGUUUUCAUUAUAGUAUGGUGUCUUGUUCCGUUAAGCUUGUAUAGGGCAGCUUUUCUUGUUGUUGGAACCAUUCCUUGCUUAUCUAAUGAAAAGAGUUAUUUUGCCUAAAAAUAUAUAUAAUAUUCUUCUUUAUUUUUCUUACUUGCCCAACCCUUCUCACACCCUUCCCAUCCCCAAGUGCUAGGUUAUACUAUUCACUUAGGCCCUGUUUAAUAACUAAUUCAGUACUUAAUAUUAAUUGAUUCAGAUCUUAAUAUGUUCAAAUGCAUUUGAUAACAAAAUAUUGAACAUUUGAAUUAAUUAAGUGGCAUUGAAUUUUCUAAGCAAAACUUGCUUUUAAGAAUAAGUGAUAAGGUAUUCACUUAUCAUUGAACGUGAUAUACACUACAAUGUAUUUAAUUUCAUACUUAACAAUUCAAUAAUUUAAUGGAUUCAGACUUUAGAUUUCAGAUUUCAGUUUUCAAAUUUUAGUUUUAUCAAACACACCCUUAAUCUAAAUAAAUUUAUUUUUUUGAAACCAAAUUAUAUAUCUAAAAUGUAGCGGACACUUGUCAUAUGGAGAAAUUGGGUUAGGUGAGCUUCGUAGCGGCCACAAUGAGCUGUAGCAAAGAAAAAGGGGAAGAGGUUUUUUUUAAAAAAAAAAUUUUAUCUUUUAUUUGUCAUUUCUUAGUAUUGAGCAAUUAAUUAUUUUCUUUUAAUUUGGGAUUCAAUUUUUCUUGGAUGAUAUCAUGAGUUUUCUUAUGAAUUGUUUGCUAUUCAAAUGAUUAAAUUUAUAUGGCCAAACUAUAUGGUAACUCUUGUAAUAUAGACAAACGUCAAGACAAGAAAAUGUUGGUUUUUCAAAAGGCAUUUUUUGUCAUUUCGCUCAUUUUGUUGGCUGAGUUUAGACGCUGUCACUCAUGGGUAAAUGUAGAUGCAUCACGUGCAAUUUUAAGUUGACCAUAACAAAUAAAGAAAUCCAAAAACAUGAAGUUUCAAAUAUUAAUGAAGCUUUUUGAAAAUAUAAAUAUGAACCGUCACAAAAUAAUUAUUAAUACCCAUAAUACUUCAAAUACUAAUAAUUUUGGCACUCAACAAUAAGGUUUCAGCCAAUCCUCCACUAUUUUUUACUCCAUGAAAAUGACUUUAAUGAUAGACAUUUGUGUUUUUUUUAACCUCCCACCCCUCUCCACGCUCUUCCCACCCCCAACUAUCAGGGCCAAAAUUCGAACUCUCAACUUGACACAUAUGUUUAUGUAUUUGUUAAGUAUAUGGUUUACUGCCUUGGCAAAGAAAUAUAUGAACUAAUGCACAUGUCAUGAUUUUCUAAGUUAAAUUAUCUUGGCGUUUUAAAUUCUUUAAGCAAUGUGAUAAAAUACAAUUUUAUUGGUUUAAAAUAUAUAUAUUUCUUACAUAUCUGUUAUCACUUGUUGUUCAAGAUUAUUUUUAAUGGAAAUAGUUUAUUCAAGUUUUUUUCUUCCUCGUCUCUUUGGCCAGGUUUGGCAUAUAAAUUAUGAGAAAACAUAGAUUAUGUAUCUUAGUUAUUUUGGUGAAGGCAAAGUACGAAUUGAGUGUCUCAAAGUCAAUUUGGAGUUCCAAAUUCAUUGGUUCAUUGGUUCCAAGUUCCAUUAUUUUUUGGACUCUUCUAGGAUCACAUACUUUAUGCAUGAUUUUGGAACUUGCAAGUAUAAACAAAAAGUGUUACUCUCAAAUGCAAAAGAUUUUCAUAUAUAUAAUAGCCCAAGUGUCUAAAAAAUAACUUGUGGAUAUGUCUAAAUUGUAAGAAAAGGAACGAAAAAAGCAUUUAGUUUGGGAGGUUGGAAGUACUUCCAAAUCACAUGUUUGAGAAUAUGUUAUUGCCCCUCUUUUCCUACAUGAAAUUCAUAUUGGAAUUGAUAUAUCAUUUUUCCGGUGCGAUGUUUAAAUUAUUGUUCAUGCAUGCUGAUGCGUGGAACCAAAGAAGAAAUUAACAAAAAUAGCAAAAGAAACAAACUCAAACUUAAUCCAUAGUACAAUACGUUCAUAGAUAGGAUGUCAUAGAUUACACAUCUUGGUUUACAGAUCCACUCAAACUCAAGCAUAAUUACAAUACAUCAGACUUUUAUUCCCACCAUCUUGGUUGAUAAAAGCACACACAAACCAAAUAGAAACACAUGAACACUUAAUUAAGCAGAGAAUAACAGCUUCUGCAAUCUGCGUAUCGCAGCUUGAUAGUCUGAUUAGUUCUUUCCUUGAGAAAUGAAAAUGAGAUCACUUUGAGACAUCCAAUGGCAUGCUUCACUUUGGCCAGGAGAAGUUUUCAAUAUCUUCAAGGCCACAUGAUCAGGGGACCAGCCUGAAGUAUCCAUAUGACAUACCACCGUGACUGUAUUAACUGGAACUUUGGUCCUAGGUUCAACAACAUCUACUGCAUAGACUUCAAUAUUGGACAGCAAAUGGCAGAAAUAUGUUGCAAAAGGAAGAAAUAAUUGAUGACAUGCCACAGUUUUUCCAUAUUUAAGCUUUUCCACGCGUCCAACCAUCAAUUCUUUUCUAGAACCCUCUGUGUUUUUCGAUGCCAAUGCCACCAAAUUCUUGUCACCUAUGGCAGUUUUUGAAAAUUCAAUCAUUUCCUCAAGGGAUUUUGCACAGCUCUGAGGCUCUUCCUUAAGAGCAGGAGUAUUGCAAUAAAUAAGGGUGUAUUGAAUGGCAUCUUUUGUUUGCGGGCUUUCAAAGGAUUGAGGAAAUAAUUUUCGUAGGUCAUUUUCCGUAACAGAGAUCUUUGAUGCCGUUUGAGAAGGAAGAAAUGACUGUUGGGGCAAUUGGUUUUCCAAGCUUGAGAGAUGCACCAUGUUUCCUUGUUUGAGAAGUGAGAGUCUGAAGAAAGAAAAAGGAUCAACAUGUAGGACAACAUUUGGGCUAAUUCUGCCAUAGCCGUAAUUAUUCUUGUCCAAGAAACUAUCAACACGUGCUUUGGAUAAACAAGCUAGGUUUGCAAGAGAGCAAAGAUUUGCAUCAAAUGGAAGAUUUUUCUCGGACGCUAAUGAAGUGAAAUGUUCAGCUUGUUCCUUGCUCAGUGGAGAUAGUUUGGACAGAAGAUUUCCAGGCAUGGUGCCUUGGACAUUUUCUGACCAAUAUUUGAGCUGAUUCAAUGCAGUGAAUGAAGAAGAUGAAAUGUGUGCAGCAAAAUGGGACGUAGGAAACGUGAGGGCAAUGACAAAGAGAACGAUAGCAAACGUUGAAGAGGCCAUUGGUUUCAUCAACACUAAUAUUGAGCUAAUUUUCUUCAGUGGAUGAAGUGCUGAUGACUUUGCUAGUGCAGCUUCUAAUUUAUACUAGUGCUCGAGCCUGGACACAGGGCCUCACCUGCCCAUUUCAGGAUAAAAUGGUUACUCUAAAUUUUUUUUACAUCUUGUUUUAGUUGGUAUAUAUCUUUACUUCAAUUUAUUUACAUCCCACUCCAACUUAUUUGUACCUUAGUCUAAACUGGUUGGAAAUGGAACUUGUGAGGCCUCAUCCCCACUCUAGCCUUGUGUUUGCUCCCGCUAUAAUCUCUAAAGGGAAACCGUUCAAAAUGUUCCUUACAUUUUGUCAUAUAAAUUUUUUCCUUCUUGUUGUCCCUAAAAAUUAUCAAUCCUCAAUCAUUAUUUUCCCUAAAUAAGUAGAAUCUAAUCCAUACCAUGUUCAUUUUUCUCCAUAAAAAAGUGGAAUAUGAUCUAAUCCAUAUUUAUUUUUGCCACAAAAAAUGGGAUCUACCCUUUUUGGACAUAAAAAAUAACUAUAUAUAGGUCACAUGGUGAUUUCAAACUAGUCAGAUAUUUAGGUUGGAACUAAAUUUUGCUAAUUUGAAUUUUUAAAUGACUUGAAGUUUAUAUUUUAAAAGUGACGAACGAAAAAAUUCAUUUGAUAAAAUGUGUGGCAUGUUUUGAAUGAUUUUCUCAUCUUCACAUGUAUAUAUUGUACAAUUAAUCCAAAACAAAACUCCAAAUGUACCUGUGUUUACUAAUCCAGAAAAAAAGAAACAAAAUUGAAAAAUAAAUUUAUUUGAAUAGACAAUUUGCAACUUGUUCCACGUUCGCAUUUUUUUUUUUUUUUUUUUCUGACGGAGUGGGUGUCCGGGUCAAGUCCGUAAAGGCGGCCCGACUAAUCCCACUCCGGCCCGGCCCAACGCUCCAACCAGACCUAGCACGGUAUUUGCACGGAGAGCUGAUGUUGCUGCGGAGGUUCGACCCCAGGACCUAACGGUCCCGAGGAAGAGGCGCCAACCACCAGCCCAUUGACGUGGGGGCUCCACGUUCGCAUUUGAAUGGGUUAAAUACACUAAUCAUUCAUAGCAUUUGGACAUGGUCCAGGACAUUAUUUGUCCCAUUUUAUGCUCUCAGCUUGCGGUCCAUAACCUGAGAUAUGUGGUAGUUAAAAAGACAUUAGUAAUCUCGAAAGUGAUGGACAAUACGGUCCCGCACAUUUAGUGCGUCUUGUAGGUAUACAUGGACAACCAUGAUUGAUUCCGCGGCAAGGAAUUACAUCUCCAAAUACGAAAAUUUCAUGAACAAUAGGAAGGAAUAGCCUUACAUUCUUUGACAAAAAGAAAGAAAGUAAAAAUCCCUAGCUACAUUAUUUGAGUUCUCAAGUACUACUGAUUAUGGAUGGAGAAAGAUUGCUCAAAAUUGCUGUCCUUUUGAAAUUCAUGAAAUUAUUAAUCAAUUGGCAACUUUGGUUGACUGGUCUUUUAUUGGGCAAUUUUUUGACAGAAGUUUGUCGGAGAAUAUCCUCUCCUACAAUUUAAAAGAAGAAAAUUUUGAAGUAAUUCCUCCUACACUAGCCAAAAAUCUUUUCUAUGUUCUUCAGCUUGGGCUGGAUAGUGACCUGAUCGAGUUUAGGUAUUAAGAGUCAAUGAGUUCGAUCGAUUAGUUCGGGAUCUAGCUGAAUGAUGUCAUAAAUAUAUUUUAAUUAUCUAUAAAGUAAAAAUUAUAUAUAAAUUACACAUUAGCUUGACAUAUUUGGUGAGUUUAUAACAAAUAUGAAGAACUCAUUCAAAUAGUUGUACAAAUUUAGGCUGGAAAUAUAAUUUGAUAAGUAUUUGUGGUUUAAUAUAUAAUUUUUUUGAAACAAUUCAGUGUCAAUUCUUGAACUUAAAGUCCAAAUACACAUUGAUGUGCCUAAAACUUUUUAAUAGGACAAUUCUUCAACAAAAUUGAGGUUUGUAUGUAAAAAUACAAAAGUUAGAGUUGCGUAGAGUAAUUAUAAAAGAAGUUUGGGAGUAUAUUUAUGAUUAUAAAAAAGUGGAGGGUCAAAACAAAAUACUAGAAAAGUUUUAUAUUUAAUUGGCAAUUUCUUCUCCACCAUGCAUCUUCAUCAGCCAGGAAUCGGGAGGUUUCAACCUUCAUCUGCAUUCCCCUUUUUUUUGGUUUCUUUUUGUAAUGAUUUCAUUGUUUUUUUGUCCCUUUUCUUCAACUGGGUAAGAAUCUUCCCCUUAUUCUUUAUUUUCGUUCUCUCCUGUUUUCUUCUCUUUUUAUUUAGAUCUAUAAAUCUUUGAGAGAUGACAAUGAUAGAUUUAUAGAUCUAUUUUCUCUUUUCCUUUUUUCUUCUCUUGCAGUAAUUGAAACUUUUUAUUAUGAUUUGUCAAAUAUCUUACCACCUUUUUUUGGAGAGAUAAAAUUAGGCUUUAGAAAUGAAGAAAAUUUUUGAAAAAAAUUCACAAAUCAGCAAUGAAGAAAUUCAGGUAUAAUGAGGUUUUUCCCGAUUUUAUUGAUUCCCAGUUUAACACUCGAUUUUUUAAGGUGACUUGGACCGAAUGCUUGAUCGGUCUUGAUUUGCCCGGUCAGACUGAUUAGUCUAAUCCAAAUUUUAAAACAUAGGAUUUAAAAGGACAUAUUUGACUUGUGGAUCUAGCAGCAGAGCAUUUGAGACUGAAAAUAUAUAUGGAUGUUAAACAGGGGCAGCAACGGAAAGAUAGUCUAAUCCUAUACCAAAGCAAGGAAACAAAAAGAAAAAGGAUUAAAAGUAAAAUGAGUUGUGACCAAAUAAAUGUAGCCAACUUGAACAUGGUAUAAAAGCAAUUGAGCAAAUGCCUUGUUCAAUUCAAGAUAAUUGAGGUACAACAUCUAGAUUAACACGGCAAAUUAGGUUGCAGAAUGUUGGGUGUGGGCCAGCUCAUUUGUGAGCCAAACUAGAAAAUCAAAUAUUUUUAGGUUUAAGUCAAAAUUUUGACUUAAAUAAAAAAGGCGAGCAGCCGCAUGAAGUAUGAUUCUUCGGUCCUUGUGCGAGAAAAAAGAUUUCAGCCGCCGCUCUUGCUGGCUUGUUGAAGAAGGAAACGAGAAAAAUAACUGGGAGAUCUUGAUUGGAAGGUGAUUCGAAUCCCGAUUGAGAUAAAAUUUUACAUACGCGAUCCUCUCAUCAAUCUCUACUCAUCUACUGGUCUAGAUUUUAGAUUUCCUUUUCGUUUGGUGACACCUUUCUAAACUCACUUCUUUGACAGUUGUAAUUUUUGGGGGUGAUUUUGUAGUAAUUUCGCUUGGUUGGUAUUGGUGAUAUUAUUGUCAUCCGAAUAUUUUGGGUAGACCUGUGUAUUCCUAUUGUUGUGAUAGUGAAGAUUUUUGACUGGACUAGAUCCCGUGGUUUUUCCCAAUUUGGAUUUUUCACGUAAAAAUCUUGGUGUCCUGUGCCUUUUAUUUUUCUUGCAUUUUAUUAUCACUACUGGUAUUAUUACUUGGUGAUUUGAUUUAUUCCUAUUUUUAACCGGUACAUAGAGAAAGAGAAAUUUGUUUUGGAUUAACUCUGAUAUUGUGUGUCUGUACCCAUACCCCUUUCCCAACAAAUGGUAUAUUAGAUAAUCUUCACAUUUUGCACUUUCAUAAAGCAAUUACACCAAAACUAUUCAGUUUUAGAUCGACAACUUUGUAUGCUACAGUUCCUUAGGCUGUCAACCACGUAAAAGAUGUCUUUCCGCAUCAUAUUGAAUGCGUUAGUUACUUUGUUUAGCAAAUUUAUAAUUAUUGAGAUGCAUGAAAUACUUUUUUUUUCUGCAAGAAGAAUGGUUAAAUUCUCAAUUACAAUGAAAACAGAUAAUAUAGUAAUCCCACCAAUAUUGUUUCUUUAAACAUUUUGUUGUAAUACUCUCAACCUUUUGCUUUUCUGGUAAUAUACUUUCUUUUCAUUUCCUUUCCUUCAAUUCAAAAGGUAACUAAAUUUUUUUCCUCAAAUGGCGCCUAAAUUACUUUAAAAGCAAAGAUAACUAGUGAGAUGCCAAAAAUUUCCAAUCAAUUAUAUGCUUUACUUUGAAACUUACCGGUAGUUCCACUUGUUUUAAAUUUGUAUUAUUUAGGUAGGUUAAAAGUCGAACCAAACUAUUUGAUAUUUGAAAUAAGUUUGGUUUAGUAAAAACUUGUUCUAACUUGAUUUACGAAUUAAUCAAACAAAGUUUGAACAUCAUUUUGUGUUCAAUUAACUUUUAAACUCUAUUUAAUCUUGGUACAAUUAGCAUAAAACUUGAUUUUAUAAGUAAAAAUUCAAGCUACUCGAGCUCAACUCAAAUCUGGCUUGACUAAAGCUCAUUUGAGUUUAGUUCAAUAAAUAAAUAAGUCAACAUUAAAUAUAAUUUCAAAUUUACUAAAAUAAUUAAACAAAAUUGAACGCUAACUUGUCCUCAAUCUUACUAUUGUCCUUAAAUGCAGCCAUGCUGCAAAAUACCUAUGCAUUAUUAGUGGCCACUUACUUCGACAUCUUCUUAUCCUCAACUUCUUUUGCCUUUCUUUCCUUUUUUUUCUUCUUUUGUUUUUAUGUUACUGUACGGUACACCUACAAAAUUAUAUUGCUACCCACUUUACCCCACUAUACAACACGGAUGAAGGUUACUAAAUACAAAUUAGGGACAUGAGAUUUAUUAAAUAGAGGGCGUAGAAAACAAAUGGGAGAACAAGAAAUCUAUAUUGUCUUUUGUUUACACUUUAAUUGAUCAUUUUUCUUUCUUUCAGCUUGCAAUACUCAAUCUCCUUCAACUUCAAUUUCCUUCAAAGUUUCUUUUAAUUUUUUUCUUGGUGCUUUAAACAUGACACAUUCCCUACUACUUUUUCUUAAAAAAAGAAAAAACAUUGGCACGUGAAGUUGGCAAUUGGCACUUAUCAUACAAGUGGCCCUGGAUGUGCGGUAUCGUUUGUUUCUUUUCUUUCCUGGGUAAGAGUUCUUGGACUUGGACCACUCAUAAAUAAAGUUGUUUUCUCCUGUGCGGUAUUUCUUAUCAUGGUUGCUCUUACAAUACAGCCAGCCAAUGAAAGUGAAUGUGAUAGAGAGAUAUACGCACGGAGACAAAGACAAGGCUGUUCGUGUUCCAUCGUAUGAUCCAAUACUUUGGGAAUUCAAAAAAUCUAAAAGCAAAGGAGAAAACAAAUGUAAAUGUGCAAAUUUACAAGUAACCAGUAUUGGUGUAAUCAAUGCAUAAAUGUGUACAUUACAACUGAUAACAUGCACAAACAAGAUAAACUCACAUUUAAUAAGACUUGACUCAAUGGUUAUGAUUGUUGAAUCUCAACCGUGAUUUUCUAGACGAAGAUCUCACUGUACAAAUUAUUUGAAUUGCUAUUUUUAGAAGUUUUUGUAGAAAAAUAUAUUAUAAUGAUUUGAUAUAUAUGAGAUAAAAAGAUGAUUGAAAAAUUUGUUUAUGAAAAAUAUAAAAAAUUAUCUAAAGAAAAGAGUAAUGGAAGCAAAGGUUUUUGAAUUAUUGGAGCACCCCUAAAUUAGGAAGGACGAAAAUUCAAUAUCACAUCAUAGGAUCAGCUAGUCUAUUAUUCGACAAGGUGAGAUAAUUAUGAAAUUGACAUGAAGAAAUACUUCCUACACGAGUCAUGAAUCGAUGAGAUGUGAGACUGGUGGCGGCCGCCAUCUCAGAAAUUAUUAGGGGUGGCAAUUUUCGAUACGAUCUGAAAACACGACAUGAACCUAACACGAAAUUAAUGGAUUUGGGUUGAGGUUUCGUGGGCUCGGGUCAGAAUCGAGUCAAUCCCGAUGAACCCGAAAAAAAAAGGGUCGAAUUCGGGUCUACCGGUGGGUGACCCGAUAACCCGUUUACGAAUUAAAAAUAAUUUAAUAAACAUAAAAAUUAUUUUAUCUAACUAAACUAAGUUAUUCUUUUUUCCAAAGGCAUUAAUCACUUAAUCCUAAAUGCAUUUAUUUAAUUUGUGUGAAGUUGAAAUUAUUAUAUUUGGACAAAUAAUGUAUUACAUUAUUUUUUACUUUUAUACUGUUUUAAUUUAUUUUAGAUUUGGUUUGGGAUUAUUUUAUUUAAAUUUUAUUACUUAAUUAUGUAAUUAGUCUUGUGCAAAAUUGAUUUUAUUAGAAAUUAUAGUGGUAAAUUAAUAAAUUAAAAUUCAGUUUCGGGUCAUUUGGGUCGACCCACCAACCCGCCAACUCGAAAUUUUUUGGUUCGGGUCAGGUAUCCUGCCCCGUUUCGGGUUAACGGGUCAGGUUUAGAUCAACGAGUUUUCAAUUAUAUCCGGAUUUCAACCCGACCCGUCAAACCCGUUUCGAACUCGAUUGCCACCCCUAGAAAUUAUCAUACGACAAGACAUGUUUCAACACCAUAAGUUGCUUUCGAAGAAUAUUAAAAAUAAUGUUCUGCUCAAUCAAUUUGGACAAGGUCACAAGAAUGGAUCAAGGCCUCUGGCAUCUACACAAUCCAAUUGAUUAUCUCAAGUUGAUCUGGGCCAUUCAAAUUUAAUUUUGCUUUACAAAAAUUUUUCUUUUAUAGUUGAAGGCCCAUAUCUGGUCCACAUAAAUUCGGCUCAAUUUUGGCAACUAGGAGUGUCAAUGACAGUAAUCAAGUCAAAUAUCUUAAUAUUCAAGGUUGUUUGAUUGUUAUAACGAGUUUAAAAUUUUGUUUAAAUUUGACUUGUUUAUUUGUCAAAUUGAGUUUAAACGAGUUUUUUUUAUUGAAUUUAAAAGUUAUCGAACAUAAAAUAUAAUUUAAGUUUAGUUUAACUAGUUGGCAAACCAAAGUCGAACAAACUUUUAUCAAGGCAAAUUCGAUUCAAGUAUUAAAUAGUUUUUAUUUAUUUAUUAUUUUUAAGUAGGGUGUCUUAAGUAUAAUCUCUUCUCUCUUACCACUUAAUCCAACCCUCCUCGAAUAUCGAGUGAUUUGAUUCAUGUUUCAAUCCUAACUGUAAUUGCCCGCCCUUAUCUAUUCAAAAGAAGCAACCCAUCCCAUAGUUCUUGCCACUGCUUGCCUGUUACUCAUUCUGCAUCAGAAGACCACCAAUGUAGAAUCAUCCCUUACUUCUCCAUUUCCAAUCCACAACUUUGCCAACAAAUCAAGCUAAAUUGUCUAGUUCUAUCCUUUUUUUUCUUUUCUUCCUACAAUCUCCUUCCACUCAAAUCAAAGAAUACCCAUGAAAUAUUCUUUUGGGAUAAGAGCAAGUUUAUAUCAUAUAUGAGGUGUCCUCAAUAUAUAAUAUCACCUAAUUUUAGAUUUUGGUUUUGAAACAAAGUCAAUUUUUUUAAAUUUAUCAUUUGCUUUUGCUUCUAAAAUUUAGAUUUUUUUUUAAAGGUAAAAAGUCAAAAUCUAAAAUCUACCCAAGAGUAAUUUUGUUGAUUUUGAUUAAUCUGCUUUUUGUAAAGUUUACAGCUAAUAAAAUUGCAUCAGAGUGAUUAGAGAUCCAUAAUUGGGUUGCAUAUUUAUUACUAUUCAAACAUUAUUACAUAAGAGAAUAAAAUGAUAUUAAUUGCUUCUAAGAAAUAAAAUCUCAAAUUUACUUAUCUUUAAAGUAAAUUUGAUGUAGGAAGUUUUUGGAAGUCAGAGACUUGGCUUAUAUUUCUGGUUUUUUUUUUUGUGCCUGCGGGUCUAUAGAAGGGCUAGUUUGUUGGAGAAGAAAGAUGUUGGAAGAUGAAGGAGACAGCCUAAGUAGGAAAGGGAGAAAUAAGAAGCGGCGUUGUUGAGGGAACUGCUUUGAAACUUAAACUAGAUUGAAUGGC